rnacentral:lncRNA from 1 species
UCACCUUGCCUUUGGGUUUCAGUCAAGCUGAUGUCAACGAAAGAAUUUCAAAUUUUUUUUACCGUUACAAUGUACGCGCCAACGAUAAAUUUUCUUUGGAUUUCUUGCAUUGAUCCACAGCUACCAAAAACCAACAGCUACAAGCCACGUGGCUUCUCCAGGAGCCUCCGAUCCAAAAAUCAUGUCAAAUCUAACGGCAGUCCAUUUUUUGGCUAAAAAUAUCAAAAAAUUAUGGAAACAUGUUCUAUAAAUUCCUACAAAUAUUAUUCACUUCCCACACCAAAUCUUCAUACAAAUUCAUAUCCUUUCAAUAUUUUUCACUUUCCAUACAAGAUUUUCUACUACUAAGUUUCGUUUGUGUAAAAAUACAAAUGACCUCUUCUAUCGAAGCCGGAGGCGCGUGUACAACCGUGGAAGAUAUUUUGUUGCGUGAGUGUUGGGUCAAAGUUGGUCAUUCCCUGAUCACGGGCAAUGAGAUGAAGUCCUCUCGUAGGAGUUUCUGACAUCGCAACGAAAGUAAGAUGUGAUAUGAAAAUGUAAGGAAUUUGAUGAGAGGAAUGGGAUUUGAGGAGUUUGAUGUAGGAAUUGAUGUAGGAAUUGAAUUUGGGAGGUAUGUAUAUAAGAUUUGAGGGUAUGUGUUUAGGGAUUUUGAUAAGAGGAUUUGAGGAAUUUAGAUUUGAAGGAUUUGGAUUUGGGGAAUUUAAAUAUGAGGAAUUUGAUUAGGGUUUGGGUUUGAAUAUGUGAAAUUUGAUAUGAGAGUUUAGAGACAACAGAUGAUCGAUUGCUCUGAUACCAUGCUAAAAUAUGAUAUGGUUUGAAUACUUUAGGUUGAGUUUUAUUCUUUUCCAUAAAAAGGUAUAUAUAGGAGUUUACAUGAGUGCUUUACAAAGAAAUAGAUACAAUAAUCAAUUAGGAUAAUAUCUCCUAAUUAUACAAUAAUUUGUCAACUAUAUAGAAUAGGAAAGUAAAUUCCUUAAUUAAUCAAGAAAAUAAAUCUCAUUGAUUAAUUAGGAGACUAACGUCAACAUUUAUAAGCCAUAAAAGAGCAGAAAAAGAGGUACUUAGGAGAUUUUAUACGUCGGACUAAGGUAAGCUUAAAGGACUAUAUCAAAAAAAUAAGGGACCAAGAAGCAAGACAGAGAAGUUGUUAUGCAAACCCAUUAAGUUUAGCAGUGAUGAAUUUGUAAAAAUCAUUCUAGUGGAUUCUGCCUUCACUAUUGAGUUCUUAUUGAGGUUCUAUCUGAAAGGAUCUGGACAUGAAGGAGACCGCUUAUUAAACAAACCGUGGAUGUUUACAGCCUGACAUGUGGUUGCUUGAAAAUCAGCUCCCAUUCUUUAUUCUUGAGGAUCUUUAUCACACAUACAUAAUAACCGACUCUUUUAGGAAUUAUUACAGUACUCAUGAUCAUGAGAGGCUUUCAAUAAUUAAUAUUUCUAAGAAUUUCUUCACAGCCGGAAUAUUGAAUUUGGAGGGGAAGGGAGACAAAUGGAACAGAAUAUCAUCUUCUUCUAGUGUUGGAAAUUUUAUAUUAUUUAAUAAUAUUUAAUUUCUAUUGUGAAUGAAAAAUAAGUUUCUUUAAGAAACGUGUGUCUUAGGCCAGUUUUUCUAACUGGUCGGCUUCCUUAGAUUUGUGCCUAUUGCUUUUCAAAGUAUAAUGAUGCAAUGGUUGUAUCUCGUUCAGGCAAAUGGAAGGUAUAUAGCAAUUUAUAGAACAAUACAGUAAUCCAGAAGAAAUAUUAUGAAAUGAAAAGAAUAAAAAGUAAAAAAAGAGAAAGAAAGGAAUUCCCACCUGCAAUGUAUAUGUAUGAAAGGAAGGACCAAGUUUGUUUUAAAAUGGUAAGAACAAGUUGAUUUUAAAUUGGGUUCAGAUCAACUCAUAGAUUUCUUGCCUUUUCUGUUCUCCUUCCUUGGACAUGAACUGUUUAAUCUUGGACUCUUCCCCAUCAUGUUGGGCCUGUCUUCUUCUUGAGGAUUGUAUAGGCCUAGGAAAUGCUUCGGGGUAGUUUUUGUGUUUUGGGCAUUGGGACCCAACUUCACAAAAAGAAAACAAAUUUGACCAAAACACAAAUUUGAAGGACAUUGAAAUUGUACCCGUAGGAUAGAUUAAAACACUAUAAGGGAGGUAAAUAGUACGUUUACAGAGUUUAAGUGUAAUAAAGGAAUAAAAACAUGCCCAGAGAAUUGAUAAGUGAUAUCAAUUCUUGAAUAUACGUGAAAAUUAUUUUAUGUGGUUAAACCCCACCUCUGGGGAAAAUCCACGGAACUUCUUAGUCCAACUUCUAUCACUUAUCCUAGACACAUUCUAGAUAAUGUUUGCCAACCUCUUCGUAACUCAACUUCUGUCACGAGAUGAUCUUUCAACACUUUAUGUCGAACGCAAUACUGGUCACGAUUUCUUCAAGCUCGCCGGAGUUCUUCCAAUUCUCCUUAUAUUGAAUCUGAUACUAGUCACGAUCGAUUCAAGCUCAUCGGAGAAAAAUCGCCACAACAAUCUUGGUGCCCUCAACCGUAUGAGUCACUGAACAUGCAAAUGAAUACAAUAUGAAUGAUAAAAGUGUUUGAUAAAUCACCAAGUUAUGGAACACUUGAUGAUUUAUCUCAAAUAAAAAUUCAGCUUUCCAAAGUUUAUGAAUUGAAAAUAUGACCGUUAAAGCUCUCUAAACAAAGAAGACGAAGGUCUUAUUUUAUAGACUUUUACUUUACAAGAAAGAAAACACGUUGAAAACCAAAUCUCCAAUUUCCAAGGCUUGACAGAAAAUCACAAAAUUAUCUUUCCUAUUCUAGAGAUUGGUCACAUGAAGUCCAACCAAUAGGAAAUGAGAUAUUUAAGAAAGGAAGAUUUUGAUCAAUAUCAAUAUCAAAUGAAUUCUUAUACGCCUAGUCAAUUGUUAUGGGUAUCUUGACUCCUUGAUAUUGUGAUAUGAUUGAAACAUGAUUUCCACGUUAGAAAAUUAAGGGGAUGUUAAAACAUGAAGGUAAUAGGAGAAUCAAAUUGAUUUGGGCCAAAAUUGCCUAAAAAGAAAACACUCCUUAAUAAACUUCAAUUUACUUUUAAAAAUAGUAAAACGUGAUUGAAUCGUUCUUUAAAACAAUUCCCUAAUAUACAUGCAUGAUAGUGAUAUCACUUACCUUUGAAUCAGAUGGCUUUCACGGGUCAAGCCACAAGUUUUUGUCUUGGGGAUUGCUGAGCUUCAUCAAUCCUGCCAAUGUCAAUUUUGCCCCUAAGCUCUCUCAAAGCACGUUUACAACCUAUGCUAACAUAUAUUAGAGUUUAUGUUAGUAUCAAGAAAAUGCCAACACUAAUUUCGUAACACGUAGAAAUUGUUAGAGAUUGAAGUUUUUAUCAUUUUUUCUUCCAGACUCUCCACCACUCACUAAUAUAGUUUACUCAUGUGAUGAGUUUACAAAACCUAUUUCUCUACUCUCACAAAGACUAUACUUAGGGGGGUGUAUUCAAUUAGGAUUCUAAAGCGUUUAAAAAGAUUUUGUUUAAGUGCCAGCUUUCAUAGAACUUGAUGGAACUUUAUAAUUCGUAUAGAACUUGAUAGACUUUCAGAAGACUUCUGUAUAAUUUUUUAAUAAAACUUUCUUAAGCUUUCAUAGAACUUGAUAGGCUUUCAUUCCAAACUUAUGUAGAUGGUAUAUUUCAUUUUAUCCCCAUCCUUGACAUUUAAAGAAAGAAACUUGAAUUUUUUCAAUCAAAUUUGUUUUUGUUACCAAAGCAGCAAAAACAAAAAGUACUUGUUUGCGAUGGAAGAACAUAUGCACAGUUCAAAAUGAAAAGAAUAAGAAGCAAAGUACCUAUUUGACCAAUGAAUGCUGUGUCAACUAGAGAAGCAAUUGGAUCGGCUGUCAAAGCCAAUGCUGCAGGCAAUGCAUCGAUGGUCCAAAUUGCAAUAAAAAAAUAUUUUGAAUAAUGGCUCUUGCAGACAAAGACCACAUAAAUUCUGAACUGGUCUAGCUUGAAUAAUAAGGUUAGAUUAGCCAAUUGAUGAGAUUAAAAGCAAAGCAAGUUGAUGAAUUUAUCAUCAACUAUUUAAUAACCACAGUCCUGAUCUCUUGGACCCCUGUAGUCCAAGAGAUUUAUGGUCACCCACCGUUGGAUGUAAAUUCAACGGUUGACUUGAAUCGGGUAAUAAUCAUUUAUGUCAUAUUGCAUUUAUAUAUAUCAUUUUGAACCAUUGGAUUAAUAUCCAACGGUGGGUGACCACAAUCUCUUGGACUCCUGUGGUCCAAGAGAUCGGGACUGUUAAUAACCAAUAGAGUAUUUAAACAUAAACAACAAUGUUUGAUCAACAAAACAAAUAGUCCAAAUAUCAUCCAAAAAACAAUAACAAAAAAUCAAUCAUUCCAAACAAACUAGUCAUUCUCAAAAACUCUCAAAAAACCCACUCAUUCCAAAUUGUAGGAUAUCCAAUUUGAGCACUCCUCAGGAGACAUUUUCAAAAAUGCAUCCUUUUUUGUGUUACUAUGCAACAAAGAGAGUGCUUUAUAACGAGCAUGUUCAUCCAAAUUUGGGGUCUCCUUAAUGGCAUCCCAUAUAUAACUCCGCUGCUCUCUCUCUUUUUCCCUUUUUGCCAAUAGGUUAUGGACCUCCCGGAAGUCGAUGACAAUUGAAUCAAUGCUAAGGCUAAUUCUUCCCAUAGCUUGCUGGGUGGUCACAUUUGAGAUAGCAUUCCCUUCCAAAUAUGUUCUAGUUCGUUUCCUCUAGUAACAAGCAUAAAUCCUAGUAACAAGCAUAAACCCUAACCCCAACCUAUAACCUAAUAACAAGAAGAAAACCCAACGAGGUAUUGAUCAAAGAAAAAUUAGGGAGCAUACCUUCACAGAUGGAGGAAGGAAGCUGUUCGUCUUCGCAGAGAGAAAAUCUAGGGAAAGAGAAAAACGUCUUAUGAAAUACUUGGGGGGGAGGUUGGAUUUAUUUUGGUCUUUUUUAUUUAUAACUCUCCCCUUAAAACCUACGUAAAUUUAUCACUUAAUGAAAUCCUUCCAAAUAUAUGACCUUUCGAAUACACCUAGAUUUGAUUCAACUUUUUUAUAAUCAUAAUUGAAUACACCCAUAUUUGAAUGGACUUUUUAAAAGUUCAUAUAGGUCCGAAAUGAAUAUACUCAAACUUGUAAAACCUCUUUUAAAGUUUGUAUAAAUCCAAAUUGAAUACACCUGGAUUUUUAAAAUCUUUUUAAACACUUUAUAAUCCUAAUUGAAUACACCCCCCUUAUUCUCAAAAGACUAUAUUACUUUACCUCUAUCUCUGUGAAAUGUAAAAAGUUGAAACUUUAAUGUCAAACCUCAACAAAAGAUGAACUUUCAUCAGUUACGUUGAAUUUGGAUUUGUUGAACUUAAGUGGUUUUAUUUUCUUUGUCAGUGUUUGAUGACUUAAUUUGGUAUUUAUUUCUUCUUUUUUUUCCUUGGAAAUGUGUUCCACCAACGUGAGGAAGAAAAAUAUGCACAAAUUAAUAUAUUUAAUAGAAGCCCAAGAUUUCGGAUGCAUAUAAUUUCUACAAAAAUCUACAAAGUUUUUUACUUUACAAACUUCUUAUGUCUACCAAUUUCUACUAAAAUUAAUUUCUCUGUGGUGCUCAAAUUCAUCAUAUGUGUGUCGUUAAUUUUAUUGAAAAUUGGAAGUUCCCAUCAUUUUUGUUUUUUGGGAAUUUUCUGAACCAAGGAAAAUCAAGUAAAAUUAAUAAAGCCUAAAUUGGAAAGGGAAAAUAUCUAGAGGAUGCAUUGUAGGAUUGCUCAUGCCAAUAAUUGUACCCUCUAAAUAUAUAGAGACAUAUUUUUUUUGUUUUCAUGACAUGUGGUCCUAAAAUUAUUGUGUAAAUCUUCAAUCCUGAACGAUGCACCUAAAACUCAUCCACCCAUUCUCAGGCCAAUUAUUGCACCUAGUGGGCUCUCGACCCCCUCUCAAAUUUAACCACAUAUUUUAUGGACCAUCCAGCUGUGAGGUACAUUCCCCCCACAUGCCACAAUUGUAUAUUCACAAUUACGUCUGAUACAUCACAUCAUGCCACUUGCCUCAAAUGAAUUUAAGUGAGUGAGGCAGUUGGAAGUAAUUAAGCUCUAUAUUGGUGGGUGGAGUGUUACUUCUCGGUUCCCCUCAUCAUUCGUCUAUAAAAUGGUGAAGGCAGUUGCUAUUGUUACCAUAAGAGCCAGCUCCGACUUCCUUUAAUUUCUUGCUUCAUAUCCACUAGCUACAUCUGUUACCAAGUUAAUUUCAGUUCUAAUGGGGUUUCAUCUCCCACUCAUCUUUGCUCUUCUCAGUGUAAGCUCUGCAAUUUGAUUAACUUUUCCAUUCUCUCUCAUUGUACUCUAUAUAAACGAAAGUUUUGUGUUCCUAUUGUUCUCUCCGAUUUUAUUUAGUACGUACUUAAGUGUCGUCCACUAAUUAAUUAUACUUUGUGAUUUGAUUUUAAUUUGAGUUUGAAUUAAUGUUGCAGCUAGCAGCAGUGGCACUGGCAAACCAUGCUGCUCAACCAGCACCUCAACUUUACUGGAGCUCCGUCCUGCCAAACACACAGAUGCCAAGAUCUAUCAGUGAACUUCUGCAUCCUGGUUUGUGUUGAGCUCUUUAGAAUCUUAGAUAUCUCUUCUACCUGCCAUUUUACUAAAAUAUGUUCCACCACAUAUUUAUCAGUUAACCAUUGUCAUUACAUGAGUGACACAUAUUCACAAAUCGGCUGAUCACUUAUUUUCCAUUAUGACUUGAUAUAUAAUUUGCAGACUCCACAAAUGAAGAAAAGAGCACAAAUGACGUUGGCAAACCUGAAACUUUCCCAUUGGGCAAUCAACAUUACUCCAGUCAAAAACAUUAUGGAGGCAUACCUGAAACUUCCCCAUUGGGCAAUAAACAUUACUCCAGUCAAAAACAUUAUGGAAGAGGCAAACCUGAAACUUUCCCAUUGGGCAAUCAGCAUUACUCCAGUCAAAGACAUUAUGGAAGAGGCAAACCUGAAACUUUCCCAUUGGGCAAUAAACAUUACUCCAGUCAAAAACAUUAUGGAAGAGGCAAACCUGAAACUUUCCCAUUGGGCAAUCAGCAUUACUCCAGUCAAAAAAAGUAUGGAAGAGGUGCUUCUCCAUCCGACAAUCAACAACUCCAUUAUAAAGACUUAGCUAUUUUCUUCUUGGAGAAGGACAUGCGCCCUGGCACAACAAUGAAGUUCCAAUUCCCUAUAAAUUCAAACACGGCUACUUUCUUGCCACGAGAAAGCGCUCAAUCGAUCCCCUUCUCCUCUAACAAACUGCCAGAAAUUUUCAACCAUUUUUCAGUGAAGCCAACAUCUGAGGAAGCCAAAACAAUUAAGCAAACAAUCGAAGAGUGUGAAGCUCCAGACCUUAAGGGAGAGGAAAUAUAUUGCGCCACAUCUUUAGAAUCAAUGGUUGAUUUUAGCACUUCGAAGCUUGGAACAAGAAACGUUGAAGCAAUCUCGACGGAGGUAUUGGAAAAAGGAGCCACCAUGUCCAUCCAAAACUAUACAACAAUGCCGGGACUGAAGAAGUUGGCAGGUGACAAAGUCGUUGUGUGUCAUAAGCAGAACUAUCCCUAUGCUGUGUUUUUCUGCCAUGCAAUAAAACAUACAGCAGCUUAUGCUCUCUCCCUGAAAGGCGAUGAUGGGGAGAAGGUUAAAGCAGUAACCAUCUGCCAUCUAGACACAUCAGAAUGGGACCCAGAGCAUAUGUCCUUCCAAAUCGUCAACGUUAAGCCCGGAACCAUUCCCAUCUGCCAUUUCAUUUCCACUGAUGCUAUUGCCUGGGUUCCGAACCACAAAUCUGCAUGAUCAUCACUUAGCACUAGUACUGUGCGUAUAAUAUGCCUGUAUAAUUAUCUCCCUACUUAUUUCUGCCUCUUCAUCAUGUGGUGUAAGAUAUAUGUUGAGAUGAAGUUUUUGGGAUUUGUGGUCGAAAUUAACCCGAUCAUGUUUUCUCUUGCAACCAUAUAGACUUCAACUUGUACUCAUAAUAAAGCAUGCUAUAUUUAUGAAGAGAUAUUAAUCUUCAGGCAAAUAGAUAUUAUGAAAACAUAUAUAGCAAUUUAUCCAGAAGAAACAUUAUGAAAUGAAAAGAAUAAAAAGUAGAAAAACAGAAGGAAAGGAAUUCGCACGUGCUAUGCUAUGUAUGAAAGGACCAAGAUUGUUUUCCCUUUGGUUAAUGACUAGAAAAGCUCACUUGCAGAGUGCUUUCUCCGACCAUAGAUGGAAGAGAAAUUUUCUCUUAAUAAUAGCACAAUGAUCGGGUAAUUGUAAGAACAAGUUGAUUUAAAAUUCCUUGACCCAAAAAAAAAAAAAAAGUUCUUUUCAAAUUCAGGUCAACCCAUAGAUUUCUUGCCUUCGUCUUCUUCAUCACGUUGGGCUUGUCUUCUUUUUGCGUUUUGGGCCUUGGAAGUUGGGACCCAACCCAACUUCACAAAAAGAAAACAGAUUUGCCAAAAAUCAAAUUUCAAGUCUCUCCUCCGAUCACUAAUACAGAUCAAAUUUUGGAUUUGAUGAACUAAAGUGGUUUUACUUUCUCUGUCAGUGUUUGAUGACUUAAUUUGUUAUUUACUUUUUUUUUUUUACUUGAUCUUUGUAGGGGCUUUUUUUUUUCCGGCAGCUUAAACGGGCUGGGCUGCCGUAAAGGGUAGAUUGAUGAAAUUGUCCCCUUUGUCUGAAUUCGAAAAUCAAGCCCCAAAAGCGCUUCGAAAGGGCAGUAGAGCCUUAGGAAGCGUUCUGGUUACCUUCACUAAUUAAAACAACAGCAACUUACAGAUGAUUUCUUGAGGCUUACAGAUAAAUUUUCUAGCUUGGCAUGACAUGGAAGCAAAAUCAGCAUGAGUUUAGCACCAAAGAGGAAAAUAUGGCUUCCUAGGGAGAAAUGAGAGUGUUUAAGGUGAGGAAGAAGAGGUUUGCAGGCUGAUUUGGCUGAGAAAAGAGAAAGAAAGAACAAUGUUCUUCCGGCAGCUUGACAAAGCUUCUGACAGAUGUGAAAGUCGUCCGCCAGAAGAGGAAAAUGGAGAAGAAGGAUGAAUAGUGCACGAAAUUGGUGGGUUCUUGCAGGUAAGAGAGAAAGCUUGCUCUCUGAAUCUGAGUUGGUUUUGGUUGGGUAGAAGAAGCCCCCUUUUAUAGCUGCGGGAAACCAUCUUUUUCCAAGAAACCCUAAUGGUUUCUAUCCUUUUUGGCCAAGCUUUUCCCUUCCUUUCUCUUCUCCUCCCUUGACUUUUCCUAUCUUGGUGAAAUUUCCUCUGCCUAUUUGCACAAAAUUAGAGAUUUUGAGGAGCUCAAGGCCCCUUUCCCGCAGCUGCCUUAGUGGAGAAUCCCCAUUUUCAGUCAUCUUUCUUCCUUCUUUUCUCCCAUCUUCCAAGGCUAGGUUUGAUGAGAGAAAGAAAUGGAUAUGCACACUGGUUUGAAGGGUGUUUUUCCUUGAAACUUGUUCUCUCCCAUGUGCUGGAGCUUCCCAGCAGCUUACACACAUAGAUAUUUUGGCUUUCAUCGUGGCUUUUGUUUUCAGCUAGGUGCUGGAGAUUUUGCAUAUAUUUUCUUGAGUUGCUUGGGCCUUCUAGGACAAUACGUUGGUUUAUCAAGUGAAUGGGCUAACUUCAUCAAUUGUUGGGCAAUUUUGGUUGAGUUAAUGGACUAUUUUGGUUCAAGUAAUGGACUAUUUUGGUUGAAAUAAUAGGCUAUUUUUCUCUCUUUGUGCUCACCCACAUAUUUGGGCCUAAAAAAUGGGCUUGAGUUUCGGGGCUCCCAAGCAACCCCGGGACUUCCAUUUCUCGGCCCAUCAAUGAGCCUCAUGUCAACUUAUUACCAUCCAUACCACAACCCACUCAAGCAAGCCUCAGGCAUCUUGCGUGGCUUGGGCCCACGUAAGCUCGUAGUGGCAAUGUUGCUUAUUUGCUUGACGUGGCAUGUGUGCAAGUGCAUAUGACGAACUUUCGCGUGCCCAAAUUGAGUUUCUUCUCGGUAGGGUAUCGCAUUGGGCCGAGAAUUUAAUUGGGUAGAACCGUGGAUUUUUUGGGCCUCAACAAUCUUAUAUAUAUUAGUUUUCUUUUUUUCCUUAAUAUUCACCACCUUUCUGUUGCAUAAGUAUUCCAGUCUUAGCGGGUUUCCAUCUACCACUCAUCUUUGCUCUUUUAAGUGCAAGCUUUUUUAUUUUUAUUUUUUUAUGCACAAGAUUAGAGGGGAGGGAGAUUUCUCAAUGUAAGCUUUGCAGUUUCAUAAUUAAUAUUUCCAAUAUCUCACUGUUAGUAAAAUAUGGAACGGGAAAAGUACGAAUAAAAUACACACAUGUUUUAUUUAGCAAAAUUUUGACAAGAUACAACUGAAAAGUUUGGCCACUAUAUAAUAUUUUGAUUUAAUUUUUUUUAUUUUUUUAAUAUAUAUUAUUUUUAUUCAAUAAUAUGUGAAAAAUAGGUGUACAAUAUAUGAAAUUUGUAUGUAUUAUUGAAAAAUUCGUAAAAAAAAAACAUGUUAUUAAAUGUGAAAAAUAUGUACGUAUAUGUAUAAAACAUGUAUUGUACAUUACUUUUUAACAAACUUGUAUUUUACCUAGUCUUUAAACCGUAUAUGGAAAACGGAAGUAUUAUUGAAAAAUACAUAUGUACGUAUAUGUAUAAAACAUGUAUUGUACAUUACUUUUUAACAAACUUGUAUUUUACCUAGUCUUUAAACCGUAUAUGGAAAACGGAAGUAUUAUUAAAAAAUACAUAUGUACGUGUAUAAUAUGAGUAUUAAACAAAAAAAUGUGCUAAGUACUUAUCUUUUAAUUUAAUAAUUCAUUUCAUUUUGUGAUCUCAUACGUAGUAAUGAGAGUUCAAAUUAAUGUUGCAGCUGACAAUGGUGGCUCUGGCAAGCCAUGCUUGAUGCAGGAGUAUAGGGGUGGAUCAAGAUAGAUAUUUACCAUGUAAUUAGUUAUUUCAUGAUAUAUUGUUAUUUUCUUAUUUAGGUAGUUUUAUGAUAUCUUUUAUUAUUUAUGUGGGAUUUUAUAAUUAAUUAGUUUACUUUUGGACCAAGUAGCCUUGGUGCUCAAGUCUUGUAAAGCUUAUAAAUAAGGCUAAUGUAAUAGUUGUAGGAAAAGAGAUGUCGAUGAUUAAUAAAAUCGUUUAUUUGUGGCAUGGAUUUGCUACGAUAUAUGUGAGUUUGCACUAGCCCUAGAUUUCGGUGCUCGUGUAUGUGGUUGGUGACCUGUGUCCGGAUCCCGAUCCCCAUCAAUGCUGUUCUCCCAGUACCUCAACUUUACUGGAACUCUUUCCUGCCAAACACAAAUGCCAAGAGCUAUCAGUCAACUUCUGCAUCCUGGUUUCUAUUAAGGGACUUUUCGUGAGCUUAUCAUCUACCCAAAUUUUACUCAUCCGACGUAAUUUUAAAAGUGAUUUGAUCCUUUGGCAAAGUAAUCUUGAACUACAAAAAAGGAGGGCACUCGAAUAGGCAUGCCAUUUGGUAUUACCCACCUCUAAUUUCUUUUAAAAUUUUAGUAAUUGAUUUUUAAGAUUAGAAAAUGGGAAAGUUCAAAACCGAAAAAGUUGUUUCAGUUUUGGCAAGUAUCGGAAAAGACUAAAAUUUUCCGACUUUAUUAUUACUAGAAACAAAGUCGAAGUAUUCACCAAUCAUGUGGCCUUCCAAGUGCUCAAGGUUAAGCCAGGAACCGUUCCUAUCAGCCAUUUCCUUCCCAAGUAUGAUCAUGUUGUCUGGGUUCCAACCCACAAAUCUACAUCAGUACCUGAACUAAUCAGUUCUACAUGAAUAUUCAUUCAUGGCAACCUUGGGCUAAGUAUUUGAAUUUAUGCUCAUAAAGCUUUAAUGCUUUUGAGGGCCAAUCGUUGUCUACAUAUGGUAUUGUAGCAUCUUUAGAUGGAAGAGGUCAGGGGUUCAAUUCUUGUUUUCCACUUCUUUAUUUGUUGGUUUAUCGAGUGUAGAGUGGAGUUGCACCUAUAUGUUCGUCUCUCACCCCAUCAUUUACCAUUGAUAUAUAUUUAAUAGAAGCCUAAGAUUUCGGAAGCACAUAAUUUCUACUUUACAAACUUCCUGUGUCUACCAAUUUCUACUAAAAUUAAUUUAUCUGCGGUGCUGAGAUUCAUCAUAAUUUUAAUAGAAAUUGGAAGUUUUCAUCAUUUUUGCUUUAAGUCUCUACUCCACUCACUAAUAAAGAUUACUCAUGUGAGUUUACAAAACAUUUUUUUUUUCUACUCUCUCCUGAAGACUACACUUCUUCUCAAAAAAUUAGAUCACUUCACAUCUUGUGUAUGUGAAAACUAAUGUAAAAAGUUGAAACUUUAUCGUAAAACCUCGACAAAAAUGAGCUCUACUACAAAAUGUUAAAUUUGGAUUCGUUGAUUUAAAUGGCAAUUUGACACUUGAUAGAAAUUUUUACAUACAUGUGUUAGUGUUUGAUCACUUCACAUGUCACUUACUAUAUUUAUUCCACUCAAGUUAGGUAAAUAUUAUUAUCAAACAUUUCAAUUAAUUUGUGAUUUUUUUAUUAUUUAAUCAAUUAUGAAUUAAUGGAUUCUUCUUGUUGUUUUGAAGACCAACAAAAAAAAAAAAAAGGGUAGUGAUGGCUUAUAAUUCUGGUAAAACAACAGUGACGUGGACAACAGAUGUUACGCUGUACUAAAGAUUUUUGAAGAUUCUUUAUUUGAGUUUCUUUCAAGAUAAAAACCAUAUUAUCCACAACCACAAGCACAUCCGGCAGACAAUCUUUGGCUAUUCAUCACAAUUGGGAGACAAUGAAGAAGACAGAAAAUGGAGUAAUUCAGAUGUUACCAGCCAUCCACGACAAACUGAAGUCUGCAAAGCAUUCGUAAUCUAAAAAGGAUGGGGAGGCUGCGCAAUACUUAGCCACGUGUAGGCCAGGAGGCUUUCCAAUUUUAAUAUAUAUAUAGAUUGAAAAAAUAAAAUAAAAAUCAAUCUAUUAUCAUAUAUAUUAUAAAAUAAAGAUUAUUGCUCCCAUGGGCGGUGCUAUGCACAGGACAGUGCCUGCCUAGUCCAAAUUUUUUUUAAAUAAAAAUAAAAAUCUACAUAUGUUAUAAGCUCAUCCAAAAAAAAAAAAAAAAAUAAAAGUGUUGUAAAUUAUAAGGUGGAGCCCACAUGUUGGAAGGCUUUGCCUACAAAAGGGUUCACACCCUCCCUUUGUAAUUAGACAUUGAGAAUACUAAGGAAGACAGAAAUGAAUAGAGAGAAAACAUUCCCUUCUCUCCAUCUCAAUUCCCUCUCCAAUUCCUCUAGAUUUAUAACACGUUAUCAGCAGCACGAAUCGCUUUCAAACAAUACCAGCUGAAUUUUAUGAUGAAACCCAGAUCUCUCAUCCAUCUCUGCUGCUCCACUACUUCAAAAUAAAUCCCACAGAAAAAGAAAAAGCCUCAAUGCUCUCUCUCUCUCUCUGUCUCGCUUGGGAGACUUGGACAAUUCCUCAUCCCCGUUACUGACAAUUUCAACAGCUUCAGGGGAAGCUAGUUUAUCUUCCUCUGCUCACGAAACCAUGACUCUUUCAGAGCCAAACAACAACACAAUAGACAACGCAUGGAGACCAGACUGGAGCUCGUCGGCUAAGGCACCGACGAUCCGACCCUACCCGUAUGGACCUUCCGGAUGUGGUUCCUGGGUCUUGUCUCAUGUGCCCUCCUCUCAUUUCUCAACCAAUUCUACAAGCAGCAGAGCUUCAAAUCAAACAGAUCAUGGCAUCGCUUUCACACCUCCCCAUCUUCCUCUUCCUCCUGUUCACCGCUUUCUAUUCUACAGCUUCGCAGUCCUUCAUCGGCGCAUCCAAAGGCGACAUACCGGCGCUCGCCUCAGAUCCGAACGCGGCGGCUCAGUGGGUGAACUCGAAUGUCCUCGCCUUCUACUCGGCCAGCAACAUCGACCUCAUCAACGUCGGCAACGAGGUCCUUUUUCUCCAACGACCAGGGCCUCAUCUCGCAGCUCCUCCCCGCCAUGCGAAAUGUCCAAUCUGCCCUCUCCGCCGCGUCCCUCGGCGGCAAGGUCCGUGUCUCCACGGUCCACUGCCUCGCCGGAUCGGGAUCCUUCCUUCAAGUGUUUCUCUGUCUUCGACUUGAAAAAGAAGGUCAUGGCAGGCCUAUGUAAAAAUUGCGAAAAGGAAGGCAAUCUUCAACCUUUUCUCCUGUCUCUCUCUUGAUCAAUUCAUGGAAGGCACAUUUGGGUCUUCCGGGGGCUCAUCAAAUGAGUCAGCAAUGUCAAAGGUGGAGGUGGUGGAGCAAGACUACGUGGGGAUGUCAUAUGAGGCAACCUCAUACCCAGCUGAGGCAGAGCUUGUGCUGGGCCUGGGCCUUGGCCUGAGCCUUCGUGGUGGUGGUGCAGGGAAGCAGCCAAAGCCAUGUGCAUGGGGUGAGCGUGGUAGAAUCUUGACUGCUAAAGUUAGGUGCUGAGUUACACUGUGUUCUCUGCUACUGACCCUAAGAGGAGUGCUAGAAACUUCCAUGUUCCGCCAUCAUUUCGCUUUCACUGUUACAAGGCACUGGAGUAUGUUUAAUUGAAAAGUGAGAUACACAGCAAGUUGAUCAGCCUAGUGGAAAGCAAAGGAUUAUUGCCAGGGAUAUGAACACCCACCGAAAUAAAGGGAUAAGUACUCUUUUUCCCUUCGACCAGUUUUUUUUUGUCCCACUGGGUUUUUACUGGCAAGGUUUUUCACGAAACAUAUUCCGUAUCAUUUGUGGUCUCUAAGAGGGAGUGUUGUAAAUUAUAAGGUGGAGCCCACAUGUUGGAAGGCUUUGCCUACAAAAGGGUUCACACCCUCCCUUUGUAAUUAGACAUUGAGAAUACUAAGGAAGACAGAAAUGAAUAGAGAGAAAACAUUCCCUUCUCUCCAUCUCAAUUCCCUCUCCAAUUCCUCUAGAUUUAUAACAAAAAGUAAAUUCUACACAUAUGUUGCCCAUCCAGGUGGUCCCAUAUCUUCUCUUUCCUUUUCUUUUGGCUAUUAGACUUCUUGUUUCUCUCUCUCUCUUUGCUACCCCACAUCAGCAAGUUUCUCCCUCUCUUUUUUUGGGAUCAAAUUCUUCUUCUAUUGACAAAAUCUUCUAUUAUAUUGGGUGGGCAACUUGGCAACAACAUCUUCUCCUCUCCUUUUGUCAACAGCAAGUAUUAUUCUCAUUCUCUCAUUUGCUAUAUAUCUUUAAUUAUAGUUUUAAUUUAAAAUUGAGUAUUCUAGGGUUUAAUUAGGGAUGAAUUAUAAUUUUGGGAUUUUGUUGAAAUUAAUUAGGGCUUCGAUUAGGGGUGAAUUAUUCUACUGCUUUGAUUUGGAAUUUUGUUAAAAUUGAGUAUUAUAGGUUUAAUUAUGGAUGAAUUACAAUUUUUGGUUUUGGUAUUGUUGAGAUGUUAUUAUGAGAAUUUGUUUGAUUUUUUGUUGGUAUAUUUGAUUAAAAUUCUUUCUACAUAUUAUUCAUAGGCUAUCUUUUAUUAUGUCGGAUCACAAUCGGAAUCCCAAGAAAACAAAAAAUUUGAAUAGUGUUGUUUUGUAUUGCAUUGCAUUUACUUUUGGUUUUAGUUUUGCUUUUAGUGUAAAUUACUCAAAUGGUCCUCAAAUUUGUACCCAAUUUACAUUUUGGUCCAUAAACUAAAUUAUUCAUUCAAAUGGUCCACCAACUCUUUAUUAAUCGGUGCUUUGGUCCUAUCGUUAUGUUUUCUAUUAAAUUUAGUCAUGUGAGCAGCACAUGCUACAUUUGUAUGGGUAAAUAAGACUUUUGACCAGUGGCGGAUCCACGUUGGGACAAGAGGGGUCGGACGACCCCUUGGAAGGCUGGAAAUUUGGCAAGGGAGUCCAUGAAAGCCCCCUUGGACAGCUGCUGGAAGCCCCCUUGUAUGCACACAAUGUGCUCGACGAAAUGCCCCAACGAAAUGUCCUGCGCAGCUGUGCUGCGCCUUGCGCGUAAUUUUUUUUUAAAACCAGCCUUGCCAAACGACGUCGUUUGGUCAAGGCUCAGUCAAAUUUUUUUUUAAUUAACCUGGCCUCAAAACGACGUCGUUUUGGGCCAGGUUUAAAAAAAAAAAAACAGAACAGUACACACGCACAGCAGCUCUGCACAGAUUCAUUUUCUCCAAACCUUUCAUUCCCAAUUCCACAGCCCCUCUUCCCAUCCUCUCAAACCCUAACCUCCCAACCUCCCAACCUUGGACAACCUCCAUCAACUCUUCACCGGUGGCCCAAUGCCGAUCACCACCACCUUCUACCGCCGUCCGCCGCCCAUUUUUUAAACUACAAGUAAGUAAGCAUGGAAAAUCUGAUAUUAAUAAUUAUAGUGAUAAUAUAUAUUGUUGAUAUUGAUAUUUUUUUUUUAUGUAAUGAAAUUUAUGGAUAUGAAUCAUAUUGAUUGAUUGAGUUUAUGCUUGAAAUUUAUGGAUAUGAAUCAUAUUGAUAUUUUUUUUUAUGUAAUUAAAUUUAUGGAUAUGAAUCAUAGUGAUAAUCAUAUUAAUGUAGAUUGAUUGAGUUUAUGCUUGAUUGAUAAUAUGAAUUGAUUGGGUAUAUUAAAUAUUGAUUGCUAUUUGAUAUGAUAAUUUGGUAUAUUGAAUAUUGAUUGAUAUGGGUUUAGGGAGUAUAUUGAAUAUUGAGAGUGGGUUAUUGAAAUUUUCAUAUUCAUAUGAUAAUUAGGAUAAAAAUUAAUGAUUGAUUGAAUUAAUUGAUUUGUAGAUUUAUGGAACGAUUCUUUAAAAGAAAAUUAUCUACGGAUAGUUCUUCUCUGUCUAAUCCGGGUAGUUCAAAUGCAAGACCAAUUGAAGUAGAUGAGAUCUUAGCUAAUCUUCAAGCAGACCCUGGACUAAGAACUCGAAUGGCGGAUUAUAGUCCUAAUAUUAGGGAUGAGAUCCGAAGAGCAUAUCUACAAAAGGGACCUUGUCAACCUAGAAGUUAUAAAUUCCCACAAACUAAUCAAUCAGGAAUUAAUAGACGCUUCAUUGCUCAUUGGUUUGAUGAUCAUGAUUGGUUGGAAUAUAGUAUUGCUAAAGAUGCUACGUUUUGUCUUCAUUGUUAUCUCUUCAAAUCUAAUUUUGAUCAAGUGGGUGGUGAUGCAUUCACUGGGGUAGGCUUCAAUAAUUGGAAGAAGGCGAAAGAAAGAUUUAACCUUCAUAUUGGACCGGUUGGUAGUGUUCACAACCAAGCUAGAGAAGUUGCUUACAAUUUGAUGCAUCAAACUACACACAUUGAAACAAUUGUGCUCAAGCAAACAAGCCAAGCUCGCACGGCUUAUCGCACUUGCUUGAAUGCAUCACUUAAGUGCACUAGGUAUUUGUUGCGGCAAGGGCUUUCUUUUCGUGGUCAUGAUGAAAGUGCACAAUCAAGUAAUAAAGGGAAUUAUUUAGAGCUCUUGCAAUUUCUUGCGGAUCAUGAUGAAAAAGUUAAGGCCGUUGUAUUGGAAAAUGCUCCGGGAAAUUUAAAGUUAAUAGCUCCUUCAAUUCAAAAAGAUCUUGUCAAUUCUUGUGCCAAAGAAACCAUUGAUCUUAUCUUGAGUGAUGUAAAAGAUAGAUAUUUUUCAAUAAUGGUGGAUGAAGCACGUGAUGUUUCAAUAAAGGAGCAAAUGGCAAUGGUGUUGCGUUAUGUGAAUGACAAAGGACAAAUAAUUGAAAGGUUUGUGGGGGUUCAACAUGUAACCGACACUACUUCAAGUGCACUAAAGGAAACAAUUGAUGAAUUCUUUUCUUCCGCGAAUUUGAGCUUUUCCAAGCUACGAGGACAAGGUUAUGAUGGAGCUAGCAAUAUGAGAGGUGAGUUCAAUGGCCUUAAGAGAAAGAUUUUGAGAGAACAACCUUGUGCAUUUUAUGUUCAUUGCUUUGCUCAUCAACUUCAACUAGCUCUUGUUGCGGUAGCAAAGAAAAACAUUGAUGUCAACUCUUUUUUCACAACGGCUAAUAGUUUGGUUAAUGUGGUUGGAGCAUCUUGUAAGCGUCGCGAUGCACUUAGAGCACAAUACCAAGAAGAGCUUGUGAGAGCUUUUGAAGAUGAUUGUCUUAUAACGGGGCGGGGCUUAAAUCAAGAAAGGACUCUCAAACGUGCCGGCAAUACACGAUGGAACUCACAUUAUGGUACGUUGAUUAGUAUCAUUUCUAUGUUCCCAUCUGUGGUGAAUGUGCUUCAAAUGAUUGUUGAUGAUAAUCUUAAUGAUAGUUCGGGUGAAGCCUAUAAGUUAAGGAGAGAAAUACAAUCUUUUGAGUUUGUGUUUCACUUAUUUGUAAUGAAAGCUAUAUUGGGAAUAACAAACACUUUGUCUCUAGCAUUGCAAAAGAAAGAUCAAGACAUUGUGAGUACAAUGAAUUUAGUGAAAACAUGCAAGGAAAACCUGCAGUUGAUGAGGGAUAAUGAGUUUGAAGAAUUGGUUGGGCAAGCAUCCUCGUUUUGUUACAAAUAUGAUAUUAUAGUUCCUACCAUGGAUGAGGAAUAUGUAAUUCCAGGGAGAUCAUGGCGUAAUGCUCCAAUGAAGACAAAUUAUCAUCGUUAUCGUGUGGAGAUCUUUAUUCAUGUAAUUGAUGGGCAACUUGCGGAAUUAAAUGAUCGCUUCAACGAGGUAAGUACUGAGUUACUUACUUGUUUGGCAUGCUUGAGUCCAAAAAAUAACUUUGUGACUUUUGACAAACGAAAGCUAGUUCGUCUUGCUCAAUUUUAUCCUUAUGAUUUUUCGGAUAGAGACUUAUUGAUGCUUGAAGAUCAACUUGGUGUUUAUGUUCAUCAUAUGCGUUCGAGUAGUGAUUUUUCUCAAUUGGAAGGGAUUAGUAGUCUUGCGGAAAAAAUGGUGGAGAAAGGAAUGCAUGAAAUAUUUCCUUUUGUAUUUGCUUCUUACAUUGGCUUUGGUUUUACCGGUUGCAACUGCAUCAGUGGAGAGGGCAUUUUCCGCUAUGAAUAUUAUUAAAAAUCCACUUCGCAACAGAAUGGGAGAUCAAUGGUUGAAUGAUAGCUUGCUUGUUUACAUUGAGAGAGAUGUUUUUGCUUGUAUUGAUAACGAAAUUAUAAUGCAAUGUUUUCAGAAUAUGAAAACUCGUCGUGGACAAUUGUAACUUGUAUUAUUGGUUUUGUUAUGAAUUAUGAAUGAAAGUACUAUCUUUCUAUCUUUUUAGCAUUAUUUUCUUUGUAGAAAAAUUUCAGAACUUUUACACUAAGCCCCCUUGGCUACAUAAUCCUGGAUCCGCCACUGCUUUUGACCACUUUAUCACCUAUGUAUCACCACUUUAUAACCUAUUUGGGGAACAUAGGUCAGUUAUGGACGGUUUUACCCUUACAUUUGACGGCAACAUUAACAUAAUGUAACAGUGGGAUCAAUGGAGUGAUUAAUAUAAAGUUGAUGGACCAUUUGAAUGAAUAAUUUAAUUGAGAGACCAAAAUGUAAAUCAAGUAUAAGUUUGAGGACCAUUUGAGUAAUUUACCCUUCGCUUUUAUAUUUGUUGAACUUUUAUUUAUGAUAGAUAUGCAUUUAAGGGUAAGACCCAUUAUGUUCCCCUGGCUAGGUGUAUCUUUUUAUGUUUAUUAAUGAAAUUCACUCGAACUGUUGAGUUUAGUAUGUAAGUUUUGCCUAACUGGCUUUUGAAUCCUAGAACCGCCACUGUUGCUCCAUCCUCCAUGCACUUGCAUGUGCUCUUACAAAGUGUGAAGUAGAUUUUGUGUGCUCCAAGUCAUUGACUAGAGCUGAAACAUGGUUAGCUAGAUUUAUAAGGACCCAUCUCUUUAUUUCCUAGACAUAUACCCAUCUCUCUAUAAAUCUAUAUGUAAAACCUAAUUUCAAACUUAAAUGACCAGUAGGAUAUAAAAGGUCAUAGUAUUCCUAUGUUUUUAUAUCGUUGCCACCAGACUUCUUAUUUUAUUUAUAAUUUAUUUCAAGCAUUUCAUUAACUGCCAUAAUUGUAAUUAAUACUCCAUAUUAAUAGCAUAUCAAUCACCCCAUUUCUUUUGGUUGCCAUUCCCUCUAACAUAUCGCCCCUUAAAUUUGAAAACCAAAAAAAAAAAAUGUAAAUUACAUAUCCAAUAAUGUACCUAUGAAAAAUAUAAAUAUAAAUAUAUACAUAUAAAAAUAUAGGUAUAUUAUUUACCAAAUAGAAAAUAUAAAAACCUAGGUCAGUUGCUUUGUAAUUGAAAUUUCUGUACAUUUUCCACAAAUUAAAAAUAGGUACAUAAUAAUUUAUAGAAAAUAUAUGUACAUUAUUUAUCCAUAGGUAAAAAUACCGAUAAAUGCACAUAGGUGAAUUAUUUACCAAUAUAUUAUUUUUUUGCUAAGGAUUUACCUUAGUUUUUAGUAGAUUAAUUUACCUACCUAGAGGCAUAGGUAGCUUAAAAAAAAUGUACCACCUUAGUUGGUUGCAUACUAAUUUACCUACCUAGAGGCAUAGGUUGCUAAGAAAAAAUGUAGGUAAAUUCAUGUACCUAAACACAUAGGGGUCAAAUAGAGAAUAACAUGUUAUUUCCCUUUGAACAAAUUAAUUUCAAACCAUAACAAUUAUUGAAUUUGGAAAUUGGUAUAAAUAAAAGGAAAUAAAUAAACUAUCAAUUUGAAAAUUAAAAUAAGAAAUGAUCAAGUAGUCAUAUUUGAAAAAAAAGGAAAGAAUAUAUUCUUGGUUUUUAUAGGAACAACGAGUAUAUUCAAACCAAACGGCGAUAACUACACCAAGCUUUAAUUACUUUUUUUUAAGGCCAAAAGUCACUUUUGGUCCCUGUAGUUCGGCAUUUCUACCACUUUUGAUGUUGUAGUUUCAAUUCCGUCAAUUUUGCCAUUGUAGUUUCGUAUUUGUAGCAAUUCAAGGACCUGUUAAUAUUAAUGUCAAUUUGUUUAAUGAUGCAAGAGGUAAUUUCGUCAUCCCAAAAUCCUUGAGCAUAAAAGAUUGUCUGAAAUUCUCCCCAUUUCAUAUUAGGGCUCGAAAUUCAACCACUAAUCCUAAUUUUUGAAGAACCCUAGACCCAAAUGACCAAUUUCAAGCCCUAAUAUGAAAUUACGGAAGUUUUAGAUGAGCUUUUAUGCUCAAGGAUUUUGAGUUGAAGAAACUGCCCCUUGCACUGUCAAAUAAAUUGACAGGAAUACUGACUUGUCCUUGAAUUGCUACAAAUACAAAACUACAGUGUCAAAAUUAACAGAAUUUAAACUAUAGGGUCAAAAGUAGUUGAAGUGUCAAACUAUAAGGACCAAAAGUGACUUUUAGCCUUUUUGUUUCAAUAAGGAAAAAACUGACCUAUUAAAUCCUUGGAAUCUAUACAAAAUUGAAACACAAUUAAUCAACAUUGAAUUGCAGCUAAUUUCUUAAACAAGGGUAUUAUAGGAAUUUAAAAAGUAUAACAUUUAAUCCAUUGAAUUUGAUUAGGAAACUUGAUGAAUUGAAUCCUAGUUAUAUAGUUUUUCUUAUAAAAAUCAGGUUUUAUUUAUAGACAAAUAAAACAAUGGGUUGUAGGUAAGAAAAUAUUAAUUUGAAGGGAAAGAGUCAAAUUUACUAAAUUAAUAAAGCAUAAAUUGGAAAGGGAAAAGAUCUAGAGGAUGCAUUGUAGGAUUGCUCAUGCCAAUAAUUGCACCCUCUCGAUAUUGAAAAACCUAUUGUUUAUUAUUAUCUUCAAUCCUGAAUGAUGCACCUAAAACCCAAGUGUCUCAGGCCAACCAUUGCGCUCAUACCACUUGUUGCAGUACACAUUCACCUGUUUUUAAAGAAAGAAAUUCUACCAAUCGAUAUUUUCUCAAAUUUAAUCACAUAGAUCUAUUAUGGUUAACCAUAUGUACUUUUAUCUGCCAUCCAGAGGUACCUUUUUCCAACGUGCAACAAUUGUAUUUGAUUCACAAUUAUGUCUGAUAUACAUCACAUCAUGCCACUUGCCUCAAAUGAAUUUAAUUGAGUGAGGCAAUGGGAAGUAAUUAAGCUCUAUAUUGGUGGGUGGAGUGUUACUUCUGGAACCCUCAUCAUUCGUCCAUACAGGGGAACAAUUCCCUUCCUUCUAUAAAAUGGGAGCAAUUCUCUCACUGUACUCUAUAUAAAGGAAUAAGUGUCGUCCACUAAUUAAUUACACUUUGUGAGAUUUGAUUUUAAUUAGAGUUCGAAUUAAUGUUGCAGCUAGCAGCGGUGGCACUGGCAAACCAUGCUGCUCAACCAGCACCUCCACUUUACUGGAAUUCCAUCCUGCCAAACACACAAAUGCCAAGAGCUAUCAGUGAACUUCUGCAUCCUGAUUUGUGUUGAAUAGAUAUAGUAUGUUACUGGAGUACGUAUGGCAACAUAUUCACAAAUGUGUCACGUAUUUUCCAUUAUGACGUUGAUAUAUAAUUGCAGACUCCACAAACGAAGAAAAGAGCACAAAUGUCAUGAAUGCUGUUGGGAAUGGAAAGCCAAUUGACCACAAGGGCAAACCUGAAAAUACUGUACUACCACAGCUUGCACGACGCCCAUUUUCUUACAAGAGUGAUGAUCGUCCCACUGACAAUCAACUCCAUUAUAAAAACGUAGCUAUUUUCUUCUUGGAGAAGGACAUGCGCCCUGGCACAACAAUGAGCUUCCAAUUCCCUAGAAAUUCAAACACGGCUACUUUCCUGCCACGAGAAAGAGCUCAAUCGAUCCCCUUCUCCUCUAACAAACUACCAGAAAUUUUCAACCAUUUUUCAGUGAAGCCAACAUCUGUGGAAGCCAAAACAAUUAAGCAAACAAUCGAAGAGUGUGAGGCUCCAGGCAUUAAGGGAGAGGAAAUAUAUUGCGCCACAUCUUUAGAAUCAAUGGUUGAUUUUAGCACUUCGAAGCUUCGAACAAGAAACGUUCAAGCAAUCUCGACGGAGGUAUUGGAAAAAGGUGCCACCAUGUCCAUGCACAAGCACACAACAAUGCCGGGACUGAAGAAGUUGGCAGGUGUCAAAGUCGUUUUGUGUCAUAAGCAGAACUAUCCCUAUGCUGUGUUUUACUGCCAUGUAAUAAAACCAACAGCAGCUUAUGUUCUCUCCCUGAAAGGCGAUGAUGGGGUGAAAGUUAAAGCAGUAGCCAUCUGCCAUCUAGACACAUCAGAAUGGAACCCAAAGCAUUUGGCCUUCCAAAUCCUCAAAGUUAAGCCCGGAACAAUUCCCAUCUGCCAUUUCCUUCCCACUGAUCAUAUUGUCUGGGUUCCGAACCACAAAUCUGCAUGAUCAUCACUUAGCACUGUACGUAUAAUAACCUUUACCCCUGUAUAAUUAUCUCCCUACUCUACUUAUUUCUGCCUCUUCAUGUGGUGUAAGAUAUAUGAUGAGAUGAAGUUUUUGGGAUUAGUGGUCGGGUUGCCUUAAAAACACAGAUUACAGAAACUGCUUGAACUUAACCCGAUCAUGUUUUCUCUUGUACUCGUAAAGCAUGCUGUUGUGGUUCUACUUAAUUUCGUCCUCCCCAAUGUUUGAGUGUUUAAUUGUUACGUUGGAAUAGGCUGCUAAUGCAUGUAGUUAGAGAAGCUUUCAUUUAUAUCAAAGUCCUCAAACUAUCAAGAAUUAAUGCAUCCAGAAACAUAUAUACCAAGACGCAAAACAACAUAUUUUCCAUGCUGUGUCGGUAACACCAAAGCAAACUUCCUUUAUCACAAAAGGACCAAAUUCCAAUACUAAUCUAAUCCAUCAUGUAAAGCAUACAAUCUACAACUGCCUCCCUAAAUUUGUCCAUUGGAUAUAUAUGUCACUUUUUGGUAAUUUGGUAUAGCAGCACCACGUAGUAUGCAUUUAACAGAAAAGUAAACAAAAUUGACAGUAGAACUAUUUGUCCUAACGAAACUGAAGUUGAAAGACCAUGAGAACGAUUUUGAAAAUUAAGGGACUCAAAUGAAAAUUGGGUCUAAGUUCAGGGACCAAUAAAACGAUUAACCCAUAGAUUUUGGAUCCAGUACCACAUCCCAAAGAGAAAACCACAAGUUUGCAAGCAAGUUUGUCCAUACUAACACUACGUACAGUAUGGGCAAUGUGCUAGACUCAUCUCACUUUCUCAACCUAUCCUAUACUUGUCUAAAAGAGUUUCUAAUUUAAUGUACUGAGAUUUACGAAAGAAAUAUCAGAGAAACAAUUUUCAGGCAAUAAAAAAAUGUCUUGGCAAGAAAAUGCACAAUUUGUUACAUAACUUAUUAAAUAUGAACAGUUGAAAGAAAAAAGAAUUUGGAUGAGGGAUUUGCAAAUUCCUAUGGCCCAAUUACCUUUUUUUCUUUGUUUUUUUUUGGUUCUUUUGAUCCAGUAGCAUAUUCCAAAGAAUGAAAACCACAGGCAUGCAAUGCAAGCUCUUUUCCCAUGUUUUCCUCUGUUUUUCUCCUAUCAUGGAAGUGAUUAAAACACACCUCUAAGCUUGUUUUGCGUUUGGUAGCCGAGUGUAAAAGCUCAAUGCAAGAUAGUUUGAGGUAGAAUUUUCUCCUGUUUUAUUAGGACAAUGAUGAGCUAUAUGUGACAACAAAUUGCUUUAAUAAUGAAAAUUAAAAAAGUGUGAUUCAUUGAAUAUUUGCGGGGUUUUGUUCAGAGCUGACAAAGUUCUAAGUCAACACAUCAAAUUCCUUUUUCCAACAAUCGUAUUUGAUUCACAAUUUUGUCUGAUAUACAUCACAUCAUGACACUUGCAUCAAAUGAAUUUAAUUGAGUGAGGCAAUGGGAAGUAAUUAAGCUCUAUAUUGGUGGGUGGAGUGUUACUUCUGGAAUCCUAAUCAUUCGUCCCUACAGGACUCUAGAACUCUCACACUUCUUACAAGGACUACUUAACUCUAUAGCUUAUUGCAUAUAGCAUAUAUAUGCAAACCCAAUUAGAAAUUCUACAACAGAAGCAAGAUCAAUCUCACUAUGCCUUCUAAACAAACAAACAAAUAAAACAAGCAUAUUAAUUGCUUUAAUCACUCUACUAACAUCAACACAGCACACUUAGUUUACUAACAGAUGAUAUAGAAAGGAAAAAAAAGGACCAAUAGGGAGAAAAUGGUGAACUAAGGAGAGACUAAUACUUCUGGUCCUUAGAAGGCAUAACAGAAAUAAUAGAGCACACUGCUUGAAUGCAAGUCAGUAUUAGGAGCAAAACAGCUGCAAUGAAAGAAAUAGUUGCCCAAGGUGUAUUGAAAUAAUGUUGCCUCAAAUUUGCCUUCCAUUUGUUCCAAGGCUUUCUGCAGUAGCUAUUAAGGCGCUCAGAAAGAGUAGCAAAGUAGAAGCUUUCACGAUACACUGCAAUUCCUUUUCCGAGGUUGUUAAUCAGAGUGCACACCUCAUUGUAGUCACCAAGCAUAUUUUUGACAAUCCCAUACUUCAGAAGGAACUCCACAUCCUUUUCGGUGUUCACAAACUCAUCCAUGAGUGAAACAUAAUCACUUAUGUAAUUCUUACGGCAAUGGCACUAUUCAAAGGCAAUGAGGUUAUGGAGUGUGAGCUCUGUGUAAUCGUUUAUUUUUAGUUUUGGAAUUUCUAGAAUCCCAUCGUUGAAUCGUGUUAACGCAGCUUUCCUUUCCUAGCCUACGCGGAAGUCAACUUCACAAUCUCCUCCUAGCAAUUAGCCUUUCCUACUGUAAAUCGGAUUGUAUUCAUGUCUAUAUUAUUUCCUACCUUAAAUAGAUAUCCUGUACUAGUAUACAUAGGGACUUUGUGUAAUCUGUUAAAUACAAGGAAAUAUAUACUCUACAUGGUAUCAACCUAACCUAGGGUUCUCUCUCUCCCCCUUAUUCGAUCCUCUUCUCCUUUAGGUCCACCUCAUGGCUUCGUUUGAAUCCACCAUCUCCCUCCCAAGCCCUAACUCUUCUCAUUUUAUCAAGCUUACUAACUCCAACUAUCUUCUUUGGCUCCGCCAACUCAAACCCUUUUAGUUGGCCAUGACCUCUGGAAAUUUAUCGAUGGCAUUCAUAAACAACCUUCUGCCCACACCUCCACCUCUACCACCACAACACCCACAACCACCACCACUCUUACCGAAAUCAAUCCUACCUAUGCUCAGUGGUACCAACAAGACCAACUCAUUGUUAGCUACAUCACCAGUACACUCUCUGAGUCCAUUUUCUCUCUCACUGUCGGUUGCAUCUCUGCCCGGGAUCUCUGGGAGUGUCUCCAAUGCCACUUCUCUUAAUCCAAUAUGGCCAGUGAAUCUGCUCUUCGUUUUCAACUCAUGGAUUUGCAAAAAGGCUCUCAACCCAUUGAUGCUUACCUUCGUCAUGCUAAGUCUCUUGCCGAUUCACUAGCUGCCAUCAAUUAACCUGUCUCCCCAAAAGAACUUGUCACUGCUGUGCUUCGGGGUUUAGGACCCGAUCACAAAAUGCUCAUCACAGCAAUUCUCAAUUUCUCUCCGCUUCCAGACUUUGCUGAUCUUCGUGCUCGUUUGUUAGCUUUUGAUGCACAGACUCCUCGAAUCUUUCCUGAUCAAAACACAACGCUAAUGGCCACCCAAUCUUCUCCUUACACCACCGGUCAUACUUCCUUCCCUUCUCACCGUGGUUGUGGCUCUUCCAGCAAUAGGCGCGGUGGCUGGUGCAGUAUUGGCCGUGGUGGCUGGCACAACUUCUCAUCUUCCUAGAGCAACCCGUGGAAUGGCUUCCAGCAGCCCUAAUGACCUAAUCAACUGUGGCCUCCUUUUGCUCUAAGUUUUGGAUCUCAAAGCAACUGGCCUUCCUUUCAACCUCUUUGGGCCCAAUCUGCCGCUUCUAGCAAACACUCUGCCCGACCCAACUCAGCUCCUGGUGUCUUGGGACCCGCUUGGUGCACCACAUGCAAUACCAAUCGACAUACUACUACAACAUGUCCUUAUUGCUACAAUGGCCCAGAAUUCUUCCUUUGCUGGGGCUCAAUUCAUGCAGCCACCUAACUCUACAUGGUACCCUGACACAAGUGCCACUCAUCAUAUGACUGGUAGUUCUUCUAAUCUCCAAAGGAAAUUAAAUGAAGGAGUCCUACGAAGGCUCAAGGCUCGAAAGCACACGAUCCGGCUCUGCUGCGGAGCUCACUCAACUACUGGCUGAGGGGGCGCAAAACAGAAAAUUGUGAGUGGACAAAAAUAAAAAUUCAGUUCAGUGUAAACCAACGUAAUAUAACCCCACCGUUUAGAAAACCAUGCAAGAAAUCCAAAUGCAUCUCAAAACCAUCAUAAUCAUCAAAUCAAAAUCAAAUACUGGAUGCCAAGUCCGAAAUCCAUAAAGAAAGCUUUACAAACCCACCAUCCAAAUCUUACAAUCCCACAACUAAACUCUCGAAAGCGUACCCAUUGGCAGUACCAGCAAGGAAGUAUCCUCACCGAGAAACAAGAACAAAAGAAUAGCUAUAUAUAUAAUUAUAUAAUAUAACCACACCUAGUUGUACCGGGAAAACAAUCCAACCGGGGGAUUGUUUGACUAGUCACCAUGGCAGAGUCAAAGUAAACAAAUUCCUCAAUUCACCAUGUGACUAGGGAACGAGCUGUCCAACUGGGGGACCAACUCUCAGCCAGCAUGUACCGUCGAUAGCCUCAAAACCCGUACGUCUGUGACCAGUCCUACGCGUGCAGACUACCCAAUCAAGGGUUUACAGCAACAUCCCAUCAAGGAUGCCCUAGGUUCCCACAAUUCCAAGUAUCUCAAGUUUGCGUAUCCAAGUUCCAAAUCCGGGGAGGUACAUAGGGUAGUGCUUAUAGCACUCCAAAUUGACAUUCUAUACUCAUCACUUUCCACAAUCUCAUCUCAACAACCUAAGUACCCCACACAUAGCCAAACAUAUAUAGAAAUUCUCAAAAUCCAUAUAUACAUACUCAAGAUACUCAAAUAUGUCAAAAUCCAAAAUAUAUUUCCAAUGCAUCAUAAAAAUAUCACUUUUAACAAUUGAAUAAAUAAUAUAUAUCCAAUAUACCAAUUAAAACAUCAUGCAUAAUAUUUCCCAUCAUAAAAUCAUGCAUAAGAUUUGAAAACAAAGUCCACUCACAAGUAGUCCCACACUGCUUGACCUUGAGAGGGUCCCGCCUACUGCGUAUGCGUGGUUGGAGUACCUAUUUCAGAAUACGUAUACGAGAUUAAUAAGAAGCGUUUCGAACGAGAACUUUGAAUUAAAUAUCCUAAUUUCCCAGGUUUCUAGUAAGUGUACUAGGAACGAGACGUUCUAAGGUUCCACUACCCAAUUCGAACCAUGGAAGAGCUUCGGGAGACACUCGGUCAACCGGCGGUCAAAUUCCCAAAUCGGGUCAACUGGCCCACGGGACCCACGACCUCCGUUUUUAAAAUCCGUAAGUUCCUAAAGGUUUCACAAUGUCUAAGAUACUACUAUCACAAGUUUGGUCCGAAACGGACUGUUAGAUCGCUUACGAUCGCACGAUCAGACGGUUAUUGUAAAACGUAAACUUUAAGUUAUUGAAUCAGAACAUCCGGGGCUCCGAUUCACGAUCCGCGAAUUCCUACACGAUCCUAGGAAGGUCUAGAGUAACAUAUAUUGGAAUGGAGUCGAUCCAAAGGUCCGAACAUAUCGAACCUAGACCGGAUAACUCCUAAUAUGUGAGAUUCGUUCGGGGUUCGAACAUCAACCAAAUUGGAAUCCUAAGGUACCUACGUGCUCGUGACAUUAAGGGGAUCAAUUGGGACAAAAAUGCCCCUCUGCUACAGUGCCCACGUGCCACCACACGCGGCGGUAGAGAGUGGGUGUCCAAAGCGAUUUCUCUUCGCCGGAAAAUCUCCAAAUUACAAGCCACUCUCCUGGCUACAGGUUCUACUCAACGAGUGGAACACUUUAUUCAACUACAGCCAAGUCCAAUUCGGACGGCAAGUGGCCGGAAACUCACGGUUUAACCCGGAACUUCAUGGCUUGGAUUGGGCGACCAUCGUCACCAUUGUCGUGGCACAACCUAGGAAAUAGCUAAAAGGAGAGGAGGGCUACCUAUUCCAAGCGAUGGCGCAGCUCGCGGUAGCCGAAAAUGUAGCCGAUGACGUUGGCAGUUUUGGCCGGUUUUUCACGUCGUUGCCAUCGCCGUUUGUCGAGUUUUCGAUUGGAGAAAAGGGGUGGGGUGAGUAGAGGAGGAAGAGAGGAAGCUUUUGCAAGAAAUGACACUUGUCAGGGAGGGGGGGGUUGGGGGAAGAGAGAGAGAGAGAGAGAGAGAGAGAGAGAAAAAAAAAAAAUUUCAGAUUUUCAUCCAAACCCUUUUCGAAAUAUUUACAAGUUUGCCACUAAACUACUUUUGGUUGCCAAAUCUUCGUUAUAACUCCGAUUCAAGCCUACCACGUGUCUACGGAUUCGUCUCAAUACAACCUACCCAAAAAUACCAGUCACUGCCCCAAACUCUUUUUGGGUAAGAAAAUGACCAAAAUACCCCUACCCCAAGGGUAAAUUCAUAAUUUCACUUCAAUAAUUUAAUAAAGAAUUAAAUUUGGAGUCGGGGUGUUACAUUAACUACCUGUUUAGUAGGUGUGGGGUUUUAUACAAAAAGCAUCGAUGUUAUUGGGAGUGGAACCACUUAUUAUAAGUUGUGAUUUAUUUAGUCAAGUUUCCUAUGUGGGAUUUUCUAUUCUUCAACAAGCCCCCUCAUGUGGGACCACCACAUAGUGGGCCACAUGUAAAGCUAAGUCCACAUCGGAGUCAAUCAUUCAAGCCCAAUACCUAAACACCACGUAUUGUGUGAGGGGUAGGGGUAAACAUUCAAGCCCAACAUGUGAACCACCAAAUAUUAAGUAAGGGUAAAGGCUCAAUUCAGGCCCAAUCAAUGAACCCAUUAUGAUAUCAUGUUAAAUUUCAGAUAGACGGGACUGUGGCCCACCACUAGCAACAUUGAUAUUGUCCCCAACUUAACUACAUGUUUAGUAGGUGUGGAGUUCUAUACAUAAGGUCUCGAUGUUUUUAGGAGUGGAACCACUUAUUAUAAGUUAUAAUUUAUUUAGUCAAGUUUCCAGUCAACCUGACUUUGAUACCAUGUUAAGAUUUUAAAGGGACGAACUCUUGGCACUAUUAGUAACAUCGACAUUGUCCCCAACUUAACCACCUGUUUAGCAAGUGUGGGGUUUUAUCCUAAAGGCCUCGAUCUUAUUAAGAGUUGAGUCAUUUAUUAUAUGGAACUUUCUAUUUUGUUAACUCUGUGUAUUCUUCAUCAAUGUGAACACCCCUAAACCAAUCAUACCUGAUACGAAUUGAAACACAAGUUUGUUUUUUGCCUUUGGUAGAUGAGUAGCUAGAAAAGCUCAAUGCACUUGCUCUUCUGCUACAUUUCAAUAUAAGAACAAGGUUUGGAAGUCAGGUCAACUCCUCAUAGCUUCCUUGCCUUUGCUUUGACAUGUCUAUGCACUUCUUGGGGAAGUUUGAAUAAUCCAUUGCAGGCCCCAUGACAACUAAGGAACCAACAUUUUGUAGAAGGUUUUGUCUAUACCUUUUGACUAUAAGUAAAAUCUUUUGUAUCUGCUCUUAUGUUUCGGUGAAGUUUCUAUGUGUCCUUUGUGCCGAGUUUCUAUGCGUCCUUUGUUGAACCAAAAAAUGAGGUUGUUUCUUACUAGAUUCAAAUACUUAAAAGAAAAAAAGAAAUUGUUGUUUCUUAAUGGAUUUUAUGAUGAACAAUAUCAAACUCUCCUCUUAUACGUCUGUUGGUAAAUUUUAACAACAAUAUUAAAACCUUGCAAGUGCACAAAUCAAAUGAUAGUAUAGUAAGCAAGCAAGGGUCGAUCCCACGGAGAUUGUGAUCUAAAGAGAUGUUUAUCAAUGUCACGCAAUGAAAAUCAAAACAAAGGACUUCCAAACACACGCCAACACCAAGGGGGGUUUUGAUUUGUUUUUGUGAAUCAAACAAAAUAAGGAAAAGGAAACAAAAGAGAAUUUAAAUUAGAGUUUAAGAGAAAUUGGUUUAAAAUCAAUCAAGAUCAAUAGCUAGGACUUACUAUCCACCUCCAAACAAUCAAUCAAUCCAUAAACAACAAUAGAUAAUCAAUUUCUAGUAAGCACACUACUACAAAAAAGCAAAAAGACGACGGUAAAUCACCGUCGUGUAUUCGGUUUUUCAAUGGUCGUGGAAUCCACCGUCAUCUUUUCCCUCAUAAACCACGACGCUAAAUCACCGUCGUUGUUACAAUAUACAACGUCAUCAACAAAUACAAAACGACGUCUUUGUACUGCAAAAAGAUCUAAAAAAGCAAUCGAUGAUGAGAAAAGACGACCAACUCUCUAAACAAACCGUCGUUAAAAAGAAAAAAUAUGACACAUAUUAACAGAACAUGGCCGCAAGAUAGACAUACAACGACGAAAAUUAAAAUAAGACGCCGUUAAAUAUCAUUUUCACGACAAUAAAAAAUAUGUCGUCUUUAAAUACAUUAGAAGACGACGUUAUUGAUACCUACUACGUCGCCUAUAUAAAAAUAACCGUCGUAAAAUAAAUUUUCCACUUCGAUUUUUCUAUAAAAGAUGACGUGGAAAUAGUUGUCAGUGUCAUUAUUUACGACGUAUGUAUUUAUAGAGUAGACGUUGAACAACGAAACAACGUCGGUUACAAAUAUAUGAGAGUCGUAUUACAAAAUUUAUACGUCCUAUUUUCAGAAACAAACAACGACGAUAAAUAUUAGACGUUGUUAAAUAAAACAACGUCGAAAACAAAUAAAAACAGACGUGUUUAGUCUGCUAAAGUUCUAAAAAAUAGUCGAGGAUGAGAAUAGACGACCAACUCAAACAAAUCACCGUCGUUAAAAAGGAAAAAUAUGACACAUAUUAAAAGAACAAGGCCGCAAGAUAGACAUACAACGACGACAACUAAAACACUACGCCGUCAAAUAUAAUUUUCACGACAAGAAAAAAUAUGACGUCUUUAAAUACAUGAGAAGACGACGUUAUUGAAAUAUACUACGUUUCUUAUUUACAAACAACCGUCGUGAAAUAAAUUUUCCACUUCGAUUUUUCUAAAAAAGAUGAUGUGGAAAUAGUUGUCAGUGUCAUUAUUUACGACGUAUGUAUUUAUAUAGUUGACGUUGAAAUGCGAAACAACGUCGGUGGCAUUUAUAUAGUCGACGUUGUAUUUAUAUGUAUUCAUUACUCACGACGCACUUAUUAAUAUAGACGACGUUGAACUUCUAAACAACGUCGGUUCCAAAUAAAUGAGAGCCGUAUUACAGAAAAUAUAGAUGGCGUUGAUUAUGAUGAGAGCCGUAUUACAAAUAACGUCGUUUAAUUGAUAUUAGACGGCGGUUAUAAUGAAUUACCGUCGGAAUUCAUUUCGUUCCUCUUCGUUUAUAAAAGAACUUGCGACGUGGAAAAUGUAUGAUGACGUCGUAUUUUUUAACGUUCAGAUUAUAUAUCUCGUUUUUUAGACGUCGGUAUUAUGGGAUUGGAGUCGUGUUAUUUUGAAUUACAUGGCGGUUCUUAAUCCUUCCCCGACGUGAUAUCCUGAAUAAUUGCUUCAUAAUAGCGUCGUGGUUCUUCAUUGUUACGUUGCUUUAAGACGUCGGUAAAUAUGCUGAAUAACUGGUUCACAAUAACGUCGUGUUUUAUUUGAACGUAGAAAGUGAAGAAAUCACAUUACAAUAUAUUACAAAAUUAAUGUCAUACACUGCCAAUUACAUAAGCAUCAUUCAAUCCAUAUAUCUUCACACCCAUCUCGAAUAUUUUGACCGCCUAACUCACCCACCAGUUCAUCAAAUGUGUCAACAUUUGGCAUCCCUCUAGUAAAUGGCUCACACUCAAUUAUCACAUCACCUAAGACUUCAUCACCAAUAACAUUAUUAUAUUCUCUAUUAGGCAUUGAUAACACUACCGACCAACCACGAUGCAUCGGGUCGUCAACAAAAAAUAUUUGUUUGACUUGAGAAGCCAAAACAAAUUGGUCAUUCCUAUGUCCAAUUUUACUCAAAUCUACAAGGGUAAAUCCAAGUUCGUCGACUACAAGACCAGAACUAUCUAUCCAAUCACACCUAAAGACUGGGAUUGUAAACUUUUGGUAGUCAAGGUCCCAAAUUUCUUGAAUGACACCAUAGAAACCCAUAUUUGAGAGAAUUGAGUUUUUAUCCUUGGCACUAGCAACUUGCAUGGUAUGUGCAAGUAAAUAAACUCCACUAUUUUGAGUUGUCCGCACAUCAUCUUGUGCCUUGAUAUUGAAUUUAAUACCUUUAAUAAGAUAGCUCCUAUAUAAUGGCACAGCCAUGUUUGGACCAGCUGCUAGCCACCUUAAAUUUUCUGAUACGCCAUGAUUGUCUUCCUCAAGUUCACUUUGAACCUGCAAAUUAAUCAUAUAUCUUAAUGCAAUCUAACAUAGAAAUAAGAAGAAAAUUAAAAGAGAAAUAUGUUAUUCAACAACAUAUACCUUGAAGCGUAGCCAUUGAAUGAAAGUGUUAUUGUGCUUAUCCUGCAGCCACUUUGUGAUUUAAGGUAUGACAAUCAUGUGAUUUAAGGCCAAGAAGUCUUGAAUCUUGUAAAGAUACAAGAUUUUUAAUAUUUGAAGAAUAACCUUCAGGGACCUUCAUACCAUAGAAAGAAUUGCAAACCUCUCUCUUCUCUGCUCUUGACAAAUUCCAAGGCCCAGGAGGCAAACGAGUACGUCUUUCUCCAUACUCGGGUUGCAAAUCAGUUUUGACCCCCAUGUUCAAUAAAUCUAAUCGAGCAGCAAUCCCAUCUUUAUUUUUUCCAGGGAUCUCCAGCAAUGUACCAAUGAUACUAUCGCAAACAUUCUUCUCAAUGUGCAUAACAUCUAGGGCAUGCCUCACAGGAAGGUAUUUCCAAUACUCGAGAUCAAAGAAUAUUGAUUUCUUCUUCCAACAAACUCUGUCACCAUUUUCAACCAUGUGCAGCACUUCUUCUCCGGUUAAUGGCUCGGGAGGUAUGCCAUAUUCAGGUUUCCCAUUAAAAGCUGCACGUUGCCUCCUAUAUGGAUGAUUGAUUGGUAACCAUUUUCUAUGCCCAAUGUAACAAAUUUUGUGGCCAUUUUCAACCUGUGACUAGGUGUAUCAUCGCCGCAUAUUGGACAAGCUUUAUAUCCUUUAACAACACAACCAGAUAAGUUUCCAUAGGCGGGGAAAUCAUUAAUUGUCCACAUUAAUGCAGCUCUGAGUGUAAAGUAUUCUCCAUUAUGUGCAUCAUACACUCCUCUAAUCCCAUCCCACAAAGAUUUUAAAUCAUCAAUCAAAGGCUCCAAGUAGACGUCUAUAUCAUUUUCGGGUUGUUUAGGACCGGAAAUCAAUAAGGUUAACAUCAUGAACUUUCGUUUCAUGCACAGCCAUGGAGGGAGAUUAUAUGUAACUAAGAUAACCGGCCAACAACUAUAUCUGCUACUUAGAGAACUGUGGGGAUUGAAUCCAUCAGAUGAAAGAGCCAAUCUCAAGUUUCUCGGCUCAUUACCAAACUCAGGCCAUUUAUCAUCAAGAAGUUUCCAAGACGGGGAAUCCGCCGGAUGAGACAUCUGACCGUCAAUUGAUUUUCUAGCAGCAUGCCAAGUCAAACUCUUAGCUGUCUCAUGUGAUUGAAACAUCCUUUUAAACCUUGGAAUUGGAGGAAAAUACCACACCACCUUCGCUGGCACAUCCUCUUUCAAGAUUGAAUCUUUGCCUUCCUUCCACCUUGAGAUACCACAAGUAGGACAAUUAGUUGAAUCCUCAUACUCCUUCCUAUACAAGAUGCAAUCAUUGGGGCAUGCGUGCAUUUUCUCAUAACUCAGCCCCAAUGCACACAAAGUCUUUUUUGCCUCAUACAUAGAGGUUGGUAUUGUAUUUCCUUCUGGAAGCAAAUCGCCUUGAAGUAUCAAUAAUUCUGUAAAACAGACAUCACUCAUCCCAUGUUUUGCCUUCAAAUUAUACAACUUCACUAAUGCCGAUAACUUCGUGUACUUUCUACAACCAGGGUACACUGGUUGAUCUCCAUCCCCAAUCACAUUGGCAAACUCAUACGGAUCGGAACCAAAAUCACCAAAAUCAUUAUCAUCCAUAUCAAUUUCUUCAGACACAAAACUGUACCUACUAUGGCCAUCAUCUUCUUCAACAUUUCUACUAGCAUUAGUAGUUGCUUCCCAAGGUUCUCCGUGAAAUGUCCAAUUCUUAUAGCUUUGGUCAAUUCCAUUAAAGUAUAAGUGAUCCCUUAUAAUUCCAACCCCAAACAACUUCAAAUUAACACAUUUAACACAUGGACAACGGAUAUGUGUUGUAGUUAGAAGAUUUUCUACAGCAAAGUUCAAAAAUGCUUCCACCCCAAACUCAUAUGCCUUCGAUCUUCUAUCCGAGUGCAUCCAUGACUUAUUCAUCUCCGACACUAUAACCUAUUAUCUAUAAUAAAGUGAAAAUACAGGCAAUGACCAUCACUAUAGCAGAUUAUACAAAGAUCUAAUAGCAAGUAAUACAUAACAGAGACGACGGGUUUUAAACAAAAACAGACGUAUUUGGCAUAUAUAGACGACGGAUUUUCAACAGACGUCGUCUAAUAUAAGUAAUACAAACGACGGUUUAUGAAAAAACCGUCGUGUAUAAGUAAUACAACGACGGUUUUUUCAUAAACCGUCGUGUAAUCGUCGUCGUAUGCCUAAAAAGGCGUCGUGUCUCAGUUUAUUUUCAAGAACCCAAAACCCAUUAAGAACACAACAUAUAUAUGAAACCAAGCAAGAAACCAACAUAUACAUGAAGCCAAGCAUGAAAACAAUAAAUCCAUUCCCAAUUCAACAUAACAUAGGGUGAUUAAAAGAUCCGACAAAAUUAAAACCAUUCCCAAUUCAACAUAACAGAUAAUGUAAUCCAUGAACCCAUUAAACAGAAAAUCCAUGAACCUAUACCUAUAAGCACAUUAUUAACAGAUCGCAAAGCAUAUACCUAAAACCCUUUAACAAAACAACCUAAUAUCAUUCAAUGAAUUUACAAAGGGAAGAUAGGGUUUGUACUUACAGGUUGGACGAGCUCACAGAUUCGACGAAGCCUGGAGAGUGCAACUUUUAAUUAGAGCAGAAGUGAGAGAGCGAAUGUUAUGUUGCGCGAAAUCUGAAAAUUUUAGGGUUCAGGGUUAGAAGUAUAAGAAUAAGAGCCAAAUAUAAAAAAAUUUAGGGCGCGCGAAAAUUUUUAGAGCGCGCGCUCUUUAAAACGUCGAAAGAAAAACCAUGGCGAAAGUUCUACAAGAACCGACGUAAAUGUAAUAUUCCACGACGAAAACACUUAACGUAACGCCGUUUAUUUUGACGUUCAUUUUUCGGAUUAAUUUUAAAUUUAUUUUGAAUAUUUUGAUAUAAAGACGACUGAAAAACCACGUCGAAGUUAAGAAAUUGAAAACGUUGUAAAUUAUAAUAGACGACUUACAUAUUAAAAUGACGUCGUUUAAAGUGGAAACCAUGUCGGAUAUUUUACUGCACGACGUAACAUAUGUAUUCCACGACUCAACCACCGUCGUUAACAAUUAAUACCCUAAACCCUUAAAACUAAAUUAUAUAAUUUUAAAAAUUAAGUUUAUAAAAGGGUUUAUGGUUUUACAGCCUAAUAUAUACCCUAUACUACCCAAAAAUUAUACUUUAAAAAUAAACCCCAAUAAAUAACAACCCUAAUCUCUAAACCCUAGACUCUAAACCCUAAACCAUAAAACUAGAAGUGAUUUUAUGACUCAUCAAAACAAUUUUGUUUUGGAUGGUCAUUUUAAAUUUUUUUUAUUCAAAAUGAAUUUUUUCAAGGUUUAGGGGGAAGAAAAUAUAUCAAUGACUUCAUAGGAGUUGACUUUUCAUUUUUCUGAUUUAUUUUAAAUUUAUUUUGAAUAUUUUGAUAUAAAAAUAAUAAAAUAUUCUUAUCACAAUAACAAACCACGUCGGUGUUAAUAAAUUUUAGACGUUGUAAAUUGUAAUAGACGACUAAGUUGUUAAAAUGACGUCGUUUAAAUGAGAAACCAUGGCGGAUAUUUAACUAUCCGACAUAAAAUAUAUAUUCCACGACUUAACCGCUGUCGUUACAAAGUACUACCCUGAACCCUUAAGAAAUUGAAGACGUUGUAAACCAUAAACGACUCAAUUGUUCAAAGAACGUCGUCUAAAUAUCCUUUUACGUCGGAUUUGGUUAAAACGAAACAACAAAAAACGACGGCUUUUGACUUUAUUACGUCGUUGGAAAAGUAUUACACGUCGGUUACGCAAUUUGUAUGUUUGUUUUUUUUUUUAAUUUAAGAAAACCUCAACAAAUUUUUACAUUAUAUAUUAUAGACAAAAUUUGUACAUUAUACAUAAAUAUCAAGUGUUCAAUAAUUCCCCUAUUCCAGGUGAAGGCAAACAAACUCUGACCAUUCAUUCCGGACUUCAUCAAUUGCUUCUUGGGGGUAUGGCGCUUCCUGUUUUCCCUUGGCAUACUGCAUAAACAAUGACUAUUAGGGUUUAUAAAUAAAAAGAAAUUCAAUCACAGACGACGAUAUUUUUCAUAACCGACGUACUAUAUCUAUUCAACGACGGUAAUUUUACAUGACCGUCGUUGAUAAUACAAAAAACGACGUAAAAUGUAUGAAGGUAAUUUCUUCUUACCUUCUUCUCAAACCCCAAGGAAGGAUCCAUGAUGAUGUCCCUCAUGAAGCGCAUCACAUAAUACCCGCAUUCGACAUUGCUGGGUUGCUUUGGUGUCCCUGACAGAGUUUUCCAAAUGGCUGCCUUACGGCCUGGUCUGGCUAUGUGAGAAUUAUAAAUUUUUAUAGCACUGUUCACAAUGUUUUUGGCCUCUUCAUCGACCACACGAUUUCCUGGCAGAGGAUCCAGAAAAUAGACGGUUUCUCUCUUUGCUCUUACAAUCAGCAAGAUCCAAUGACGGCUGCACAAAAUUAAUAUAAAAACGACGGUUAUUUACAAUAACGACGUAUUAUAAUGUUUCACACGACGAAAUAAAGUAGCAAUCGACGACAUUUUACAUUUAUCACGACGAUAAAUAACUACCGACGUGGUUAGUAGUUUCAAACGACUCAAUAAAAUAAAACACCGACGUGGUUAGUUUAUACGCUGUAAUUUAUUGAAAAUCAUAAAAACAAAAUCCUGUUAAGGAGACUAACCCUGGAUUGUAAGGCAUCAGGAAAAUCUGUUCACCGUCAGUCUUUUGAAGUCGAGCUGCUAGUAAGCGUGAUCUGUCAGCUAUUGUGCCAGAGUUGGCACUAACUGUAGCAAGGUCGAUAAAGCCAACCAUAUUGCACAUAUUUGCUCGUUUCAAAACAUCGUGCAAGUGCCUAAAUAUAUAAAAUAAUAUAAACAAGUCAGCACAAAAAAACACACGACGGUUAUGUAUAACAAAACGACGUAUUAUAAAAUUUCACACGACGUACUGAAAUAGACAACGACGUUAUAAUAUAUUUAUCACGACGGUAAAUACUAACGACGUGGUUAGUUAGUUAAGACGACGUAAUAAAUAAACCAACGACGUAUUAUUUUAGAAUGACAAACCUCAUAUAUACAAAAAAACACGACGGUUAUGUAUAACAAAACGACGUAUUAUAAAAUUUCACACGACAUACUGAAAUAGACAACGACGUUAUGAUAUACUAACGACGUGGUUAGUUGGUUAAGACGACGCAAUAAAUACACCAACGACGUAUUAUUUUAGAAUGACAAACCUCAUAUAUACAGCAAUGACAGUGGCUCCUAUUUCUUCCAUGCCUGCAAAUUGUGUAAUAUCUUCAGGCAGGAGGAAGGUAUCGCGCUCUAGACCAAACACCUCCUUAUCAAUUGUAAAGUGCAGGGUCUUAUCCUGAGGCACGAGUGUCGUUUCCACAUAACGACAAAGGGAGUUUAAAGAAGAUGGCGCCUCCAUAUUUGAAUAAUCAACAACUUUAAUAACCUGUUUAAAGAAAUAUAAAAAAUGACGUGGUAAUUCAAUAAAAACGACGGUUUAAGGAAUAAAACGUCGUCUGAAAAGAAUUUAAACGUCGUCUGAAGAAACCGUCGUGGUGAAUAAUUUAUUACGUCUUAAAAAAAAUUCCGCCGUCUAAGUUGUAAACAAACGACGGUUUAAAGAAAAAUAUCGACGUCUGGAAUUUUGAAAAACAAAUAAAAAAGGCAAAGUUAUGUGAACAUACCUGGUCGUCAUCUUCUUUCUCCUUUUCAUCAUGUUUUUCUUCUGUCUUCCCUUCAUCUAUUACGUCGAGAAUGACUAACUCCGUCGUCUAAAAACCACAAAGUUUUAAAAUAACGACGUUUAAUGGCGUGUAAAACAAGUAAACUAAAUACGACGUGGUAUUGAAAUACAAACGACGGUUUAUGUUUAAAAUCGUGGUGGUAUGUAUUUCAAACGACGGUUUUAUUAAUAAUAACGACAUCUAAUGGUUUUUAAAAAAACAGAGAAUUCAAAGUUCAGAUAUGUUACCUUUUCUUCCUGAUGUUUCCCAUUUUUGGCAGUAUCAUCCUCAAAAUGCUGGGAUCUCACAUCACCUCCAGAGCAGCUUGCUUUGUCAGACAUUGGAUUUUUGGGACUUUGGCUAAUUCUGGGUUUAAGCAUGCUUGGAUCAAAAUUGGGAAUUAAUUGGGAAAGCUGACUCAGGAAAUGCUCCCUCUCAGCCUCUACCAAUUGUUUCGUUCUAGCCUCCAUCCUUAAAGCCUCUUCCCUUGCCUUAGCUUCCAUCUUUUUAGUCUCUUCUUGAAGGAGAACUCUUAAACUGUCCUUCAAACGGUCGUCAAAGCUCACUCUCUGUGGUUUGGGUAAAUUGAAAUAUUGCCUUGGUGAGAUCCCAGCACCUACUCCUCUCACUCUGCCUGGAUGCUCGGGGCCCAAAGCCAUGGUCAGCACAUCAUUGCUGCCAGAAACAGUGACUUUGCCUUCCGAGACUUGUUUUUGCAAUUCAUCCUAAAACAAAGAUAUAUAAAAAAGUAAGAACAAAAACACACGACGGUUAUUUAUAUACAAACGACGUAUUAUAUAAUUUCACACGACGCAAUAACAUAUAAAUCGACGUUAUUAUAAUUUAUCACGACGGUAGUUUUUAAACCGACGUGGUUAGUUUUUAAAACGACGAAAUGAAUAAACCACCGACGUCUUAUGCUUUAUUUACAGAUAACAGAGGGAUGAUUCAAUAUUCACACCUUUAACGACCUUGUUUAAAAUAUUUCGACGUAGUAAUUCAAUACAAACGACGCGAAAAUGAACCACCGACAUCUUAUGCUAUAAUUACAGAAAACAGAGUAGUGAUUCCUGAUUUAGACCUUUAACGAUGUGGUAAUAUCAUUCACACGACGCAAAAUAUAACAUAAGACGUAAUAAGAAUUAUUCACAGUUUAAUAAAAAUUUAAAACAGAGUGAGUAGGCUUACAAUUAAUUUUGCUUUCUCUGCCACCUUUGGAUCCGGGAUGUUACCAUGUUUGUCCUGUCUAGCUCUCUUCCAUAAGGUAGAUCGAUCAAUUUCUACCCCAGGCAUGGUUUCCUCCAAUUGAUCCUCCAAACCAGCAUAUCCUUUUCGAGACAAUCGAUGAUUGUACUCAAGUUUCUCCCUAAUCUGUGCAUGUUGAGAAUGCACAGACUCAAAAUCUUUGGAUAACCUUGAAGCUACAAAGGCAUCCCAUUGUGCUUUCUCUAUGAAUUUAUAUAUUUCAGGGGGUUGGCUUAAUCUCUCCCUGUCAUUAGUGUAUGGAAGGAUAUAUUGCCUCGUUAGUGUAGACUUGAAAUCCUUCCAUUUCUUGGCAGCAGAAGCUAACACAGAGCUCUUGCCCCCUUGACCUACCACAAAAGCAAUGUCAACUGCUUCCCAAAUCUGCUCCUUUAUAUCCUUGGAGAUUUGAGCCUAUUUCAUGUCCACAAGUGGAACUCUGGAGCGUGCCAACACACCAAUGUAGGACUGCAUCUCACUAUGUGCUUGGCCAAUUCCUUUCCCCCUUUUAUUGUACUCAACAAUUGGCCUCAGUUUCUGAAGUUUUCUCUUCACAACAUGAGGCAUUGUGCUCAUACCUCGACCAGACUUUGAAUCAUCAGAGAUUGUUGUCGUGCUGGUUCGUUCUGUCUCAGCAGAUGAUGAAGCAAACUUCAUCUUCUUCGAAGGCUUCACUUGAGGAGGUACCAUUCCAAGGUCCUUACCUCCAUUUUUCUUGGAGCCAGAAUCCUUACUUUGGUCUUAGUGAGAAACCAUUUUUACAGACAAAACUGCAAGUGAAAAUAUUUCAGGAAAAGAUUAAGAACACAAACGACAGUUAUUAAUAAAAUACGACGUAUGAUAUGAUUUUAAACGACGCAAUGAAAUAAUCUCAGACGUAAUAAAUGUUUAAAACCAAGGUAAUUAAACAACGACGAAAUAAUUAACUAUAAACGACGUGAUAAUUAACUAUAAACGACGAAAUAUUUAUAUAACGUCGUGGUAUUGAUGUUCACACGACGUCAGUCGUAAUAUACCGUCGUCUAUAUAAGGAUCCAAAACCCUUCUUUCUUUCUCUGUGAAUGUUUGAUUGCAGAUUUGAUUUUUCUGAACCAUGGUUUUUGUUUUCUAAUUUGAUAAAAUACAAGGCCAAGAAAGAAAGUUUUGGAAUCUUAUAUAGACGACGGUAUUUUAAUAUGACGUCGUGGUAUUAACAUUCACACGACGUAAAACAAUAAGAUACUGUCGUCUAUAUUAGAUACCAACCCUACUUUCUUUUUCUUUAUAUUUUAUCAAAUUAGGGAAAAACAAAAACCAUUGUUCAGAGAAAUCAAACCUGCAAUUAAACAAGCAAAUAAAAAAAAGACUAUAAUUUUAAAAACAACUUUGUCAAUUUUCAGACGACGCUAGAACGACUGACGAACCGUCGUGGUCUACAUAUUUAACCACGUACAUAAGAAGCUACCGUCGUCUUAUUUAGUUGAGGUAGUUGUCUUCAAAGUUGGAAACUUUCCCUCUUUGUCUGUAUAUUUUAUUGAACUUGGAAAGAAGUAAAAUGAUUUUGGCCAGAAAAAAGGUAAAAAGAUUUUUCAAACAAAAAACGUAUGAGCAUGCAAAACAACAACCAAAAUAGUGAAAAUGAAAGCUUACCUUUUGCGUGCAAUGAAAGCAAGAGGAAGAUUAUGUUUAAGUUCAGAGACGACGAAGAAGAAGAGAGGAAGACGAUGAGAUACUCUGACAGUGCUCUGACAAGGAAAAAAGUCUAAAAGUUUUCUCUGGGAGAUUGAACUUUUUAAUCGGGUUUGAAAACGGCGCAUGUGUAUGUCAGGUAGACGAAAAGUUGCUUACAUAUAAAACCAUUUCAAAAAAAUAAUACGGCGGUUACAUAUAACUACGACGUAUAAAUUACAAAAUACGACGGUACAUUUAACUUCGGACGUGGUAAAUAAAUACGACAGUAGUGUUGUAGGUACCGUCGUAGUAAACUCAAAAAUUAAAGUACAUAAGUAAUAACUCGCGUCAUGGUAGAUUAUUUAACACGUCGUUUUUAUUAAUUUACCGACGUGGAUUUCUGUAAUAUACGUCGAUAAUACCGACGUUGAUUUUACAAUUUAAACGGCGGUUUUUUUGUAAGGACCGCCGUUGGUUUUAAAAAUUUAUUCUAUAAAUUUGUCGCUUUCAUUCAUUUUCGGUUUACAUUUAAGGUUCCAAGUUCUUCCUCUCUCAGUCUCUCACGUCUCAAAGACAAUAAUUUGGAUGUCUUUCUCAAAGAGAAAUUGAGCUUACUCGCAUCAAAUAUAUGUCCACAAGAAGAAGCUUGUCAACUAGCCUUCUCACUUCCUUGAUCAAGCCUGAUAGGACACUUAGUGCUUCUGAAUACUCCUUGCUUUCCAUCAAAAGAGAUGCAAGCCUGGCCUCCACUCGCUGUCGAAGGAAAGUUCGCUUCUCAGGGAAAUCUUCUUGAUUUUCUUGGCUAAGAAGAUCCGUCAGAUUUGUGAUAGCCUCUUCCUUUAUCCGUAGAGCUUCAGAAGAAGAAGAUGGGUUUCAAGAAUGCGAUAAAGAAUAGAAAUGGCUUCAGAUGGCCUCUAAAGCAUGAGCAAUCGAAUCAGUAGUUGUUGGGAGAUAUGAUGAAGACAUUGUCAAUGCUUUGAACUAUACAAGUCCUGCAGAAAGAUAAAGGACCAAACUGUUAAAGAAACUGAAACAAUGGCGGUUUUCUGUUCUACCGUCGUCUUUUCUCGUCGUCUAUAUUAAGGUAAGAUGGCGGUAGAUUUAUAAUUACCGACGUAGAUUAUUUUGUUAAACGUCGUUAAGUGUACUACAACCGACGUGGAUUUUAUUUUUAAAUUAUAAAUAGAGUUUUUUUUCCCCUAUUCUUUCAGUUUUAGUUUUCAAUUACAAAGCGUGAUAAAUAGAUUUUUCUUUCCCGAGGAAAUUUAAAAUGAGGGAAAUUAAUGUUCUAGAAUUUGUAAACUAACACGACGCAAUAUUUGCAAAUCUGUGUCAUCUGUUAAGAUUAUGAUGUGGAACAGAGUUCCAUCUGGUAAGAUUUCGUAACCCUUGGGAUCUCAGACAAAUCUGAUUAUGUCGGCGGUUUUCUAUAUAAAUCGUCGUGGUUAUUUCAAUUCUUGUCAUUAAGUAGAUCUACCGACGUAGGAUAAGAAAAUCAAAGAAAAAAAUUGUUAACAAAAAUUCUUAUUAAGACGACGGUUAAAAUUAAAGGUACGACGUAUAAAAUGAAUAAAUACGACGUUAAAUUUUAUUGUACGAUUUAAAGAUAACGUCGUAGAACUAUAAGAGAAUGACGUCGAUAUAUUUAUAUUUUCCGUCGUUGUACAUUAAUUUAAUACGGCGAUAUUUUGUAUUUUAAAGCCGUGGAUUUGUUUGUAAUUAUACGGCGUCUUAUACGAAAACCUCGUCGUGUUAUUUUAUGAGUAAAAACGGCAGUUUUUAUUGAAAUCGUCGUCUUUACUUUCUACGUCGGUCGAUUCAUAACUUCUGCCGUUCUUUGUUGGCAUUGAUUUUACACUGCGAAAAUCUGUUUCAAAUAGACGUCGGUUGUUUAAUUAUGUACGUUGUUGUUUUUGAACAGCCAUUUGAAUCUCCAUUUUUUAGUUGUCUAAGGUUGUAUUACACGACGGUGUUUUUAGAACCGUCGUCUUUUUAAAAACCACGACGGUUUUCACUUAGACCGUCGUUGUUUUCUGGUCGUCUUUUUCACUUUUUGUAGUAGUGGCAUAUGAUGACGACACUCACAACAAGAUCAUGGCAUUUGACUCGAGUUGUAUGAUUCUCUCUUAAGUGUAUGUAAAGUGUAUGACAUUUACAUCAAUACGUGUAUUCUUAAUUGAAAUCUACUAUGGCAUUUACUCAAAUUAACAAUCAAGAAUCCAUUAAGAUCAAAGAGAAUAUGAGUGUCACAAAAACCCUAAAACAUGGCAUUUGUUAUUAGGAAUUCAAGAAUCGAUUUCUCAUAACUAGUUCUUAACCCAAUUAUUCGUUGCAAAUAAGAACACAUUCAAUAUGGCAAUUGACCUAUGUUCUACAACAAUUUAAUUCCAAUACAUGCUUCUAAGUUAGCUACUCAAAGAAACAAAAUAUCAGAAUUCACAUAACAUAUAGAAACCGAAAACAUCACGCUUGUAGAAACUAAAAAUCCAUUAACCUUGUUUAUAAAAUUGAAAUCAUGUUUAGGGCUUCAAGAUUAAGCCCUAACUAACAAGAAAUUAGUUACUCAUGGUCUUGGAUGAACUCAAAAAUAAAUACAUAAGAACUGAAAAUUAAAGAAGGAAGGAAAAGAAAGAACUCGUUCGCAGCUUUCUCCUCUUGCGCUGUUGAUCUCUUUAGGACGUGAAUCCUUUUUAUCAGCCUUGCCUCGUCUUUUAUAUCACUUAUAUCAGAGUUCUAAACCCUAAAAUUGACUGAAAAGUCGUCCAAGAAGUCUUGGUAAACAAGGAAUCCAAAUAGGAAAGUAAAAAUCACAAUUCCUAACUCCACUGGGAAAUACAGCUCAGCCCAAUGUUCACACGAUUUUGGGAUCUUCGACCUUGUAGAAAAAUCAUUAAAAAUAUAUUUUAGAAAGAUAAAUGUCUUAUCUUUCCAACCAUAUAUAGCACGUAACUUGAAAAAUUCGGAAAGGCUUCCGUUUCUUCACAUUCACGUAGCAUGUACGAAACUGUCCUGUCUGCACGUGGGCUAACUUUACUUGUAAUACUGUACCAAUUGGCUCGGUAGAAAAUUCUAGAAAAAUCAUAGAUUGAACUUCAAGAUGUUAGCUUUCAUCUCCAAUCAGGGGCGGCCUUGGGGAGGUGCAAGUGGCGCCACCGCACAGGGCCCCCGAAAAAAAAAAUAUUUAUAUUAUAUAUAUAUAUUAAUAUUAUAUGAAUCGUAUAUAUAAUAUAGCGUCUGGAUAUUUGCACAACAGCGUGUUCAGGGGAGUUGGAUGGAGCACAUCUCUCUUUGGCAAAAGGGCCCGAGUUCGAUGCUCCUUGAUGUCGUUCUACUGGCUAGCCUUUUGUGAUAUUAUUUUUGCAUUCAAACUUUACAUAAUUAUUGAACCAUUGGAUUAAUAUGCAACGAUGGGUGACCACAAUCUCUUGGACUCCUGUGGUCCAUGAGAUCGGGACUGAUAUUACAUGACUUAUUUUAUUAAAUUAUUAUCAUGUUGAUGAUUGGUUGUAUGAGAAUAUAGUUUGUAGAAAUAUUUAUCUAUUUCUUGUUGGGGUUUUCUUCCAGGUUAUAGGGUUUUGGAAUUUUUCUUUGUAAUCUAAACAUGCCACCUACUAGAAAAUACGUUUAUGGAUAUACAAAACGGCUUAGAAAAAGAAAAUUCGAGGAAUUGACUCAAUCUCAAAGAGGAGCUCUUGAUAGAUUCAUUGUUAGAGAAUCACAUGCUACAAUUGAUGAAAAUAUUUAAAUUUUUAUGAAUUUAAUUUCUGAUUUUCAUUGCAUAUUUAUUGAUGGUGAAUUUUAGUUAUAAAAAAAAAUUGUUUAUGACAUUAAGUUAUGGCAAAUUUUUAUAGUAUUUUCGUAUUAGAUUAUGCAAGGCCCCAAUUUAAGUUUCGCACAGGGCCCUCAAAAUCUCAGGGACGGCCCUGUCUCCAAUUGGUCUUGUGCUAAAAUUCCUCCGAAAAGUUGAUUUUCCCUUAAAAACCUUCUAAGAGUGCAGAAAAGCUGAAAAUCAGAAAAAUAAAGUAAUAAGCCAUUUUUAAAUCUAAUUCUCUUACAAAACCAAAGUAAAAAGAGUACAUAAAUGAGUAUAUUUAUGGACUUAUCAACGUCUUCUUCGUUGGACUUGGGGUUGUUUUCCUUAUAUGUCCCCUAUAUAUAUAUAUGGCCUUUAGUUGAGCCCACAAAUACCUUCAGUUAGUUUUUGGGUUUAGGGGCCUACAGAACCUGCACUAAACAAUAAAAGAAAAUACCUAAUUAGUUUAGUACGAAUUUAUAAUGAAGGCUUUAUUAGGUGAAGUUUUAUUUCUUAAUCGUUAGAUCAAAUUGGUUAGCAUCUGAAGUCGCCCAAAGAUUUGAGAGGGAUUCCACAAACAUAUAAUAUAAAGAAAGAAAGCAAUAGUAGGAGAUGAACCAGUACAAAAAACAAUAUAUAAAUAGUACAUAAUAAUUCCAUAACCUUGUCACAAACGCACUCACAAAUGCUUUCCAUAAACCUUGCCCUAACAUAUAACAAAUAAAGGCAACAUUGCAUAUGAUGCAACCAUGUCCAAAUCUGAUACGUGAUAAAAAAAAAAGGACAUGGCAGCAACAUAUGACUGAAGUAGAUGGGCUCUUUGCAUCUCGUGUUAUCGUAAUUAAAGACAUCAAAAUAUUAAGGUUGAAAUCUUCUAUAGUAGCAAGCAUUAAAAUAGGUUUGAAGCAGAGUUUAAAGAAAAUUCCAAUUCCACUGAUUUGCCUCUGCUCAAAGACGAGAACCAAAAUGGUUACUUCCCUUGCUGAGUAUAUUUGUUAACGUCGGAAACGGUAAUAGAUGACCAAUCAAACCCAAGUACGACGAGUUUUGCAUAGGAUCAGAAGUAGUUGAAUCCAGCUUGCAUCACACGCUUCUUUGACUCCAUUGCAUUAGAUGAGUUUUUGUAUUUUUGAACAGCUACACUCCGAAGUCGUUUGUGUCUACGCUUCAUGCGCUGCAACUUCGCCCUAUCCAGAUUGGCCUGCCUUUUGUCAUCUUCAAUUUGGCCUUCAACAAAUUCCAAACGUGCCCUUGCCCUUUGGAUUUCAUCACCAAGUUGAAGAUGCCUCUCCUUCCAAAAAGCAAGAACUCUUUCAGACUCAAAACUUCCAACAAAAUGGUCAUUCUAUCUAGGAAUGUGACAUUGCUUGUCUGGUGACUCACCUGCGUUUCAAAGGCGGUCUUUGUUUGGAGGGGUGUUUAUUAUGCUCACAUCAAACUUGGUUAGUAAAUCCAUUCUAUGGGGGGAGUGAGUUUCUGUGGAGGAGAGAGUUUCAGUAGAUGGAGACAGAUUCGGUGGAGGAGUGAGAUUUUUGUGGAGGGAGAAUUUCUAUGAAAUGGGUGAUAGUAAUACCAAUAAAAGGGUUCCCGCCAAAAAGUAUUUGGUUGACAAUGUAUAAAUUAAUUUUUGGUCUGAUACAAUCUAAGUUUAAUCCUAACUAGUUUGGUUAGUUUGGUUGAAUUCACUAACUAGAUGUCACUUCCAUUGAGUUUCUUUCAACCACUAUCAGUGGUGUAAGGAGAGUGUGAGGUUGACAUGCUUGAAAAGCAAAACCUAACACCUCUUUUUUUUAAAAUUGAAAGAAAGUACAUAUGUUGACUACACACAAGCUUUGGUAUGUUGGUCUAUAAAGCUAUGUUCCCUUUCUCAAACGAAAUUGCAUAUGCAAUCCUCGUCCUCCCAAAACAAAUAGAAUUAUUCAAGCAUGUCAACCUCUUCAGGCGCCAACAACACAAUCAAAGAUGACAAAUUGGAGUCGCAGGUUCUAUUUCCACAUUGUACUCGCCGACCCCUUCCAUUUUCAACAUCAUUUGGGAGUGAGGGGGACUCCGAUGAUCCAUUAGAGCUAAUACAUGCAGUCAAUAGCAAGCUGGAUUAUAAUUCCAGACUGAUCAAUUCAUGGCGCGAGAAAUAUGUUGAAGACGAAGCCAUUUUGGCUGAUCUUAACAUUAGAGUGAACAAAGCGUUCUCCCAAAAGAACAAGUACUUGAAGCUGAGUCAUAAAAGGAAGCUGAAAGCUGAGGAGUUAGAUACAGUAAUGAAUGAUGAAAUUAAAGGUUGUUUGAUGAAUCAUAUGCGAUGCGAAGAGCACCACAGUGAACUGGAGUUGGCAUUCAACGAAGGAUUCGAAAAAUUACGAGCAUUUGCAGCAACUACUCAUACAAGUUAUAAUUGGGACUAUGUGUCCCCUGAUGUUGUGAGAGAGAUACUAGACGAUGGUGGUGACAUGAAUGAGCAUAAGCACGUCAAAGCUGCUUGGAAGAAGCCGACCGAUACGACUAAGUGAUUGCGGCUACAGUUGUUCAGUUGGUUGAGAGUGAUCGUGGUAUUGCACAAAUUAGAAGUAUAUUCCCAUAAUGUCAUUAUCUAAUUUAAAAUAACACAAAUAUCAGUUUCAUUUGCUUCAUAUUGUAACACCCCGACCCCAAAUUUCCCCAAAAUUUACCCUCAUUUAAUUAAUUAAUUAUUUAAGGGUAUUUUAGUCAUAUUUUUAACCGGAGAGAGUUUGGGACCAUGACUUGUAUUUUUGGAUAGGUCGUACUGAGACGAGUUCAUAGACACGUAGUGGGCUCGAAUCAGAGUUGUAACGAGAGAGAUAUGGUCAAAAGAAACCCAGUGGCACAAUCGUAAAUAUUUCAAAAUGGGAUUUUUAUAAAAAUCUGGUUUUUCUCUCUCUCUCUCUCUCUCUCUCUCUCUCUCCCGCGACUUCUCUCUCUCUCCCGUCGGCUCUCUCUCUUUCUCUCCUUGUAUCUCCGGCCACCGACCACGGCUGUGGGCGGGGCCGGUACCAAACUGACCGGGACGACGUCCCCUUCCUUCCCCGACCAUUCCCCGCCGGCAACGCGGCCGUUGCUGGCCGGAAAAUGCAGAAAACCGCCGGGAGGUCGUCGAAACUUCAACGCCGUCGAUCUCCCUCCUCCGGCCACCAUUUUCGUCGACCCAGGUAUGGAUCUUGAACCUCUCGAGCUGUUCUAGCUGUUUGUUGGUUGGGUUUUGAUCGAUUCGAUCUCUAGAUCACUCGAUUUUCGAAUUGAAAAUUGGCCGAAACUUCGGCCGCCGUGAUCGGCCAUUUUCGGCCACUUUUUGUGGUAGGUCCAAGAACAAAAGUGGCUCCAAAUAGGGUGUUAUACCUAGGGUAGAAGUUUGGAGCCGAGAUGUUGAGAUUUUCCGGCGAAGCGUUAUCGCUUUGGGCACCCACGCGUGCGGCGGCGCGUGGGCACUGUAGAAAAAGUAGAUGUGUUCCGAUGAGAUCCUUAGGUUGUCACGAGUGCGUAGGAUUUGGCGGAUCUCAAUUCGGACGUCGUUUGACUAUCGAACGGAUAAUCGCAUAUUAUGCGUUAUCCGGGUUCGAUAGGUUGAGACCGUCGGAUGGUCCCAAAUUUAAUAUAUGUUGAUCUAGGUAUUUCUAGGAUCGUGUAGGAUUUCACGGAUCGUGAAUCGGAGCCCCGGAUGUUCCGAAUAAUAAUUUAAAGUUUAUAUUUUAUAUUAACCAUCAGAUUAUGCGAUCGUGAGAAAUCCGACCGUCUGAUCUGAACCAAACUGGCAGGAAAAGUGUCCUGUACCUGGUAGAACCCAUAGGGACCUUCGGAUCGGAAAUUGGAGGUCGUGGGUUCCGCAAGUCUGUUUGACCAGGGUUAGAGUAGUUUGACCCUUGGUUGACCGUGAGUCUCCCGGAGUAAUCUCACCCUUCCAGGGGGAAUUAUCGGGAGCUAGACUAUUGUGGAGGGUUACACAAUAUUAGAAUUAUUUAUAUAAUUAUAUAUGGUUGUACAAGGGUACAACAAAGUCUAGAAUGUCAGUUUGGAGUGCUAUACGCACUACUUUAGGUACCUCCUCGGAUUUUGGAUUCGCUACAAGCACCACCAAGUGAAAGUUAGGUCCCGCGUGGCGUAGGUUAUCCGGCGUUGGGACAGACCCCAUACGUGGCGUUGGUUGUACCGGCGUAUGGGGAGAUUUGCAAUAUGAUGUUCAGGUCUCACGUGGCGUAGGUUAUCCGGCGUUGAGACAGGCCCCGUACGUGGCGUUGGUUGUACCAGCGUACGGGGAGAUUAUGUGAUAUGAUGUUGAGGUCCCGCGUGGCGUAGGUUAUCCGGCGUUGGGACAGGCCCCAUACGUGGCGUUGGUUGUACCGGCGUAUGGGGAGUUAUAUGAUAUGAUAGUAUGGCAUGGUCGCACAUGGCGUAGGUUAUCCGGCGUGUUGACAGGCCCCAUACGUGGCGUUGGUUGUAUCGGCGUAUGGGGAGAAUAUGUGAAAUGCAGAGAAAGGAAAUAAGGUAUCACCGAUGUGUGGAAUUGGGUUUUAGGGAAGAACUACGUGUGGCUUGAUCCCUCAAGGAGGGUACGUAGGCAGCCUAAGGUUAUUGGGUGCAGCCGCAGACUAAAUAUUAGUCAUAUUUGGUAUUUGAAUUGUAUGGUAGUUGUUUGAGAAUUAUUGGAAGGCCAAAGGCCAUUUAUGAGAAUUUGCAUGAAAUUAUAUUGUGCAUGCUGCUAGUUGUGGAUAUUAAAUGUGUUUUUAUGCAGGUUGAAAUUUUGGGAAAUGUCCAAUUUAUAGGGGAGACUCUGCUGAAAUUUCGGCAGGAAGUCUCGGUUUUUAGUAAGUGGGCCUGGCAUCGGGGUGAUGUCAGGAAUUCCAAAGGGUUCGUCUCGGGUUUUGAGAAAAUUCGGGGCGGGUCCUUAAACAUAUAUAAUUAUUGGGACUAUGUAUUGCAAGUCAUCAUGUGUUCCUUCUGUCUAACAUUAUAUUUUGCAAAUAUCAAAAUAUUAUUCAAUAAGCAGUCAAUAUCACAGCAAGUUGGGAAUUAGUAAAGCCCCAUUAUCAUGUCCGUUCACAUUAAAGAGCUGGCGUACUUUUUCUCAAAAAACUGACACGUGAGUCAUAAGUAACAUAACAUGUGCUAUACAUUGUUUAGUGAAUGGUUUAUGGUUUAUUUAUAUAUAAUAAAAUUCCAAAUAUUGCUGAAUAUUUGUUUUUUCUAUAUCCCUGGGAACAUGAGUGACCAUAAGCAUGUAAGACCUGUUAAGAAGAAGCUGACUAAUACGACCGAGUGAUUGUGGCUACCGUUGUUUAGUUGGUUGGGGAGAUCGUGGUAUUGCUAAGAGGGAGCACAUAAUGUGCUUUGCAAUCAAAUUUUCUUUUGUGUGUGGAAUUAUGAGUAGUUCAAAUGUUAGUGUACCCUUUAAUAUUCUUCAACCGUUUGAAAUGUGAUUAGCUGCAAUGUACUUUUUUACACGCUGCUUUCUAAUCACUCUGUUCCAACAAAGUGCUUUAAGUAUCCUUCAGUUACAAAUGUUUACAAAAUCGUGCAUCUAAUAACCAGUCGAGCUCAGAUCUUAAUAACAAGUAAAACACUAGAACAUAACAUUCGGAAAAAGUGGGUGCUGCUGGAAAUCAUUACUGGUAAUGGAAGCAAGAGCUGGCUGCUGGAAAUGCUGCAUUAGCCUGUGAUAUAAUCAAUGAAUCUCUGUUAAAACAUAAUUCACCAUAAACUACCCAUUUUACAUGGUAAAAGUCAUUGCUUCUUCACAUAACUCAAAAUUUGAUACUUUAUCAAAUGUCUAUGAAAAUUUCUAAAUAGGGGAAAGACGUAAAAUUAACAUGUGUCCAAAUUUCAUGCAAGAAUGAAACCAAGCAAAUUUUUAUUUCAAUUAUCAGUGGACAUAGUAAGAACUCAUCGGUGGACAUGAACAAAAAAAUAAUAAUAUUAAAAACUGAAUCUAGAAAACUUCACCUGAUCAUUAGUCUUCAUAACAACCGAAUUUCGUCUAAUAGAAACAUAAAUCAUUCAGUUGGUCCGUGCAUCGUGUCAAAUUCAUAGAAUAAUGGGUCACUACGAUCUAUUGGAGUUGAUUCGUCAUUGUUCGACGGUGAUGUCCUGCAUAGACAUCAAACACAAGCACAGAAAAAAUUUACCUAUUCAAAUUUUAGGUGUUAUUAUAAAUAGUGUUAGCAUCUUACGGUGUGUUCAAAUUUCUUGCGCAUUGUCUUCUAUCAUGACCAAUGUGUCCACACUCCAGACAGUGUCUAAUCCCUCGCUUCAUUGCCUUUUCUUUUGCUCCCGUUACUCGUUUCGACCUUCUUUUGCACCUCACUCUCUUAGGGUCUUUCAUAUAUUGUGUUUGAGAGCUGGACCCUCCAACUUCGUUAUUACUUGGUCCAUCCUUCAACAACUUCAACUUCACCUGCAAACUUUUUAGAGUCUCUGACAGUAGCUCACAUCCUUCUUCACUCAUUAAUGCACCCUCAACCACAUCUUAAGCAAGUCGAGACAUUGUACUCCGCCUUAUUAAAAGACCAGGAUCUGCAGAGUCUUUAAUUUCGUUGCCAUUUGCAUCUGACACCAAUUCAGAUUUUGCAGUUUUCUUCCACCUCUUUAAAAUAUAUUUAUCGGGCAUAUAUUCAAUCUGGUCCCUUCUGAACAAUGCUAGGAUGUGCUUGCAAAUAAUUCCAACAAAUUCAAAUCUUUUGCACCCACACGAUGCGUGGUCAGAAUCUUUAACAUAUACGACGUCUGCCACUCUUGUUUCCCAAUUUUUCCUUUUGCUCACGCGAAAGACAACUUUAGAAGCACCCUCUGUUUUGAGCUCUAGGAAACAUGUUGUACUUUGUAUUAGUUCUUGGUCAAACUUUUGAAACAUUGUCCUUGUGUACAAGGUAGCCAUUUGUUUGUUCAUUGGCAUCGGUAGAAUACAUUGAGCCACUUCAAAUGCAUCUACGUGAUCAGCAACUAACUCUUUUUGACGUUGAUGAGAAAGUGCCCUCUCAAAUCGUAUUAUGAAAUCCAUCAACGAAUUUCUCCUUGAUAUGUAUUGCUUGAAAAAACCAUGAGAACCUUCCACUCUUUGGCUGCUUGACAUUCCAGCGGCAAAAAAUUGUUGUGCGUAGGCUGGAACCCAAGAUUCUCUUAAAUCAAACAUUGAACUUAGCCAUGGAUGGUCAGUCAAACCAGCCUUUGUAACCACAAUAUUCCAUUUUGUAACAAACUUAUCCUUAUUGUCAGUAUCCCAUACGGCUUUCUGAAAUUCACGCCAAUACUCCUUAUAAGCAGAAUGUGGUAACUUAACAGAGAACUUUGAUGUGAUGUGCAAUAUGCAAAGUCGAUGAAAUGUAGUCGGGAAGGGUAUUGAAAUCGCUCUGGUCAUUGCCGCAUCUUGAUCUGUAAUGAUCGUUUUAGGUCCGCCACUUGGCAUGGCUUUCUUAAACUCCUCAAACAUCCAAAUAAACGACUCAGUCGUUUCCUUGCUCAAAAAUGCGCAUGCUUAGACAAUUGUCUGACCAUGGUUAUUAACUCCCAACAUUGGUGCAAAUGUCAAGUCGUAUCGAUUCGUGUUGAAUGUGGUAUCGAAUACAACAACAUCUCCAUAAAACCCGUACGCCCAUCUAGAAGUUGCAUCUGCCCAAAAACAUUGACUAAACCUGUCAUGGCCAUCUCUCUCAAUCUUGAAAUAAAAAGCCUCAUUUUUUUUUUCUGUUCAGCCAUAAAAUACUCGGUCACUAGUUCAACAUCGUGGUUCCUCAACUUCCCAUUCACACUACAUUCAAAAUUGUAGAUAUCUUUUUUGAUAAAACCGAUUUUAUCCAUUCCUCCGGAUUGCACCUCGAAAAUACUUACCUUCUGAUGAAUGAGAAUAUUAACCGAACCCAACUGUUUUGUGAGUACUUUUGUAGAAUCUGAACUAUGACGGUGUGAUCUCAAUAAAUGCAUUCUUUCUGAGGGUGUCAUCUUAUGAUUGUGUCCCUCUGCAAAAAGAGAGAUGGUAUACUUCUUGCUCCCAUUUGUCUUCACAACCACAAUCUUAGCUUUGCAAUUGCAUCUACUUAUUCCCCGCUGUCUUUUUCUCUCCCGAGUUUCAUCUCUCCUGUAUUCACCUUGUUUGCAACAUACAAAUUCUUUCCUCAAAAUCUCUUUCUUAUUUCCCCCCCAAAAGCUGGAAUGAAGUCGAAUACCAAAGCCAGCCAAGAAUGCAUAUCUAUUAUAGAAAUUGUAAACGAGGUCAAGCAAGUCGAACUUCAUCCCAACUGCUGGUGUUUCCUCAUUUCUUACUUCAAGAAUGUAAACCCUCCCAUUAGCUGUUACACAGUCAUCACUCUCUGAGCCCCCAGACAUUUUAUCCACGUAUAUUAUUGAUCCACUUCUAUAUUAUUGCAUAGCAAAUAUUAAUUCAUUAAUAAAUCAUUACUGCAUCACAACAUAUCAAUGCAUUCCACUUACACAAAACAUUGCCCAAAUUGACACAAAACACGCAUAGCCUAACUUGUUGGAUUCCGAUUACACAAAACGCAAGCAAAAUUUAAUAAUAGUUACGUCAUCUCUUGUGAAAUAAUCUAGAAAAAAUAACAUUAGAACCAACAUGUUCAACUAAGAACACAAAUGCAAUUCAAACCAGCAAUCACAUAACUUCACCCAAUAUCCUCUCCAAAUGCUUACUCCUAAUGUCAUUAAGCCUAAGUUUAGGAUCUUUUACCUACAUUUCAUAAUUUUUCACCCCCACCAAAAAUAAUCAACUAAGUAUACUGAAUAUUCAUAAGGAAAUGACGCAUUAUUGAUGCCACAAAUGACGAAUUUCCUACCCUCACAAAAAACAAAUCAAACCCAAUUAAAUCAAUCCAGCAAGAGUGAACUUACCUCUCAAAAUCAAUCGGGAGCUCCGAAGUCAGUAAGCUUGAGAGAAUGUGGUGGACAUUAGAGAAGACUCUUUGGUAUUGGAGACUCCAUCUCUACCAAAAUCGAGGAACGAACUGCUGCUACGGCGUCUAGCUACAGAAAAAGAUAUGCUACUUUACUUUCAUCUGGAAUCUUGUUUGCUGAACGAAAAAGAGAAAGGGUUUUCACUUGAGCCAUAGAAUCAAAACAAGGCAACAUCUAGGUAAGAGCCAUUAAUCGUCAUAUCGAGGAUACCAUAGAUCGCAGGCCUCCCAAGGAGCUGAUGACAAUGGAGCGACUAUAGGGUUUGGGAGCUUUGGAUCCUUCUAAUUGUGGGUUUGCGUUACAUUCAAAAAAAGAGGAGUGUGUUGUUGAGUUUUUCACAUAGAGGGAAAGAGGGAAAGAUCUUCAACUGAAGUUGGGUUUCCAACGGGUCAAAUUUCAACCCGGUUCUACAUGCACCCUCUUUUAAAAACUCACCGUUGGAUUUCAUCCAACGGCUCGUACAUACCCCUCAAAAACACCCCUUAUAACUUUCCACUCACUAUAGAAGCUCUCCCCAGGAAAUGCUUCGAGGUAGAUUUUAUGUUUUGGGCCUUGGGACCCAACUUCACAAAAAGAAAACAAAUUUGACCAAAAAACAAAGUUGAAGGACAUUGAUAUUGUACCUGUAGGAUAGGUUAAAACACUAAAAGGAAGGUAAAUAGUACGUUUACAGAGUUUAAGUGUAAUAAAGGAAUAAAAACAUGCCCAGAGAAUUGAUAAGUGAUAUCAAUUCUUGAAUAUAUAGAACGUAAAAUAAAGGAAUACGUAGAAAAUUAUUUUAUGUGGUAAAACUCAAUCUAUGGGGCCACGGGACUUCUUAGUCCAAAAAAAAUCCAUUGAACGAUGAUUACAAGAAGUACUCACACACUUAUCCUAGACACAUUCUAGAUAAUUUUUACUAACAUCUUUGUAACUCAACUUCUGUCAUAGGAUGAUUUUUUGACACUCCUUAUGUUGAACGCAAUACUGGUCACGAUUUCUUCAAGCUCGCAGGAACUCUCCUUAUAUUGAAUAUGAUACUAGUCACGAUAGAUUCAAGCUCAUCGGAGAAAAACAGCCACAACGGUCUUGGUGCCCUCAAUGGUAUGAGUCACUGAACAUGCAAAUAAAUACAAUAUGAAUGAUAAAAGUGUUUGAUAAAUCACCAAGUUAUGGAACACUUGAUGAUUUAUCUCAAAUAAAAACUCAGCUUUCCAAAGUUUAUGAAUUGAAAAUAUGAUCGUUAAAGCUCUCUAAACAAAGAAGACGAAGAUCUUAUUUUAUAGAAUUUUUCUUUAUAAGAAAGAAAACACAUUGAAAACCAAAUCUCCAAGGCUUGACAGAAAAUCACAAAAGUAUCUUUCCUAUUCUAGAGAUUGGUCACAUGUAGUCCAACCAAUAGGACAUGAGAUAUUUAAGAAAUGAAGAUUUUGAUCAAUAUCAAUAUCAAAUGAAUUCUUAUACGCCUAGUCAACUAUUAAGGGUAUCUUGACUCCUUGAUAUUGUGAUAUGAUUGAAACAUGAUUUCCACGUUAGAAAAUUAAGGGGAUGUUAAAACAUGAAAGUAAUAGGAGAAUCAAAUUGAUUUCGGCCAAAAUUGCCUAAAAAGAAAACACUCCUAAAUAAACUCAAUUCACUUUUAAAAACAGUAAAACGUGAUUGAAUUGUUCUUUAAAACAAUUCCCUAAUAUACAUGCAUGAUAAUGACAUCACUUACCUCUGAAUCAAAUGCCUUUCAUAGGUCAAGCCACAAGUCUGUGUUUUGGGGAUUGCUGAGCUGCAUCAAUCCUGCCAAUGUCAAUGCUGCCCCUAUGCUCUCUCAAAGCACGUUUACAACCUAUGCUAACAUAUACCCUAAACCCUAGUAUCAAGAAAAUGCCAACACUAAUUUCGUAACACGUAGAAAUUGUUAGAGAUUGGAAGUUUUUUUUCUUCAAGUCUCUCCACCACUCACUAAUACAGAUUGCUCAUGUGAUGAGUUUACAAAACCUAUUUCUCUACUCUCACAAAGACUAUACUUCUUCUCAAAAGACUAUAUCACUUUACCUCUAUCUCUGUGAAAUGUAAAAAGUUGAAACUUUAAUGUCAAACCUCGACAAAAGAUGAACUUCCAUAAGUUACGUUGAAUUUGGAUUUGUUGAACUUAAGUGGUUUUACUUUUCUGUCAGUGUUUGAUGACUUAAUUUGGUAUUUACUUCUUCUUUUUUUCCUUGGAAAUGUGUUCCACCAACGUGAGGAAGAAAAAUAUGCACAAAUUAAUAUAUUUAAUAGAAGCCCAAGAUUUCGGAAGCACAUAAUUUCUACAAAAUUCUACAAAGUGUUCUACUUUACAAACUUCAUAUGUCUACCAAUUUUUACUAAAAUUAAUUUAUCUGCAGUGCUCAAAUUCAUCAUAUGUGUGUCCUUAAUUUUAGUGAAAAUUGGAAGUUUCCAUUAUUUUUGUUUUACGGGAAUUUUUUGAACCAAGGAAAAUCAAGUAAAAUUAAUAAAGCAUAAAUUGGAAAGGGAAAAUAUCUAGAGGAUGCAUUGUAGGAUUGCUCAUGCCAAUAAUUGUACCCUCUAAAUAUAUAGGGACAUAUUUUUUUUGCUCAUACCACUUGUUGCAGUACACAUUCACCCGUUUUCAAAGAAAGAAAUUCUACCAAUCGAUAAUGUCUCAAAUUUAAUCACAUAUUUUAUGGACCAUCCAGCUAUGAGGUUUUAUCUCAAAAACCUUCGGUACAUUUCUCCCACAUGCCACAAUUGUAUAUUCACAAUUACGUCUGAUACAUCACAUCAUGCCACUUGCCUCAAAUGAAUUUAAGUGAGUGAGGCAGUUGGAAGUAAUUAAGCUCUAUAUUGGUGGGUGGAGUGUUAGUUCUGGGUACCCCUCAUCAUUCGUCUAUAAAAUGGUGAAGCCAGUUGCUACUGUUACCAUAAGAGCCAGCUCCGACUUUCUUUAAUUUCUUGCUUCAUAUCCACUAGCUACAUCUGUUGCUCUUCUCAGUGUAAGCUCUGCAAUUUGAUUAACUUUCCCAUUAUCUCUCACUGUACUCUAUAUAAAGGAAUAAGUGUCGUCCAUUAAUUCUCUCCGAAAGUGUCGUCCUGAUUUUAAUUAGAGUUCGAAUUAAUGUUGCAGCUAGCAGCGGUUGCACUGGCAAACCAUGCUGCUCAACCGGUACCUCAACUUUACUGGAACUCCGUCCUGCCAAACACACAGAUGCCAAGAUCUAUCAGUGAACUUCUGCAUCCUGGUUUGUGUUUGAGCACUUUAGAAUCUUAGAUAUCUCUUCUACCUGCCAUUUUACUAAAAUAUGUUCAACCACAUAUUUAUCAGUUAACUACUGUCAUUACAUGAGUGACACAUAUUCACAAAUCGGCUGAUCACUUAUUUUCCAUUAUGACGUUGAUAUAUAAUGUUGGGAAUGGAAAGCCAAUUGACCACAAGGGAAAACCUGAAAAUACUGUACUACCACAGCUAGCACGAAGCCCAUUUUCUUACAAGAGUGAUGUGGGGACCAAAUCUCAUGUAUCAUAGCUUAACCCAUAUGCCACAACUAAAAGACGUGGGAUGAUCGAACAGCAUACCCACAUGGUCAUGGAUCUCUUCAGAUAAUCAAUAUUAAACAACCCAUAAACUUCUCCCUUUGAAGAACAAAUUAAAACCAAUUUCUAGAGGAAGGUUACAAAACAUUUUAGCCCGUGAAGAACAAAUCAAGACAAUAUAACCCAUUUGAUAACAAAAUCAAAAUGAGAUUUACCAAUACUAGAUGACCACGGCGCCAGUAUAAUGGUACGACGGCGGCGUUAUUGUAACGGUGGAGAAGUGGAUGGUAUGACGACGGUGUUAGUGUGACGGUGGAGGAAACGAUAUUAUGAAGGAGGCGUUGCUAUGUUCGGUGGAGGAGUCGUGUGUUUCACAGUUCAAUAUAUCCUUUUUAGUCAUUUUAUAUUAGGGUAAAUCAGUAAUUCAAUAAAUAAUUUGAUAGUAUGGUGUACUCAGUUAAUAUUAGGGUUCAUUUAACAGCACUCAAAUUAACUAGUGUAGAGUCUAUCUAUAUUAUUAAUACUAAAAAUAAAUAUAUGACUAAAUAACUCAAAAAAAAAAUAAAUCUACAAUCUUUUUUUUAAAAAAUUUUUUUUAUAGAAUUUUAUUAGAUUAAUAGGCACUACUAAAAAAUCUCCUUAUAAACUACAAAUACACGCAUAACUUAUACUAAUGUGAGCUACUGACACCACCUGCCACAUGACAGUUGUCCAAGCAUAGUGUUGUCAUUCAUUAUUCCCCACAGCAACUAACAUCCAAUAAAGGGUUGGGGCCCACCCAUACUCCACCUCUCUGUAUGUAGCUCUUUGAGAAUACAGAAGAAAUAUUUUUUAGGGAAAUAGCUUAAAAUGAUACCCAUUUCAUAAUUUUAAUUAAAAAUACCACCCCUUUCCAAUUUUUGUACAACUAUCACCUAUAAAUAUAAAAUUAUUGUCCACUUAUUGCUGAUUUUUCACAAGUUCAGAAAUUUUGGAAAGAAGAAGCUCACACAGCUCUCUCUCUCUCUCUCUCUCUCUCUCUCUCUCUCUAGCACAACUCUCUUUCUUUGGUAUCUGUCUAUCACAGCUCUCUGUGUCUCUCUUGGCUCUCUCUAUCUUGGCUCUCUCUCUCUCUAGCACAACUCUCUGUCUCUCUCUUUGCUCUCUUUCUCAUAGCGCAGCUGUUUCUCUCUCUAGCUUCGUUAUGUCUCUUUCUCCCCUAUUCGAUCUCUUGCUUUCUGUUUGGAAUCGCGAACCCCUCCCUUUAGCUAUGUCUUCUGAAUAGCUGCUUGCAACCUUGAAGCUCUAGUGGAUUGCCGACCUCGAAAAGGUAGUGUUGAUGGUUAUUUUCUUAAUAUCAGUGGGAUUAUGUGAAAUGGGUUAUAGUUUGAUUGUUUGGGUUUGUGUUAAAUUCGUUUUGGCUUUAAUUUCUUUGGGUUAGGUUUUGUUGAAUAUUCAUACUCAUUCAUCUGGGUUUGUACCAAUUGCAUUUAGAUUGGUCUGGAUAUGUGAAUCUUGAAACUUGGGAUUUUCUAUUUGAUGUAGUAGAUCUGUAUAGUGUGAUUCUGUUGUGUUCCUCUUAUUUUACAGUCGUAUUGCUGUUAUAUUGUCAUUAUAUUGCUUAUAUAUUGCUGUUAUAUUGUGGUUAUAUUGCUAUUGUAUUGUUUGGUUAUUGUGGUUAUAUUGUGUUAAUGAAAUGUUGUUUUGUCAUGGUCAGAAAUGGAGACAAUUGUUAUUCUCGUGUGCUACAAUGGAAAAUGGGUCACCUCGAAGAAGAUGUGCAAAUACGAAGGGGGUGACUCAAAAGGCUUAAUAGUUCCACGGACCAUCAAAUUUGUUGAACUGUUGGACCGUGUGCAUUAGAUUGGUAAUACAAACAGCAGGGAAGACAAGGUUUGCUUAAAAUUCUCAGUUUUGGUGGCCUCGAAUGAGUGGAAGCACAUAAAUAUUGAGGACGAUGAUGAUAUCAAUUUUUUUAUGAAGUACAAUUCCGAGGUAACACCUUCAAAACUAGCUCCCUUACUCGUGAGUAUAGAAGAUAAAGGAUUGACAAAUGAUGUAGUUCAUAGUAUGCAUAUCACGACAGAUAGUAGUCGGAUGGGUCAUUCUUCAGUUGCCAUUGUUGAAAGCAAUGAAGUAACUUGGAAUAAUACGAAUGUCACUGAUGUGGGAGGUGAAGUAGGGACAGAUUUUGUGGAUAUGAUUGAUUUUAGCGAGGUGUAGGAGAUGCAUGGUGGUGAUAAUAGUACUGAAAGAAAUGAAGUGUCAGUGUACUCUGCCCCUCCUAAUUUGGGCUGCUUCAACAUAGCUGCCCAGUUGCCAAUAAUGCGUUUAGGAGGAGAAUCUGAACCCACUCGUCAACAUUAUUGGAGUCAAAUAGGUGAACAAAAUCGGUACAAUGCAGCCGGUGUAAAUGAUGAAGAAGCAUAUUUGGACAGCGGGUUUUCACGAAGUGAUUGGAAUCCGAAAAUUACAGUUGGGCAAAUUUUCUCUAGUAAGAAAGCAUUGUUGACGGAGUUACGGUUGACGGCAUUAAGAGGCCACUUUGAAUUUAAGGUGCAAUUCUCUUGCACUAAAAGGUUGCUUGUGGUUUGUUGUCAACGUCCAUGCCCAUGGCGGGUCCGAGCAUCGAGAAUUGGAGAAUACAGCUUCAUGAUUGUGAGGUGUACAACUGUCCAUGAAUGUGAUUUGAGGUUCGUAAGUGACAAGCAUCGUCAAGCAACCGCAGCACUUGUAGCCACUUCACUUAAAAGGAAGUGACAUUAUGAGAGAUGUGAAACACAACUUUGGUUGCACCAUCCAUUAUUCGAAAGCUUGGAAAGCAAAGGAGUUAGCUCUAUUGUCCAUUAGAGGAUCAGCGGAGGAGGCAUAUUAUAUCCUUCCAGCUUAUUGCUAUGAAUUGGAGCGUAUGAAUCCCGGCACAAAAACACACAUCCAAACUGAUGAGAACAAUCACUUUGUGUAUUUAUUUAUGGCGGUUGGCGCAUGUAUUAGAGGGUUCCGUUCUUCCAUGCGCCCAGUGAUAGCCGUGGAUGCCACUCAUUUAAAAUCCAAGUACAAGGGUGUUAUGUUUGUAGCAAAUGCAUUCGAUGGUAAUUGAAAUAUAUAUCCUCUUGCUUUUGGGAUCGGGGAUUUGGAGACGGAUGCAUCAUGGCAUUGGUUUUUCACUAAACUUCAUGAAGCCAUUGGUGAGUGUCCCAAUCUUGUUAUUAUUUCUGAUCGCAAUGUUAGCAUAGAGAAUGUGUGGAACAAAAUUUUUCCAACUGCACAACGUGGCAUAUGCUUUUAUCAUAUGAAGGGGAACAUGAAACGCACUUGCUAGUUGAAAAAGCGUGAUCACAUACUUAUGCACUUUGAGCAGGCUGCGAAAUCUUAUUCCAUUGCUGAAUUUGAUUGUCAUUUUUGCAAGAUCAAGCGAAAGGAACAUGUUGCUCAAUAUCUUGAAGAGACAGGGUUACAUAAGUGGUCUAGAGCUCACAUGGAUGGACGCCGCUACAAUGUAAUGACAACAAAUAUUGCAGAGUCAAUCAACUCAGUCCUUAGGUUUGCAAGGAUGCUGCCAGUGGUUCAUUUGAUAGGGGAAAUUGUUAAUCUCCUUGUGAAAUGGUUCACCGAACGUUGUGAGUUGGUUUUGAAUUGCACAACAACAUUGUGCCCCAAUUUUGGAGAGAAGAAGUUGAGGAACAGGUUGGAGGAUGCUGCAAGGAUGAAUGUGGUUAAAGUAAAUAAUGCACAGUUUAAUGUUUUGGACGGUGAUAUGGACGGCCUCGUAGAUUUGGCGAACAGCAGUUGUAGUUGUAGAAAGUUUCAGCUUGAGCAGCUACCUUGCAAGCAUGUAGUUGCAGUUUGCCGCUUCUUGAAAGUAAAUGUAUACGCAAAGGCUUCUCGGUAUUACACUCAGAAAACCUGGAUGAUGCUUAUUCGGAUAGCAUCUACCCGGCACAACCUCACGGAAUGUGGGAUAUUCCUGAAGAUGUUCGAAGUCGAGUUGUGCUGCCUCCCAUGGCAAGGGUCAUGCCAGGCAGACGAAAGAAGAUCAGAAUUCCCUCGCAAGGAGAGGGCACCAUUAGAAGAAAGUGCUCAAGGUGCGGUUCCGCAGGCCACAAUAAAAGCACAUGUAAAAACAAUAUUCCAUUGCGCAAUGUAUCUUAGACAAUAUGAUUUGUGUUGCUUUGGUAGGUCAUGUAAACUCUACUUUUAUUUGUGGUGGGUUUCGUGUUAUGUUGAAUGGGAAUUCUUUUAAAUUUGCAUAAUUUGGGUUGCAUUGCUACAGCAUGCUGUAUUGCUGACAGAUUGCUAUUAUAUUGGACUUUUAUUGUACUGGUAUUGCUUCCAGAUUGCUAUUAUAAUUUGAGUGCGAAAUUAAAGGGACUGGAAUGUAAUUCCAAAUGGAUCCAAAUCAUUAAAGUUCUUAGAAUUCCUAUAUUACACAGUUACUGUGAUACUCCGACUAUACCUUCUUUUAUGAUUACAAAUUCGGCCAAUGCAUAGGCCAGAUGUGGGGCAAAUACAAGGUGAAAUGUCCUAUGUGUUUGACUACAUAUACUUGUUGAAGGAGCAUUACGAAUGCUAACCUCAAUAGAUUGCUCAUGUCUUGCCAAGAACACUCUUGAAUUUAUGCAAUGUGCCCAAGCCAGUCCCAAAGCUGGACUCACCCGUCUGCCUGAUGUGUCCAGGGACUCCAAGUUUCCCAACCUCACCUCAUUCACUUUAUCAUGUGGCCCAAUAAAAUCCACCACUUGGUUGGUGACAACCACCGCCAACCCAAACUUAUUUGCUAAACCCUUCAAUGUCCCAGAUAUGUUGAAAAAUAUUUCAAACCGCCAUUUCAAAUCUGCUGGUGUUGUCUGAUACUGUGAUCGGAACAAUGCAGCAAUGGAAUCAAUGACAAUGAGUUUCACAGGUAGGUGGGUGUGAUCAAUGGCAAUAAAUGCUUCUAUGUCUCCAAGGACAUGGAUGAGUUGUUGAGCAUCAUGAACACCAUGAACAUAUAUGUCUUCCAAUGGCUCCAACCUUAUUAAGUUGGGGUAUGAUGCAUGAUAAAGGUUGCCUAGUUGUUGCAAUCGACGAAAUGGGAAGCUGAAUUCUGUGAAUAUGUAGACGGUGGAGCCCUCUAGUCCGCCAUGUGAGGGUGGGAGCUGAGCUGGUACCGUAAGUUGGAGACAAAGUUGCGUCUUCCCAGAACCACUCUCCCCUACCAAUUCUGUUAUAGAGUUGCAGGGUAUCCCACCCCCCAAGCAGUCAUCUAGUAUUGGGCAUCCAAUGGAUAAUUGAGGGGUUGAAAGAGGAAGGAGCAUGAGGUUUUAGGGUGUCAUAUUUGUGUAAUUUAGGGGGGGAUGUGAUGGUGCUACAAGGCAUGCAUUAUAUAUAUAUAUAUAUGUAGAGUUCAUUUUGAAGGUCUGUAUUGUAGGCCAUAUGUCUUUUAAGGGAUGUAUAAUCCAUCCUUUUUUCAGGUUGUAAUUAAUUUUUUGUUUAUUUAUUAGUAUUUUUUUGGACCAAAUAAUUUAAAAAACAUUAUGAUGCAGUACGUACUGUAAUAGGAUCAUAUUGUAACUCUAUCAUCACUCUAUUGUACUCUUAUUGACAUAAUAUUGCCGUUAUAUGCAUGUUUAUUAUAUAGUUAUUACUGCUAUAUCGCCACUGAACUGGACACCGAUAAACUGUAUACGCACAAAUACAAAAAGAGGCUUCAUCAUUCCAUAAAAUCCUAUUUCCAAACUUACAUAAUACAACAACAGGCCACCCCAUCGUUACAUAAUACAAAAAUACGCCACCUCAUAGUUCCAUUUCCCUACUGUUGACAAAUUCGAAGUUGCAUACUCUUCAAGUGCGGUGACCGCGACGCAUGAAAUUCAUGACCCCGGCCACAGUGAUGUUGGCCUAGUUUCCUGCCGGAUCCACUAUUUUUGCAAACUUACGAAAUAGUUCGAAUCCGCUUUCCACUUCUUCUUGCUUCAACUUGGCCGUUGCUUCUGAUUCCUUGAAUACCAUAAUUGCAGUGGUAGGGGCAAUUUCAAUUUUUGCUUUCAUUGUCUUUAUAUGUAGGAGAUGCAUGCGCGCAUGAUAACGAGAGCGAAUUGUGCGGUUUUUUAUGACACCCCAUCUAGUUUGGCCCUCCACAAUUUUGAAACUAUGUCUGCAUGAAGAUUUUUCCAAAACAUGGUAUUGCCUCGACAUUGCUGCAUGCCAUGGACCAAGUCUGCAGGGAGUGAAUUGGGUGACUUGGCUUGUGUUUCAGUCUUCUCUCCUUCAGUAAUUGAAAGUGUUGGGUGUGGUGUGAGGUUAUGGUCCAUGGUCUUCGAUAUUUAUUGUAGCCUAGUGUACAACUUAAUUGGAAAAAAAGGGGACUAAAUGCGAUGGGAGUGAAAUCAGUGGGGAAGGUAGUGGCUGUAAGCAGGAGUUAAUGUGAUGGAAGUUUUCAUUUCAAACAACUGGGUUGAUUAAUAUAGGCAAGUUUUAAUGACCUGGAGUAACUCAGAGAGUUAUUGGUGGGAGGGAUUAGAGGGAGUAAUUGGCGGGAGGGAUUGGCGGGAGUCUUAGGCGGGAUAGUAUUGGGCGGGAGUUAUUACCCAGUUGACUGUAUGCCUUUUUGUAAUAUAUUUGUAUGUUGGACGUUCCAAACUUGGUAAUUUUCCCAUUAUGUAAUUCAAAUAAGGGAUUUGCCUAUUUGCCUAAUUGACCAACUCAUUCAAAUUGACCAAUAUGGUUAUUGUCUUAUUUCUCAUUUCAGCAAUCUCAAUUCGUUUCCAUUUUUCCAUUCUUCAUAUUUUCCUAUUUUCCAUGUGUCAUCCAAUUUUCCAAUUUUCCAAUUUUUCAUUAUUUUUGCCUAUUUUUUCCUAUUCCCUAUUUUCCUAUUGUGCAAUUUCCCAAGUUUCCUUUUGUUGUAUUUCUAGUUUUCCAAUUUUUCAAUGUUCCCAUUUUCCCAUUAUGUAAUUUAAAAAAAGUUGCCUGCUUUGCCUAAUUCAGAAAGUAAUUAAAAUGGUCCAAUAUGGUAAUUGUCUUAUUUUCCAUUUCCACAAUUUCAAUUCGUUUCCAAUUUUCUUAUUUUCCAUGUGUCCCUAUUUCCUAUUUCCAUUUUUCAAAUUUUAAGUUUUUGUCCAAUUAUCCAAUUAUCUUUUUUCCAAUUGGACUAUUUUCUAAGUUUCCUUUUUUUCCUAUUUCCAAUUUUCCAAUUUUUCAAUUUGCUAACUUUCCUUUUGUUCUAUUUCCAAUUUUGCUAUUUUCCAAGUUGCCUUAUUUCCUAUUUUUCAAUUAUCCAGUUAUCCAAUAUUCCAAUUUUCCAAUUAUCCAAUUUUCAAUUUUCCAAUUUGCGAAUUUGCCUAUUUUCCAAGUGUCCUUUUUUCCUAUUUCCUAUUUCAAAUUUUCCAAUUUUCAUGUUUUCAGAGUUUCCUUUUUUUUUCCUAUUUUCCAAGUUUCCUUUUGUCCAAUUUCAAAUUUUCCAAUUUUCCAAGUUGCUUUAUUUUCCAAUUACCCAAAUUUCCUAUUUUCCAAGUGUCCUUUUUUCCUUUUUCCAAUUUUCCAAUUUUCCAAGUGUCAUGUAAUCCUAUUGCCUAGUUUCCUCUUUCCAAUUUUUCCUUUUUUCCUAUUUCCAAUUUUCAAUUUUCCAAAUUUCCCAAAUUUCCAACUUUCCAUUUUUUCGUAUUUCCGAUUUGCCAAUUUUCCUUUUGUUCUAUUUCCAAUUUUCCAAGUUUCCUUAUUUCCCAUUCUCCAAGUUUUCACUUUUCCUAUUUUUCAAUUUCGCUAUUUUCCAAUUUUCUGUUCUGAAAUUCGCAAUAAAUGCUUAGUUACACAGUCCUAUUUUGGGUUGAAAUCCACAAUUUUCAAUUUCCCAUUAAGGUUUGCUUUUUUGUCGUUUGGAAGCCAAUUUUAUUGUUGUUAAUGUAAUGUUGUACUGUUGUAAAUUACAGCCAAUGAGUUAAUGAUGUAGUUUGCAAUCCCAUCAAUUGAAUGCACCAACUAAAUACCCAAUAUACUUCAUAUAAGUUCGUACAUAUAACUCAACCUUCCUAUACAGAACUGCAACAGAGGCACCUUCUUAACGGGAAAGGUAAUUAGUCUUACUAAAACGCAAAUAUUCUCCACUACAGCUAACCAAUUGUCGUUUACAACUGGAGACUGAAUCUACCUUUAUUUGUUUUGUUGCAGGCAACAGCUGUGAAUUGUCCCCGGCAAUACUUAAAGAUGUCGGAUGUACGCCCUCCAAAUGAGCAUGUCACAGUUACCCGGGGGACCAGCCGUGGCAUGUGCCAUUCCCAUCUCCACCUCGGACUCCCAAUCAUGAUCCCACUUCAUCUGGAAGUGAGGCUGAGAGCAAUGAUCCGCUUGACAAAAUCUCUGCCGUCAAGCACCACCUCCAAUAUAUGUCAAAGGCAACGGAUUGGUGGGAGAGUAAGUGCGAUAUUCAUGGCCAAGUUAUGGGAAACUUGGCCAACAAGUUGAACAAAGCAUACGCUGGAGAGGUGAAGCAAACUCUAAAAGCAAAAAGUCGGAGCAAAGAGUUAGAGUCCUUGAAGUUGAAAUUGGAAGAGAGAAAGAAAAAUGCUGUCGAAAAAUUCACACAAUCUGAAGAAUAUAACCAUGAAAUGGUUGAAUGUUUCAACAACGGCUUUGAAAUGUUCCGAGAUUAUGCUUCGGUCAUCUCACCAGACUACAAUUGGAGUGAAAUUGAUGUAGCUGGUGUUUGGCAGGUGCUGAAUAUGGGUGCUGAGGGAAUGGCUCAUCAUAGCCUCGUGCAUGCAGCAAGGAGAAAGGACAAAGACUUGGAUCUUUUGAUGGACCUGUAGUAACAGUGAGUGCUGCUUCAGUUCAACUCACCUGAGUACAUGGAUCUUUUGUUGCCUUCAUUUUCCCUUCGCAGGCUAGUAUUGUUAAGGUUCGGUGGCGAUUUCUUUUGCAUGUGUAAAAUGUUGUCUGUAAUGUGUAUGUAUUGUAUGUAGAUUGACUUAAUAUUGUAGUUCUAUUGUAUGUAUAUUGCCUUAAUAUUGCCUUUGUAUAGCAUAGAUAGUGUAUGCAUAUUGCCACCGUAUUGGAUGUAUAUUGUAAAACUAUUGGUAUCGUAUUGCCCUUAUAUUGCUCUAAUAUUGCCUCUAUAGUGCACCUAUAUUGACCUAAUAUUGCUCUUAUAUCGUAUGUCAAUGGCAUGUGCUCUAAUAAGUCUCCAGUUCGUUGAAAGUAAUCCUGAAUUCAAAUAUGAUGGACAAGACAAUUGUUAUCCAUCCUUAUAUUACCAUGAAUUGAUUUGGACCUUUCAAAUGAUAGUUGGAGUUGCACAUGGAUUCAUAUUCAAAAGGAAAGUAAUUCUCUCCCUCAAUGAAUUGUCGUUCAAAAGAAGGCAGCUAUCAAAUUUUGGGUACAAAAAGGCAACAUCCACGGUAAAUUAAUUGGGCACAAACCACAUAUUACAAAACCAGGAUGAUUUUUGGCAUGCUUCAAAAGAGAAGGGCCAAAUACAACAGAAAAGAAAAUCCAUUCAAGCUUGUACAAUAGAAUGCACAAUAACCCUUUUACAUGUCCUUCCAACACCAGUGUUUUGCCUACUUUAGAGUCGCAGGAGGAGAGCUUAUUGCCAUUGUGCAAUUCGAGGGGGCAGUCAAUUUGGAAUGGUGGCAUAAACAUGUUUACUCCACGGAUCACCUAUAUGGGACAGAGCUUCCUUCUUCCCUUGUCGUCUGUAGGUUUCAACUUCACACUUUUUAUAUACAUGUAUGAGAACUUGUGGCUAUUUAUUUAUGGCCUUCUAACACUUGUUCUGCCAUUCCAAAGUGGGUUGGAGACUUUUUGAGUUGAAUGACUGGAAAGACUUCAGAUGACAGAAACUAGAGAGUUUGAAGAAAAAGGGUUACCAAGAACAGCAGUCAUGCCCACGACAUAAACUAAACAUGCUAUAAGCUCCACAGUAAUAUUUACUUCAUCUCCAUAAUCAGAAUAUUGGGAAAAAAAUACCACGGAGAAAUACGUGAAAUGAAAAACAACUCGGCAGUUACUGUGAGAUUGUGUACAUAAAACUUGGAACAACCAAACCAAUUAAAGCUAAGCCAUCUCAUACGUAUACCUACAUCAAAUAACAGUGUAUGGUCAUCUUGUUUAGAAUAUUGCAAUCAACACUUGGUUGAGACCGACCUGCAAAAACAACUGGGUUAAGUACAGAUGAAGCCAUUUAUGAAGGGCAGUUCCAGAAUUAAGACCUACGUUAAUUUGUAACUGCCACCGAAUCAGUUCAUAGUGCCAAAUGCAUCUACCAAGCACACAGAUAUGACCAGCCAAAAGAAAAAAAAGCAAAGUAAAAAAGAUAAAAGAGGCAUGCCAUAAAUGGGAACCUCAGCAGAAAUCAUCAGAUAUGCAUACAAGCAGAUUGAGUAACAUCUCACUAAGUAGAGGUCAUGUUGGUAAUCGCAUGUUGUGUUUGCACACAGACAUUUGGUUUUUGCAAACACAACAUGCAAUUGCAUUCCAUGAUGUGUGUGUUGUGUUUGCACACAGACAUUUGGUUUUUGCAAACACAACAUGCAAUUGCAUGAUGUGUGUGUUGUGUUUGCACACAGACAUAUGGUUUUUGCAAACACAACAUGCAAUUGCAUAUUGUGUGUGUUGUGUUUGCACACAGACAUAUGGUUUUUGCAAACACAACAUGCAAUUGCAUAUUGUGUGUGUUGUGUUUGCACACAGACAUUUGGUUUUUACACACACGAUAUGUAACAUUUAGUUUUACCCUUUUAUUCUUAUUUUCUUCGUUCAAACAUGGUGGUGAGAAAAGCACCAAACCAUCCCAUCAUAUAAAGCAAAACUCAUACAAUAUUUUAGAUGCAAAAGUUAUAUAUUUUAUAUAAAUGCAUCAUCCGCAUGGCUUGAAAUUACAAAUUCACGUUCACAUAUUACUUUUCACAAGCGCACAGACUAACAAUAAUAAUAAUCAACCAAGUAGUUGCGACAUUCAUCCUAUUACGUCCAUAUUGAUAAUGUCAGAAGUUUCAUCGAUAAGCCUCAUCAAACUACAAGUUUUUUAAUUUGAAUUAUGAAUUCAGAACUAAAAGCUCAUGAUAUGCAGAAAAUGACAUACAUUGUCCACAAUCGACUUUUCGAUAUAUUUCUGCUCUAGCAAUUUAUCGUCCAAAUUCUGGACUCUCUGUGUCAGGUGCUUCUUUGUGUUCUAUCCAGCAUAAGAAUAUUUAAUAGUGUGAUUUCAAUUGUUUAUACAAAUUCUAUAAGUAAUAUUGAUGAGUGCUGUAAAUCUAUUUGAUAUUGGGAACAAACAUGGUCCCACUAACAGAAACUCAAACAAAACAGGAAUUUUUUUUUAUUUUUUUUGGCAUAGACAGCCGAAAAGAAACUUACAGCAAUAGCCUCUGUCACGCUCUCCAGACGUUUAUGCAAUUUUGAAACAGCAGCAUUCAUACUACGCUUUGUCACAUACAGAAGAUCUGAGAAUUUUAGACCCUAACCAUUUGUGAAGAGCAAAUAUUAGAUUUGCUUAAAGAAGACAACAACUCACAGAACCAAUGGAUGAAAUAAUAUGAACAUAAAUAUAUCAUUUGGAUACCUUCCACCACAUGUAACCAUAACCCAAUGCCCCCAAGGUAGCUGUUGGCAUUAUUAGUGAUGUCAAACCUAUUAAAAAAAUCAAAAAAAAAAAUAUAACCAAGUAUAAAAUGUUUCUAUUGCAUUAUGAAAUACAUACGUGUAAGGAAUUAAUCGUUUUACAACUUAACCAAAAAGUCAAGGCAGGAGCAUGCAUUCAUUGAGUGGUUAUAAGCAAGAGGAAAAAGCACAAAGCAUGCUAAGAAUUCAUUUGAACACAGAAGAGAAAGUAAGCUACCUUGGAAUUUGGCUGUCAUUCCCCUUCAGGACGGCUCUCUGUAGUGACGAGUCUAGUUGUCGGACCUCAGCUGCCAGUCGGCGCACCUAAAACAAAGUAACACAGGAAAAUUGAUAUCCAUUACAAAAAACAAAAAUUGAACACGAGAAAGCAUCCUUCGACACUAAAUUUAUAGCAGUUUUUCCAAUACCUGUGAUGCGAUCGCAUAAAAGUCACCUUCUGAUUGUUCUCCGGUUCCAUUGAACAAAGGCUGCAAACAAAACAGAAAUAGACACAAAUCCAUCAAUUUUUUGAGCAACAAGACACAAGCUCCGAAAUAAAUAAACUAUCUAACUGAUCAAAACCCUAGUUUACCAAAUGCAUUACAAAAUUAAAAACUCAUACAAAAAUAACACCAAAUACAAAUGUUCUGCGAGUUCCACUAGCAAAGCAGAGUACAAAUCAUGAAAAUGGUACCUGAAGUUCACCGAUCAAUUCAGAUAAUUGACCAUUCUUACGCAGGAUGGUGCUCGUAUACCCUGUAGAAAGAGAACAAUCACUCAGAUCAAAUGUAGCUAAAUACACAAGGAAACUAAUCCAGUAUGCAAGAUGAAAGAGGAGUGAUUGGUACCUACUCCAGCGAAGAUCAGCAAACACAGUAUGAGGUUCCAAAUUCAAAUAACAACAUAAUGCUAAGCAGAGAAGUAGAAUUGCUGCCGAAAUUAUUUAAAACGAACUAAGUCAAAACUAAAUGGAGAAAUGUUAACAAAGUUGUAUGCUUCAGUAAGUCCAGUAACAGAUUCCCAAAACCACAGAGACAAAAUGUGAACAAUGGCUACAAAAGCAUCCAUAAAGAGCAACUAUGUUUAUAUAUGGAGGUGUACAAAAUAGUUAACCUUCAAAAUCGAAACAGUGUGUGUGCCAUGUAAGGCAAUUAGCCACUGCUUCUAGACUAUACAAUAUUACACCUCACAAUAAUAACUAAACCAACUAGCUCUAGCAAAAAGGCAGGAUGACCAUAUAAAGUACCCCCAGCAAAGCAUCUACGUCUGCAUCUUCAUAUCAAGGAGUUCCUGACAUAAGUAAUGAGCAAAGUGAAUUCCCAAGUCAUAAGUCCAGAAUGAGGUGAAUUCACGGACAUUAAAACAUUUACCUCAUAAAUAUGCCUCCCCCCUUAAACCCUCAAUUGCAAGCCUCAGCCGGUAAUAUUUGAUCUUCAAAGGGUCAACUUUAUCUACCGAAAUCCCAGCACUGAGAUGCUCGAUGAAUUUGACGGUCAUGAUUCCGCAAGACGUACUGUGAGACCAAUAAGUUGGGAAAUUAGAACUGCAGUUAUGUAAGAUUUGGAUAAACUGCACUAAAUUCACAAAGCUUACCCAUCUCGUUGUUGUGGCACAUCUGCAAUGCUGCAAACUGAGAAUGGCGUAAACGUCAACAUCUUCAGCCCCUUUUGCUUAACCUUUUCAACCUCAGAAUCUUCAUAAAAGUGCAUAUCGUACAGCACUCGUGCCAGCGUAUCGCUAAUAGGGUGCAGAAGUGUAACCAGCUUCGAACAUUUGGUAAAAGCAACAUAUGAGUCAUACACAGUUGCAGUAUGUCAGACGAAAUCAAUUUCGAUUGCAACCCAGUAAGACCCUUUAAGAUUAUAUGGAAUAUAGACCUUCCGGACUUUUGUCCAAGCUUGGCCAUACCCGUGUUGCCACGUACCGCGUACAAAGUAAUGUAUAUUCUGCAGCUUGCUGGGUGGAAGGUCAACGGUGUUUGAAGCAACUGCCUUCUUCGAUCCACGUUUCUUGGCAGUCGGUUUGAACGGAUCUAGAAAUUGCUGCAUAAAUUGAAAUGAAGGCAUAUUAGAAAAUCACAACCGAAAGCAAAUGAAGCAGCGAAUGUAACAUGGUAACAUGUUUACCUGCAAGCAACAAUCUGCUGUUGUCCAGUCAGUUCCAAAUACCAACGGAUGAGAGAGUUGCCUUUUCCAGAUAAGAAAGGUUGCCAUGUCCAGGUGCUGAAAGUUGACACACAUAAUAUCAGCACAAUUUCAUACAACUGUACACUUAAAAAAGGUGAGAAAACAAUUUAAUUAUCGCAAUAAAGUAGAGCUUUGUGUAUUCUUACCCUUGAGCUAAUCCAUUCCGUUUCAUCGAUAAGUCUGUAGAAAAAAUCAGCGCCCACUGAAAAUAAUUCCAGCUGCACCUCCGCACUACAAAAGGCAAACUUGCAAUGGUUACUUUUAUAGUCAUCUCAUAAUUCUGACUUUGUUGAUGACAAAAAUACACAUGUAUAUUAAAGCAAACUCUACGUUUUCUCAUUAGUCUAUGACUACAUACUAGAAUAGGAUGAAGAUUGGAAUUCAAAGGUAAAGAAUCCUAACCUGAUAUCGUUUUUCCAGGCAGUACAAAACUCUAUUACUGCCUUCACAUCUUCAAUGGGCACGGAUUUUGAUGGAUCAAAACAUGGCGGGGUUGCAGUCGCAGCCAACACACUCAUCGUCCUCUUCUUCCUCAAAGGAUCAGUAAAUGGGCUCAACAAUGUCUGCGCCGGGCGCUUCUGUCUGCACCCUUUACCUUCCACUUCUUUUUUUUCCACACUCGAACUACCUUCUUCAUCACCAGCCAUACUAACUGUGGGUAGACUUGGAGGAUUCAUCGGACCUCCCGAUGGCAUACUCUUAGUCACUUUCCAAUCUUCUAACAGAGACAACACUUUUUGGCAGAUUUCGUCACACCCGGCCACAUCUUCCGGGGUAGGCAGCUUCUCGGAUUGUGCCUGCUCAGCUGCUUCAUGCACUUGUAAGUGAGGAACUGAAGCGGCCAUUUCUGCCUCUUCGACUACCAUGGCUGCGGAAGGUUCGGCUCCAUCACCGGGAACUUGUGUUUCCAUUACCGCCGGUUCUGUAGGCGGACUAACAUGGUCAUGUAAUGGCGACAAGUGAUUGUCGCCUCCUUCAUUCAUAUGAGGACUACUGAGGUCCUCAUGUCCUUUCCCACCUUCAUUCACCCCACCAUUUCGUUUUUUCAGCUGCUCUAUCUCCACAUUAAAAUAAUGCUCCAUUAAAGCCAGGGUGUUGCGGAAAUCCUCCACACACUUUUUAUUUUUUUCGAACUCUCUUUCAACUUUCAAUGACUCCUUCCGUACCAUGUCUUCCAACUGAUGCACUCUGUUGCGAAGCGCUCGAUUUGAUAUGGCAACUUUGGCCAAUUCAUCCUUUGUCCUUUGAAAGUCACGCUUCAAAGUGCGUAACUCUCUGGACGCGACUGUACCCUGCAUUCAGUUAUAAUGCAAGUGUUACAAUAUUUUCAAAAUAUAUUGCAACAAUACAGCAGUUAUUUUCCUAUUGUAUUAUGACGUAUAUCUUGGAAAAAAAUGUAAUGCUUGCCUUAGAAGACGACGGAAGGCUAGCAGUUUCGUCAAUGUCCUUAUCUUUUUCUUCUACAGAGGCAGAAGUGCUGGUUUUUUGUUCAGCGUCAUCGCCAAACAACUGAACAAGUUCUUCAGUGUCGUCAACACUGUCACCCCAAGUCCAAUACGGCUGCUGCUUGUCGAUUACAGAUGGCCGGAGAAGUUGCACAUCAACCUGCAAUUUACACAUACAAUAUACAUAUCAGUAAACUUAUUAUAUUAUAUUUUCAUAUGCCUAACAUUAUCAUUAAAAACUUAACUAACCUCACGGUUCUCGAAUACUUGGCUCAUUAGCUCAUAAAAACACGGCGAACUAUUGCUCCUCCAAUGUAGUAAACGAGGGAUGUAGGCAUUAUCUUCGUGCACCACCAAAUGUAGUGCAGCCAACGCUGGAAAAACCUCAUAAGCCCAAAUCUGGUUUGAGGAAUAAAACGUGAGUCACUGUAAACAAAUGAAAUUUAACUUCAACAUGAAUGGAAAUUUGCUCACCUGAAGUGCAUAGGCAAAACCUUUGAGGUGGUACUCUCUUGGUCUACCAGUUGCCGUUGUUUUUGCUUUCUUUUCAGAUUUUUUUGUUUUUGCAGCUUUUUUGGGCACUUUCACUCGCUGGUAAUCUGUACAAAGUGCCCUCAGAAGUGACACAAUUGUCUUGGCAUAACACACAGCACCCCAUGGAUACUUCCCAAACUCUUCAAGGUCUUCCACCAACUUCAAAUAUCGCAUGUCAAUCUGGACAUGUUUUUCACUGCCCAACAGCACAAACACAGCAAAGUAUACAAAUCUGAGCUUCAAUACAUCGUCCGCAUCAACGCAUUUGAGGAAGGCCUUUUCUAAUUCCAAAACAUUGACAGUUUUAUAGUUGCCAAAGUACUUCCUUUUCAAUGAGCAGUUCUCAUUAGUGGGAAUCGGAAUAAAGGGAAGGUUUCCAAACCUUAGCCCUGUCACGAUGCAAAAUUGCUGCGCCGUGAAUUGGAUCACCUUAUUGCCAACGAUGAAUUUGAUCCCGUUGAGUUGGGAAACUGUCUUUGGAUCAGCUUUCCUCAGCAGCAAGCCGUGGACAAUUGGCGAAGUCCACUUGAGGUCCUCAAUCAGUAGGAGAUGCCCAAAACAACUCUCUUCAAACCUUUGUAGCUGUUGUUCACUGAAUUUCUCCUUUAUCGUGCUGAUUGCAGUCUUCGUAUGGGAUAGGGACAAUGCUUUUCCUUGGAACUUUUCUUCCUCUGCAAUCAUCAACUUCAUUUGAGCAACCAUCUUUCCCUGCAUGCCAAUAUUAUAAAAAAAAAUUCAGUCCGUUGCAAUCUAGACAAUAACAAGCAAUAAACAAUCAGCACUUAUCUACAGCCUAUUAUAGGAUAUUAAGUGAAAACAAAAAAACAAAAAAUACAGGGCAUAAACAAAACCCCAGCUAUUUACAACUGACCUACUAAUUCAAUAGCUCAAAGCCACAUCCCAAGACACCCAGUACUCUACCACUCUUGCAUAAUAUAAUAUCUAAAGACACAUCUCAACACACCAGAUAAUCAUGACACAGCUUCAGCUAGAAUGGGAAUGUGCGGUAGCACAAGCCUAAUUGAGAACAAUUCAAGACUAACGAUAGAAAUCUAUCUGACUAGAAAGAGUUUUAAAAAAACAAGAAGACAUCGGGAAAGAAUUGAUUGACUUCAAGGUAUAAUGUAAUGGAACAUCCUAUGAAUUAGUGGCAACCAUAAUAAUGACUCCACUAUGGCCCUCCUUUCAAAUGUAAGAAAAUGAAUGAAAUUGGCACCAUCCCUUCAGUUUUUUCUUAACAAAAUAAGAGAUUUGUAUGUAUUCUCUGCUUUAUCGAUAUCAAAGAUAAAUUAAUAAAUAAACCAUCAAAACUGUAUAAAAUGUUUGUUAGACAUGUACAAUUACAAAAUUAUAAGUUCUCCUCAGAAACAAAGUUCUCUAAGUACGCAAACAAGAAAAGCAAAAGCUUAAAGAGUUAGCUUAUAGCAAAAUCAAUGUCCCCAUUUCUCUAAACCACACCUGCUGGUGGUAGGUUCCCAUCUUCACUCAUUUCCCGCUUUCUUUUAAACAGACAAUGAUCAAGCACAAAAGAGCAAACUUUUAAAUAACUCAUAUUACACCACAAAUAGUUCUAAAGAAAACUUAUUCAUAUCCAAUAUGCAACCCCUAAAGUUAGUAAACAGAGUUAUAAAAAAAUAUGUCAAAUUAACAAGCAUUAUUCUCAAACAAAAAGUAUGAUAUGGUUGGGAGUUUACAAGUUCAAAAUGAUAUACACAGGUUAAUUGUCUUAGACUUUAGAUAUCAUCUUCAACAAAGAAAAUAGAUACCGAUUAGACUUGUAAGAAGGUUAAAUGCAAUGGUCAUAAAGACCCAUAGUAAGCCACCAAAUACCAAUCAAUAACUGCUAUAAAAACCAUAAUAAAACCAUAAUAAACUAAAAAUACAACAGCACUAAAAUGCCAACACAACAUCACUACAUUAGCAAUAUAGUAGCAACAAAACCACAAUACGACAUCAAUAGCAACAGCAAAACAACAGCAGUGCAAGCAUCAGUCCACAAAGAACAAACCCAUUCACUGUUUCAAACAAGGAAUCAUCAUACUAAGAUCAUUUCAGAGAAACCCCAAAACCAAUUUCAGUGAAACCCCUAAACCAAUUUCAGAGAAACCCCUAAACCAAUUUCAGAGAAACCCCUAAACCUUCAACCAAUUUCGAACAAAUCCCUGAACCAAUUUCAUAGAAAUGCAUAAACCCUAAACCAACUUCAAAGAAACCCUAAACUGUAAGAAAAUGACGAUGAACAGUACCUGUUCAAGGUGAACGAUGGAGUUGAGCUUCGAUGAACAAAUUUCGCUCGGAGAGGAAGAGAGAAGAGAGAGUCAGAGCUGAGCGACGAGAGAUUAAGGGCUGAGCGACGAGAGAGUGAGAGCUGAUCGACGAGAGAUGAGAGAGUGAGAGCAAAGUGACGACAGAGUGAAGAGAAAUUGAGAGAAGGAGCCAAGAGAGAGAGCUGAGAGAGAACUUCAGCAAAACUGAUAGAGAACUUCAGCAAAAGUGAUAUGUGUACAAUAAGGGGACAAUAAAUAUAUAUUUAUAGGUUAUAGUUCCAAAUUUUUUUAAAAAGAGUGGUAUUUUCAGUUACAAUUAUAAAAAUGGUGGCAUUUUGAGCUAUUUCCUUAUUUUUUAUUCAACAUGGACGCAGAAACUGUUGCUAAACUGCAAACUUCUUAAAAUAUUUGUCUCACUUUCUCAACCCUAUAUUUGUCUAACUUUCUAGAUCCAUGUACUGAGAUUUAUUAGGGAAAUAUUGUAGAAACUGAUUAUUUUGAAAUAUUAAAUGUGAAAAACUGAACAAAAAUUUGAUGGGUUACAUAUUUCAACUCAUUUCAGCAGCUUAGAUUUUGAAGACCUCGGAAGAGGCCAUGCAGUGAGCCUAGCUAGUGCACUGUUGAUCACUUCAGUGUCUACCGAUCUGUAAUUUUUCCAGAUUGGUUAUAUUUUCCUUUACAUAUUCUUAUAUUAUUCCCAGCUGUAAGUGUUUUACACACUUGUCUAUUAGAAAAGGGGAGACUUAUAAAUAAAUCCAAAAUGGGUACAGUAUUUAUAAAGAAUGACAAAAUUAAAGUGUUUGGGCAAUAAUGCCCUUAUUCAUUUUGAGAUUGCCUAAGGAAUAUUUUUUCUGAUUUUCAGAAGAUGCCAAAGGACCGUUGUUUGAUGAUUGCCGUAAGGAGCUAAGAAAACUUGCUUUGAUAGUUUUGGACAGAUGCAUGCUACUGUUGCUGGGAUGAUCUCUUCACGUGAAAUGAGGAUGAUGAUGCUUCUACACUACACAAUCCAACGAAUUCACAUGUCUAUUUCAGAUACAAGUAUAAACUAACAAGGCUUUAAAAUAUGGGCUGAUGCACUGUUGUUGAUGUUGCUGACACUGUUACUGUGUUGUUGAUACUGUCACUGCGUUGCUGUUGGAAAAAGCACAAGGACUUCACAUGUUGCUUUCGUCUUUUGUGGAGGAGAGAGACCUAGGACUUGCAUGUCUUAGAUAUUUAAGAUAAGGGGCUUUCGUUCCAUUUUGAAAAUACUUUGGGUGUUUUUGAAAGGUGAUUGUUUCUUUUGGGUUUCUCACUAAAUUUCGCUUUAGAAGGGAAAAUAAUAAUAAUAAUGUCAAACAAAGUAGGGUAAAUAUUCAGAUAUGCUCAUAUUAUUAUUCUUCUCCAAUAUUGAGGUAUUUAUACAAGUACAAAGAUGUGUUAACCCUAAAUAAAAUAGGAAAUAUAUCUAAAUUAUAAUAGGCAGUAAAUCUCUAUUACAAUAGGACUAAAUAAUAAUUGGUAAGUAACCAAAAUUCUAAUGAAAUAAGGAAUCAAAAUCCUAACUAAGUAAGGACUCGCCAACACUCCCCCUCAAGUUAGGGCAAACAUAUUUCGCAUGCCUAACUUGACAAGCGAGUCAUAGAACACCAUACUUGAGAAGCACCAAUUGUAGAGAAGGUCUUUUCGUCAACCACGAGUGAAACAAGUGACAAACUAAAGCAAAGUUCGCAGCGGAAACACAAGAGCGAAUCCUAAAAAAUAGGGCACAUAGCAGAACACAAAAAUCCUGGAGCACGACAGUAGAUAAGGCAGAACACAGAAACCCUGUUAGCACGGCAAUAGGUAAGGCAGAAAAAGUCAAGAGCAAAGGCAAGGUCAACAGGCGUGACCACAACGAAAACACACCAGCAAAGACAUGAGCAACAAUAUUAGCACCAUAAUAGACAUGAGCAACAAUACUGGUACCAACAACAGCAAUACAAGGCACUGGCACCAGCAAGAGCAACAAGGCAUGGACAUAACAUGCAUAAUCAAUAGUAAUCAACAUUGUCCCCAACAAGAGUCAUAAUAGGCAUGAGCAAUAACAUUGUCCCCACUAAGAGACUUAACAGGUAUGAGUAACAGUACUGGCACCAGCAAAGGGCAUAGUAGUCAGCAGCAAUAACAAUGACAAAUACUUCUAUUAUUGCAGAGACAACUUCUCUUCACUCCCCAUCUCCCCUUGAAGAGAAGGGGUCAUCGGAACCAUAAGAAAAGUGGCACUUAAGAAACAGAAGUUGACUGACGCUCAAAUGUAGAAGAAUCAGCCAUGGCAAAUAGGUAGCUGAAUUGCAGCGGAAUAGAUGAGCAGCGGUGUCACUCCCCCUCAUAUCUGAUAAUGUAUGAGAGUCGAGAUUUGGAGAAAGCAAUAUCGAAAAAUAAAGUUGCAGAACCCAAAUAAAGUUGCAUCUAUCUCCCCAUCAAAUCCGACACUGGUAAAGGGUCGAGAUUUGAAAGAGGAGAAAUUGAAAUAAUAGUAAAGAGACUCAAACAUGCAGUCUCAUGGCAGAAACAAAUGCAAGAGGGGAAGAUGGUAGCAUACGGUUGUCCCAUGAAGAAAAAACUUCAGAAAAGGAGAAUAGUAAGGGAGGAAACCUAGCAAAUCAUGAACAGAGACAAAGACAAAGAUGCUCAAACUGAGAAGCGGAAAGGCAACUCAAGAGAGCAACCGAAGAAGACAGAGGCCCGCAGAACAGUCAAAGUUAAGGCUCGGCGAGUGGUGACGAUGCUCGCGGAGGAAAGCAACGGCUCGGUGAGCGGUGAUGAGGCUCACGGAGUAAAGAGACUUGUUAUGAAGUUUCAAAGAUAGAGAAGCUGAGACAUCAAGAAAGACCAUCUGGCAUACAAAGAUGAAAAAUAAAAAUUUUGGAACAGUAGCAAAGAAGCAUGUGAAGGCUGGUGCGGUGAAAACACAUAUGAAAGGAUGAACAAAAGAAGAUGACUAUACAAGAUGAAGACCCAUGAUGGGUUAGGAAUGAGGAGUGCCAACGACUCUCAAUUUGGCAGAGGUUAUCGCAGGUUAGGAACCUGGCUCUGAUACCAUGUCAAACAAAGUAGGGUAAAUAUUCAGUUAUGCUCAGAUAUGCUCAUAUUAUUAUUUUUCUCCAAUAUGGAGAUAAUUAUACAAGUACAAAGAUGUGUUAACCCUAAAUAAAAUAGAAAAUAUAUCUAAAUUACAAUUGGAAGUAAAUCUAUAUUACAAUAGGACUAAAUAAUAAUUGGUAAGUAACUAAAAUUCUAAUGAAAUAAGGAACCAAAAUCCUAACUAAGUUAGGACUCGCCAACAAAUAAUAGUACAACUCUUAUUAGCAACAGGUUACAAACUUCUUCUACAACACACCAACAUGAAUCUAGCCCUGAUCCACUCUUUUACAUACUUGAAAACAAAACAAAACACGAAAAACAAAAAACAAGAAACAAGAUAGGGAGAAAAUGGCUACGGAGAGACUUCCUGCUAAUCAGGGGCGGCCCUGGGGUGGUGCAAGUGGCGUCACCGCACAGGGCCCCCGAUUCUUAAGGGCCCCCAAAAAAUAAUUCUUUAUAUUAUAUAUAUAUAUAUUAAUAUUAUAUGAAUCGUAUAUAAAGUAUAGCGUCUGGAUGAUAAAGAGACUCAUUAUCAUUAUCUUAGUCAUAAGAUUCAAAAUGAAUUGAUACUUUUGUUAGCUUCUGAGCUCAAAAGUGCAAUCAUUAAAAAGAUUGAAGAAGCUAAAUAUUUUUCUGUGAUUCUUGAUUGUACUCCAGAUGCUAGAAACCAAGAACAAAUGAGUUUGAUAGUAAGAUGUGUGGAUGUCUCUACUAAUUCAAUAAAGGUUGAAGAAUUCUUUUUGGAAUUUUUGAUUGUGAAUGAUACAACAGGACAAGGACUUUUUGAAGAGUUGCAAACGGUGUUGCAAAAACUUAAGCUUGAUAUUGAUAAUGUGAGAGGACAAGGCUAUGACAAUGGAUCAAAUAUGAGUGGGAAAUAUCAAGGUGUCCAAAGAAAAUUUUUGGAUGUAAAUCCUAGAGCAUUGUACACACCUUGUGGUUGUCAUAGUCUUAAUUUAACACUUUGCGAUAUUGCAAACUCUUGUGGAAAAGCAAAAGAUUUUUUUGGAAUCAUACAACGUAUUUAUACAUUGUUUGCUAAUUCUACAAAGCGGUGGAAGAUAUUGAAAGAUAAUGUUAAACACUUAACUCUGAAAUCAUUGUCAGUUACACGUUGGGAAAGUCGUAUUGAAAGUGUGAGAGCAAUAAGAUUCCAAGCUGCAGAUUUAAGAGAAGCUUUACUUCAGUUAGCAGAAAGUGACGGUGACUCCAAAAUAACAAGUGAAGCUAAUUCUUUGGCAACAUAUGAACUUGGAAAUUUUGAGUUCUUAUUGGGCAUGGUUAUUUGGUAUGAUAUAUUAGGUGGUGUCAAUGUAGUGAGCAAAAACUUACAAUCUGAAGACAUGCUUAUUGAUGUUGCUAUUGAUAAAGUGAAAGGGUUGAUUACUUUUUUUUUGAAAAGUAUAGAGAAAAUGGGUUUACAGAAGCUAUGUGUACUGCUAAAAAAAUUGCUACUGACAUGGGAAUUGACCCGGUGUUUCCUGAGAAGCGAAAAAUUCGUAGAAAAAAACAUUUUGAUGAGAAUACUUGUGAGCUAUCCCAAUCAGUUCCUGAAUCAACUGAAGAAAAGUUUAGAAUUGAUUAUUUCUUGUAUUUAGUGGACCAAGCUAUUGGUUCUUUACGAAGAAGGUUUCGACAAUAUCAAGAGUAUGAGAAUUUUUGGGUUUUUGUUUACUUCAGAGAAGUUAAAUUCAUUGGAUGAUUGCGAUUUGAAGAAUAGUUGCAGUCAUCUGGAAAGCAUUUUGAAAAAUGACAAGUUUUCUGAUGUCGAUGGGGAGGAUUUAUUUGUUGAGUUGAAAGUUUUACAAGAGCUUUUACCAAAAGUAAAUACCACAGCUACUGCAAUAUUAAAUUUCUUGAAAAGAUUAAAUUGUUUUCCAAAUGCAUUCAUUGCAUAUAGAAUCCUAUUGACUAUUCCUGUUACUGUUGCAUCUGCGGAAAGAAGUUUUUCAAAAUUAAAAUUGUUAAAAUCAUACUUGAGAUCAACUAUGUCGCAAGAAAGAUUAAAUGGACUAGCUUUGAUUUCAAUUGAAAGUGAACUUCUUGAAAAACUUGAUUAUGAACAUUUGAUUGAUGAUUUCUCUUCUAAAAAUUCAAGAAGAUCAAUUUUCAGACAUUAGUAUUGUACUAGCUGUGUUUUUUUUUUUCUUCUAGGGUAAAAGCUCUCAUAAUAAUUUUAAUUCUUCAAAUAAGACAGCAAAUACAAUGUGAUGAAUUUUGGAUAAUCAGGUAUGUUUUUGUUGUUGCUUUUGUGUUUAAUGCAAUAUAAUCUAAUUUUUUUAAUGACAUUUGUGUGCAACUACUCUUUGAUUUGUGAUUGCCAAUUUUUUUUUCUUUCUAUUAAACACAGAUUGCUUAUUGGAGGCAGCAAGAGACCUUAUAGGGGCACAAGGAGCUUAUUUUUGUACAAAACAUUUAACUUUAUCAAAUGGAAACAUUUAAAUUUUUAUGAAUUUGAUUUCUGAUUGUCAUUGCAUAUUUAUUGAUGGUGAAUUUUAGUUAUAAAAAAAAAAUUGUUUAUGACAUUAAGUUAUGGCAAAUUUUUAUAGUAUUUUCGUAUUAGAUUAUGCGAGGUCCCAAUUUAAGUUUCGCACAGGGCCCUCAAAAUCUCAGGAACGGCCCUGCUGCUAAUACUUGAUCAAUAACAGAGAUAAUAGAGCACACUGUUUGUAUGACAAUGAGUAUCAGAAGAAUAAUAGCUGCAAAGAGAGAAAUAGCUGCCCAAGGUGUGUUGAAAUACUUUUGUCUCAAAUUUGCCUUCCGUCUGUUCGUGGUCUUCUUGCAGUACUCGUUUAGUUUGCCAGCAAGAUCACCAAAAUAGUAGUUUCCGUGGUUCGGAGCAACUUUACUGCAAAGCUUGUUAAUCAUAAUGGAAACCUUAUUGUUGUCACCUAGCGUGUUUACAACAAUUCCAUUGUCAACAAGCAACUCUACAUCCUUUGGGGUGUUUACAAAUUUAUCCAGGAUGAAAACAUAAUCGCUUAUGUAUUUAUCCACGCAAUGGCCUUGUUCAAAGGCAAUGAGAUUUCUAUGUGUAAGCUGUGUAAUCAUGUAUUUCAAUUUUUGGAAUUUCCAAGGUGUUUUUCUUGAACUGUAUAUCGAAUAAGUUCUUGCUUGAUCCCACGUUAAACUUAACUCCGGCCUGGUGUAGUUUUGUCAUGCUGGGUGUACUUUGGAGCCCUCCAUUUUUUUUUCUUUUGGCAGAUGUAAAGUUCUAAUAAAAUCAACAAAAUGUAAAGGUUUUUUAGGAUCAGGAGGCAUAAAAGACUUACGGAAGGCUGGUGAGUUCUCCAAGUUUUCUAAACGCAGUGCCUGUUGGAAGAACUUGUAAGAGAGUUCAAUUAUUGAAGGCUCCCCAGUCUGAGCACCUGUGAGAUUGUAAAGAUCCUCGAGAAUGAAAAAUGGCAGCUGAUUUACGAGCAUAAGCAUGUCAGGCAAUAUAUUUUGUAGCACCCAUGGUUUUUUAAAUAUCCAAGCAUCAUCAUCCUGCAAUUUUUCUUCCUGAAAUUUUUCUUCGGAUUUAUUCCUCAACAAUAGCUCAAUGACAAAGGCGGCAUCAACUAGAAUGAUAUUCACAAAAGUAGCAAUGUUAAACUUCUUAGGGCUAGUUUGGCGGCGUUGUGCUUUUAAAAAAAUAUGCUUCUGCUGUGCUGUGAAAAUAAUUAGCUGUGAAAAAAAGCUACUAGGCGUUUGGUAAACUGUUUUUGAAAAACUGCUGUGAGUAGUCAAAGUGUUUGGUAAAUUUUUAUCAGAAGUACUUUUAGUGUGUAUAAUGACCAAAAAGGACAUGAUGAUGAAAUUGUUUGUUAUUUUCUUCAUUCUUUUUCUACUUUAAAAAAAAAAAAAACCCAAUUUCACUACAUAAAUUUUUAUUCUUUUUUAAUUCACACCUUUUUAUCAAAAAAUUUAAUCUACAAUUAACAUACAUAUUUUACCAUAAAUUAUAAAUUACUAUUAUAACAAAAGUAAUUCUAAAUAUUGUUAUAUUAAUAUGGGCUUCGGACAUGACAAAAAUACAAAAAUUGUUCAAUUUUAAAAUGCCCCAAUAGAUCACUACAAUAUAAAAGAAGCUAAUUAGAUGCAUUCAUUAAACUUGUAGCGAUGCUAUUUCUUAAUGCAUUCAUUAGCUUCUUUUUUUGGUUUCCAAUGGUUCUCUAACAAUUUUAACUAAAAAAACAACCAUAAUGCUUUGUGAACAAUAAAUUCAAGUCCAAAUCUGCUAUUGCCCACACCAUACAUAUAUACAUAAUUGUUCCUUUCAUAAAACUUGAAGAUUCAAUAGUAAUUACACAGUUUACCAAUCUUGAUUCCAACUAUAUCCAUAAAAUUAAACUAUAAUUAGAAAUAGAGGAGCUACAUGUGAUUACUCAUAAAUGCUUCCCACUCUCAUCAUCAUCAUCAUCAUCAUCUUCCUCCUCUGUACUUUGCCUUUCACAAAUGGACAAGACCAGAUGGUAACGUACACGACAUGGUCCACAUAUAGAUAAAUUUUGGGUUCACUGGAGAACAUAAAAGAGUUUUUACACGAAUACAAAGUUAGUUAAGUAGUGAAUAAAGUAAAACUAUUCUGUACAAUUCUAGCUGAUGCAGUCCAAAAAGAAUAUAUGUCUAAUAACUUAAAUAACAAUAAAGAGAAACAAAAGCCUCAUGAAAAAUGCUAGAGUAAAAGUUACAUAACUGAAUCGAUGGACAGAGAACUCCACAGGCAGAGAAACAGCAACAAAAAUUGUCAAAACAGUAGCAAGACCAUGUUGGAGUCAAGGCCAAAGAUCAUAUUUCCUGUGUAUCUUCUUCCAUUCUGAAUUAUUCUCGUAUUCAAAUACUGUAACUCUAUUUCAAGUGCACCCCAAAAUACUUAUCUAAGGCCAGUACAUAGGACUUCAUAAAGGGUGCGAUAAAAAAUAUUGCCCCUUAAUUGAUAAACAGAACCAAGAUCCCAACAGCACACCAAAACUAUACCAACCACACCUACAUAAUAUGGACAGAAAAUCCUGUUGUUCCGAUCUCUAACCACACCAAUGACAUUCAUUAGGAAAAUACAAAAGAUGGGUACCCUGCAUUUCUAACAUUUAAGAUAAAAUUCACUGCCAGCUAAUCACAAAUUUGAAAAGAUGGCAAGAAAAUUGGCUAAGCUUUAACAAAAACCAGAGCAGUCCUUGCAUAGACCUGACUUUUUGCUCCAAGCUUUAGCAGAUCACUUACUGGUAGAGAGCAGAGAACAUGUAUGUGAAUAUCUGAAGUUGGAAGGGUAAGCCAUCACAAACACCAAGAGAUCUGAUUCUCAUCUCUUGUUACAACAACAAAUCACAAACACCAAUACAUCUGAUUCAGAAUCUCAUAAACAAUGGAGGAACAAACACAUAUUCACACACAUAUAAAUCCCUAAACAGAAAAAAUAAAAAAUAAAAAAAAAACCAUGAAAGUCAUAGGAGAAUCAAAUUGAUUUGGGCCAAAAUUGCCUAAAAAGAAAACACUCCUAAAUAAACUUCAAUUCACUUUUAAAAACAGUAAAACAUGAUUGAAUCAUUCUUUAAAACAAUUCCCUAAUAUACAUGCAUGAUAAUGACAUCAUUUACCCCUGAAUCAAAUGCCUUUCACUGGUCAAGCCACAAGUCUGUGUUUUGGGAAUUGCUGAGCUGCAUCAAUCCUGCCAAUGUAAAUUCUGCCCCUAGGCUCUCUCAAAGUGCGUUUACAACCUAUGCUAACAUAUACUAGAGUUUGUUUUAGUAUCUAGAAAAUGCCAACACUAAUUUCGUAACACGUAGAAAUUGUUACAUAUUGGAAGUUUUUAUCAUUUUUUCUUCCAGUCUCUCCACCACUCACUAAUACAGAUUACUCAUGUGAUGAGUUUACAAAACAUAUUUCUCUACUCCCACAAAGACCAUACUUUUUCUCAAAAGACUAUAUCACUUUAUCUCUAUCUUUGUGAAAUGUAAAAAGUUGAAACUUUAAUGUCAAACCUCGACAAAAGAUGAACAUCCAUCAUCAAUUACAUUGAAUUUGAAUUUGUUGAACUUAAGUAGUUUUACUUCUCUGUCAGCGUUUGAUGACUUGAUUUGUUAUUUACUUCUUCUUUUUUCCUUGGAAAUGUGUUCCAUCAACGUGAGGAAGAAAAAUAUGCACAAAUUAAUAUAUUUAAUAGAAGCAAAAAUUAAUAUUUACAAAAAUAUGCACAAAUCAAGUAAAAUUAAUAAAGCAUAAAUUGGAAAGGGAAAAUAUGUAGAGGAUGCAUUGUAGGAUUGCUCAUGCCAAUAAUUGUACCCUCUAAAUAUAUAGGGACAUAUUUUUUUUUGUUUUCAUGACAUGUGGUCCUAAAAUUAUUGUUCUUAGCGGGCUCUCCACCCCUCUCGACUGAAAACCUAUUGUGUAAAUCUUCAAUCCUGAAUGAUGCACCUAAAACUCAUGUUGCAAUACACAUCCACCCAUUCUCAGGCCAAUUAUUACUCCUAGUGGGCUCUCCACCCCCUCUCAAAUUUAAGUGGUCCAUUAUUAUUAACCGUAUAUUUUAUGGACCAGCCAGCUGUGAGGUUUUAUCUCAAAAACCUUUCUCCCACAUGCCACAAUUUAUGUCUGAUACAUCACAUCAUGCCAGUUGUCUCAAAUGAAUUUAAGUGAGUGAGGCAGUGUUACUUCUGGGUACCCCUCAUUAUUCGUCUAUAAAUUGGUGAAGCCAGUUGCUACUGUUACCAUAAGAGCCAGCUCCGACUUUCAAAAUAAAAAUUCCAACAACGGUCUUAGUGCCUUCAAUUGUAUGAGUCAUUGAACAUGCAAAUGAAUAAAAUAUGAAUGAUAAAAGUGUUUGAUAAAUCACCAAGUUAUAGAACACUUGAUGAUUUAUCUCAAAUAAAAAUUCAGCUUUCUAAAGUUUGUGAAUUGAAAAUAUAAUCGUUAAAGCUCUCUAAACAAAGAAGACGAAAGUCUUAUUUUAUAGAAUUUUUCUUUACAAGAAAGAAAACAUGUUGAAAACCAAAUCUCCAAUUUCCAAGGCUUGACAGAAAAUCAAAAAAAUAUCUUUCCUAUUCUAGAGAUUGGUCACAUGUAGUUCAACCAAUAGGAAAUGAGAUAUUUAAGAAAGCAAGAUUUUGAUCAAUACCAAUAUCAAAUGAAUUCUUAUACGCCUAGUCAACUAUUAAGGGUAUCUUGACUCCUUGAUAUUGUGAUAUGAUUGAAACAUGAUUUCCAUGUUAGAAAAUUAAGGGGAUGUUAAAACAUGAAAGUAAUAGGAGAAUCAAAUUGAUUUGGACUAAAAUUGCCUAAAAAGAAAACACUCUUAAAUAAACUUCAAUUCACUUUUAAAAACAGUAAAACAUGAUUGAAUCAUUUUUUAAAACAAUUCCCUAAUAUACAUGCAUGAUAAUGACAUCACUUACCCCUAAAUCAAAUUGUCACGCCCCGGACCUGGGGGUCAGUGGAAACCCCACGUUCGGUGCGUGAGAAAAUAAAAAGUAAAAUAAAAUAAAAAGAAUGCCGAAACAAGGGUUUAAAAUAAACUUCUCUUAUAAAAAUAACUCCAAAAUCUUACAACUUUACAAGAAAUAAAUAAAGCCCUAUCAUUCUUAUCUAAUUCAGCCUCAACUGGUUUAGUCCUUGUCUUGCCCACUAAUUCAUCUAAAAAAUGAAGAGUGUUGCUAAACGAACCCUAAAAUUAAUUGAGUACACCCUACUACCAAACGAUUUAUUGAAUUUGUCACAUCUCGGGAUCAACUCCGCCGUAGCACGAUAUUGUUCGCUUUGGGCCCUCCCUCUCUGGCUCGCAUGGUUUUGUUUCUGGGAACUCACGAGUAACUUCCCAGUGGGUCACCAAUCCUGGGAUUGCUCUAGCCCACAACUCGCUUAACUUCGGAGUUCCUACGACUCCGAAGCCUGUGAGCUCCCAAAAGGUCUCGUGCUAGAUGGAUGCGGGUGUGCACAUAUAAGGCACAUCACCCCCUCUCCGUUGGUUGAUGUGGGAUCUUAUAGAAUUACUAAUUUAUCCUAAUAUAAAAUGACCAAAGAAGAUAAAAUAAUAUUGGUAUCUAUUGCUUUGAAUCCAUGCCUUCAAACAAAUUGACUUAAUUUUUAACAAACAACACGGAGUCCAGGAGAAGUGUAUUGAUCCAAGUUGAUUUUUGUAUGCGUAAAACUUAAACAAUCAAUAACACAAAGCAGUUCAUGCUGAAAUAUUGGAAACCCACACCCAAAGAGUUCUCCGCUGCGAGGUUGAAGGCAGGAGAGAUGGGUGACAGAUUUUACUUCCACUGCGAAGUUGGAGGCUAGGAGAGUCUGUGACUGCCAUGGUUGAGGGAGAAGAUGCGUUCAAAAUGCCUAUUGAUAUUUUACAUUAUUGGCUUUUUUCAAAAGUGAAAGUUUUUUUAUGGGUAAAACCUAAAUUUACUUUUUCUAUACAAGUUAACAGUGUUUGUGUAUUGUGAAAAGGUGGAGAGACGUGUCAAAAUUUUAGACAAAGGACAGGAGGAGAUAGGGAAUUUGGGGACAGCAGAUCUCAACUCCCUUGAGACCCUAUUCUCUACGCCACCCCUCCCCCUCAACAACCCUAGUCACCAUUUCUCCUUCAACUCCAACGGCAACUCAUUAAAACCCAAUUCUCAAAUGCAACAAUCUAAUCCCAAUCCCAAUUCAGAUGUUUCUAAAAAACCCAUUGUCGUGGUGGAGAACUGCAAUUCCAGGUGGUGGUGGUGGUACCACAUGGGAGAGAGAAAAAAGAAGAAGAAGAAGCAGGAGAGAGAGAGUUUUUUAUUUUAUUAUUAUUUUACUGUAAUUUUUUAAUUUAAAUAAUUAAAAAAAUUAAAAGUUAAAGAGGAUGUACCAUGGGUAUUUUUGGUAGUUAAAUAAGGUGUACUUAGGGUCAGUUUGGCAUUGCUGUGCUGUGAAAAUAAUAGCUGUCAGAUUUGCUGUGAGAGAAAUCAGCUGUGAGAGAAAUCAGUUUGGCGUUUGAUAAAAUUUUUGUUAAAAGUGUGUUGAUAUUGAUUUUAUGCUUAAUCCGAAAAUGAUUGCUGCAUAAUCAUUAAACCCAGCGCCUCUUCGAAACUGAUUCCUAUAUAAUCAGAAAAUGAAAGCACCUCAUUAGCUGCUUUCCUUUAUAGCUUUCUCUCACAGCAAUUUUUAACAAUAAGUGAUUUUCUCACAGUUUACCAAACGGGUUGGGCUUCUCAAAAUUUUUUAAAAAUCACUUAUUACCCCAAAUAAGCAAUACCAAACGGGCACUUAGUUAAUUUUACAUUUUAAUUUAAACAUUAGGGUGUACUCAGUUAAUUUUAGGGUUCGUUCAGCAGCACUCAAAAUUAAACAAGGUGAGGGAUGAGCAAGUAGGGACAUGAGACAUUGCCACAGUAGAUUGAUAUAACUAAAUAUUAUUAUAAACAUAGAAAUAUAUAAGUAUUAUUAUAAUAGGAUUCAUAAUAAUUAAUAUAAAAGUAUAACAACAAUAUUUACAUUUAUGUACCAAGAUAAUUACACAUAUAAAUAUAACCAAUAUAUAUUUUUAUAUAUUUUAAAAUAUAAGUCUUUACGUAAAUGCCUUUCACGGGUCAAGCCACAAGUCUGUGUUUUGGGGAUUGCUGAGCUGCAUCAAUCCUGCCAAUGUCAAUUCUGCCCCUGAGCUCUCUCAAAGCACGUUUAAAACCUAUGCUAACAUAUACUAGAGUUUAUGCUGUAUCUAGAAAAUGCCAACACUAAUUUCGUAACACGUAGAAAUUGUUAGAGAUUGGAAGUUUUUAUCAUUUUUUCUUCCAGUCUCUCCACUACUUAUUAAUACAGAUUACUCAUGUGAUGAGUUUACAAAACCUAUUUCUCUACUCUCGCAAAGACUAAACUUCUUCUCAAAAGACUAGAUCACUUUACCUCUAUCUCUGUGAAAUGUAAAAAGUUGAAACUUUAAUGUCAAACCUCGACAAAGUGUUCUACUUUACAAACUUCUUGUGUCUACCAAUUUGUACUAAAAUUAAUUUCUCUACAGUGCUCAGAUUCAUCAUAUGUGUGUCCUUAAUUUUAGUGGAAAUUGGAAGUUUCCAUAAUUUUUGCUUUAAGUCACUCUUCUGAAGGAAGUUGAGGUUCCACUUCAUAAUCCAAAAUGUCAGGUUGACUUAUGGCAAACAAUGUAAAUAUGUAGGAGUACUAUGACCUUUUAUAGCAUUUUUAGUUUGAAUUUGGGUUUUAUACAUAGAUUUCAAAAUUAAUAGGUUGAUGCCUAGGAAAUAGAAAUUGUAAGGGCCUAUAUUAGAGUAGCCCUCUUAAAAAUAAUAUUAAUUAAUGAAUAUUUGUUCUUCUUGUUGUUUUGAAGUAGUGGUGGGAGGCAGACCAACAAAAAAAAAAUAUAGUGAAGGCUUAUAAGAGCAUUUACAAUCAUGCUCCCUAUUUUUUAGUUAAAAUUUAGCUAAAAAUAGAAAAAAAGUUAUUAUAGGAGCUCUUUAUAAAGCUCCUUUAUAAAAUUUGAACUCCAAUCAUACUCCCUAGUUUAGGGAGUCAAAAAUACUAUAGUUAUUUUUUAAUUCAAUUUGAUUUUGGUUAAUCUCUAUAAAUAUGAAAAAAUAGUUAGCAUUAAUUAAAAGUUUAAACUAUGCAUAAAACAAAGAAACAUUAAAUUAUAGGGAGCCACUAUGAGUCAUUACUCUCUCCUCAGAUUUAGGAGCUCCUAAAGGUCUCCCUAUUUUAUGAGGUGGAUAAGGAGCAUGGUUGGAGUUGUAUUUCUUCAAUUUCCUCCCUAAAAUUUGUCUAAGGAUGUGGUUUAGGGAGCCCAUUGUGAAUGCUCUAACUCUGGUAAAACACGAGUGACAUGGACAACAUAUGUUACGUCGUACUGAAGAUUUUUGGGUUUCUUUAAUUGGUUAAGUAGCAUCCACACAGCUUCCUAAAUCAUCUCCUUAGACAAAUUUUAGGGAGGAAUUGGAAAAGUACAACUCCAACUAUGCUCCCUAUCCACCAACUAAAAUAGGGAGACUUCUAGGAGCUCCUAAAUCUGAUGAGAGAGAAAGGACUCUUAAUGACUCCCUAUAAUUUAAUGUUGCUUUAUAUUAUUUUGUAUACAGACGGGUCAAUUAUAUUAAAUUAAAAAAUAAUUAAAGUAUUUAUGACUCUCUAAACUAGUGAGCAUAAUUGUAGAUCAUCUUAUAUACCUUAAUUUGAAGAUUCUUUAUUUGGGUUUCUUUCAAGACUUAUCACCUUAGCCACGCCACCUACACGUCUGCAAGCUUUCCUAACAAGGAAGGGGAGGCUGCGCAAUACUUAUCACCUUAGCCACACUACACCAAAUUGACGUCUGCAAGCUUUCGUAAUCUAACAAGGAAGGGGAGGCUGCGCAAUACUUAUCACCUUAGCCACACCAACACCACAAGACCAAUAUGUGUAGUCCAGGAGGCUUUCCCAUUUUAAUAUAUAUUAUCAAAUAAAAUAAAAAUCAAUCUAUUAUCAUAUAUAUUAUAAAAUAAAGAUUAUUGCUCCAUCCUCCAUGCACUUGCAUGCCUCUUACAAAGUGUGAAGUAGAUUUUGUGUGCUCCAAGUCAUUGACGAGAGCUGUAACAUGGUUAGCUGGAUUUAUAAGAUCUUUUCUUUUCUGGGAAUUUUCUGAAUCAAGAAAAAUUAAGUAAAAUUAAUAAAGCAUAAAUUAGAAAGGAAAAAUAUCUAGAGGAUGCAUUGUAGGAUUGCACAUGCCAAUAAUUGUAUCCUCUAAAUAUAUAGGGACAUAUUUUUUUGUUUUCAUGACAUGUGGCCCUAAAAUUAUUGUUCCUAGCGGGCUCUCCACCCCCUCUCGAUUGAAAACUAAUUGUGUAAAUCUUCAAUCUUGAAUGAUGCACCUAAAACUCAAGUGUCCCAGGCCAAUUAUUGCUCUCAUACCACUUGUUGUAAUAAACAUCCAUCCAUUCUAAAGGAAAGAUAACCAUCGAUAUUAUCUCAAAUUUAACCACUUAAGUUCAUUAUGAUUAACUAUGUAUCUUAUGGACCAAUCCAAUCAUGAGGUUUUAUACCCAAUUAGAUCGACUAAUACAAAGUUCACACGUGGAUUGAAAAGCGCUAUCAGUAGGGGAGUGUUCGGCACCCUUUACUGCCGAACGCAACACAAGACCCCUUGCAUGCCUUCACUAAGUUGAGCCUAUCUAUUUUUUAGCAUUAACAAUAUAUAUAGAUUGAAAAAAUAAAAUAAAAAUCAAUCUAUUAUCAUAUAAAAUAAAUAUUAUUGCUCCAUCCUCCAUACACUUGCAUGCCCUCUUACAAAGUGUGAAGUAGAUUUUUUGUGCUCCAACUCAUUGACUAGGGCUGAAACAUGGUUAGUUGGAUUUAUAAGAUCUUUUCUUUUCUGGGAAUUUUCUGAAGCACGGAAAAUCAAAUAAAAUUAAUAAAGCAGAAACUGUACCCUUUAAUUAUAUAUGGACGUAUGUUUUUUUGUUUUCAAGUCUUAGAUGACAUGGGGACCUAAAAUUAUUGCUCCUAGUGGACUCUCGACCCCUCUCAAAUUUAAGUGGUCCAUUAUUAUUAACCACAUAUUUUAUGGACCAUGCAGCUGUGAGGUUUUAUCUCAAAAACCUUCGGUACAUUUCUCCCACAUGCCACAAUUGUAUAUUCACAAUUACGGCUGUUACGUCACAUCAUGCCACUUGCCUCACAUGCAACAAGUCUGUGUUUUGGGGAUUGCCGAGCUGCAUCAAUUCUGCCAAUGUCAAUUCUGCCCCUGGACUCUCUCAAAGCACAUUUAAAACCUAUGCGAACAUAUAUUAGAGUUUAUGAUGUAUGUAUCUAGAAAAUGCCAACACUAAUUUCGUAACAUGUAAAAAUUAUUAGAGAUUGGAAGUUUUUAUCAUUUUUUCUUCCAGUCUCUCCACCACUUAUUAAUACAGAUUACUCAUGUGAUGAGUUUACAAAACCUAUUUCUCUACUCUCGCAAAGACUAAACUUCUUCUCAAAAGACUAGAUCACUUUACCUCUAUCUCUGUGAAAUGUAAAAAGUUGAAACUUUAAUGUCAAACCUCGACAAAGUGUUCUACUUUACAAACUUCUUGUGUCUACCAAUUUGUACUAAAAUUAAUUUAUCUACGGUGCUCAGCUUCAUCGUAUGUGUGUCCUUAAUUUUAGUGGAAAUUGGAAGUUUCCAUAAUUUUUGCUUUAAGUCACUCUUCUGAAGGAAGUUGAGGUUCCACUCCAUAAUCCCAAAUGUCAGGUUGACUUAUGGCAAACAAUGUAAAUAUGUAGGAGUACUAUGACCUUUUAUAGCAUUUUUAGUUUGAAUUUGGGUUUUAUACAUAGAUUUCAAAAUUAAUAGGUUGAUGCCUAGGAAAUAGAAAUUGUAAGGGCCUAUAUUAGAGUAGCCCUCUUAAAAAUAAUAUUAAUUAAUGAAUAUUUGUUCUUCUUGUUGUUUUGAAGUAGUGGUGGGAGGCAGACCAACAAAAAAAAUAUAGUGAAGGCUUAUAAGAGCAUUUACAAUCAUGCUCCCUAUUUUUUAGUUAAAAUUUAGCUAAAAAUAGAAAAAAGUUAUUAUAGGAGCUCUUUAUAAAAUUUGAAUUCCAAUCGUACUCCCUAAUUUAGGGAGUCAUAAAUAUUAUAGUUAUUUUUUAAUUCAAUUUGAUUUUGGUUAAUCUCUAUAAAUAAAUAAAAAUAUGAAAAAAUAGUUAGCAUUAAUUAAAAGUUUAAACUAUGCAUAAAACAAAGAAACAUUAAAUUAUAGGGAGCCACUAUGCCAAUAAUUGUAUCCUCUAAAUAUAUAGGGACAUAUUUUUUUUGUUUUCAUGACAUGUGGCCCUAAAAUUAUUGUUCCUAGCGGGCUCUCCAACCCCUCUCGAUUGAAAACCAAUUGUGUAAAUCUUCAAUCUUGAAUGAUGCACCUAAAACUCAAGUGUCCCAGGCCAAUUAUUGCUCUCAUACCACGUGUUGUAAUAAACAUCCAUCCAUUCUAAAGGAAAGAUAACCAUCGAUAUUAUCUCAAAUUUAACCACUUAAGUUCAUUAUGAUUAACUAUGUAUCUUAUGAACCAAUCCAAUCGUGAGGUUUUAUACCCAAUUAGAUCGACCAAUACAAAGUUCACACGUGGAUUGAAAAGCACUAUCAAUAGGGGAGUGUUCGGCACCCUUUACUGCCGAGCGCAACACAAGAUCCCUUGCAUGCCCUCACUAAGUUGAGCCCAACUAUUUUUUAGCAUUAACAAUAUAUAUAGAUUGAAAAAAUAAAAUAAAAAUCAAUCUAUUAUCAUAUAUUUUAUAAAAUACAUAUUAUUGCUCCAUCCUCCAUACACUUGCAUGCCCUCUUACAAAGUGUGAAGUAGAUUUUUUGUGCUCCAACUCAUUGACUAGGGCUGAAACAUGGUUAGUUAGAUUUAUAAGAUCUUUUGUUUUUUGGGAAUUUUCUGAAGCAAGGAAAAUCAAAUAAAAUUAAUAAAGCAGAAACUGUACCCUUUAAUUAUAUAUGGACAUAUGUUUUUUUGUUUUUUUGCUCUCGACCCCUCUCAAAUUUAAGUGGUCCAUUAUUGUUAACCACAUAUUUUAUGGACCAUCCAGCUUCGGUACAUUUCAAAAAGCUUCGGUACAUUUCUCCCACAUGACACAAUUGUAUAUUCACAAUUACUUCUGGGUACCCCUCAUCAGUCGUCUAUAAAAUGGUGAAGCCAGUUGCUACUGUUACCAUAAGAGCCAGCUCCGACUUUCUUUAAUUUCUUGCUACAUCUGUUGCUAAGUUAAUUUCAGUCCUAAUGGGGUUUCAUCUCCCACUCAUCUUUGCUAUUCUCAGUGUAAGCUCUGCAAUUUGAUUAACUUUUCCAUUCUCUCUCAUUGUACUCUAUAUAUAUAAAUGAAAGUUUUGUGUUCCUAUAAUUCUCUCCGAUUUUAUUUAGUACGUACUUAAGUGUCGUCCACUAAUUAAUUACACUUUGUGAGAUUUGAUUUUAAUUAGAGUUCGAAUUAAUGUUGCAGCUAGCAGCGGUUGCACUGGCAAACAAUGCUGCUCAACCAGCACCUCAACUUUACUGGAACUCCGUCCUGCCAAACACACAGAUGCCAAGAUCUAUCAGUGAACUUCUGCAUCCUGGUUUGUGUUCAGCUCUUUAUAAUCUUAGAUAUCUCUUCUACCUGCCAUUUUACUAAAAUAUGUUCGACCACAUAUUUAUCAGCUAACUACUGUGAUUACAAGAAUGACACUUAUUUUCCAAUAUAAUUUGCAGACUCCACAAAUGAAGAAAAGAGCAAACCUGAAAUUUUCCCAUUGCAGGGCAAUAGAGUUUACACUCAAAGCCAUUAUAAAAAACGUCCUCCUCCUCCAUCUGACGAGGGCAAACCUGAAACUUUCCCAUUGGGCAAUAGCCAUUACACUCAAACCCGUUAUAAAAAACGUCCUCCUCCUCCAUCUGACGAGGGCAAACCUGAAAAUUUCCCAUUGGGCAAUAGCCAUUACACUCAAACCCGUUAUAAAAAACGUCCUCCUCCUCCAUCCGACGAGGGCAAACCUGAAAAUUUCCCAUUGGCCAAUAGCUUUUACACUCAAACCCGUUAUAAAAAACGUCCUCCUCCUCCAUCUGACGAGGGCAAACCUGAAAAUUUCCCAUUGGCCAAUAGCUUUUACACUCAAAGCCAUUAUAAAAAACGUCCUCCUCCUCCAUCUGACGAGGGCAAACCUGAAAAUUUCCCAUUGGCACGUUCUCCUCCAUCUGACAGUCAACUAAAGCAUUACAAAGACUUAGCUAUUUUCUUCUUCGAGAAGGACAUGCGCCCGGGCACAACUAUGAAGUUCCAAUUCCCUAGAAAUUCAAACACGGCUACUUUCCUGCCACGCGAAAGUGCUCAAUCGAUCCCCUUCUCCUCUAAGAAACUACCAGAAAUUUUCAACCAUUUUUCAGUGAAGCCAACAUCUGAGGAAGCCAAAACAAUUAAGCAAACAAUCGAAGAGUGUGAAGCUCCAGGCCUUAAGGGAGAGGAAAAAUAUUGCGCCACAUCUUUAGAAUCAAUGGUUGAUUUUAGCACUUCGAAGCUUGGAACAAGAAACGUUGAAGCAAUCUCAACGGAGGUAUUGGAAGAAGGAGCCACCAAGUACAUGCACAACUAUACAACAAUGCCGGGACUGAAGAAGUUGGAAGGUGACAAAGUCGUUGUGUGUCAUAAGGAGAACUAUCCCUAUGCUGUGUUUCUCUGCCAUGCAAUAAAACAAACAGAAGCUUAUGUUCUCUCCCUGAAAGCCGAUGAUGGGAUGAAGGUGAAAGCAGUAACCAUCUGCCAUCUAGACACAUCAGAAUGGGACCCAGAGCAUUUGUCCUUCCAAAUCCUCAACGUUAAGCCCGGAACCACUCCCAUCUGCCAUUUCCUUACCACUGAUGCUAUUGCCUGGGUUCCAAAACACAAAUCUGCAUGAUCAUCACUUAGCACUGUACGUGUAAUAAGCUUGGUCGGGUUGCACCCUAGGCCUGCAUAAUUAUCUCCCUACUUAUUUCUGCCUCUUCAUCAUGCGGUGUAAGAUAUAUGAUGAGAUGAAGUUUUCUCUUGUAACUAUGUAGACUACUUCAACUUGUACUCAUAAUAAAGCACGCUGUUGGGGGGUUCUACUUAAUUUCGUUCUCUCCAAUGUUUGAGUGUUGAAUUGUUACGUUGGAAUAGGCUGCUAAUGCAUGUAGUUAGAGAAGCCUUCAUUUAUAUCAAAGUCCUCAAACUAUCAAGAAUUAAUGUAUCCAGAAACAUAUACCAAGACGCAAAACAACAUAUUUUCCAUUCUCUGUCUGUAACACCAAAGCAAACUUCCUUUAUCACAUCAUUUAAAGGAUCAAAUUCCAGUACUAAUCUAAUCCAUCAUGUAAAGCAUACAAGUGCCUACCUAAAUUUGUCCAUUGGAUAUAUAUGUCACUUUUUAUUUUUUGAUAGAGAUAUAAAUGUUGAAAAAAUUAGAGUACACAACUCUUAUAGACACUACUACGAUUUACUAUUUGCGCGACGGAAGUUUGCGCGACGAACAUUGUUUCGUCGCGCAAAAAGCACUAUUGCGACGAAAAAAAAAUACCGUAGCGCAAACAACAUAACACAAGCGCGACAAACAGUUUCGUCGCGCAAACAAUCUAUGCGCGACCAAUAUUAAUUUCGUCGCGCAAAGGUAGGGGAAAAAAACCCGGUUUUUUUUUUUUGGCGCCAUAAUCUUGCGCGACAACAACAAUCGUCGCGCAUGACAAUAUUGCGCGACAAUUCAAAGAAUUCGUCAGGUAAAGAUGGACAGAAAAUUGUCUCAUUUUUUUGGCGGUAAAAAACUUUGCGCGACGAAAUUUUUCGUCUCAAAAGACAACUUAGCGCGACGGAAAUAUGUACCGUCGCGUAAAAAAACGAGGGAUACUUAUUUUUGGCGCCAAAAUGCAGGGUGGAUAAAAAAAAUUUUGCGCGACGGAAUUACCUUCGUCGCGUAAAGUGUAAUGCCGGUGCUUUCUUGCGCGACGAAAUAAAUAAUUUGCGCGACGUAAUUUAAACCUUGCGCGACGAAAAGUAUUAUUUGCGCGACGAAAUUUUGUGCGACGAAUAAUAUGUUUCGUCGCACAAAAAAGCAGAUGUCGACAGGUAAUUGCGCGACGGAAAUGUUGUUUUGUGCGAUGGAAAAGUGGGUUUUCGCGACGGCAUUUUGCGCGACGGAUAUUGGUGUUCGUCGCGCAAAGUCCUUCUUCUUCAUAUUAGUAUCUGCCAUUGCAGAGGCAGAAUGCAGAAAUUGCAUUCUGCCUCUCUCUCACUCUCCCUGCCGCUGCUCUGCUGUGAAUUCAAUACGUUCAUUGGGUAUGUAUUUUUUGUCGUUAGUUUAAAUGUAUUAAUGUAAAUUCGUAGUAACGCUAUUAAUUUUGUUAUCGUUAGGGAUAUUUGUGAUUAGUGAUUGGUGGAGAACGAUUGAGAAGGUAUGUUAUUGUAAAAGUUUGUUUGUUAUGUUUGUAAUUUUUUUGUGAAGUUAUAUGUAUAUAAUGUUGUGAAAUUGUGCGUGACAUAGCACAAUGUGUUGUGAUGUACGAAGUUAAUUGAAAUUAACUUCGUACUUUUAUUUUUAUGUUUAGUAACACGUAGUUUCCCGUUCGAGAUUAGUUGGAUUUCGUGCAUGGAUGAGUAAUGCAUGACUGCGGUCCAAUUAAUUCUUGAAUUGUCCCAUUAUUUGGACAGUUUGGUAAUGCAUAGUGUUGUCACAUAAUCUUCGGCUACAGGAUUAGGUUUCGAUUGUGGAGAUUUCGGUGUCAUCUCGGUACGUUCUUCGAGUGGUACGUAGGUAUUUAUACCUAUGCCCACUUCAAGAACUGUGUCGAGAUGCUGCCGAAAUUAAUCCACGUCGAAAUCUAAUCUCAUGUAGCCGUAGGUUACGUGACAGGACUAUGCAUUCCCGAAUGGGAUAGGGCCCUUACCGGAGGCAUAAGGUGACAUUAUAACUUCGUAUGAAGUUGUUGUGAUUGUUGUGUCGUGAUUGUGGUUUCAUGAAUUAUGAGCAGAAGGUGGAUACAUAACCCGAAUAGAUGCGCAGACGAAUACUUGGAUGGAAUCGAGGAUUUUAUUGAGUUUGCACAUAGACACAACCCGGGUGCAAGUAGAAUCCGUUGUCCUUGUAGGAGGUGUAACAACACGUUGUGGGAGACAAUUGAAAAUGUUGGAUUUCAUUUAGUAAGGAAUGGAAUGAUUGAAACAUAUAGCAUUUGGAACCUUCACGGCGAACAUGUAGGCCAUGCUUCGUCUUCAAAUGCCCCAAGAGUGGACAAUGUUGAACCUAUUGUGGAUCCUAAUGAUCAAGUCAUGGGUAUUAUACAGGAUGCUUUUCCAUUCGCAUCGACCAACAUCAAUCAGGAAGGGGAAGAUAACGUGCCUACACCAAUAGACAGUGCGGAGUUUGAACAGUAUGAAAAACUGUUAAAAAAUGCCAACCAAGAGUUAUACCCGGGGUACGAGAGCUUUUCCGUUCUCACUUCUAUUGUGGAGCUAAUGCACGGAAAAAUAAAGUAUCGUAUGUCGAACUUGUGUUUCGAUUACUUUUUGGGGGUUUUCAAGAGAAUGCUUCCGACGGAUAAUUAUUUGCCGAAAGACCAGAAACAUGCACAGAAGGUGUUGCAUGGUCUUGGAUUGGGUUAUGAAAAAAUCCACGCUUGCAAAAACAAUUGCAUGUUAUUCUACAAAGAGCAUGAAACGUUGGAUACAUGCCCUAUAUGCAAUGAGUCGAGGUUCAAAAUGACAUCCCAGAAUAGAACGACUAAGAUACCACAAAAAGUCAUGCGUUAUCUGCCCCUUAAACCUGGGUUGCAGCGAUUGUAUAUGUCGACGCAUACUGCCACAGACAUGAGAUGGCAUAAGGAAAAACGGGUAGACGAUGAUGUGAUGCGGCAUCCUGCAGAUGGGGAGGCAUGGAAAGAGUUCGAUCGAACGUUCCCCGAGUUUGCUGCUGAUCCCCGAAAUGUAAGAUUGGGACUUGCCACUGACGGAUUCAAUCCGUAUGGGGUUCUAAACCAACACCACAGCACUUGGCCGAUUUUCGCAUUCCCAUAUAAUUUGCCGCCUUGGAAAUGCAUGAAAAAAGAAUACAUGAUGAUGACUGUUUUGAUAACUGAGGAUCCUGGCAGGUCAAUUGAUGUGUACUUAAGGCCUCUGGUUGAUGAGCUGAAAGAUUUAUGGACAAACGGUGUUCGCACGUACGAUAAAUCAACUGGGAGGAUGUUCACUUUGCGAGCAGCAAUUAUGUGGACUGUGAAUGAUUUUCCAGCAUAUGCAAUGGUUUCUGGGUGGAGCACAAAAGGUUAUAUGGCAUGUCAUGUAUGCAAGGAAGAUGUAACUUCUGGUUGGCACGCGGGAAAAGUUUGUUACCUUGGUCAUCGGAGAUGGUUGCCAUGGGACCACGAGUGGCGAGAAAAAGAUAAAGAGUUCAACGGGAACACAGAGCGUCGCCUCAGACCUGGAGAAUGGUCCGGUGAUGAGAUCUUGGAACAGCUGAACCGUUUGGAUUUUGGUCCGUUCGGAAAAACAAUUAGUCGGACCAGACCUUCUACACAUUUGAACUGGACGCACAAGCCUAUGUUUUUUGAGCUCCCAUAUUGGUCGAAACUGAAAUUGAGGCACAAUCUAGAUGUGAUGCAUGUUGAGAAAAAUGUAUUCGACACAUUGGUGGGCACGAUUCUAGAUAUCGAGGGGAAGACGAAGGACACGAUCAAAGCUCGUCUUGAUUUGGAAAGAAUGGGCAUACGAAGGGGUUUAUGGAUGAAUAGGGACAGUGAUAAAGCUAGAAGGGAUCUUGCAUUCUUUUCUAUGAAACCGAAUGACAAAAAGGAGUUUCUAAAGUUUGUAUCGUCUGUCAAAUUUCCCGAUGGGUAUGCUUCUAAUAUCGCACGUUGCGUGAAUGUCGAUGGGGGUAAAUUUACUGGACUUAAGAGCCAUGACUGCCAUGUUCCUGUGGGUAUUCGACACCUACUGCCGGAAGAUGUGGUGAAGCCAAUCAUGUUGUUAUCCAGAUUUUUUUCCCAACUGACGGCAAAAACAUUGCGAAGGACAGACAUGUUUCAGUUGCGCCAUGACAUUGUCCAAGUCCUAUGCAAGUUUGAGAUGAUAUUUCCUCCGGCUUUCUUUACAAGUAUGAUGCACGUAAUGGUUCACUUGCCAGAAGAGGCAUUGCUUGCUGGUCCUGUCAACUAUCGCUGGAUGUAUCCAAUAGAAAGGUAUAUAAUCUUUAUCAUUUGUGUAUGCAUCAUUAUCGACACUUUGCUAAUUUGUAUCAUAUCGUUUUAUUUUGGCAGGCUUCUCGGAGAGCUGAAAAAAAGUGUACGCAACAGGGCAAAGCCCGAAGGAUUAAUUAUAGAGGCUUGGGUUCAAUAUGAGUCGCUUACUUUCUGUGGAAUGUAUUUAAAAGAUGUGGAGACGGUUUUCAAUCGUCCUCAACGCAAUAAUGACGGAGGUAUGAGAAAUGAAAAACUUUUUGUUUUUGCCCAAAGCGCAUGACCAUUUGGAGAUCCUGGACGAGGAGAGUCGUUUUCUAGAAAUGACAUGGAGGUAGCGCAUUGGUUCGUACUGAACAAUUGUGAUGAGAUAAUGGCCUACUUAGAUGAGCAUGAACAGAUGAUGAAGCGAGAACAUCCAUCACAUUUGGUUGCCCGGAAACAUCGUGAAUUAUUUCCACAAUGGUUUUUGGAUUCUGUAAGUUAUAACUGUUUUGUAAUUGACAAAUAUAAAUUGUAGUAUUUAAUUUUGUCAGACUAACAUGUAAAUGAUUUUGUAUACUAUUAGGUGAAUAAAUUGAAAUCAUCGAAUUCCCCCACUUACAGUGAUGAGUUAUAUAACUUGGCGUUCGGCCCAAUUCGUGCUGAGUUGUUCUCGGGUUGUAAUGUUAACGGCGUCAAAUUUUUGGGGGCCGCACGAGAUGACAAGUUGUGUAUGCAAAACAGCGGUGUCCAUGUCCCAGGUGGAGGCGAAAGUACGGACAUUGAUUUCUAUGGCAAACUGACAACUGUCGUGCAAUUGCUUUAGAAAGAUCGAUACCAAGUCAUCAUGUUUAAGUGUCGAUGGUUCGAUACCAACCCAAAUAGGGCGGGAAGUGUUAAAAUCGACCAUGGAGUACUGUUUGUGAACAUGGCGUCCCAAAUUGUGUAUCUAGAUGACCCUAAAGCCGGGAGCGGGUGAAAAGUUGUGCAGAAGAUGGAUCAUAGGAACGUGUAUGAUAUACCAGAACUAGACCCAAGUGACAACGACGUCGACAAUGUGGCUGACCAACGUUUAGAAUCUUCAAUGGAAAAUGAUGCGGAAACACUUCGAGAUACAAAUGUUAUACAAGAACCGUUUCAAAUAGAAGGAGUGUCUUCAGUAGAAAUACCGAUUCAGUCAAUUACAAUUGACCUCGGUGAUCUUCCCCGAUACGAUGUUGCAGUGGGUCCUAGCAACGCCGAUGAUGCAGUUAUAGAGGAGGAGGAGGAAGAAGAUUGGGAGACCGAGAGUGAUGAUAGCGAUGAUAACGAAAGUUAUUAUAGUUCAGAUGAUGAAUAAUGAAUUUAUUUGUAAAGUUAUUAUGUUAGUGUAUUCAUUUUGUGUAAUACAAAUCUUUGAAUAUAUGUAGUUGUCCAUAUGUAGUUGUGUAUUCAUUCUCCAUAUUUCAUCACAAACUUCAUUGGAAUGUCAAUACUUUAGUCAAUACUUAUUACGACCCCAUGCUUGUCGAUUGGUUUUUAUUUAUUUAUUUAUUAAUGUCUUUAACUCUUCAAUUAUUAUUUUUUUCUUUUGAGAUAUAGUUAUUUCUUCAUGUUUAAACAAAAAAUAUAAGUUAUUUCUCCAAUAUUAUCUGUGUGCCACUUAUUUUUCUUCACUUUGGUUCAUGAUUAGUGGCAUCAAUCUAGUCAAACCGAUAAAAUCGGUCGAUUCAAAUCUUAAUUAUCAAUUUAGUUUGGUUUUGAUGAAGAAAUACAAAGCCUUUCCAAAAAAUACAGAGCAUAAAAAAUGAUGAAUACAAAACCUUUCCAAAAAAUACAAAGCAUACACAAUUUGAAUUAAAUGAGGAUUUAUGGCGCCAAAUCCUUGCGCAACGAUAAGGAGCCCUUCGUCGCGCAAAUAUAUAUUAGGUAACGUUAUAGUAUAAUAUAUACCCACAUAUAUAUUUAAAAUUGGCGAUCGAAGUAGUUCAUUGUAUUCAUAUGAAGUGUAGGACUGUAGCUGCAAAAAAUCAUCAACAUCGGAGUUAAAAUAACCGUUCAAUCAUCACUUUUUAUUUAGAACCGUCGAAAAGUUUUACCCCGUUACUUAAUCUCUGAAUGUUUUUUUUGUCUGAUUUUUGCUGUCUAUGAUCUCGAAGUAUAACAAAACAAGUUUGACGGCUGGAUGACUGAAGCUAGUUUCGUAGACUGCGUGUGCUAUCAAAAUCAUAUAUUCACCAAAAACUCAAAAAUUUGUUCAUACAUUUGUGAAAAUGUAACUUAAUGUUUAUGUGGUAUCCCCUAGUGUAAAAAUAUGAAAUUGAAGAUCAAAUUCAGUCAUUGUAUUCAUAUAGGGUCAACAAAUGUUGCUGUAAAAAAUGAUCAAAAUCGGAGUUAAAAUAACCGUUAAAUCAUGACUUUUCAUUUAUAACCGUCAAAAUAUUUUGUCCUGUUCCCUGAUAUCUGAAUGUUUGGUCGUUUUGAUUUUUGGCGUAUACGAUCUCCAAGUAUAAACAAAUAAGUUUGCCGGUUGGAUCAUUGAAACUAUUUUAGGGUUUAGGGUUUAGGGCUUAGGGCUUAGGGUUUAGGGUUUACAUUUUAGGGUUUAGGUUUUGCGCGACGAAUAAACAUUCCUUUCGUCGCACAAAGUGAAAGUGACAAAGAUUGCGCGACGGAUAAGUCUUCCAUUCGUCGCGUAAUCUGGGACACACAUUUCACCCCUCCAUACCCUUUGAACACUUAGUGAAAAUUUCAACCGAAUGAAAUUCUUGAACCCGCGCGACGAACAAAGCAAAUACGUCGCGUAAAGUGGACGUGAACAAGAUUGCGCGACGGAUAAAUCUGGUAUUCGUCGCGCAAUCUGGGCCACACUUUCACCCUUCCAUCCCCUUUGAACACUUAGUGAAAAUUUCAACCGAAUGAAAUUUUUGAACUCGCGCGACGAACAAAACAAAUACGUUGCGCAAAGUGGACGUGAACAAGAUUGUGCGACGGAUAAAUCUAAUUUUCGUCGCGCAAUCUGGGCCACGCUUUCACCCUUCCAUCCCCUUUGAACACUUAGUGAAAAUUUCAAGCGAAGCAAAAUCUUCAACUCGCGCGACGAAUAAAAGUAUUCGUCGCGCAAAAGGCACAGGCCUCUGAUUUUUGUUAGCAAACAUUGCGCGACGUUUACUGUCUUCGUCGCGCAAAAGGCACAGACCCUUCAGUUUCAGCCUCCCGCUAAACCCAAAAUUUUCCCAAAAUUUUGGCGGAACGACAGCGUUUUGCGCGACGAACAUAUGACUUUCCGUCGCACAAGGUUAACCUUGCUCGACGUUUACUAUCUUCGUCGCGCAAAAGCACAAACCCUUCAGUUUCAGCCUCCCGCUAAACCCUAAGUCCCAAAAUUUGGGCGGAACGACAUCGUUUUGCGCGACGAAUAUAUGAUUUUCCGUCGCGCAAGGAGAACCUUGCGCAACGUUUACUAUCUUCGUCGCGCAAAAUCACAGUUUCAGCCUCCCGCUAAACCCUAAAUCCCAAAAUUUUGGUGGAACAACAGCGUUUUGCGCGACGAACCAUGUAUUUUUCGUCGCGCAAAAGGCACAGACCCUAAUCCCCAUUCAAAAUUUGGCGUUCUGGGAGACCUUGCGCGACGGAUAUUUCAUCGCGCAAGAUUCAUUAAUACCAUUUUGCACGACGCAUUCUGUUCUUCGUCGCGCAAAGUCGAAUAAAUUUGCAGAAACGGCCCGAUGCCUCCUUCUUCCCCAUUUUCUGGUUUCUCUCCGUUUCUUCCUCUCUCUCCGCCGUCACCUUAGCCCUCUCUCUCUGCCAUCACCUCAGCCACCUCCGCUCGUUCCGUAGCCUCCCUGCCGUCACCGUCGAGCCUGCCGUCGCAAUUUCGUCAGUUUUUCCCGAUUCUUCGCCGGCCGAUUUCUCUCUCCUCCGGCCACCAUUUUCGACGCCUAAGGUAUGAUUUCUCGACUAUUUUUUGUGCUCUAGCUGAUGGUUGGUUAGGAUUUCUUGAAUUUUCGCUAUAGGAAAUAGGAAUUAAAACCCUAGGUUUUGGCCGCUUUGGGAAUUUCAAAUCCGGCCACUUCCGGCCAUUUUUCGGGGUAGGUCCGAGAACAAAAGUGGCUCCAAUUAAUGUUUUCAACCUAGGGUAGGAACCUUGGCCCUUAGUUUUUAGAAUUUUCCGACGAAUGUUAUCGCUUUGGACACCCACGCGCUGCCGGCGCGUGUGGUGGCGCGUGGGAUGUUGUGGCAGUGGGGCAUUGGGUCCCAGAGCAAUCCCCUGUUUGUCACGAGCGCGUAGGUUUGCUCGGAUUUGAAUUUGGUUAUCGUUUGAGUCUUGAUCGGAUUUCGGCUAUUGUGCGAUUUCCAGGUUUGAUAUGUUCGGACCGUUGGAUCGAACUCAAACUCACGUAGUUGUACCUUUGUGUUUCUACGAUCGUUUAGGAUUCGACCGAUCGUUGAUCGGUGUCCCGGAUACUUCGAAAUUCCAAACCCUAGGUGAAGCUAUGCUUUUAAUUAAUUAGUUUAAAUUCUUAAUGAAAUUAUAUGUGCAGAUGUCAGAUUUGAUUAGACGUGGUAGGUCGAUGAUGACUGCACCGAGUUCGGAUCCCCCUGCUCAGUCGGCAUAUGCUGCCACUGCUCCAGCUUUGAUGGAGCACGUGCUGGUUGGUCCCGGGGCGUCCCAGGCGCCUGCGUCAUCUGCGUCAUCCGUCGCGCAGCCAGCUAGUGCUAGGCGGCGGCACCGGCCCGCCGACACGACAUCGACCGACGGUACUGGUGCCUCGGGAUCACAGCCAGAUAUAACUACCAUUUUGUAUUGUUAAUUUUAUAUUGAAAUUUGACAAUGUUGUUUAUUUAACAUUAAUAUCUUUUUUCUUUGCAGCGAAGAAGAACACCUGAGGGCCGUGUCGUCAGCUGAAGACGGCGAAGGUCACCCGGGUGACCAACAGUCGUAUCAGCAUCGGAUACGACGAGCGCCAUCGGGCUGCACCGACGGCGGAGUUGCAUAGCUCCUUGGCCCACGACAUUGGCCACGUCGUGCGGACCCAUUGCCUGAUGCAAUGGAAGUCUUGGAGGGUCAUGCCUGACGAGAUCAAGGUGGAGGUUCGCGGCCAGUUGUCGGUAUGUACCUUACAUUUUCAUUAAUUUUCUUUAAAAUUGUGUAUAUUUCUAUUACUUAACGUAUCUAAUUAAUUGAUUGCAGACGAACUAUAACUUGGAGGAUCUCGACGAAGAGUCGUUGGCGUACGUCAACAGACUCUUCGCUGAGAGGUACAAGCAGUGGAAGAGCGACUUGCACCAUCAUUUUCAGGCCUUUGAUGAUCCGCAAGUCGCUCUUCAGGAGGGUUGCCCGAAGGAGCUUGAGGGGCGGGAGGAUAGUUGGGAGUGGCUCUGCGCUCAUUUUCAAGCGUCCGAAUAUGUGGUAUUUUUUUAAUAAUAUUUGUUUAAUUAUUACUUAUUUCUUAUUAAUGUUUAUUUCAUUUUUUUUAUUUCAUUAUUAUUUAAUUUGUUAUGUUUUAACUAAUACGUUUCAUUUUUUGUAUAACAGAAUAAGGCCCAAGUGAAUAAGGGUAAUAGGAAGAAGAAGACCCUUCUCCACCAUUCCGGCUCCAGGCCCUUUUCGUAUAGGAUGGAUGCCCGGCGACGGGUAAUAAUCACAUAAUUUAUAUUUCAUUUUUAAUGUCAUUUUUAUUAAUUUAUUUUUUUCAUACUAAUAUUUUUCUUCUCUUGUUCAAUUUAGGAGGGGUCCAAGUUCCCAGAGAUCGACGUCUUUGGUGACGUUUAUGUUCGACCCGGGAAUGAGUUGGCCGAGUCCCUUCAUGUAAGUAUUAUUUAAUUUUAAUUCUUAUGUUACGCAUUCAAUUUAUAUGCAUGUUUAAAUUUAUAUUUUAUGUUAUGUUCAACAGACGACGAUGGUGGAGAGGAGCCAGUUGGUUCUUCAGGAGUCCGCCUCCCAGCUUCCUCCCGAGACUCCGAUCGAGUCUGUGGCUCCUCCACAGGAUGCUGGAUUUCAGAUCUUGACGGAGACGUUGGAUCAGACUCUCGGGAGGAGGCCGGGGACAUAUUGUCGAGGGAUGGGGAAUGCCCGGCGGAGGGAACCUAGACCUCGUUCAUCGGCCCAGUCAAACAGUCAGGUGACUGCUUUGACAGCACAGGUGGCCGAGCUUCAGGGUCAGAUGUCGGUGAUUCUACAGUCCCUCGCACAGAGCGGCUUUCCAAUCCCGCAGUUUCGUGCGUCAACCUCCCAGCCCGUCCACCCCGAGUAUGCCCACCAGACCACUGCCCCGGUGGACGCCCAGACCUCCGAGCCGCAUACUGGCGACGACCCGAUUGAUUUUGCUUCAUUAUUUGAUUAGUGUAUUUAUUUUCAUCAUAAACAUUUAUUUUAUUUGUAAUACAUUUAUUUUAUUUUAUAACAAAAUUUUGUUCUAAUUUAUUUUUAUUGCAAUUUCAUUGUUUAAUCAAUAAAAAAACCAAUUUUAUUUAAAAAAAAUAAAAAUAAAUAAAAAACAAAAACAAAAAAAACAAAAAAAAAUUGUAAUAUUAUUUUUGCGCGACGGAAGACAUUUCGUCGCGCAAAACCACAUGUAACAAAAAAAAUUAAAAAAAUCAAUUUUUUAUUACUUUAAUUCUUGCGCGACGAAUACAUACGUCUCGCAAACAUUUUUUGCGCGACGAAAUGUUUCGUCGCGCAACAGCUUUUGCGCGACGACUGAAAUUUUCGUCGCCAAAUAGAUGAGCGACGAAAACUUUCUCAUCGCGCGAAUAGUUCUGCGACGAAUAUAUACGUCUCCCGGACUAGUUUUGCGCGACGAAUUAUUUUCGUCGCGCUAUUCGUUUCGUCGCGCAAAUAUACGUGCGCCGAAUACUUUAUCGUCGCGCAAAUAUUUAUGCGACGAACAGUUGUUUCGUCUCCACACCGUUGGUGCAACGAUGGUUUACCCGUCGCACAAUUAUGCGCGACGAAGUGUUGUACCUCGUCGCGCAAAGGCUUUCUUCACGAUCUUCGCGCGACGGAAGGUGCGCGACGAAUUUUUUGUCGCGCUGAAAUUAGGGCGACUAAAUAAGACUUUGCGCGACGUUUUGUUAUUCGUCGCGCAAAGAGUAAAAUGUAGUAGUGAGACUUGUUGGAGACAAAACAGGUAAACAAAUUACUUGUAUUAGACUCACAAAAUAUUACAACAAGACAACUCUCAAAGAAAAGACAAACUCUCACACUUCUCACAAGGACUACUUAACUUUAUAGCUUAUUGCAUAUAGCAUAUGCAAACACAAUUAGAACAUACCUACGUACACUAUGGGAACACUCGUGUAUAUUUCAACACAAGAAAACAUGUGCACCGUGCACGGUUCACAUGAAGUAAGAAAUGAAGAGGAAAUAAAGAAGAAGAAUACAAAAGAAAAUGGAGAUGAGAAAAAAAAAAAAACCGAAUAAUGAAAAAUGAAUUGACAAUUAUAUAUGGUUGACAUUAGAUCUAAUAUUAUAUGUAACAACUAUUGAUCUAAAAUAAACAUUAAAUCAAACAAUAAUUAAAAGAUUUGACAAUAUAAAAAUUUAUUGAGGACAAAAAAAGGCAAAAACUUAUGAAAAAUGGAAACAAUAAAUAUGAACUGAGUCAUCAACUCACCAUGGUAAGUUUGCUGACGUAUAAAAAUAGUCAAUGGACAUCGAAAAGUAAUUGGCUUACAUCAAAAAUUAAAAUCACGUGGGUUAUUCCUAAGAAACCUUAAUAUUUGCCUUCCAUUUGUUCCAGCAAAAUAAAAGUCAUUGCUACUUAUUGUAACCCCUUUUCCAAGCUUAUUAAUCAAAGUAGACACCUCACUGCUGUCACCUAGCCAAUUUUCAACAAUGUCAUACUUAACAAGCAACUCCACAUCCUUUGAGGUGUUCACAAAACGAUCCAUGAGACUAACAUAAUCACUUAUGUACGUCUCCUCGUAGUGGCAUUGUUCAAAUGCGAUGAGAUUUCUAAUUAAUACCUCUGUAUGAUCGCUUAUUUUCAAUCUUGGAAUUUCAAGAGUCCGGCCAGCAAAUCUAAUAAGGUAUUCAUUGAUCCCUCAUUCAACUUGAACCCUGCCCUGUGUAGCUCUGUGAUGCUGGGUGUGUUUAUAGUUAUGAGUUUCCCGUCAUUAGUUUUUAGGGUUAUUCGUUAUAUGAGUCCCUGAACUUAGACCCGAUUUGCAUUUUAGUCCCUCAAUUUCCAAAAUCGUUCCAGUGGUCCUUCAACUUUAGUUUCGUUAGGACAAAUGGUCCUGCCGUCAAAUGAUUAUAAAGUGGAAAAAACAAGAACAAAAAAGGAAGUGAGUUAAAUUUGCACCUGCUAUGUUCAAACGACAAAGUUCGUUUCCGUUUGGUCGAUUACAAGAGAAGCUCAAUGCAGCUUACUUGGUUCCUCUUGGUAGAUGGAAAUAUAAUUUUUCUCCUAAUAACAAAGGUUUAGUGCAAUCAAUGAUGGGCUGUAUAGAACAACUUUUUUGUUUUAUAUGUUUAUGUGAGACAAGUUUUGCCAGAUUGAAUUAAUGUCUUCUAGCUAUGUACCUUAUCUUUUUGCCGGGCCAUGAGUUGAAUGUAGAGGCAGAGCAUGGCCUUGGGUUUGUAAAAGACAAAAGACUGAACCAGACGUAAUUAUUUAGAUUUUGGAUCCAGUUCCACAUCCCAAAGAGAAAACCACAAGUUUGCAAGCAAGUUUGUCCAUAUUAACACUACGUAGAGUAUAGGCAGUGUGCUACUCAUCUCACUUUCUCAACCUACCCUAUAUUUGUCUAAAAGAGUUUCUAAUUUCGUGUACUGAUUCACUACUACAUUUUACACUUUGUGCGACGAAGAGAAUUUCGUCACGCAAAAUACAUUGGUCGCGCAAAGUUUAAAAAAAAUUUUAAAAAAAUAAAAAAUUCCCGCGUCCAAUUUUUGGUACUUGUCCAAAUUUUUUGAGUUUUGCGCGACGAAUACUAACAUCGCGCAAAUAUUUGCGCGACGAAAUAUUUUUUGUUUUAAAUUUUUUUAAUUUAAAAUAAACUAAUUUAAUAGUUUGCGCUACGAAAUAUUUUGUCGCGCAAGGUUUUUGACUUUUUGUUUUAUUAUUUCUUUAAUAUGAAUUUAUUUAUAUGAAUUUUUUGAAAUUUUUACUUUUUAAAUUUAAUUUAAUUGUAUGAUUUCUUUUUAAAAUUACUUUAAUUUAAAUUGAUAUUAAUUUUUACUUUUUAAAUUUAAUUUAAUUGUAUGAUUUUUUUUAAUUACUUUAAUUUAAAUUGACAUAUUCAAAAUAAAAUUACAUAUGAAAAAUAGUGAUUAAAUUAUCCAAUAAAUAUAUAUAUAUAUAUAAUAUUCAAAAUGUACACAUAAAUUAACAAAGCACAAUAAUAAAAUCCUAAUACAAGCGUAUUGUGGUGGUAGUGUCGGAGGAUAUGUUUUGAUAGCUUCCUAAUCCUCAACUUUAGCCGUCAAAGUCUCGAUGAUUCCCUACAAAAAAAAUAAAUAUGGUCAAAUAACCACAAACAAAAAAAAAAAAAAAAAAAAAGGCAUAAUCUCCCCUAAAAUUGUUAUACCACAAAUCCAACCCAAACUCCAAUCCCUCCCCUUUACUCAACCCCAAAACCCACACAAACUCAAAAUUAACUCCAAAAACACAUAUUAAUGAAAAAAAUUUAAAAUUUGGAGAGAAUAUACCUUUUGGCAAGAUUGAGAGUGAAUGAGAGGGAGAAGUGAGUGUGAGAGAAUUAGAGAAGAUAGUGAUAGAGAGAUGAGAGAGAUGAGAGAGUGAGUGAGAGAGAGUGAGAGAUAGUGAAGAGAGAGAUGAGAGAUUAAGUGAGAGGAGUGAGUGAGAGAAAUGGUGGGAUUUGGGGAGAGGGAAAGAGAAAGGAGAGGUAAGAGUAGAGAAAGGCAUUGAGAAAAUGGUGGAUGAGUUAUUUCGGUUUUAAAAACCGUAUCACUUUGCGUGACGAAAAAUAUUGUUGGUCGCGCAAAGGUUUGCGCGACGAAAAAUAUUGGAAUAUUGAUCGCGCAAACUUUUGAGCGACGAAACAUAUUGGUCGCGCAAAGUCUAAAAAAAUUAUUUAAAAAAAAUAAAAAUCCCCGCGUCCCAUUUUUGGUACCCGCCAAAAUUUUUAAAUUUUUGCGCGACGAAUAUAGGAAUAUUGAUCGCGCAAAGUCUAAAAAAAUUAUUUAAAAAAAUAAAAAUCCCCGCGUCCCAUUUUUGGUACCCGCCAAAAUUUUUAAAUUUUUGCGCGACGAAUAUAGGAAUAUUGGUCGCGCAAAGUCUAAAAAAAUUAUUUAAAAAAAUAAAAAUCCCCGCGUCCCAUUUUUGGUACCCGCCAAAAUUUUUCAAUUUUUGCGCGACGAAAAAUACAUAUUGGUCGCGCAAAGUCUAAAAAAAUUAUUUAAAAAAAUAAAAAUCCCCGCGUCCCAUUUUUGGUACCCGCCAAAAUUUUUAAAUUUUUGCGCGACGAAAAAUACAUACUGGUCGCGCAAAGUCUAAAAAAAUUCCCGCGUCCGAUUUUUGGUACCCGCCCAAAUUUUUGCGAGACGAAAAAUAUAUAUUGGUCGCGCAAAGUUUUGAGCGACAAAAAAUAUUGGUCGCGCAAAGUCUAAAAUUUUUUUAUUUUUUUUUUAAAAUCCAGCGUCCCAUUUUUGGUACCCGUCCAAAUUUUUAGAGUUUUGCGCGACAAACUGUUGGUUGCGCAAACUUUUGAGAGACGAAAAAUUGGUUCGUAACACAAUAUUUAUAAAAAUAAUUGUUAUGAAUAAUAAAAAUAAAAUUAUUUUAUUUUACAAUUUAAAAUAUAAAUAAGGUUAAAGCUGCUUAAGAAAUAUAUAUACUAUUCAAUUUCUUAAGUGUUAUACGUACAAAAUAAAUAAAUUUAAAGGUACUUAAUAAAUAAAUAUAUAUACACACACCAUUCAACGAUCCAACCGUCAGACUUAUUUGUAUAUACUUCAAGAUCGUAUACCCCAAAAAUCACAAAAAACAAACAUUUAGAGAUCUAGUAACGAGACAAAACUUUUCGAUGGUUAUAAAUGAAAAAUUACGAUUUAACGGUUAUUUUAACUCCGAUUUUGAUGAUUUUUUUUUACAGCUACACUCCUUGACCAUAUAUGAAUACAAUGACUGAAUUUGAUCUUCAAUUUAAAAUAUUUACACUAGUGGAUACCACAAAAUCUUAUGUUAUAUCUAACGAACGUAUAAAUAACCUCUUAAUUGUUAGUGAAUAUAUUGUUUUGAUGGCAUAUGCAUUCACCAAAACUAGUUUCAACGAUCCAACCAUCAAACUUGUUUGUUUAUACUUCGAGAUCAUAUACGCCAAAAAUCAGAAAAAAUAAACAUUCAGAGAUCAAGUAAUGGGACAAAAAUUUUCGACGGUUAUAAUGAAAAAUCACGAUUUAACGGUUAUUUUAACUCCGAUUUUGAUGAUUUUUUACAGCUACACUCCUUGACCCUAUAUGAAUACAAUGACUGAAUUUGAUCUUCAAUUUAAAAUAUUUACACUAGUGUAUACCACAAAAUCUUAUGUUAUAUUUAACGAACGUAUAAAUAAACUCUUAAUUGUUAGUGAAUAUAUUGUUUUGAUGGCAUAUGCAUUCACCAAAACUAGUUUCAACGAUCCAACCGUCAAACUUGUUUGUUUAUACUUCGAGAUCAUAUACGCCAAAAAUCGGAAAAAAUAAACAUUCAGAGAUCAAGUAAUGGGACAAAACUUUUCGACGGUUAUAAUGAAAAAUCACGAUUUAACGGUUAUUUUAACUCCGAUUUUGAUGAUUUUUUACAGCUACACUCCUUGAACCUAUAUGAAUACAAUGACUGAAUUUGAUCUUCAAUUUAAAAUAUUUACACUAGUGGAUACCACAAAAUCUUAUGUUAUAUUUAACGAACGUAUAAAUAAACUCUUAAUUGUUAGUGAAUAUAUUGUUUUGAUGGCAUAUGCAUUUACCAAAACUAGUUUCAACGAUCCAACCGUCAACCUUGUUUGUUUAUACUUCGAGAUCAUAUACGCCAAAAAUCGGAAAAAAUAAACAUUCAGAGAUCAAGUAAUGAGACAAAACUUUUCGACGGUUAUAAUGAAAAAUCACGAUUUAACGGUUAUUUUAACUCCGAUUUUGAUGAUUUUUUACAGCUACACUCCUUGACCCUAUAUGAAUACAAUGAACUAAUUCGAUCGUCAAUUUAAAAUAUAUAUUUUCUAACAAAAACCCAAUCUGAACAACAAUAAUAUAUUUUUCUAACAAAAAUCCGAUCCGAUCUAAAAUAAUAAAUUUAAAGCUACUUAAUAAAUAUAUAUACUGUUUAAUUUCUUAAGUGUUAUGCAUACAAAAUAAAAAACAAAAAUAAAUUAGUAUAGGCGACAAAAUGUUUGGAUUACGUCAUGCAAAGAUUUUAAAAUAUAUAUAUAUAUUAUUUUUAUAAGGACUUUGCGCGACGAAGUUCAUUGUUUCGUCGCGCAAAGUCACUUUGAGCGACGAUGUAUUGUUGUCGCGCAAAAGUUUGUCGCGCAAAGUUACUUUGCGCGACGAAUUUUUUUUCAUCGCUCAAAAUUUGGUCGCGCAAGACUUUGAGUGACGAUGUAUUGUCGUCGCGCAAAAGUUUGUCGCGCGAAGUGACUUUGCGCUACGAAUUGUUUUUCGUCACGCAAAAUUUGGUCGCGCAAGACUUUGAGCGACGAAGUUUUGAGUUUCGUCGCGCAAAGUGACUUUGAGCGACGAAUAGUUUUUCGUCGCGCAAAAUUUGGUCGCGCAAGGGGUUUUUUUUUACUAGUAUGAGUUUUAUAUACAAUUUAUAACAAUAUUUUCAGGCAAAAAAAUGUCUUGGCAAGAAAAUGUACAAUUUGUUACGUACUUAACUGGAACGAUUACCUUCAAAUUCCUAUGGCCAAUUACCUUCUUUUUUCUUCCUUUUUUUUUUUUUUUUUUUUUUGGUUGUUGUUGUUCUUUUGAUCAAGUUGCAUAUUCCAAAGAACGAAAACCAGUACAGGCUCUUUUCCAAUGCAAGCUCUUUUCCCAUGUUUCCCUCUGUUUUUCUCCUAUUUUUCUUAUAUGGAAGUGAUUAAAAUACACCUCUAAGCUUGUUUUGCGUUUGGUAACCGACUGUAAAAGCUCAAUGCAGAUAGUUUGAGGUAGAAUUUUCUCCAAUUUUACUAGCACAGUGAUAAGCUAUACUAUAUGUAACAACAAAUUGCUUUAAUAAUGAUAAUGAAAAAAGUGUGAUCCAUCGAAUAUUUGCGGGGUUUUGUUCCAAGUCAACACAUCAAAUUCUUUUACACCAUGAAAUUAAAAAAAAUUUAUUCAACCAUCUCGACCUUAUGCUCGAUCAUUUUGCACAAGCAACCGUCCACGUACCCCAAUAAUUUAAAAGGGCUGAUGAUCUUUAAUUUGGCGAAAGCUUCUAUCUACUUCUACCGCGCUAUAUAUGAGCUAUGCAAUUGUGACGGUGUUACAUGACGUCACAAUGUCGUAGGGAUAAAAAAAUAAUAGUCAUGGUUUCUUAUUAAUGUUAAUACAGGCAUAGCAAAAAGCUUGUAUUUCUAGUGGUUAAGAACAAUUACCCAUGCACUUGAGAUAUUAUGUGCUUAAAUCCCCUCUUCCCCAAUAUUUCUUGUAUAAAAAUAAAAAUAAAAAUAAAAAUAAUAAAGAUAUUGAUAUUGUAUUCUAUAAAGUGUUGGACAUGUUUUAUACCCCUUUACUGCAAAUUACAGUUUGACACAUGUACAAAAAUAAUAGGUAAGUGUUGGACAUCAAGAGUACUUACAUAUAGGUUUAAUAGGUAAGUUUUGAAUAUUUCUGUCUUUAGCUUUAAUUAUUGAAAAUCAACCUAUUAUCAUAUUAAAGACUUAUCCAUGUUCAACGUACAUUCUCUUAUUUUUCUCUCAUUGAAGUAAAUACAAAACUAAGCACAUAGUGGAAAAGUAGGUCACGAUUAGGGGUGGGUUUGGUCUGGGUUGGUUCAGUUUUGGGCUCAACCCGAACACCGAACCGUAGACCUCGAUUUGGCUAUUUUGGAAACCAAAACUAAACCAUAAUUAAUGAAAACCGACCACUUCAAUUACCUUCUGGUCUUCCAACCAGAAGAAAACUCAAAACUUUAACCAUACCAAGUGCAACAGAAUUACACCAGGCUGGAGUCAAGUUUAUGAUGGUUAAAGAUAAAAACUUAUUUGACAUACAAUUUGAGAAUGGAAUCCUCAAAAUUCCACACCUGCGAAUACAGGGUUAAACAGAAAUUUUCUUCCGCAAUUUUAUUGCCUAUGAGCAGUGUGAGCUCCAUGAUCAUUACAUCAACAACUAUGUCUUCGUCAUGGACCGCCUGGUCGACAGUGCCAGGGAUGUGGAAUUGCUUGUGAAGAGUGGAAUUCUUGAAUCCAUGCUACCGGACAGCGAGGCAGCAGGGGAAUUUAUUAAUUCUCUUGACUUGGGGCCUAUUUUAGGCAAGCUUGAAACAAGACUAUUUCAGUUCACCAUGGGCUGGCCUGUCUAUUAUUGUAGCCGCUAUACUAGUUGUGCUCACAUUUAUUCAAACAGUGUGCUCCGUAAUGGCGCUGUAGGUUCUUCAUUUCCUCAAUUUCAUGUUUAGUGGUUGCAGAUUUGUUGCUCAUGUACGUGUUUAUCUAAAGUUAAAUAAGAGUGAUUGACUGAUAGUCUGUUAGUUUGUUUUUCUGGGGUUUUUCCCCUGUUCGUCAAAAAAGAAAAAGAGAAAGAGUGAUUGCUUGUGCCUGUUUGGGCCUAAUUUGACACACCCAAUCCAAAAUCAAAAAGUCCAUGUCAAUUUUGGACAGCCACCAGCAUUCCCUUUGUAAUUAGGCCAAAAACUGCACACCCAACCUAGCACUGGAGCCUAGAACAAACAAGGUAAACUCAGGACCCAAGCAGUUUGAUUUUUUCAUUUAAAUUGGAAUCAAGGGCCCCAAGUCAAAAAAGCCCAAGCCCAAGGCAGAUUUUUUACCAAAAAGACCCAAGGAAGCCCAGUGCAUGCGAAUUGCUUAGCCCACAAUCCCAAAACUCAAAACUAAGUUUGGCAUGAUUAAAUAAAGAUAGAGAGAAGCCCAAAAUUGAAGAAACCCAAAACAGUUUUAUCAAAAUUGUCAGCUCUCUACCCAAGACCUAAAAAGGGUCAAAAAUACCACUAUUGGCAAAAUUGACGCACUCAGCCUUGGAUCACAAAGAAAUCCACGUGACUAUUUGACUUUGAGAAGUCAACAAUUUCAACUAGUCACAAGAGAAGUUGAUUGGAAUUAAUGUAGGCAGGUCAUUACAGAAAAGACUUCUUUGAAACUCUGUAGCCAAAAGAUCAAAAUCCCUUUCUAUAUAAUUCUGCAUCAGAGUAGGUGGUCUUUCCAAGAGAUAAGCAGACUACGUUUUCAAGAGAUAAGUAGAGAAUGAGGGAGUUGUUCAACAAGAAAAGCAAACUAACCAUCAUGAUAGGUUGUGUUCUUUCUCUCUACAAAAAACAAUAGGGAACAAAGAAGAGUUGGUUUUUCUUUCAGAAAAAGGAAGGAAAAGACCUACAUGAAAACUAAUUAUUGAUGGUUCUUCUCUGCCAGAACAGAUAACUUCUCAUUUUCUUUGACAUUUAAAAAUGAAAGGUCUCGCUUUUACAAAAUCUGCCGCCCAUUAUUUAAAGAUUAGAAAACCCACUCCAGCAUUUCCUAUAAAUAUGAGAGGAGGUGAUGUCACAUCACGGGAUUGGCUCUGCCGUAGCACGAUAUUGUCCACUUUGCGCCCCCCUCUCUACCCUCACGGUUUUAUUUUUGGGAACUCACGAGCAACUUCCCAGUGGGUCACUCAUCUUGGGAUUGCUCUAGCCCCCAGCUCGCUUAACUUCGGAGUUCCCAUGACUCCGAAGCCAAUGAGCUCCCAAAAGGCCUCGUGUUAGAUGGAGGCGGGCAUGUACAUAUAAGGCACAUCACCUCCUCUCCGUUGGUCGAUGUGGGAUGUUACAGGUGAACAUAUCAAAGGACAGCCAAAAAAUCAAUCAAAGACAAAAACUCAAAAUGAUCACUUGAUCUCAAAAGCCUUCAAAACACUGAAGCAAGCAAAGCUCAUUGAGCCACAACGAACAAGUCAGCUAGAAUUCAGAAUCUUUAGAGUCAGUUCAGUUUCAGAGAAAUAAUCAAAGAAAGCGAGAUCUCUCUCGUUACAAAUUUGGUUCAGCUUAAAGCCAAAACAAGCAGAGUUCAGGUUCUUACAAAUAUGAAAACCUCAAUAAAUUUAUGGAGAGCCCUGAUCAAGCAAAACAGGUACUACAGUGCAGUUCUAGCUUAGUAAUAAUCAAAUCCACCCACUUCUGCCCCUUCCAGAUUGAGAAGGUCCCAAUUCUGCCCAUUCAAAAAGCCUUCCAAGACUUGAAAUAGAUUAAAGCUCUGCCAAACUCAAAUGUUGGAAUCAAUUCGCAGCUGAAACAUGACAGUUGAAGGUGUUGAUAGUCCAGUCCAGCACAGACAUACCCAGUCUAGCCCAGAUCAGAAGCAUUCACCGAGGCAGAAAUUGAAGUCCAAAGCUCUUUUUGUCUUUUUAGAGUUGGUCUUCCUUUUCUGAGCUUUGUAAAAGGCAAUUCUGCCUAAAACAGUUCACUUUCUUAUCAUUUAUUCUGGCCAGAACUACCAGUUUUGUACUGUGAAAAAUUAUGAAGUCCUCACCAGUCUAAGGCAAGAAAAGAACUUACUUGGGAGAUAUUCCUCACCAAAUUCACAACCGUUUGUUUAGAAAUCAGUAACUUGGUGUAACGACCCGGUCCUAAAUAAAUUGGUAAUUAUUAAUUUAUUCAGAUAAAAGACCAUUUUGCCCAUAGAAUAUUUUAAUAGGUUUACAUGUUGACCCGGGAGGCUUCGGUGAAAUUGUUACAUCUCGGUCCGAAAAAGUGUUAAAAUAAUUAAAGUAGAGUGCUGCUAAAAGAACCCUAAAAUUAACUGAGUACACCCUAUGAUCUAAGUACACCCUAAUAUUUUAAUUAAAAUAUAAAAUUAACUAAGUACACCCUAUAAAACUAUCAAAAAUAACACUGAUACACCCUAAUACUUGUAGCAUUAUUUUAUAGUUGAUUAUUUUAAUAGUGUUUAUAAAUCUUUGACUUUUCAUAUGGAUUUAUGCUUCUACUAAAAUUGUUGCCACUUUUUUUCCAAUUCCAAGUUCUUGCAAUCACCACAUCUUUCGUUAAAAACACAAUAGGACAAGCAAUCUCUUGAUUAGGGUUGAAUAUGGUUAGUAGGGUGUACUUAUUAAUAUUAUAUUUGUUUCACAAUUCCAUAUAUCCUUUUUGGUCAUUUUAUAUUAGGGUAAACCAGUAAUUCAAUAUAUACUUUUAUAGUAGGGUGUACUCAGUUAAUUUUAGGGUUCGUUUAGCAGCACUCUUAAAGUAAGAGAGAAUAAAAUGAAAUAAACAUUAAAAUAAAAUGAUUUGAAUUAAUUAAGGUUUUUGAGAAAUUAAAAUAUUAUUUAAUAUUAUAAGGGGAAAAAGAUCAUUUUAAGUUUGGGAAGGAAUUUGGAAAUUCCAAUUGUACCGUUGUGUAGAGCAUGUCGAAACGAGUCCGUAGACACGUAGUGGACUCGAAUCGUAGUUAUAACGGAGAAAUGGCGAUCAAAAGAAGUUCAGUGGCAUAGCCAUAAAUAUUUCGAAGUUCAGUUUUUUUAAAACCCAAAUUUCUUCUCUCUGGGGAGUGGGAGAGCCAACUUCAAAUGGUGAUUUCUCCCAACUCCGACCACCACACUUCCCUCUUCCUUCAGUUUUGGCAUCAUGAUGGGUUCCAUCCCGGAAUGACACAUUUUCGACGCUAAGGACGUCACAAAUGGUAUUUGAGAUGCUUUGUAAAUUUGUAACCAUGGAAAACACAAUGAACUUUAUGUUCGGAGUUGCAAGAGAACAUUAAGGGGAAUAUGGAGAGUGGGAAAAUAGUAAUAAGUGGAGAUCUGUAUGCUUACUUACUACUGAACUUCCGUCGUGGUGGUUAGUAUGAAAAAGUGUUAGAGAUUAUAGAUUUUAUGGAGGAACAUGGUUGUACACUGAUAAGUAGUCGGUAGGAGUUGAUUUAAGUUCCAAGAGAAAUUCAUUAUGAACUGGGAUGAAUUACUGCAAGAUUCUUGCUGUUUUGAAGUUAUUGAUUUUAGGGGCAUCACCUCUGAAUGAUCAUAAUAACCAUGCGUGGGCUCUGCAUGAGGUUUCUUUGACAUUGUUUGAUUUUGUGUAUUGAUAAUUACACUUAGGGGUGUCACGUUUCUAGAAACGUGUCUAUCCAAAUUGUUGUAUCUCAAUAUCCUAUGGAAGGAAAGCUGAGAAGCUGAAAAUACUGGAUUUAUGGUGGUGAGAUAAAAAUUGUCAGGAACUUUCAAAAGUCAAAUUAUUUCACAAAGGGAAAUACUGGAGAGAAGUAUUAGAGAAUUUUCUUUGGAUAAGUUAUAUAGGAGUGGAGGAGUUGCGAGUUUAACCAAGGAGGGUUGUGACAAUUUAAAUUGAGAAGUAGUGGUGUUGGGUGAAGUAUUAUUUCAUUCGCGUGGGCUUGAAUGCCGCGAUUGACAGGAAUGGAACAUUAGGGUUCUUCUUCCUUGCUCUCUCACGCGAGCUCGCCAUAGAGAGUAUUUCUUGGCGUGGUACUGGCUUCGUCCGACCUCCGAUUACUGUGAUUUUUGAAAGGACCCGGCCCAAAUUUCUCAAAAUCCGAGGCGAAUCCUGUGAAAUUCCCGACAUCACUCCGAUGCCAGGCCCACUUACUAAAGACCGAGACUUUCUGCCGAACUUUCGGCAGAGUCUCCCCUAUAAAUUGGACAUUUUCCAAAACUACCACCUGCAUAAAACACAAUUUAUAUCCCCAACUGGCAGCAUGCACAAGAUAAUUUCAUGCAAAUCACAUAAUCGGCCUGCGGCCUUCAAAUAAUUCAAAACGAAACCACCAAGCACACUAUCAAAUUAAUUCCUACCUUAAACAAGGCAAACAAUAAAUUUAAAUAUGAAUUAUGACUACUAAAUUUCAACAUACGAGGUUUUAACCUCCUAACACAAUCACAUCUAUGUCCGCGGCUGCACCUAAUAACCUUAGGCUGCCUACGUACCUUCACUGAGGGAUCAAGCCACACGUAGUUCUUCCGUAAAACCCAAUUCCACACAUAGGCAAUACCUUUAUUCAUUUCUCUGUAUUUCACAUAAUCUCCCCAUACGCCAGUACUACCAUUGCCACGUAUGGGACUUGUCAACAAGCCGGAUAACCUACACCACGUGCGAUCUCAACAUAAUAUCACAUAAUCUCCUCAUACGCCGGUACAACCAGCGCCACGUAUGGGGCCUGUCAACACGCCGGAUAACCUACGCCACGUGCGACCUCAUCAUACUAUCACAUGAUCUCCCCAUACGCAGGUACAACCAACACCACGUAUGGGGCCUGUCUCAACGCCGGAUAACCUACGCCACGUGAGACCUGAACAUAAUAUCACAUAUCUCCUCAUACGCCGGUACAACCAAUGCCACGUAUGGGGCCUGUCAACACGCCGGAUAACCUACGCCACAUGCGACCUCAAUAUACUAUCACAAUAUCUCCCCAUACGCCGGUGCAACCAACGCCACAUAUAGGGUCUGUCUCAAAUUGGAUAACCUACGCCACGCUAGACCUCAACAUCAUAUCACAAUAUCUCCUCAUACGCCGGUACAACCAACGUCACGUAUGGGGUCUGUCCGCAUGCCGGAUAACCUACGCCAUGUGGGACCUAACUUUCACAGAGUGGUACUUGUAGUGUAACCAAAAUCUGGGGAGGUGCCUAAGGUAGUGCAUAUAGCACUUCAAACUGACAUUCUCUCACUUAUCUAAACUAAUACUAGAGGUCUUCCCAUUUUAAUGGUACCAGUCUAUAGUAGAUUGUAACGUAAUUUAAUCAUAAAAAUAAUAUUAUUUCUAGACCAACGAUUAUUCACAUAAACAUGAAUUUCAUAAUUUCACUAUUUAAAAUAAUAUCUAAAAGUUUCCUAUAAUACAAAUAAACACUCUAAAGAUCCCAACUUAGUCAACACAGCUCAACAAUGCUCAAGACCUGUCAUUAGGGUCAUUAUGAUCCUUCUAGGAAGGUAAAACUACCUCGAAAGACUCAAGGUCAACCAAGGGUCAAACCACCCACAAUUGGUCAAACGGGCCCACGGGGCCCACGACCUCCAAAUUCCAAUCCGAAGGUUCCUAUGGGAUCUACAAGGUAUAGGACACUCGUCUUGCAAGUUAAGCCUAGAUCGGAUGGUCAGAUCGCUCACGAUCGCACAAUCUGAUGGUUAAUAUAAAACAUAAACUUUAAAUUAUUUAAUCGGAACAUCCGGGGCUCCCGAUUCACGAUCUGUUCCUACACGAUCCUAGAAAUACAUAGAUUAACAUAUAUUAAAUUUGAGACCAUCCAACGGUCCUAACCUAUCGAACCCGGAUAACGCGCAAUAGGCGAUAUUCGUUCGAUAGUCAAACGACGUCCGAAUUGAGAUUUACGAAAUCCUACGCACUCGUGACAACCUAAGGAUCUCAUUGAGACAUAUUGCUAUCCCAAAACCGACCGAAAUCCAAUUCGAAAAUCGAGUUACUUACGUUAAGAAUCGACCGAAUCCUACCCAACAGGCAGCUAGAGCAUGAAAAGUAUGUGAGAAACCAUACCUCACUCGUCGAAAUCAGUGGCCAAAGGAGGGAGAUCGACGAUAGAGAAGUUCGGACGAACUGACCGCUUCUUCUCCAUUUUUCAGCGAAACCACGGUAGCUGGUGGCGGGACCUAGCUGGGGUUGGAAGAGGAUGACGCCCCGGUCAUUUUGGUAUCGGCCUCGUGGUCAUCGGUGGCCGGAUGAGAAAACAGCCGGCGAAAAUGUGACCGGCUGCCGUUGCGCACGCGAGAGAGACCACGAGAGAGAGAGAGAGAGAGAGAGAGAGAGAAAUCUGAUUGUGCCACUGAGAUUCUUUUGACCAUAUCUCUCUCGUUACAACUCCGAUUCAAGCCCACCACGUGUCUACGGACUCAUCUCGGUACGACCUAUCCAAAAAUACCAAUCACUACCCCAAAUACUUUUUGGAUCAGAAAGUGACCAAAUUACCCCUACCUCAAUGGUAACUUUGUAAUUUCACUUAAAUAAUUUAAAUAAGGGAUUAAAUUUGGAGUCGGGGUGUUACAAUUUUUGUUGCUAAAUGUUGUCAUCAUUUCUCCUCUACAUCACUCAGUGAUCAUUCACUCCCAUUUCUCUAGUUUACACGGUGAAUUUUAUUUCUAAAAUUUCUUAAAAUUCCGGCCACUGUGAGUUUGACCAGCGACUUGGGUUACUUUUGCCCAUCUUUUUGGAAAUGGAACCGAUUUGAGGAAGAUUAGGAGGAAAGAUACAUAGGCCGCUGAGGCAGAAGUAAAGCCGGAGCUUUACCAUAGACAGAAGUUGUUUUAGAAGUCCUGGAAGAUUGUGAACAGGAAUUGGAAGUUUGCAUGGGGUGAUAGGAUUUUUAGUACUUGUGCAAACAGUGUUAAAAAUCACAUAAAAUACUUGCAAGAAUACAAGGCUAUUGUAGUCUAGAUGCUCAUGCAAGGUCGUUUUCCUCAAGGACUAAUUAGCAAUUUAUGUAAAAAUAAAUUCCAAUUACUACUUAAAAUAAAAAGUCAAGAAAGAUGAUUAUAAAUUUGGUUGAUUCUAAAAAACAAAUAUUAAACAAAAACAAAUACGAUUGAAAGAAAGAGUUUUGAAUAUCAAUUUAUAAAAACACUAGGGUUUCACCAUCACCUAGCAAUCCUAUGAACUUUUACCAAUUACUUAUGAUUUGCACAUGCCACUUUGAAGGUUAGGUUUUCCUAAUGUAUAUUCUACUUAGAACCUCCAACACAGAAUGUAUAUCCAACAUGCAACCCGUCCGGACGUUCGGAUCAAAUCUGAACAUGAAAGACUCAUUAAGUUUUGUGAAAACCCUUUGAAAAACCAUGCAACCCUUAAGACGUGGUGUUCAUCUUAAGUGAAAUUACAAUUAUUAAUCAGAAGAAGCUAGCAUCAAUUUCAGGGAACCUUCCGACCAAAAUUGCAUCCAAUUACUUUUCUAAAGAUCCUAAUGGUGAUCAGGCAUUAAGACAAUUAGAUAGUUUAAAACAGUGAUUAACAAUUCAAAAUACGCAUGCACUCAUCAUAAGCAAUUAAAUAAAAAUCACAUAUUCAUGCUAAGGUUCAAGGCUUCACCCUAGCAAAAGAAAUUUAGUUACGCAUACUCAUAAUUGAAAUCCAAGAAAAUAUCAUUAAGAAGAAAAGAACGAAAACACCUGAAAGUUGUGAAAACCCAAAACCCUAGCAAUUGCUCUCCACAAUGCAAAGUUCAAAAGUGAAAAGGGAGUCCUCCAUUCCUUGUGAGAAAGAGCUUAAAUACCCCUUAAAACCUAGCUGCCAAUGUACAGCUUUUCUAUCCCCACAAGGAAACUAAUUAAAAUAAAAUAAUACUAGGAAAUAAAGUCCAAAUUGGAAUAGGAGAAUCUGCUCAAAAUCUGCCCAGCCACGUUUUGGCCCCAAAUCUCCUCCAAAUCUGGCCCAAGAUAGCUUGUUUUAAAGAUAAAAAAUGUUCUGAACACUUCUUUAGAAGGCCACGAACCCAUCCGAGGUCAUCUUGGGCUCCAAAAACGCAAUAAAAGCCCAACACGUCACUAUUCCAGCACCGCGCACUGCUCCUUUAUUUUGUUGCCAGAAAAUAACCGCUUGGAAGAAAAAUCUGAAAUUUUGAUACGAUCAAGCUAAGUGACUCAAGAACGUCCUCCAACUGGAAUUACUCCAAAAUUCCUCAAUUUGAUUAUGUUUUGCUCCAGAGAGAUUCGAAAGUCCUAUAUUGGAAAUAUAAUUCAAAGUAUCAAAAGUCUUCCAAAAUAAUAACCAAAAUAUACUAAGAAUGAGGUUAAAUAUAUAAUAUAAAAUAUGUCCAUCAAAAUACCCCCAAACUUAGCUUUUGCUUGUCCUCAAGUGAAACAAGACUCAAACAAAAAUAAAAACUUAACAGAUUAGACAUCUGGCUAACACUUAACUAGGACAAAAUUUCCACCUUCAAGUUGCAAUCCAUAGAAAAUUUUAAAAACUAGAACAUCCUUUCAAUAGAUCUAAGUAAUCCCACCACAAAGUCUAAGCUAUUUAGACUCAAUUAGAAAAGAAUUCACAAACUUCUUUCGGUGCAAAGUGAACCAUUAUGGUUAUGGAGACUUGACUAAAACCCUUAACUCUCAUCCCUUUUAUUCAUACUUCACACACUCCACACUUUUUGUUUUUUUUGUUUUUUGUUUUUUGUUUUUUUGUUUUUUUUUCUUUUUGUUUUUAUAGUAACAGUAGUGGUUGUGCAAUGUUGGUUCCCUUAAGCUUUCAAUCCAACCGUGUAGCCAGCUUUAGGUCAAUGUCUCCCAAACCACUCGGGUUUUAGGGCACUAGGUGUAGAACACCCCUAAGGACUUAUUAACUCAAGCUGAAAAGGCUACGAAACCAACUAACCACCCUGCCUCAUGCCAAAACUCUACCUUUUGUCUCGAGAAUCACUGCUGAUUAGGCAGGAUUGACCCGGUUACUAGCAAAGCUUCGGGUGAGGUAAUUAUUACUUUAUAACACAAACUAACUUUAUUUAUAUUGAACAUAAAUUAAAACACAUUUGGACAAAAAGUAAGUAUUCCAAUCUCACUCCCCAAAAACCAUGUUGGUGUGAUGUGCAAAUUUCAAAGUAUAAUUCAUGAAUUAAUGUCUAAGCAACAAUAAAUAGAAAAUACUCUACCGUGGGAUUGAUUUUCACCAUGUCCAUUUGUUCUAACGUUUAAAAUAAUCUAUGGAUAUUGACUGAAAAACGAAAAUUUGUAAACAAGACUCAAAAAAUGAAAAAUAAAAAAAAUUACGUUCCCACCCCCUAACUUAAAUCACACAUUGUCCUCAAGGUGGGGUAAAUAAUCAAAAGAAACAAGAGCAGAAACAAAACGACUAAAACUUAGAAAAUGGAAAUCAAAAAUAAAGAAAAUACUCUAAGAAAAGAAAUUAGGAAGGCAAAGGAUGAGAUCCAGAUGGAUCUGGUAAUCCUAUCCGUAGAGAUGGAAAGAUUCUAUACACGCCAUUGAGACUGGAUUUGGAGAUGAGGAUUUGACCCUACCUUGUUCGACGAAUUCCCUCAAGGGGAAUUAUAGCAAUAAAAUACAUAUGCUUCUACAAACAUUUAAUUGCACUGCUACGACGUGGAAAGAGUGCUUUGGGGUCUCAUCUCAUGUGAACCCGUUCGAGUAGAAAUCUUUCAUUAGAAUCAGAAAUGGGUCAUGGUAAAGAGAGGUAGAUGAUGAUUACAGUUCGGUAAAAAUGAUCAUUUCUGACAUUCCUCUCAAAGAACCGUGUUGGCAAUGUCGUUUAUCGAUUCUAAAGAAAGAAGAAAAAUAUCAACAAGUCAAAGAACGUGGAUUUCUUUUAAGGGGAGAGCUAGAACAAAAUCAAAUCACGAAUGGAAGAGUUUAGCUUUCAGAGGAAGAUUGAGCAUUACAGCAGCUAUUAAAGGAUAUUUUUAGUUGAAGAAUGAGAUUUUUCUUCCUCUGAUUGUUUAGCUAGAGCUUUUGGCUUGACUGCCAACGUGGUUGUGGAGGAAGAAACUUGGGAACCCGAGUAGUAGAUGCGAGCCCACUACCCAUACCCCUUUUGAGUGACAGGUAUGAAAUUUCAAGGAUGAAAUUUUUAUAAGAGGGGUAGAUUGUAACGACCCGGUCCUAAAUAAAUUGGUAAUUAUUAAUUUAUUCAUAUAAAAGACCAUUUUGCCCCCAUAAUAUUUUAAUAGGUUUACAUGUUGACUUGUUGACCGGGGAGGCUUUGGUGAAAUUGUUACAUCCCGGUCUGAAAAAGUGUUAAAAUAAUUAAAGUAAGAGAGAAUAAAUUGAAAUAAACAUUAAAAUAAAAUGAUUUGAAUUAAUUAAGGUGUUUGAGAAAUUAAAAUAUUAUUUAAAAUUAUAAGGGGCAAAAAGAUCAUUUUAAGUUUGGGAAGGAAUUUGAAAAUUUUGAUUGUACCGUUGUGUGGAGCACGUCGAAACGAGUCCGUAGACACAUAGUGGACUCGAAUCGGAGUUGUAACGAAAAAAUGGCGAUCAAAAGAAUUUCAGUGGCAUAACCGUAAAUAUUUUGAAGUUCAGUUUUUUUAAAACCCACAUUUAUUCUCUCUGGGGAGUGGGACGUGCCAACUUCAAAUGGUGAUUUCUCCCAACUCCGGCCACCAAUUCAAGUAAGACCGGCCCCGUUAGAACCACCACACUUCCCUCUUCCAGUCCCAGCCCAUCUCAGUCUCGAUCCGCCGUCGUAGUCGCCGAAAAUCGCCACGAAACAAGGUGGUUUGGAUAGUUUUUGUCGAAAUUUCGUGGAGCUCGUUCUCCCUCCUCCGGCCACCGUUUCAGGCGAGUGAGGUAUCAUUUCUCACCUAUUUUCUAUGAUAUAGCUGAUGGUUGGAUAUGAUUUGAUAAAUUUUGAGCGUUGAUAGUUCGAUUUUCGAAUCAAAGUUUGGCCGAAUUUCGGGAUGAAAUUCCGGCCACUUUCGAUCACUUUUUGGGGUAGGCCCAAGAACAAAAGUGUCUUCAAUUGAUGUCCUGAUCCCAGGGUAAGAGCAUUGGUCGAAAAUUUUGAGAUUUUCCUGCUGGUGGUAUCGCUUUGGGCACCCAUGCGCUGAUGGCGCGUGUGGCAGCGUGUGGGCACUGUAGCAGAGGGCCAUUGUGUCCCAAUGCGACCCCCUUGUUGUCACGAGUGCGUAAGGGUGCUCGGAUUCCAAUUUGGUUGAGGUUUGAACCCCGAAUGGAUUUCGUAUAUUGUACAUUAUCCGGGUUUGAUAGGUUUGAACCGUUGGAUAGUCUUGAAUUUAAUAUAUGUUAGUCUAGACAUCCCUAGGAUCAUAUAGGAUUUCGCGGAUCAUGGAUCGGAGCCCCGGAUGUUCUGAUUUAAUAAAUUAAAGUUUGUGUUUUACAAUAACCGUCCGAUCGUGCGAUCGCGAGCAAUCCGACAGUCCGAUCCGAACCAAACUUGCAGGACGGGUAUCCUAAAUCUUGUAGAACCCAUAGGAGCUUUCGGAUAAGAAUUUGGAGGUCGUGGGCCCGGUUGACCAAGAUUAGGUAGUUUGACCCCUCGGUUGACCAUGAGUCUUCCGAGGUAGUUUCACCCUUCGAGGAGUACUAGAAUGACCUUAUUACAUAGUCUCGACCUUUAAUUGAGCUAUGUUGACUAUGUUGAGAUUUUUAGAGUGUUUAUUAUUAUCGUAUGAAAACUCUUGGAUAUUACUUUUAAUAAUUGAAAUUAUGGAUUUGAUGAGCGUGGGUAAAUUGAUUUGAUGAGUGGUGAAAAGAAGUCGUGGGCUUGGCUAUGACUAUUAGGAAGUGAGGGGACAUUUAUGUUGAAUAUGCAUUAAUUUCAACAAUUGAAAGAACAUGCAUGGAAUGGGUAUAUAUAUAUAUAUAGAUAAAUUGGAUUAAAGAUUGAGAAAUUAAUAAGUUGAGAUAUUAGUAAUAUUUAAUUGAGAAAUGGAUUUUGAGGUGGAAAUUGGAAGGUUGAAUUUGGGGAAUUUUGGAAUUGAGAAUUAUGGGUUAAUACUGAAAGAUGUAGGAUUAUACUAUGUAAGUACCAUCCCCUAGUUACUAGGCUUCCCAUACGUGGAGUUGGAAUUUCUGGCGUGUGGGAAGGAUAUAUGAUUAUUAGAUCUCACAUGCCGUUGGAUUUUCCAGCGUGAGACAGACCCCAUACGUGGGGUUGGAUUUUUCGGCGUAUGGGGAGAUUAUGUGAUGGUUAGGUCACACGUAGGGUGGGAUUUUCCAACGUGUUGACAGACCCCAUAAGUGGCGUUGGAUUUUCCGGUGUAUAGGGAGAUUAUGUGAUGGUUAGGUCACACGUGGCAUAGGAUUUUCCAGCGUGUUGACAGACCCCGUACGUGGCGUUGGAUUUUCAGCGUAUGAGGAGAUUAUGUGAUGGUUAGGUCCCAUGUGGCGUAGGAUUUUCCGGCGUGUUGACAGACUCCAUACGUGACGUUGGAUUUUCCGACGUAUGGGGAGAUUAUCUGAUGGUUAGGUCACACGUGGAGUAGGAUUUUUCAGCGUGUUGACAGACCCCAUACGUGACGUUGGAUUUUCCGGCGUAUGGAGAGAUUAUGUGAUGGUUAGGUCACACGUGGCGUAGAAUUUUCUGGCGUGUUGACAGACCCCAUAUGUGGCGUUGGAUUUUCCGGCAUAUGGGGAGAUAAUGAGAUGGUUAGGUCACACGUGGCAUAGGAUUUUCUGGCUUGUUGACAGACCCCAUAUGUGGCGUUGGAUUUUCGCGCGUAUGGGAAGGAUAUGUGAUUAUUAGGUCUCACAGGUGGCGUUGGAAUUUCCGGCGUAUGAGACACUAACAGUGAGAAGAGAAUGAGAUUAUUUUUCUAUAUCAGAGAAAGGUUAGAGUAUAAAAAGAAAUAUGUUUGGUGUGUGGUAAUUUAAAUUAAAACAGGGAAAGAUAACUUACCUGUACUACUGAAACAGUUGUGUAACAUUUGGAGCAUGAUUAUGGAGUGAAAGAACUACGUGUGGCUUGAUCUCUCAGUAAGGGUACGUAGGCAACCUAGGUGCAGUCGUAGACUAAACGUUAUUUAUGUUGUUUUAUUGAGAUUGGUUCUGACCCUGUCGUUGGUCCUGAAAUUCGGUUGAAAACUAGAUGCGAGUAAAUAAUUGUUCAUACUCCCGUUUCGUUGAGGGAGGAUUGUGUAAAUGUGUUCUGGUCAAGACAGGUAUAAGAACUCGUUUAGGAUUGAUGUACGAUUUGGGCUAAGGCCUUAAACUACUUGUUGUUGUAUUAGGAGAUUAAAACCUCGCAUGUGGGAUAAUUGGGAAAGUUAGAUGAUGUAAAGUGCACUUAGGCAUUCAUAUAUAUGUUUAAAUUUAUUAUUUGUCUUGCUUAACGUAAUUGUUUGACUUAUGGGCUUUAUUGGUGAUUUGCUUCAGAUUAUUUAAAGGCCGAAGGCCGUUUAUGUGAAUUGCAUUUUGAUACAUUGUGCAUGCUACUAGUUGUGGAUAUUAAAUGUGUUUUAUGCAGGUUGAAAUUUUUGGGAUUGUUCAAAUUACAGGGGAGACUGCCAAAAUUUUGAUAGAAAGUCUCGGUCAUUAGUAAGUGGGCCCGGCAUCGAGGUGAUGUCGGAAUUUACACAAGAUUCCUCUCGGGUUUUCAGGAAUUCGGGGCGGAUCCUGUUACUUGGGGUGCAAAUUAUCCAUUUGUUCACCCGUUUUCGUGUUUUACUUCUGAGGUGGAAGGGCGAAGUUUCCCACUGGCUUGGAGACCACUUGUUGGUCGACAAGUCAGCUUUCUUUGGUGUGUGUGAGCGUGCCACUGCUAGCAAUGUAAAUUCUAGCAGACUUAUUUUUUAGAGUGGAUAACUUGCGCCUCAAGUUACUGACUUCUAAAACAAAUGAUUGUGAAUUUGGGUGAGGAAUAUCUCCCAAGUAAGUUCUUUUCUUGCCUCAAACUGGUGAGGACUUUCACAAUUUAUCUCAGUAUCAAAUGGUUGUUCUGGCCAGAAUAGAUAAUAAUAAAGUAGACUGUUUCAGGCAGAACUGCCUUUUACAAAAUUAAGAAGGGAGAAAUCAACUCUAGAAAGGAAAAAAGAUGGCUGGAAUCCCAUUUCUGCCUGGGUAGAAACUUCUGAUCCGGGCUGGACUGGGUAUGUCUAUGCUGGACGGUGCUGUCAACAACUUUAGCUUGCUCGGCUUUAGUUGUAAAUCGAUACCAAAGUUCAAUUUUGGCAGAGCUUCAAUCUACUUCAAGCCUUGGGAGACUUUUGAGUGGGCAGAACUGCAGCUUCUUCAGUUUGAAGGGACAGAAGUGGCUAUUCUCGAGGAUUUAGCAAGCUGGAACUAUGCUAUAAAAUUUGUUGAGGUUUUCAUAUUUGUGAAAACUCAAACUAUGUUUGUCUUGGCUUUUGCUGAACCAAAUUUGUAACGAGAGGGAUCUUGUUUUCAGAAGACUUAUUUUCUAAGUCUGAACUUUGGAAUUCUGAUCUAAAGCUGUUUUCUUGUUUGUUUUUUUUUGAUUGACUGAUGAAUUGAGUGUCCUUUGUUUCUUUGCCUUCUUUCGCUUUUAUAAGAGAUCCUCCUAAGGAGGUCAUUUUUAAUCCUAAACAAUGGGCGGCAAAAAGAUCUCUUAUAAUGUAAAGUAAGAAGGGUUUCUUAUCAAUCAAGGCAGAUAGGUUCUGAGCAGUCACCUCCUAAAAACAGUCCAUUCCCUGGUUUCCUGGGUGGCAGCUUUCUAAUUCAACCAACGCCACCGUCUGUGUGGGCUUUUUAUGGCAGUUUUGGCUCUUUUCUUUUGUAUUUUCUGAGUGGUUCCCUGUUUCCCGUUCUAAUUUAGAAAGCGUGAUUCGUGAAUUCCUUGGGAGAUGGUGUAUUGAUUUGGAGCAAAAUCUUGAACACAGAUGGGUUUUUGAUCUUCAAUUGGCAGUGUUUCAGAGACGUCCCUCUCACAUUUUUAAACUUUAGUUGGAAUUGCUGACUUUUCCAAAGUUGAGGCAAUCACGUGGGUGUGUCUUUGAUCCCUUGGUUUUGAAUCUAUCGAAAAUUACGGGCUGAUCUUUGAAGCCCAUUUCGAAAGUUUCCACAUCUGGGCUUUCUUUGGGCUGAGGCUUUAUUUCCAACAUUCUUGGUGUGAAGCCCAAACUGUCUGGGUCUUAUUUUCGUUUUUCUCAAGUCUCUGGGCUGGGCAGGCAAUUUUAUCAUGGGCCUGUCUUCUGGUCUUGGGCGUGCCGAAUUUGGGCCCAAACAAUGCCCCCUAAGUCUGAAUCGUUUUGGAAUGGUUUCAGACUUAAUGUUUUGCCAUUUAAUUCACGUGCCAGUUUCUUCCGUGUUUUCGCCCACGUCUGCCACGUUUGCCUGCUACGAACUAGAGUUCGUGGGAAAACGGCUAGUUAUUAUCUAGUUACUAGCUAAUAAUCAUCAGGUGCCGUCCCAUCUUCUUCUUCCCACGUUUUCGAGCCCCUCUUUAAAAGAAAUUCAAAUUCAUAGCUUCUGAAAAAAGAAACCCUAAACCUUCCAGCUCUUGUUCCUGCGAGUUCUUUCUUCGAGAUUUCCAAAGCCUUCUUUAGACCUUCCUUUCUUCUGCUUCUUCCCUUGAAUCAGAAAUGUCUUCCCCAAGGUCCCGCGCUCAGUCUUCUUCCGCUUCAGUUCCUCCCGAUUAUAUCACUGGGAGCGGGAUUGAUGCUCACGCGAUAGAAAUCAGGAGCAAGCUUCAUCCCUUUGCCCAGAAGAAUCUGGACGAGAAUGUCCUCCAUUUGUUUGAGAACACCCUGGUGUUAGGGCCUCACUGGUUUGGUCCUGUUCCAGCUGAGAUGGCAGAAUUGCUAAAAAAGGAUGCCGAGGCUCCUUUGUGUUUUGAGAGCUCUUCUGCCCUGGCUUCUUAUUCUUGGGUUAGCAAGAAUUUGAGCCGGUCCUUCCCGUCCAGCGAGGUGAGGAAUAGUCUGGUCAAAUGGGCAGACUGGAUUGAUAGACUUCUCCCGAGAUAUGGGGGUCACUGGAGGAGAGCUGGGAUUUAUGACGCCAUUUUUCUGUCCAAACAAUCGAUUAACAGAGAUGAGAAUCUGCUUGCUGCUGCUUUAUGCUUCUGGAAUUCUGCCAGCAAUACAUUUGACUUCCGCGUGGGUCCUAUGGCGCCAACCUUGCUGGAUAUGGCUCAGAUUUUUGGGUUCAGGCCCCAUGGUAGGCCUGUUGAUGCCAUUGGAGAUUAUCACAGGCGAAGGAAUCAAGAGAAAGUGGCCACCCCUUUUACUAUCCCUCCAGCCGUGAUCAACCAGAACUGCUCUUUCUCCAACUAUCUGAAGAAGUUCAGUGCUGAUAAGGACAAGGAUCAGCAACAUAUGUUGUUCCUUCUGUAUUGGCUGAAUUGGUUCGUUCUCCCCAAUCGGUCUUCUGCAGUUCUGCUAGAGUACAGACACUUGGCAGAAGCACUCCACAAUCACACUGAUGUGGGGCUCGGGCCUACAGUUCUGGCUCACCUUUUCAAGAAUCUGCAUACUUCCACCCUGGAGAACCCAUUGAACCUGUCAGCCCCUGGCGCAUUCUGGAUGAUCCAGAUCUGGCUGCAGGUUUAUUUUCCAGAACUAAGGUUCCCAGACAUAGUUCUGCCUGAAGAUCAAGUCCUGGCUCUUCCUCUGAUGUCGGCAGAAGUGCCCAAGCAUUCUAUUGAGGAGUAUUUGAUGCUCUUCAGGCAUUGUACAAAGAGGUCGGCAGCUCAGUGGCAAGUGGUGAUCAGGAGGACCUAUCCUUGGUUCCAGACCGGAUUUCGGUUGUUUGAGAAGGAGCCAGAAGAUGAAGCUGCCAGAACAGAUUUCAGGAGGAAAUUUCUGAGCAUUACUCUGCCCAGAGAUCUACCCCAUGGUGGGGGCAAACCUCCAAACUAUCAUCUGGGGGCAGAAGUCUACCAUCCCAACUUCUGCGCGAGGCAGCUUGGUUGUCCCCAACUCAUUCCGCUGAAAUCAUAUCGGAGUUGUAACCGGGCCUCUUCUUGGAGGGAUGCAGAUGAUCUGGAGGUGCACAAGGAUGCCCGGUGUGCAGUGAACAAAAUCAACAACAGCACGGAUGCCCUCUAUCCCUCGUGGGAGCUGAAUUCCUGCAGUUCUGCCGACUUUGACGCAUGGUGGAAAGCCAGAUUCCAAAGUCUGCCUGCUUCUGUCACUGCCCUCAAGGUGCUGUUUGAUGGUUGGGAAAACUGGGUCGUUUUUGCGAAUGGGGAUGCCAAGACGCAUAUGAUCCAGACCAUCAAGGAUAUUAACGCGCAAAUUAUAGAAGGUAGAUUUCUGAUUCUGUAUGGGGUUCGUUCUGUCCUGAUGAUUGAUUUCUAAUGUCUAUUCUGCCUGUAUCAGAUCCUUCUUUGACCAGCGUAGGUGGGCAGUCUGUUCAUGCUGGGGAAGUGAUUGGUAAGUCUUUUCUUUUAAUUCUAUUCUGUCUUUUCCUGCUGGAUUGGUCUCUAAUGUCUAAUGCCUUGGUGCAGUCUCUUCCGUUAUUGCUGCCGGGGACUUGGAGCUCCCUUCUGCGGAUGAAGGAGAUGAGGUCCAGACAGAACAAACACCUACCGAGGCCGCUCUUUCUGGCAGAAGAAAAAGGAAAGGACCUGCCCCUCCUUCGGAUAAUCCCACGCGGCCUGGUAUUUCAGGUAAGCUCGUGAUGUUCCAACCAUUCUCUUUAAAUUUAUUAUGUCUUGCCUUCUUUUCCCUAAUACUGCUUUUUGUUCUGUGCAGCUGGAAGUCCUUCCCCUCCUCCUACCAAGUUGAAAAAACUUAAAAAGAGGAGUGAGGAGGAGUAUGUCGCCGCGGAAGAGACGGCAGCAAUUCCCACCACUACCUCCGGGACGGAUGAAGAGCUGCGAGAGGCUUUUGAGGAGGUGGAGCAGGAAAAAGAAUUGGAAGAGCUGGAAGAAACGCCUCAGGAAAAAACGGCAGUGGCGGAAGGAGAGGUAAGUUUUAUUUCUGUGAUUCGCAUCAGUUCCCUUCUCGCCCUGUUUCUUCCGUUCUGACCCUUAUUUUGUAGGAGAAGAUCCCUGCUGAGGUGAUUGCAGAGAGCAUUGCCUUGGCGCAGAAGCAACAAGGGGGUCCAAGGGCUGAGCGGACUAGCUCAGAACUAGCCCUAUUUGAGGAUGCUGAGGCAGAGCAUUCUACUGCCGUUCCAGCGGCUGAGGAUCAGGCGGAACGGUCUGCAUCAGAGCCUGUGGAUCAGGCAGAGCUGUCUGUUGUGGUUCCGGAGGCUGAAGUGGAAACAACCGCCGCUGCCCCUGUGGUUGUGGUAACUUUCUUUCUUUAUCUGUCCACACUCUCCUGCAUUUCUGCCUUGUUCUUUAUUUUUAACUGUUGUAGCCUUUUCAGGUAGAAGUGCCUAAAGCUGUUGGCGUCCUGGCAGCGGUUACCAGUCCCCAGAAGCCUCCCAUUGUUGCUGUAAGUUUUCAUAACUUUUGGGCCUUUAUUUUCCACUUUCUGCCUGGUCUUACCUUAUGCUUUCUUCUUGCAGAUGCCAAUUCAUUCCCUUCCAGGAUCAUCUGCCACGGCUUCUUUUGCUGAUCCAGAACUCGAAGAGUUUGAAGCCAUGGAUCUGGAUGCCCAAUUGGACAGAUUGGAGAAACUCAGCUCUCCUCCAGGCAAGGCAAAAUCUAGGGCAGUGGAGGAGGCCAUGGAGAGGUUGAAAAUCUGGCAGUCUAAUGAGCUGGAGUUUGAUCAAGACAAUGAAGCCUUAAAUCAGCUGAUGAAGGACCUGGACCUGCUUCACAGACAGAACAUGGCUCCAAAACCUAUCCUUGAGAUGGGCCUAAGCUUGGCCAGAGAUGUGCUCAAUCUGCAUGAUCGCUAUGAGGAUCUCAGGCCUACUUUCAAGACUUCUGAAUUCUGCAAGGCCACUCAUGAAGCCAACCUGGCUGAUUUUGCAAAGCAGAAAGCAGAACUGGAUCAGAUGGUGGCCGGAUAUAAGGAAGCCAGGGCCACUGCGGACAAGCUGGAGAAGCCGAUGGAAGAGCUCCAAAAACAACUGGCAGAAUGCAGGGAGGUGCAGAGCAGGCUUGGGGCUGGACUGAGUUCUAAAACUAAGGCCACUUUCCUUGUGCAAAGUAUGGUUGCAGCUUCCAGGACAGCCUUGGAGAUUGCAGAGGCUUCAAUUCACCAGGGGGUGCUGCUCCAGAAAGAGCUUUCUGUCAAGAAAGCGAACCUGCAGGAGACUCUUAGAAAACUAGGAUUUUAGCUUCUUCUUUCCUUUUAUUGUUCGAAUAAUUUGCCGCAAAGGUGGCUAUUUUUAUAUAAGCUUUCAAAGCAUUUUACUGCUUUUCAUUUAUUCUUGAUGCAAUAACUGGAUACGGCUUUGAAAGUAAAAAACAGAACAACUUUAAAGCAAAAAUAAAUCUAAACAAAAUUCUUUUCAAGAAACAAAAAGGUCAAACUUGUUCCUCUUCUAUCCCGGGAUCUGUUUAUACAGCCUGCGAAUCCCACGUGGUUGGAUAGAACUUCUUUAACCAUUUACCAUUGAUUGGGGCAAAAUGAACAACUCCAUCUCGGUCCUGCAACCUGUAUGCCCCCAUUCCGAGGAUUUGGUUAAUUAUAAAAGGGCCUUCCCAUGUAGGUGACCAUUUCCCAUAUCCAGCUAUGUGUGCUCCAAGGGGCAGAAUUGCCUUCCAGACUAUCUCUCCCUCUUCAAAACUCUUGUUUUUGACUCUUUUGUUGUAGGCCCUUGAUACAGCCUGUUUUCCUGCUAAGAGUUUGUUGAGGGUGUCAAUUCUGCUUGCAUCCAAUUCUUCCAAUUCCAGCAACAUGGCUUGAGAGUAAUCCUCCCCAGUGAGACCAUGCUGGUGAGCAAUUCUAAGAGACUGGACCGCUAUCUCCAUGGGAAGAAUUGCAUCGUGGCCGUAGGUUAGAGCAUAGGGGGUCAUGCCAGUUGCUUCUCUCUUUGAAGUUCUGUAUGCCCACAAAGUUUCUGAUAACUUCUCAUGCCAUUACUUUGGAUUCUUCUCUAGCAUCUUUUUGAUGAUAUUGAUAAUCACCUUGUUACUUGAUUCCACCUGUCCAUUAGCUUGAGCAUAGUAAGGAGUAGAUUGAAGCAGUUUGAACUUGAACGUUUCUGCCAUAUCUAGCAUGUCCCUAGAUAUGAAAGAAGAACCCCUAUCGGUUGUGAUUGAUUCUGGAAUGCCAAACCUUUGUAUGAUCUGUUCUUCUAUAAAGGUGAUGAUCUCUUGAGAUGUUGUGGUUUUUACUGGCUUGGCCUCUACCCACUUGGUGAAGUAAUCUGUGGCAACGAUAAUGAAACAGUGCUGCUGGUUGCUGGCUGGAUAGAUUUUGCCAAUGAGAUCCAUUGCCCAUCCCCUGAAAGGCCAUGGUUUUACUACUGGAUUCAUGGGAACCGAAGGAGCCUGCUGGAUUGGGCCGUGCCUUUGACAGGCUUCACAUCCUUUGGAGUAGUUGAUGCAAUCCUUCAUCAUGGUUGGCCAGAAGUAGCCAUACCUUCUGAUUAACCAGCACAUCUUUCUUCCCCCUUGGUGAGCUCCACAGAUCCCCUCAUGGGUUUCUCCCAUGGCUUUCAUAUAUUCUGUCUUCCCGAGGCACCUUAAUAGUACCUCAUCCUUACUUUUUCGGACCAAAUCUUCAUUCCACAUGAGGUAGUUUGUAGCCAUGAUUCUGACUCUUUUCUUAGAGGGCAGAGUGGGAUAUCGUAAGUAAGUCAUGAUAGGCUCCCUCCAAUCAUCUUCAGUGAUCAAGGCAGAAUUGACUUCUAUCUCCAUUCCUCUCGUCAAAACAGAUGGUAGACUUUUCCUUCCUAUCUUGAUGAUCCUUUGGACGCAGUCUUCGGGCAUUUGUAUGCCUGAUGCCACCUGAGCCAGUUCAUUGGCUGCAAAGUUUUCCUCCCUUGGGAUGUUCUCCCAAGUAGCUUCUCUAAAUUCUGUUAGCAGAUUUCUAGCUGCUACUAGAUAUACAGCCAGAGAAGGAUUCAGACACUUAUAUUCUCCAGCAAUCUGUUUUAGGACAAGCAUGGAAUCUCCCAAGAUCUCCACGGACUGGACUCAUAAUUCUACCAACAUCUCGAGCCCUAUAAUCAAAGCCUCAUACUCGGCCAUGUUGUUGGUGCAUUGGAAAUCUAGCUGGAAGGAAUAGCAAUGUCUGACCCCUAAUGGUUCUUCCAGAACAAUCCCUGCUCCUGAAGCCUUGUCUGUCUUUGAUCCAUCAAAAUAUAACUUCCAAGGUGUGAGAUGAAUCGAGUAGAUUGGAUUGUUAAGGCAAACAUGAGCUCUAGUUAGCAGAUCUGCAUUUGCUAUGUCCAAAGAAUCCAUGUUUUCAAUUUCCUCUCCCGAGUGAUCUACCAAGAAGUCUGCCACAGCUUGCCCUUUGACAGCUUUCUGGGGGACAUACCUGAAGGUGAAUUCUGUCAAAGCCAAAGUCCAUUUCCCAAUUCUGCCCCUCAGCAUUGGUCUUGUUAGCAUGUAUUUGAUUAAGUCUGUUUUGGCAAUGAUGUAGAUAGUAUGUGGCAGCAUGUAGUGCCUGAGCUUUACAGCAGUGAAAUAUAAGGCCAGGCAAAGCCUUUCUAUUGCGGAAUACCUUCUUUCCACUUCUGUCAAUGUUCUGCUUAGAUAGUAGGCUGCCUGUUCUUUUCCUUCUUUGUUAUCUUGAACUAUUAGACUUCCAAUGGAUACUUCUGAUGCAGAUACAUAAAGCUUGAGGGGUCUGCCCCUUUUUGGUGGGGACAGAACUGGUGGAUUUGAGAGGUAAUGCUUUAUUUCCUGGAAAGCCUGUUGGUGCUGUUCUUCCCAUUUGAAUGUCUGUUCCUGCUUCAGUCUUAACAGGGAAGAAAAAGGUUGGAUUUUUCCUGCAGAAUUGGAUAUGAAUCUCCUUAGAAAAUUGAUUUUUCCUAAGAGACUUUGAAGUUCCUUCUUGUUCUGAGGUGGUAGAGCUUCUAUGAUGGAUGUUGCUUUAUUUCUGUCAACCUCUAUACCUCUCUGGUGGACCAAGAAUCCUAAGAAAUUCCCUGCUUGGACUCCAAAAACACAUUUUUUGGGGUUCAUUUUCAGUUUGUGCUGCCUCAUUCUUAGGAAUGCCCUUCUCAGGCUUGCUACGUGAUUUCCUUCCUCAGGGGAUUUAAUCACCACGUCAUCUAUGUAUACUUCCAAGGAAUGUCCUAUCAUAUCAUGAAAAAUAGAAUUCAUUGCCUUUGGUAGGUGGCUCCCGCAUUUCUCAAACCGAAAGGCAUUACAGUAUACUCGAAAGCACCUAUAUGUCCUGGACACAUAAAGGCUGUCUUGUGGAUGUCCUGUUCUGCCAUCAUGAUCUGGUUAUAACCUGCAUUGCCGUCCAUGAAAGAUAGCAUCUGGUUAUGAGUGGCUCCAUCCACUAGCAUGUCUGCCAUUGGCAUAGGAUAUUCGUCUUUAGGAGAUGCCUCAUUCAGAUUUCUGUACAAUAUUUGCUAACCAAUCGGAAUAGACGGCUGGCCUGAUGAAUCCUGCCUUGAGCAGCCUUUCUAUCUCUUCUUUGACCUUUAGUUCUGUGUCCAUAGACAUUCUUCUUCUGGCCUGUUUGACUGGAAGGUAGCCAUCUUUAAUUGGCAGCUUGUGCUCCACUCACUGCCUGUCCAAUCCUGGCAUUUCGUGGUAAUGCCAGGCAAAACAAUCUCUGAACUCCUGUAAAAGUGCCAUGAGUUCAGUCUUGAGUGGUUCCUUCAAAAGUGUGCUGAUGAAAGUAGGCCUUGGAUCUUCUUCUGUUCCUAAGUUUAUCUCCUGUAGAGGAUCCUCUACUUCUGGCAGGGAGUCAUCCAGUGCUGCUGGUGCAAAAUCUAAUACUUCCUCCUGUAAAAUUUCCUCCUCUUGCUCUUUUGUGCUUUCAUGGGUGAAUUCUGCCAUAUUGAUGGCUGGAUUCUGUAUGAAAAGCCUCCUUUCUCCCCAGUAUAUCAACAAUCUUUUUGUGAUGGAUCGGAUUGUUGCAGCUCGAUCCUUGUCUAGUUGAUUCGGACUAAACAUCAGAGUUCUGGAAGUUCAGCACAAAAAGGUCUAUUCCAGUCCUCUAGAGAACUGGCUAAACCUUCUUCAAUGAGUCUUUGGGCCGUGACACCAUGUGGACGGCCGUUCUGAUUGACUCCAAGGAAAGUGAAAGGACCGAGGUCAUCAUGAUAAUACCUUGUUUCAAAGCACAUGGCAGAGGGCAGGAAUGGCCGUGGAUCAGCCUCUAUAAUCUCCAUGCAGCCUUCUUCAUUCCAUAGUGCUAACUGCGGGUGGAGGGUGGAAGGAAUACAAAGGCUCUGGUGAAUCCAAUCCCUGCCAAGUAGUGCAUUGUAGGUGGUGGAAGUAGUGUCUAUAACAAAGAAUGCUAUUUUCAACUCUUUGCUUCCGAUUAUGACAUCCACAUCUAAGAUGCCAUGUAUUUUGGUGAUGCAACCAGAAGUUGGUGACGGUCAAUCGUGUUGGAAUCAGAUCUUUCUCUGUCCUGCCCAGCUUGGUCAGCAUUCUGUGGGGUAAUAGAUUAAUGGCUGCACCUCCAUUUACCAUGAUCUUGGAAAUAGGAAUACCCCCAAGAUUUGCCGUUAUAAACAAAGGUCUGAGGUGAAACAAGGUUGCUCUGUAGCUGGUUUAUUGGCUGUUCUGCCUGUCUUGGGGUUUUCUGCUUGUGGUUCUGGUGGCUCCUCUGCUUCUGCCAAUCUACAUUCAAAGCUUUCCUGAGAGAAAACAUCCCCUUCCAGAGUGCUUUCUUGUCCUUCGGCUGCCCUGAAUUUACUUGGUAGGAUGAAUACCAUGUUAAUUCCCAGAUCACCCUGUAGGAGGUCUUCUAAUUCUGCGCCAAAAGCUUCUGUUUCUGGGUCCAAUUCUACACCAAAUUCCAUUAAUUCUUCCCCGUAUUCUUCCGUCCAGUCAUCCUGUUCUGCUACUUCGAGGGGCUCUUUCUGAUCAUCUGCGGAAGGUUCAUAGUCCAAUUGCUCUUCUUCAUAUUCCUCAGUGUAGUCGUCUUCUCCUUGUAACGGGGUAGACCCAGAUUUCUCUGGUGUCUGCGUGGUGUCAGGACGGCUGCUGGACGACGAGGCCACAUGGAUAGGAGACCUGGCUGGGGGUUCUGUUUUCAGCAAUUCCCUUGACUGGCAAGCUUUCUGUUCUGUCUGGGGAAGUGUUUCAGGAUUUUUUCCUUUCCUAGCAGAACUGGGUUGUGAACGUACCUGCGUAUUAUCUUGGCUCUUAAGAUAUGUGCAGUAUUGCCUCUGGAUUCUCCUUUUCUGGGUUCUGGUUAGCUCCAGAGUCGGUCUACCGCUUCUUCCUACGGAAUACCAUCUCCCUUCUAUGAUCGUUGCCAAGGAUCUUUCGUUUCUGGGCAUCUUGACUGGUAUUUCCUUUCUGGGUUGCUCCAUCCUCCUCUCGCUGUAUUGUGUAGGCCUAAGACAGCUCUUCUGCCUUGUUUUGUCUCGGGAUGAGGUUCCAAUUCUGUCAAAGACACUAGGUGUGGGCUGAUUUUGUCUGUCUAGAACCACCUCUAGCUCUGUUUCACAUUUGCACCUACUGCAGAGCACUACCCCAGCCGAGAUGGUCGCUCUUGGUAUUUGACUGGUCUCCCUUAUGAUUCUUCUGCCUCUGCUGCAACCAGCAUCUGUGAUUGGCUCGGUUUUCCUCUGUUCUGGCCAAUUUAAGUUGACCAUAUUGACUUGUGGUUGAGGAAAAGGAUCCGUUGUGACGGAUGGUGGUUUUUCUGCCAGUUUCAACCUUCCUGCCGUUAUCCCUUCUUGUAUUACGUCCCUGAAAACAACACAACUAUUGGUAGAAUGGUUCCAAGAGUUGUGCCACCUGCAGUACUGUCUGCCCUUGAGUUCUUCCGGCUUCGGUAUUCUGUGAGGCGUCUCUAUUGCCUUCUACAGUAGCAUUUCGUGGAACAAGGCAUCAACCUUGGUUAAGUCAAAAGAGUAAACCUUGUUUUACGUUGGUUUGUUUGGAACGAAUCCUCCUGUGAAUGGUGGUGGCUUUUGGUCUUUAGGUGGCUUUGUGAGGGCUUUGCAACUAAUGGGAUGUUUUAGUUUUGCCAUUUCUGCCACUGAAACCUCUUUCUCUUCUGAUUCUUCUGCAUCUUCUUGUGAUUCCACCUCGAUCAGGUGGACUGAAGAAGAAGGGGUUUUAUAGUAUGUACCUUUGGAGGAGUUCCUCCUUUGCUGUUCCUCCCUGAGUAACUCCUCAUAUUUGGAUGCCUUAUCAGCCAGUUCUGCCAGAUCUCCGAACAAUAUCCCGUCGAACCUUUUCCUGAGAGAGAUUUUAAGGGCAACUUGGGCCAUCUGGAUGAAGUGUCUUUCUUCCAUCGGGAUUCGGCACUUCAUUUUGAGCUUUCUGAACCUGGUUAUGAAAUCUUGGGCCGGUUCAUCUUCACUUUGCUUGAGGGCAGCUAGAUCACUGAUGGUGACUUCUGGCUGAAUCCUGUAAUAGUAGUCAUGGAAGACAUUUUCCAUCUGUUCCCAGGUUUGAACAGAGUUAGCUGGCAGGCUGGUGUACCAGGUAAAAGCUUGCCCAAAAAGAGAGUUGCCGAAAAGCCUUAAUUUCAGCAGAGGGUUGCUUUCUAUAGCUAUGCAUUGGACGGAGAACCUGCCUAUAUGUUCAACUGAGGAAGAAUGGGGGUCUUCCCCAUUGAACAAAGUGAAGUUUGGCACUUUGAAACCUGGAGACAACAGUAUUUGAUCGAUAUAGGCUGGGUAUGGCUUUCUGUAAGUAGGCCUUUCCCCUAUUCUAGCCUCGGGUUCCAUGAUUUCUCUGAUCAUUCUUUGCAACGCUCCUAUGUCAUUCAAAGCAUUGACUGGGGGAAGAUUUUGUCCCUGUUCUGGCUGAACGUAAUCAAACCUGGGCUCUGCUCUGUGUGGUCUGGGUGGAACUUCCUCCCUGUGUUCUUCCUGCUCUUCGACUUCUGGAUGAUUCCUCCAGUUUGCCCCCGGUCUAUUCCUGUCAUGAUUAGCAAAAAGGUUGUUCCCUCCUCGGCCUCUCCUCCUUCUUGCAAGUGGAGGGAAUGGAUUAGGGUCCAUCCUUCUGGGUCUAUAUGGCAAUACUGCCGGUGGUUCAGGCAGAAGCGCCAAAGGUUGAUCAUGUGGGAGCACAUGAAGUGGAAUGGGCUGAGGUUCUGGCUGGUUCUGAGCCAGUGCCAGGUUAUCUGGUUGAGCUGGGGCUUCAUGUUUUUGAUUAGGAAGGGCUCCUUCCCUCGGACCAGCCUGAAUUUCUCCGUGGUCUGGCACUCCAGCCAUCUGUGCAACUAGGAAAUUUUCCUGGUAUGGCCAUAUUAGUCCUGGCGGAGGGCCAUAAGGGAGAUCCAACUGCUGGAUUACAGGAUCUGGGUUUGGGUUUCUGGCCAUGGCGGAUUCUCGGUCCUUCCGGAACUGUCUGUUUACCUGCCAUUACAUCAUGGCUGUCAUGUUAUUGAGAGUGUCCUGGCUCCUUCGUACUGUGAUCUCUUGUCGGAGUACUGACUCCUGUAUUUGAUUCAUCCUUUUGGAGCCAGUCCUGGAACGUCUACUUCCUGUACUGCCGUGGGCAGAUUGCCUAGCAUCGCUUUUUUCUGAUUCGAGGCCUUCCCUGAGAACCAUCUUGUUUUUCUCCAUAUCUGGUGUGGGUUCUGACUAGAUCUUCCGGUAUUUGUGAAUCUGUGAAUGAUUCUGUCAGAGUAUAUAUACUGAGAAGUCCCACUGGGUGUGCCAAAUUAUUCACCCGUUUUCGUGUUUUACUCCUGAGGUGGAAGGGCGAAGUUCCCCACUAGCUUGGAGACCACUUGUUGGUCGACAAGUCAGCUUUCUUUGGUGUGUGUGAGCGUGCCACUGCUAGCAAUGUAAAUUCUAGCAGACUUAUUUUUUAGAGUGGAUAACUUGCGCCUCAAGUUACUGACUUCUAAAACAAAUGAUUGUGAAUUUGGGUGAGGAAUAUCUCCCAAGUAAGUUCUUUUCUUGCCUCAGACUGGUGAGGACUUUCACAAUUUAUCUCAGUAUCAAAUGGUUGUUCUGGCCAGAAUAGAUAAUAAUAAAGUAGACUGUUUCAGGCAGAACUGCCUUUUACAAAAUUAAGAAGGGAGAAAUCAACUCUAGAAAGGCAAAAAGAUGGCUGGAAUCCCAUUUCUGCCUGGGUAGAAACUUCUGAUCCGGGCUGGACUGGGUAUGUCUAUGCUGGACGGUGCUGUCAACAACUUUAGCUUGCUCGGCUUUAGUUGUAAAUCGAUACCAAAGUUCAAUUUUGGCAGAGCUUCAAUCUACUUCAAGCCUUGGGAGACUUUUGAGUGGGCAGAACUGCAGCUUCUUCAGUUUGAAGGGACAGAAGUGGCUAUUCUCGAGGAUUUAGCAAGCUGGAACUAUGCUAUAAAAUUUGUUGAGGUUUUCAUAUUUGUGAAAACUCAAACUAUGUUUGUCUUGGCUUUUGCUGAACCAAAUUUGUAACGAGAGGGAUCUUGUUUUCAGAAGACUUAUUUUCUAAGUCUGAACUUUGGAAUUCUGAUCUAAAGCUGUUUUCUUGUUUGUUUUUUUUUUAUUGACUGAUGAAUUGAGUGUCCUUUGUUUCUUUGCCUUCUUUCGCUUUUAUAAGAGAUCCUCCUAAGGAGGUCAUUUUUAAUCCUAAACAAUGGGCGGCAAAAAGAUCUCUUAUAAUGUAAAGUAAGAAGGGUUUCUUAUCAAUCAAGGCAGAUAGGUUCUGAGCAGUCACCUCCUAAAAACAGUCCCUUCCCUGGUUUCCUGGGUGGCAGCUUUCUAAUUCAACCAACGCCACCGUCUGUGUGGGCUUUUUAUGGCGGUUUUGGCUCUUUUCUUUUGUAUUUUCUGAGUGGUUCCCUGUUUCCCGUUCUAAUUUAGAAAGCGUGAUCCGUGAAUUCCUUGGGAGAUGGUGUAUUGAUUUGGAGCAAAAUCUUGAACACAGAUGGGUUUUUGAUCUUCAAUUGGCAGUGUUUCAGAGACGUCCCUCUCACAUUUUUAAACUUUAGUUGGAAUUGCUGACUUUUCCAAAGUUGAGGCAAUCACGUGGGUGUGUCUUUGAUCCCUUGGUUUUGAAUCUUUCAAAAAUUACGGGCUGAUCUUUGAAGCCCAUUUCGAAAGUUUCCACAUCUGGGCUUUCUUUGGGCUGAGGCUUUAUUUCCAACAUUCUUGGUGUGAACUGGACUAAACAGUUAGUCGGACCAGACCGUCUACACAUAUGAACUGGACUCACAAGCCUAUGUUUUUUGAGCUCCCAUAUUGGUCGAAACUCAAAUUGAGGCACAAUCUAGAUGUGAUGCAUGUUGAGAAAAAUGUAUUUAACACAUUGGUGGGCACGAUUCUAGAUAUCGAGGGCAAGACAAAGGACACAAUCAAAGCCCGUCUUGAUUUGGAAAGAAUGGGCAUACAAAGGGGUUUAUGGAUGAACAGGGACAGUGAUAAAGCUAGAAGGGAUCUUGCAUUCUUUUCUAUGAAACCGAAUGAUAAAAAAGAGUUUCUAAAGUUUGUAUCGUCUGUAAAGUUUCCUGAUGGGUAUGCUUCUAAUAUCGCACAUUGCGUGAAUGUUGACGAGGGUAAAUUUACUGGACUGAAGAGCCAUGACUGCCAUGUGUUUAUGCAACGCCUACUUCCUGUGGGUAUUCGACAUCUAUUGCCGGAAGAUGUUGUGAAGCCAAUCAUGUUGUUGUCCAGAUUUUUUUCCCAACUGACGGCAAAAACAUUGCGAAAGACAGACAUAUUUCAGUUGCGCCAUGACAUUGUCCAAGUCCUAUGCAAGUUUGAGAUGAUAUUUCCUCCAGCUUUCUUCACAAGUAUGAUGCACGUGAUGGUUCACUUGCCAGAAGAGGCAUUGCUUGCUAGUCCUGUCAACUAUCGCUGGAUGUAUCCAAUAGAAAGGUAUAUAAUCUUUAUCGUUUGUGUAUGCAUCAUUAUCACAGACUUGCUAAUUUGUAUCAUAUCGUUUUAUUUUGACAGGCUUCUCGGAGAGCUGAAAAAAAGUGUACGCAACAGGGCGAAGCCCGAAGGAUCAAUUAUAGAGGCUUGGGUUCAAUAUGAGUCGCUUACUUUCUGUGGAAUGUAUUUAAAAGAUGUGGAGACGGCUUUCAAUCGUCCUCAACGCAAUAACGACGAAGGUAUGAGAAAGGAAAAACUUUCUGUUUUUGCCCAAAGUGCACGACCCUUUGGAGAUCCUGGACGAGGAGAGUCGUUUUCUAGAAAUGACAUGGAGGUAGCGCAUUGGUUCGUACUGAACAAUUGUGAUGAGAUAAUGGCAUACUUAGAUAAGCAUGAAGAGAUGAUGAAGCGAGAACAUCCAUCACAUUUAGUUGCCCAGAAACACCGUGAAUUGUUUCCACAAUGGUUUUUGGAUUCUGUAAGUUAUAAGUGUUUUGUAUUUGACAAAUAUAAAUUGUAGUAUUUAAUUUUGUCAGACUAACAUGUGAAUGGUUUUGUAUUAUAUUAGGUGAAUAAGUUGAAAUCAUCGAAUUCCCCCACUUACAGUGAUGAGUUAUAUAACUUGGCGUUCGGCCCAAUUCGCGCUGAAUUGUUUCGGGUUGUUAUAUUAAUGGCGUCAAAUUUUUGGGAGCCGCACGAGAUGACAAGUUGUGUAUGCAAAACAGCGGUGUCCAUGUCCCAGGUGGAGGCGAAAGUACGAACAUUGAUUUCUAUGGCAAACUCACAACUGUCAUUCAAUUGCUUUACAAAGAUCGAUACUAAGUGAUCAUGUUUAAGUGUCGAUGGUUUGAUAGCAACCCAAAUAGGCCGGGAAGUGUUAAAAUCAACCAUGGCUUACUAUCUGUGAACAUUAACAGAACUUGGUAUGAUGACGACCCUUACAUUUUGGCAAACAUGGCAACACAAAUUGUGUAUCUAGAUGACCCUAAAGCCGGGAGCAGUUGGAAAGUUGUUCAGAAGAUGGAUCAUAGGAACUUGUAUGCUAUACCAGAACUAGACCCAACUGACAAUGACGUCAACAAUGUGGCUGACCAACGUUUAGAAUCUUCAAUGGAAAAUGAUGCGGAAACACUUCGAGAUACACAUGUUAUACAAGAACCGUUUCAAAUACAAGGAGUGUCUUCAAUCGAAAUACCGAUUCAGUCAAUUACAAUUGACCUCGGGGAUCUUCCAAGAUUCGAUGUUGCAGUGAGCCCGAGCAACGAAGAUGAUGUAGUUAUAGAGGAGGAGGAGGAGGAUUGGGAGACUGAAAGUGAUGAUAGCGAAGAUAACGAAAGUUAUUAUAGUUCAGAUGAUGAAUAAUUAAAUUUUUUAUAUUUUUAUUAUGCUAGUGUACAGACUUUGUGUAAAACAAAAGUUUGAAUAUAUGUAGUUGUGAUAUCCAAACCUUAUAUAUGUGGACAACUGAAACAUUAUUAAAAUAAAUUUAGUUAUAAAACAUCGGUAAAUCAAUAUAUCCAAACCCUUUUAAUAUUCAUUUAAAAUUUUUUUUUUUGACAAAAACGUUUACAAAAUGAAAAUGAUAAAAUAUUUGUUAUAAAACAUUGAUAAAUAAAUAUAUCCAAACCAUUUUCAUACAAAGUUUGAAAAUUAUUGACAACAAACAUUUUUCAAAAAUGAAAAUCCUUGCGCGACGAAGUACACCUCGUCACGCAAAGUUUGCGCGACCCAGUAAACAGUCGUUGUGUAAAGUUAAAACAUUGCGAGACAAAUUAUCAUCCGUCACGCGAUAGAAUUUUGCGCGACGAAUAUUUACUCUCGUCGCGCAAAUGUAUAUUCUUUUAUAAUAUAUUUUAUAUACACAUAUAUAUUCGAAAUUGACGAUCGAGUUAGUUCAUUGUAUUCAUAUAGGGUCAUGGAGUGUAGCUGUAAAAAAUCAUCAAAAUCGGAGUUAAAAUAACUGUUAAAUCAUGACUUUUCAUUUAUAACCGUUCAAAAAUUUUGUCCCGAUACUUGAUCUCUGAAUGUUUUUUUUUUCCGAUUUUUGGGGCCUAAGAUCUCGAAGUAUAAACAAACACGUUUGACGGCUGGAUUAUUGAAACUACUUUCGUAGAAUGCGUAUGCCAUCAAAACUAUAUAUUCACCAACAAUGAAUAGUUUACUUAUACUUUCAUUAAAUAUAACAUAAGAUUAUGUGGUAUCACCCUAGUGUAAACAUCUUAAAUUGAAGAUCAAAUUCAGUAAUUGUAUUCAUAUAGGGUCAAGAAAAGUAGCUAUAAAAAAUCAUCAAAAUCGGAGUUAAAAUAACCGUUAAAUCAUGACUUUUCAUUUAGAUUCGUCGAAAAGUUUUGUACUGUUACUUGAUCUCUUAACGUUUUUUUUGUCAGAUUUUCGGCGUAUACGAUCUCGAAAUAUAAAAAAACAAGUUUGCCGGUUAGAUCAUUAAAACUAGUUUCGGGUUUAGGAUUUCUGCAGUUUAGGGUUUAGGGUUUGCGCGACGAAGCCAUUUCGUUGGUCGCACAAAGCCUGCAAAGAACAGUCUUGCGCUACGAAACUAGGAUUCUUUGUCACGCAAUCUCAACCAGCCCUUUCACCCUCUUCCUCCUUGGACACUUAGCCAAAAAAAGUUGCGAGUUUACAGAAAGCGGCUUUGCGCGACGCUGCCGGUAUUCGUCGCGCAAUAUGUAUGCCAAUAAAACCUAAAUCCCAAAUUUUGGCGAAUUACAACUUUGCGCGACGAAUAUGGGAAGCUUCGCGCAAAGUUUUCAAUCUUUCCCGCUAAACCCUAAGUCCCAAAAUUUUGGCGGAUUGACAACAUUGCGCCACGAAAGAAGGUACUGUGCGUCGCACAAAGUUUUCAAUCUCUCCCGCUAAACCCUAAGUCCCAAAAUUUUGGCGGAUUGACAAUAUUGCGCGACGAAAGAAGGUACUGUGCAUCGCGCAAAGUUUUCAAUCUCUCCCACUAAACCCUAAGUCCCAAAAUUUUGGCGGAUUGACAACAUUGCUCGACGAAAUAUGGUACUGUGCGUCGCGCAAAGUUUUCAAUCUCUACCCAAUAUUUUGCCGGAUUGACAACAUUGUGCGACGAAAGACGAUACUGUGUGUCGCGCAAAAACUACCCUGAUACCAAAUUUUGGGAUUAACAAUAUUGCACGACAGAAGUUAUACUUAUGUCGUCGCGCAAGUGUCAAUUAAAAUAUUUUGCGUGACGCUUUUGUUUGUUCGUUGCGCAAAAUCGAAUAAAAUUGCAGAAACGACGCGAUAGCCUCCUUCUUCCCCAGAUUUGUUUUUCUACCCUAACUCUCUCUCUCUCUCUCCGCCUUCAGCUCAGCCCCCUACCCCAGUGGAUUUUGGACGACGGCGCCACAACAGUGGUACCCCGGAGGUUUCCCGCCGUCACCGUCGAGCCAGCCGCCCUAAUUCCUCGAUUUUCACCGAAUCUGCGCCGCCGUCGUUCUCUCUCCUUCGGCGACCAAAUCCGACACCUGAGGUAUGGUUUCUGUCCUAUUUUUGAUGCUUUAACUGAUGGUUGGGUAGGAUUUGUGUAAUUGUUGCAAUAGGGCAGUGGAUUUGAAACCCUAAAUUUCGACCGAUUUUUGAAUUCCAAUUCCGGCCACUUCUGGCCAUUUUUCAGGGUAGGUCCGAGAACAAAAGUGGCUCCAAUUGAUGUUUUGAACCUAGGGUAGGAACCUUGGCCCUUAGUUUUAAGAAAUUUUCGACGAUUGGUAUCGCUUUGGACACCCACGCUCUGCCAGCGCUUGUGGUGGCGCGUGGGGUACUGUAGCAGUCUUGCAUUGGGUCCCAGUGCAAUCCCAUAUUUGUCACGAGCGCGUAGGUGUUUUCGGAUUGGAAUUUGGUUACCGUUUGAGUCUCGAACGGAUUUUGCCUAUUGUGCGAUUUCCGGGUUUGUUAUGUUCGGACCGUUGGAUCGAACUCAAACUCACGUAUGGUGUACCUUGUAUUUCUUGGAUCGUCUAGGAUUCGACGGAUCGUGGAUCGGAGUCCCGAAUACUCCGAACUCGCAAACCCUAGGUCAAGAAUCUUAAUAAAAUUGUAUGUGCUUUCAAAUAUUCGUAUGUUUUAUUAAUUUGUAUGUGUAUUAAUGAAAUUGUGUAGAUGUCAGACCUGAUUAGACGUCGUAGGGCGGUGACGACUACGCAGAGUUCUGAGCCCCCGGCUCAACUGACAUCUGCUGCCACUGCGCCAGCACUGAUGGACCACUUGGCAGUUGGUCCCGCGGGGUCCCAGGCUCCUGCUUCAUCAGCUUCAUUAGUGGCACAACCUGUUAGCGCCAGGAAGCGUCAUCGGCCUGCCAGCACCACCGACACCACAUCCACUGAUGCGUCGGGGUCACAGCCAGGUAUAGAUUUCCUUAAACUCCAGUUAUUUAUAUUUUUGUUUUUGUUUUUAUUUUUGUUUUUGUUUUUGUUUUUGUUUUUAUUUGUGUGUGUAUUUUAUAGUUAAAUUUGUUAUUUAUUUAACAUUAAUGUCAUCUUUCUUUGCAGCCAAGAAGAACACCCGAGGGCCGUGUCGGUAGUUGAAGACGGCGAAGGUCACUCGGGUGACCAACAGUCGUAUCAACAUCGGAUACGACAAGCGACAUCGGGCUGCACCGACGGCGGAGUUGCAUAGCUCCUUGGCCCACGACAUUGGUGAUGUCAUUCCGAGCCAUUGCCCGAUGAAAUGGAAGUCUUGGAAGGUGAUGCCUGACGAGACCAAGAUGGAGGUUCGCGGCCAGUUGUCAGUAUGUAGGCCUUUUAAUUCUUUUUCUUUCAAAUUUUAUAUUUCUAUUAUUUAAAUGUAUUUAAUUAAUUUAUUGCAGACGAACUACAACUUGGAGGACCUGGACGACGAGUCGUUGGCGUACAUCAACAGACUCUUCUCUGAGAGGUACAAAUAGUGGAAGAGCGACUUGCACCACUAUUUUGAGGCGUUUGAUGAUCCAGAAGUCUCUCUUCAGGAGGGUUGCCCGAAGGAGCUUGAGGGGCGGGAGGAUAGUUGGGCGUGGCUCUGCUCUCAUUUUCAGGCGCCCGCUUUUGUGGUAAUUUGUAAUAUGAAUUUCAAAUUUAUUAUAUUUUUCUUACUAAUGUUUUUUUAAUGUUUUAUAUUUAAUUUCAAUUUCAACUAAUACGUUUUAUUUUUUGUAUAACAGAAUAAAGCCAAAGUCAAUAAGGGCAAUAGGAAGAAGAAGACUCUUCUCCAUCAUUCGGGUUCCAGGCCCUUCUCCUAUAGGAUGGAUGCAUGGCGGCAGGUAAUCAUAAAAAAAAUUUUAUUUAAUUUUUAAUAUUUAAUUAUUCUUAAUUUAUUUUUUUGUACUAAUAUUUUUCUUCUCUUGUUCAAUUUAGGGGGGUCCAAAUUCCCAGAGAUCGACGUCUUUGGCGACGUUUAUGUUCGACCUGGGAAUGAGUUGGGCGAGUCCCUUCAUGUAAGUAUUAUUUAAUUUUAAUUAUUAUGUUACGCAUUCAAGUUUAAAGGUUAUUAUAUGAAUGUUUUAAUUUAUAUUUUAUGUUAUGCUAAACAGAUGACGAUGGUGGAGAGGAGCCAGUUGGUUCUUCAAGAGUCCGCCUCCCAACUUCCUUCCGAUACUCCGAUCGAGUCUGUGGAUCCUCCACAGGAUGCUGGGUUUCAGAUCUUGACGGAGACAUUGGAUCAGACUCUAGGGAGGAGACCGGGGAUAUAUUGUCGAGGGAUGGAGAAUGCCAGGCGGAGGGAAGCCAGACCCCGUUCAUUAGCGCAGUCAAGCAGUCAGGUCACUGCUUUGACAGCACAGGUGGCCACUCUUCAGAGUCAGAUGUCGGACAUUCUGCAGUCCCUCGCACAGUUCGGCAUUCCAGUCCCGCAUUUUGAUGCGCCGACCUCUGAGCCCGUCCAUCCUGAGCAUCCCCACCAGACGACGGCCCUUGUAGACCCCCAGACCUCUGAACCGCAUGUGCCAGACGACAAUGUAGAUUUUGGAACAUUAUGAUUAGUUUUUUUAUUUUCAUAAUUAUUUUUUAAAUAUUUCUCUUGCAGCAUACAUUUAUUUUAUAUAAUAAAUAUGUUCUUUACAAUUCUUUUUUUUAUUGGAAUUUCAUUUUAUUACCCAAAAAAAAAAAACCAAAUUUAUUUUUUUAUAAAAUAAAAUAAAAAGUAAUAUUAAAAUUAAAUAAUAAUUAUAUAUAUUAAUUUUGCGCGACGAAAUCUUUCUCGUCGCGCAAAUUUAUAUAUUACGAAAUAAAAAUGUUUCAUUUUUUUAAAUACAUAUAAUUUAUUCUUGCGCGACGAAUAUUUUCGUCUCUCAAAAAGGAUUUGCGCGACAACAGUUUUUCGUCGCGCAAAAUGUGUUGACACGAAUUGCACGACGAAGAUAUCUUUGUGCCGCAAAUAUCUACGACACGUAUUGCGCGAUGAAAAUGUUCGUCGCGCAAAAAACGUAUGCGCGACAACAAUGUUUCGUCGCGCAAUACGUGUAGACAUGAAUUGCGCGACGAAGAACUCUUGGUGCCGCAAAUGUGUACGAGACGUAUUGUGCGACGAAUAUUAUUCGCCGCGCAUCGUUGUGGCGACGAACCCGCUUUCGUCGCGCAUAAGUUUGUGCGACGAACUAUUGCAUCGUCUCUGAACCUUUUGUGCAACGAAGGGUAACCGUCGCACAAAUUUGCGCGACGAGUGAUACAAUCAGUCGCGCAAAGUCUUUCUUCACCAUCUUUGCACCACAGAUUACGCGCGACGAAUUUUCUGUCGUGCUUGAGUUUGUGCGACCAAAUUUAACUCUGCGCGACGAAAUUGGCUUCGUCGCGCAAAUCGUAAAAUGUAGUAGUGGAAGUUAUCAACAUCUAUAGGAACCCCAAUGAAAAGGCUGUUAACUAAUAAUGAAGUAAACCCCUCAAUGUUUCCGCGUAUCAGAUAUCUCUCAGAAUAUGCGAUUCCAUACUCAAUAAGCAACUCCACAUCCCCUGAGGUUUUCACCAAACCACCCAUUAAGGAAACAUACUGACUCAUGUGUAAUUAUCAUUACUCAUCGGGUAAUGCAAUUGUUCAAAGGCAAGGACAUUUCUCAUUAUUUCUGUAGUGAACCCCAAUGGAAAUGGUGGGAUCUUCAGAACCCCAUUGGUGCUACUGAAUUGUAUGUCAAAUAUGUUUUCACCUUGUCGCGCCUCAAACUUGACUCCAGCGUGCUGUAAUUCUGUCAAGCUGGGUAUGGAUGAUGGGAGUUCCCCUCCAGCUUUUGAUUCCAACGGUUGAUAGAGUUUAAAUAUUUUCCUGUAAAGAUCAACAAUAUGUGCCACUGAUCUAAAAGUCUCCAAAUUGUCUUCCAUUUUGUCAACAGGCAAUAGAUGUUCGAAGAAACUGAAAGAAAGACUAAUUAUUGAAAGCCCCUCAGUAAUGCAGUUAUUGUCAGCAUCAGCAGGGAGUGUAAUUUUCUGUGGGUCGAAAAGAUCCUCGAGAAUGAAGAAUGGCAACUGAUUUUCAAGCAACCACAUAUCUGUCCAUACAUCUUGCAACAUACCUGGUUUGUCAAAUAUGCGGUCAUUUUCAUCCCAAAAUUUGAAGUAGUCCUUCAAUAAGAGCUCAAUAACGAAGGCGGCAUCCACUAGAAUGAUUGUUACAAAUUCAUCACUGCUAAACUUGAUGGGUUCUCCAUAACAACGUCUCAAUCUUGCUUCGUGGUCCUUUAUUUUCUUAAUAUAAUCCUCCAAACUCACAUUGGUCCGACCUAUAAAAUCUUGCAGGUAUCUCUGUUUGUGCUCUUCCUAUACGACAUUCAAGCCUUCCUUUCCAUGGUGAAGUGGGCCUAUAGAGACCACCUGAGGUGUGCAGAGCUUUUCAUUCACACUUCGUAGUCGUUGAGGAACUCUGUAGAUACAGCACUUGGAGGAUGGGGGAGACAAGCUAUUGAACCCUUUUCUCAUCGAAUUUGCUAAUGAAAUGUAUGGGUUUUCUAUGUCAUUUUGAGCAGAUUGAUGGCUUCCUGCCAUUUUCCAGCUCCUGACUAUAUGUGGUGUUCCGAUUGUAACAGAUUACAAUAAUGAUGAGUAUGGAUAACUGAAUUACUGAUAAAACAAUCAAGAAACAUUUCGUUAUUUUCCAUUCCCAAUAACGAAAUCAAAAUGUUCAAGGAAAUAUAAUCAGGAUAUUGCAAUUAUAUAGCCAUUCAUAAGCUGCCUGGCAUGGAAUAAGAGGUGGAAACCAAAUCUACUUAUUGGCCAAAGUUCGAAUUCACUAUAUAUAGAUAUAUAUUUUGCCAAAAUCUAAAACUGACCAACCUUAGAUACAAAAACACGGUACAGCCCGGUUAAAGUAAUUCCAAGUGCGAAGAAAGAAAGGAAUUGAGCGUUUGUACCUCUACAGCUAGCCAAAUUUUCUAUUGAUUCUUUAAAUUUUAGAGAGCAAUUACUCUUAAUUUGGUAGGUGUAGGACUGUGCAACUUCAAGCUUUAAUGAAAGAAGCCAAGUUUAUUCUAAGGGGACAAGUCAGAGACAACGAAAUUUUGCUCAGCUUCAUUUUCAAAUUUGCUGCUUAAGAAGGAAAUUUAAUAUGUUUGUUUCACAAAUUGUAUUGUCAUCAAUGAAACUCGUGCACACCCAACGAAAUUUGCAUGGCUUAUUUUCAAAGGAGUACUGCUAUUUCCAUCCUCUGUCCUAUUUUUCCACUCACCUUAUCUUCAAAAUUUUAAAGACAAAAAUAAACCCCUUUGUAAAAUGCUUAAAAAGAAAUUUAAUAUGUUUGUUUCAAAAAUUGAUAUUGUCAUCAAUGGUUAAAGAAUUGCUGGUGACAACAUAUACUUCUUUUCUACUGUAUUAAUUUCUUUCUUUAUUUUUUCUUCAGUAUAGUUCUGCCUUUCUUUUACAUGUUUAUGCGCAUAUUUGACACGUUCAAGUAUACUUAUAUAACAAAUGCAAUGAGUUUGUAGUCACAAAAAUCAAGGAUUGAAAACAAAAAGUAAUAUUAUGUGCAAGAGAAACUUACCUGCAGAAACUGAAGAACUCCUCUAGUUUCUUCUCUGUCGCUAUGUACUCCCGCGUUCAAGUUAUUAUUCUUACAAUGUACAUACACUAUUAUAUAAUGGCGAGAAGGCUCUGAUUAACCUCCUUUUUGCUUCAUUGGAUGGGGCAAGAAUGGAAUUGUCACCGUGGGUGUGGAGGUGAUCUACCAUUUGAGCAAGAAAUUCCCACAUAUUCUUUAACUAUUUUUCAAGCAUGCAUAUUCCUCCCUAUCAAUCUUUGGUCUCUUCUUUUACUAUUUUUCAAGCAUGCAUACUUUGAUUUUAAAUCAUCUUUUCCGCACUAAUUUGCUUCAAUCAAGAAACAGUUAAUAUAUUUUGUAUCAUCAUUAGAGAACACUUGAAACUGCAUAAGUUAAUUUUGAAGAUGAUGGCAGAACCAAAAUGUGUAUAGCUUAUAACUAUAAUUUCUUGAUUACAACAAGAGGUUUCAAGUUUUCAACAACACAAAUAUGAAUCUCCCAAGCAAAGAUAAACAAUAAAGCAAGCAUACGGAUUGUCAAAUUGCCUUCAAUCACUCUAAAAUACUUCAUACCGUCCGACACUGGCUUCAAUUACUCUACAAUACUUCAAUUCAUAUAUUGUCCUAUUUUCACAUGUACAUCCUGCUUUUACUUAAGGGUUAAUUGUUGAUUUACCCCUUGAACUUGUACUCUACUUUCAAUUUGCACCCUCAACUUUUUUUUUUGAAAAUUAGGUGCAUGAACUAAUUUUUAUUGCCAAUUCCCCCUACCAACAUGUCAUCUAAUAGUCUGUCAAAUCAUUAAAAAAUAUAAUAUUUUUGGAAAAAAUUAAAGAAAAAAAAAUUCCUAAGGACCCACAGACCCAGAACCCACCCUCCGUUGCCCCCGCUUGCUGUUUUCUUCUCCUCCCAGUCCCCCAUGACCACCACCCUCCACUGCCACACCAAUCCCCUACCCAACAGACCCCUCACCCCUUCUUUUUUUUCACCCCCGAACCCAGCAUGAGUUAUUGGUUAAUACCAUUUUCUUAAUUGCCAAAUAAAAAAAAAAAACAGAGUUAACCCUCUGUUAAGCUAGCUGACUAGUGGGGCGAAAUGGAGGAAAAUCAAUAUGGAGACAGCGGAUCCGGUCCCGUGUAAGUGUAUCUGAUGGAAUAAAAGAAUGAUAUUAUUGGUGGUGGGUACGGUUAUGUGGAAGUAAUAAUGGGUAAGAGAAGAAACUUGUUCUCUUGUGAUAAUCAAAAGACAGAAAGUAGUGGGAAAAGACAGAAAGUAGUGGGACACUAUUUUAGAUAUGAUAAUGUUCCUUCCUUGAUUGAUGCAAAUGAAGAGAAAAGGGUGGCUUUAUAUAAUAGCCACUACCGACCUAACACAUUAAAAACACAACUAACACCAAACAUAGUUAAUUCAACUAACUUCUACCACACCAUUAAUUUAACACACAACUACUAACAAACUGCCAACUAUUUCAAAGUUACCAGCCGACUAUUAAUGAAGUCUAGAUUACUUUAACAUCCUCCCUUAAGCUAGACUUCAUUUACGCCAAUUAAUUUUCUCAUCUUGAUGAGCGGCUCUUUCUUCAACGGUUUGGUGAACAAAUCUGCCAGCUGAUCUUGGGACUUGCAAUACAGAACCUCAACUUCUUUAUCUUUGAUUAGCUCUCUGAUGAAAUGGAACUUGAUCUUGAUGUAACACCCCGACCCCAAAUUUUCCCAAAUUUUACCCUUAUUUAAUUAUUUAAUUAUUUAAGGGUAUUUUAGUCAUAUUUUUAACCGGAGAGAGUUUGGGACCGUGACUAGUAUUUUUGGAUAGGUCGAGCUGAGACGAGUUCAUAGACACGUAGUGGGCUCGAAUCGGAGUUGUAACGAGAGAGAUAUGGUCAAAAGAAGCCCAGUGGCACAAUCGUAAAUAUUUCGAAAUGGGAUUUUUUAUAAAAACUCAAAUUUUUCUCUCUCUCUCUCUCUCUCUCUCUCUCUCUCUCUCUCUCUCUCGCGACUCCUCUCUCUCUCUCCCGUCGGCCUCUCCUCUCUCUCUCUUCGUAACUCCGGCCACCGGCCGCGGCUGCGGACGGGGCCGGUGUCAAAAGAACCGGCUCGACCUCGGCAUCACGACCCAGCCCAUCCCCGCCAUCGGCCGCCGCUCCAGCCGCCGGAAAAUGGCGAUUUUCGCCCAGAUGUCGCCGGAACUUCAACGCCGUCGAUCUCCCUCCUCCGGCCACCAAUUCCGUCGACCCAGGUAUGGAUUUUGAACCUCUCGAGCUGCUCUAGCUGAUGGUUGGGUAGGAUUAGAUCGAUUCUUAGCGUAGAUCACUCGAUUUUCGAAUUGAAAAUCGGCCGAAACUUCGGCCGCCGUGAUCGGCCAUUUCCGGCCACUUUUUGGGGUAGGUCCAAGAACAAAAGUGGCUCCAAAUAGGGUGUUAUACCUAGGGUAGGAGUUUGGAGCCGUGGUUUUGAGAUUUUCCGGCGGAGCGUUAUCGCUUUGGGCACCCACGCGCUGCUGGCGCGUGCGGCGGAGCGUGGGCACUGUAUAAAAAGUAGCGAUGUAUUCCGAUGAGAUCCUUAGGUUGUCACGAGUGCGUAGGAUUUUGCGGAUCUCAAUUCGGACGUCGUUUGACUAUCGAACGAAUAAUCGCAUAGUGUGCGUUAUCCGGGUUCGAUAGGUUGGGACCGUUGGAUGGUCCCAAAUUUAAUAUAUGUUAAUCUAGGUAUUUCUAGGAUCGUGUAGGAAUUCACGGAUCGUGAAUCGGAACUCCGGAUGUUCCGAAUAAUAAUUUUAAGUUUAUAUUUUAUAUUAACCAUCAGAUCGUGCGAUCGUGAGCAAUCCGACCGUCCGAUCUGAACCAAACUUGCAGGACAAGUGUCCUACACCUGGUAGAACCCAUAGGGACUUCCGGAUCGGAAAUUGGAGGUCGUGGGUUCUGCAGGUCCGUUUGACCAGGGUUAGAGUAGUUUGACUCUUGGUUGACCGUGAGUCUCCCGGAGUAAUCUCACCCUUCCAGGGGGAAUUAUCGGGAGCUAGACUAUUGUGGAGGGUUACACAAUAUUAGAAUUAUUUAUAUAAAUUAUGUGGUUGUACAAGGGUACAACAGAGUCUAGAAUGUCAGUUUGGAGUGCUAUACGCACUACUCUAGGUACCUCCUCGGACUUUGGAAUUUCUACAAGUACCACCAAGUGAAAGUUAGGUCCCACGUGGCGUAGGUUAUCCGGCGUGUCGACAGACCCCAUACGUGGCGUUGGUUGUACCGGCGUAUGGGGAGAUUUGUGAUAUGAUAUUGAGGUCCCGCGUGGCGUAGGUUAUCCGGCGUUGGGACAGGCCCCAUACGUGGCGUUGGUUGUACCGGCGUAUGGGGAGAUAUUAUGAUAGUAUGGCAUGGUCGCACGUGGCGUAGGUUAUCCGGCGUGUCGACAGACCCCAUACGUGGCGUUGGUUGUACCGGCGUAUGGGGAGAUUUGUGAUAUGAUAUUGAGGUCCUGCGUGGCGUAGGUUAUCCUGCGUUGGGAUAGGCCCCAUACGUGGCGUUAGUUGUACCGGCGUAUGGGGAGAUAUUAUGAUAGUAUGGCAUGGUCGCACGUGGCGUAGGUUAUCCGGCGUGUUGACAGGCCCCAUACGUGGCGUUGGUUGUACCAGCGUAUGGGGAGAAUAUGUGAAAUACAGAGAAAUGAAAUAAGGUAUUGCCCAAGUGUGGAAUUGGGUUUUAGGGAAGAACUACUUAUGGCUUGAUCCCUCAAGGAGGGUACGUAGGCAGCCUAAGGUUAUUAGGUGCAGCCGCAGACUAAAUAUUAGUCAUAAAUUGUAAUUGAACUGUUUGGUAGUCGUUUGAGGAAGUAUUGAAAGGCCGAAGGCCAUUUGUGUGAAUUGCAUGAAAUUAUAUUGUGCAUGCUGCCAGUUGGGAAUAUUAAAUGCGUUUUUAUGCAGGUAUAAAUUUUGGGAAUGUCCAAUUUACAGGGGAGACUCUGCCAAAAUUUCGGCAGGAAGUCUCGGUUUUUAGUAAGUGGGCCUGGCAUCGGGGUGAUGUCAGGAAUUCCAAAGGGUUCGUCUCGGGUUUUGAGAAAAUUCGGGGCGGGUCCUUUCACUUGAUAUGCUUACUCUUGCUGUGAAACAUUGGAUUUUUGGAAAGACAAAUAGCUGAUUUGUUGUUGCAGAACAGCUUUGUAGGUCCUUCUUGAACUUGACCCAUCUCUUCUAAAAUACUUUUCAGCCACCUAGCUUGACAACCUGCUGAUGCAAGAGCAACAUACUCAGAUUCUGUAGUUGAAAGUGCCACUAUAGAUUGCUUUUUGGAGGACCAUGAAAUCGCACUUGAGCCAAUGCUAAAGACAUAACCAGAUGUGCUUUUGCAAGUAUCAACAUCUCCACCCAAGUCACUGUCACUGUAGCCAGUCAAAUUUAGAUUCUGAAUAGGAUAAUAAUGCAAACCAUAAUUGAUAGUUCCAACCACAUAUCUUAGGAUUCUCUUUCCAAGCUCCCAAUGAACAUCUUUUGGUGACUCCACUAAACGGCUGAGGAAGCUUACUGCAUAUGUAAGAUCUGGCCUUGUUGUAGUUAAAUACAAGAGGCCACCCACUAGACUUCGAAACAAAGUUUGAUUUACCAUUGUGCUUCCAUCAUUCUUACCUAUCUUAACACCAACCUCCAUUGGAGUAGCAAUUGACUUUGCAUUUUCCAACCUGAACCUUUUCAACAAUUCCUUUGCGUAUUUCUUUUGAGAAAUAUAGAUACCAUUCUCAUUUUGUUUGACUUCAAUUCCAAGAAAGAAAUGAAGCAAACCAAGGUCUGUCAUUUCAAAUCUUUGUGACAUAAUCAUCUUGAAAUUAUCACACAUUUGAGCAUUACUUCCAGUAAAUAUUAAGUCAUCCACAUAUAAGCAGACAAUCAAAAUCUCACCUUGAGAGUUCUUCUUGGUGUAAAGAGUAUGCUCAUAUGGGCAUUUGUGAAACCCAUACUCUUGGAAGAAUGCAUCAAUCCGACUGUACCAAGCUCUUGGAGCUUGUUUCAAACCAUAUAAAGCCUUCUUCAAUCUACACACUUUUGUUUCUUCAUUUCCCUGCACAUAACCUGGAGGUUGAGCAACAUACACUUCUUCUUCCAAAAAACCUUGCAAGAAUGCUGGUUUAACUUCCAUUUGAAAGACUUUCCAACAAUUUUGGGCAGCAAGAGCUAACACCAUUCGGAUGGUGUCAAAGCGUGCAACUGGAGCAAAAACUUCAUUGUAAUCAAUUCCAUAAUUUUGCUUGUAGCCUUUAGCUACCAAGCGAGCUUUGUAUUUCUCAACUUCUCCUUGAGCAUUCAGCUUGGUCUUAUACACCCAUUUUACUCCUAUAGGCUUCUUUCCUUGAGGAAGAUCAACCAGCUCCCAUGUGUCAUUUUUCUUAAUGGAAUCAAUUUCUUGAUCCAUAGCCUUCACCCAAUUUUCAUCCUUUGAAGCCUCUUCAAACAUAAUUGGGUCUGCAUCUACAAAUAGAGCAAAAUUUGUGCCACCAUUAGUGAUCAAAACAUAAUCACUAGAUGGGUACCUUGUGGAUGGUUGAUGAGCUCUUGUUGAUCUCCUUUGUCCUCUGCAAAUUUCUUCUUCCUCACUGCUAUCACUAGAAGAAGUUGAUGAUGACCCUUGUGAUGAAGAUUCCUAUGAUGAUAGAGUUGUUGGUGGAGUUAAAUCUGGAUUUUCAAGGCCAAUGUCCAACAGUAUUGGACUUUGAUUUUCAGCUUCACUCCAAUUCCAUGCUUCUUCUUCAUUGAACUUGACAUCACGACUAACAAUAAUCUUGUUAGUCAAUGGAUUAAACAACUUAUAUGCCUUGGCCUUUUCACUAUACCCAACAAGAAUGCACUUUUCUGAUUUGUCAUCCAAUUUUCUCCUUGUUUUAUCAGGAAUAUGAGAAUAAGCAAUGCUGCCAAAUAUCCUUAAGUGACUAAUACAUGGCUUGAGGCCACUCUAAGCUUCUUGAGGAGUCUUGCCUUCCACACUAUUGGACGAUGCACGGUUCAAGAGAUAUACAGCACAUGCCACUGCUUCUGCCCAAAAACGAUUAGGCAUUGCUUUUGCCUUCAACAUGCUUCUUGCCAAUUCCAUAACGGUCCUAUUUUUUCUCUCGGCCACACCAUUUUGCUGUGGGGUGUACCGAGCUGUGAACUGAUGCUUAAUCCCAUUUUCUUUUAGAAAAUUUUCGAACACAUUGGAUGAGAAUUCUCCACCUUGAUCAGACCGCAAGGUUUUCAAUGCAAAUCCACUUUGCUUCUCAGCCAAAGCUUUGAAAACUUUAAAGUAAUCAAACACCUCUGAUUUAUAUUUGAGAAAAUAGACCCAUGUCUUUCUGCUAUAAUCAUCAAUGAAUGUAAGAAAGUAGCGGUUACCUCCUGUUGAUGUUGUGUUCAUGGGCCCGCAUACAUCUGAGUGCACCAGCUCAAGAGGAUGGGAUGCUCUCCAAGAAUUUCCUGUAAGAAACGAAUUUCUCUGAUGUUUUCCCAGCACACAUGCUUCACAAACUUGUGUUUGAUGCUGUAUCGUUGGUAGGCCUCGUACCAUAUGUUGUUUCCCCAUCAAUGAUAGUGUAUUGAAACUCAAAUGCCCAUAGCGUAGAAGCCACAACCAUGAGGAAUCCUUGAUAAGUGCACUUAAGCAAGCAAAAGAUUCAUACUUUAUGUUCAGAGAAAACAUAUUGUCUCCUGACAUCUGCACCUUUGUAAUUAGAGAGUUGUACUUGUCUCUAAUUACACACUGGUCUUCCCUGAACUGAAUAUUAUGGCCUUUAUGAAGAAGUUGCCCCACACUAAGGAGAUUGUAAUUUAAAUCUGGAACAUAUAACACAUCAGAGAUUCUUUUUUGUUCUCCAGACUUGGAUAGAAAAAGAAUAUCUCCACAUCCUUUGGCCACUAGCUUUCCACCAUCACCAAUCCUUACUUCUGAGUUGUUGGUAUGCUUGAAAUUGACAAAGGCACUUUUGUUGCCUGUCAUGUGAUUACUACAUCCGCUAUCAAGAUACCAUUUUUCUGCACACACGUUUCCUUCCCUGGCAGCUGCAUAUGCAAGUAGAACCACAUUAUCAUUUUCCCUUUCAGAAGCUUUUUCAUGCACAAAGCUUGAUUCGGCUCCUCCAUUUGUUUUGUUUUUGCAUGUUGACUUGAUGUGCCCAUAUUGCUUGCAAUUGUAGCACUGAAUAUUAGAAAGAGAGGAACCUUGUUCUCUUCCUCUUCCUCUUGAAUAACCACCAUAAUCUCCUCUUCCUCUUGGAUAACCAUAAUCUCCUCUUCUUCUUGAAUAACCAUAAUCUCGUGCAGAGCCUUCAUCAUUAGUUUUUUUUAGGUCAUUUGCAUAGCCACGUCCUUGAUUAUUUCUUCCUCGUCCACGAGUAAAGCCGCCUCUUCCUCUUCUAGAACUUCCUCUGAAUGAGACUUGAGAUUGAAAAGCUUGCUCAACAGGGCCAGAGUCAAACUGCUUCAGUCGUAACUCAUGGGAUUGAAGAGAACCCAUUAAACUGUCAAGAGACAAAGUAGACAGAUCUUUGGAUUCUUCAAUUGCCACCACAAUAUAUUCAAACUUUCGGGGACAUACUUCGAAGAAUUUUUUCAGCAACUCUCUGAUCUUCAAUUUUUUCUCCAUUAAUUCUCAGUUGGUUGACUAGAGAAAUGACACGAUUGAAAUAGUCUUCAACAGAUUCUGACUCCUUCAUACGUAACAUAUCAAACUCACCUCUUAGAGUUUGCAGUCUUGCCAUCUUCACUUUAUCUUCUCCUUUAUAUGAUGCAAAGAGAGUGUCCCACGCCUGUUUUGAUGUAAUGCAUGAUGAGAUUCUUUCAAAGAUAGCUUCAUCCACUGCUUGAAAGAUAAAGAAUAAAGCUUUUUUGUCCUUCUUACGUGUCUCCUUCAGCUCUGUGAGUUGUUGUUGAGUGAGGACUGCUUGAUCAUUUGGCUCCACAAAGCCAUUUUCAACCACCUCCCACAAAUCUUGAGCAGCAUACAACACCUUCAUUUGGAUGCUCCAUUGACUAUAAUUCUUCCCUGUAAACUUUGGAAGCUGGGGCUGUAACAAGUUGUUGUUUGAAGCCAUAUGAUUCUGAGUUUCCAGCUCUGAUACCACUUUGAUGGAAUAAAAGAAUGAUAUUAUUGGUGGUGGGUACGGUUAUGUGGAAGUAAUAAUGGGUAAGAGAAGAAACUUGUUCUCUUGUGAUAAUCAAAAGACAGAAAGUAGUGGGACACUAUUUUAGAUAUGAUAAUGUUCCUUCCUUGAUUGAUGCAAAUGAAGAGAAAAGGGUGGCUUUAUAUAAUAGCCACUACCGACCUAACACAUUAAAAACACAACUAACACCAAACAUAGUUAAUUCAACUAACUUCUACCACACCAUUAAUUUAACACACAACUACUAACAAACUGCCAACUAUUUCAAAGUUACCAGCUGACUAUUAAUGAAGUCUAGAUUACUUUAACAGUAUCGAAUCUAGCUUUAAUAUGUAUUGGGUCCUCUGGACAAGAAUUCUAUCCUUUUCGUCCUAACUAAUAUGUAGGGGAAAAACAAUACAUCAAUUAUCCUUUUCGUCCUAACUAAUAUGUAGGGGAAAAACAAUACAUCAAUUAUGAAUUUUUUUUAUCUGGGUUCGAAAUUAAAUAUGAAUGGAGUUUUGGAGGCUUAAAAGUUAUAAGCUCAAGAAAGGAAGGAAACUAUAUGUACAUUUGGGUCGGAGGCAAAGGUCCAGUCAUCUACCGUCCAGGAUAUACAGUAUCAAAAAAGGCUUAAGAAUUGUAAUAAGGUGACAUACGCCCACAUACGGCCAACGCUAGCAUAUUUCGUAAGUGUAUUAUAUGUCUUCUAAGUAUAUCAUAGUUAUGUGUCAAUUUUAGAUCCAAUUGCACACCCAAAAUACAGAAACAAAAUCAUUGAGAAUACACUUUUUUUCACUUAUAUUUUGAAUAUGCAUUGCCUGUAUUUCAUGUGUAUGAUAUAGGGGCUUCACUUAUAGUUUUUGCACAAAACCUCCCUUGAUGAAGGAUGUCUUAGAUUAAUGACAUCAAUGAUUUGUUACAUUUGGAGUACCCAACAUAACAGCUCUCUGAUUAACAAUAAAGUUAUAAAAUUUCAACAGUUUCAUACCUAACAAGCAUAGAGAAACAAAUAAAACAACCACAUUGCUUCGAUCACUGUACAUGCACACAGCUCACUUUCACUAACUACAGAGGCUAUAUUUUCUACAUAUACACUAACUUUUUCUUUCUCCAGCUCUCUUACACCACCAGGCUGGUGACAAACCCAGCUCGCGUCAUGUGGAGGACCAAAAGGAAAUGACAAGGAGAAAACGGCUAAGGAGAGACUUACUCUCAACACUUAGAAGGCAGAGCAGAGAUAACAGAGCACACUGCUUGUAUAAAAGUGAGUAUGAGGAGAAAAAUAGCGGUAGCAAUUGAAAUAGUUGCCCAAGGUGUGUUGCAAUAGUUUUGUCUCAAGUUUGCCUGCCAUUUGUGCCAAGACGUUCUGCAGUACUUGUUGAGGUCUGCACAAAGAAUAGCAAAAUAGAAGUCAUUAGAGUCCACAAUGACCCCAUCUGCAAGGUUGUUGAUCAGAGUAGACCCUCCACUACUGUCACCGAGCAUAUUUUCGACGAUUCCUUGCUUAACAACCAACUCCACAUCCGUUGCGGUGUUCACAAAGCGAUCCACGAUGACAACAUAAUUGUUUAUGUAAUUCUCCAUGCAAUGGCAUUGUUCAAAGGCAAGGAGGUUUCUGAUUGUAAGCUCUGUCUCAUCACUUAUUGCUAAUUUUGGAAUUUCUAGAAUCCCAUUAGCGAAUUGUAUGUCGAAUAAGUUUUUGGGUGAUCCCACCUUAAACUUGACUCCUGCUCUGUGUAACUCUGUGAUGCUGGAUGUGUUUAAGAGUUUCAAGUCGCCCCUUAGCAGGUGGUUUCAAUGGUAGAGGUAGAUACAAAUUUCUACAAAAAUCUACAAAGUGUUCUACUUUAGAAGUACAUAAUUUCUCCAUAUUGCCAUCCGUUCCCUCUAUGUGCAUUAGAGUUUUGAAGAAAUUGUGGCAAAGGUUAAGCAUCGAAAGCCUCUCAAUAUUGUUAUUGUUAGAAGAGACUUUGAUUUUUUCGGGGUCAAAAAGUUCCUCAAGAAUGAAGAAUGGCAGCUGAUUUUCAAACAACCGCAUGUCAGGCCAUACGUCUGGCAACAGCCAUGGUUUGUUAAAUAUGCGGUCAAUUUCAUCCUGCAAUUCAUCGAAACGAUACCUCAACAAGACCUCAAUGAUGAAGGCGGCAUCCACUAGAAUGAUUCUCACAAAUUCAUCACUGCUAACCUGAAUGGUUUCUGCAUAACAACUGCGCAGUUUUGCUUCUUGGUCUUUUACUUUCUGUACAUAAUCGGCUAGGCUUACCCUGGUCCGACGUAUAUAAUCUUGUAAGUACCUCUUUUUGUGAUCUUCCAUGGCUUUUAGGCCUUCCUCGCCAUGAUGAAGUGGGCCUAUAGAGACUACCUGAGGUGUGUAGGCCUUUUCACUCACACGCCGUAGUCGUUCAGGAACUCUAUAAAUGCAACACAAGGAGGAGAGGGAAGACAAGCCAUCCAACUCCUCACUCAUUGAAGUUACUAAUGGAAUGCAAGGGUUUUCAAUAUCAUGUGGAGCUUGAUCGCUUCCUUCCAUUUUCCGCUGAUGUGUUUGUUGUUGUCAAUCAUAAUGGAUGAUAAUGAAAUGAUAGUCACUGACACAACAAUAAACAAAUUUUUCAAGAUGGCUGAGAAAAUUAAUACAAACAUUGCAAUUAUAAGACCAAACACACAAAGACUUUUGAUCCUUGUAACUCUUACAUACCACACUAGUGCCUUAAGAAUUCGAUUUGAAUGCACCAAAUUCAUUCAAAACUCUUCUGGUCAACUCUGUUUCUUGUAAUUAUUCUUGGAAGAUUCUAAUACAUUUUUGAUUGAAAAAUUCCUACUAAUCAUGUGAAUCAGUACCAAAGUUUAUUUCAAAUUAACAUACAAACCCCACUUUUUUUUUCCUACAUAUAUACUUCUUUAUUUCCCCUCAACUUAUUGGAGCUUCUAAUAAAGCAAAUUCUUUCUGUGAUGAUAUCAGAUAGUAGAUUAUGCUUCCAGUCAAAACAUAGACAAACCAAAAUCCCAUUAGAAGAGAAGAAAAUAAUAUACGACAUUCACAUAACCUUCUGCUCAAUUCCAAUUUCCAACUACAAUGAAACAUAAGACACUUAAAAGCUUCAAGAAAUUGGAUGUGCAAGCAAACAUAGCGAAAUUAUGAAAGACAGAGAAAGGUGUUGGGCAUUGAAAACAUACCUGAUACGUAUUGAAACACAAUUUUUUUUUGCCUUUGGUAGAUGGAGUAGCUAGAAAAGCUCAAUGCACUUGCUCUUCUGCUACAUUUCAAUAUAAGAACAUUGUUUGGAAGUCCGGUCAAUUCCUCAAAGCUUCCUUGCCUUUGUUUUGACAUGCCGAUGCCCGUCUUGGGGAAGUUUGAAUAAUCCAUUGCAGGCCCCAUGAUAGGAUUUUUAGUACUUGUGCAAACAGUGUUAAAAAUCACAUAAAAUACUUGCAAGAAUACAAGGCUAUUGUAGUAUAGAUGCUCAUGCAAGGUCGUUUUCCUCAAGGACUAAUUAGCAAUUUAUGUAAAAACAAAUUCCAAUUACUACUUAAAAUAAAAAGUCAAGAAAGAUGAUUAUAAAUUUGGUGGAUUCUAAAAAACAAAUAUUAAACAAAAACAAAUACGAUUGAAAGAAAGAGUUUUGAAUAUCAAUUUAUAAAAACACUAGGGUUUCACCAUCACCUAGCAAUCCUAUGAACUUUUACCAAUUACUUAUGAUUUGCACAUGCCACUUUGAAGGUUAGGUUUUCCUAAUGUAUAUUCUACUUGGAACCUCCAACACAGAACGUAUAUCCAACAUGCAACCCGUCCGGACGUUCGGAUCAAAUCUGAACAUGAAAGACUCAUUAAGUUUUGUGAAAACCCUUUGAAAAACCAUGCAACCCUUAAGACGUGGUGUUCAUCUUAAGUGAAAUUACAAUUAUUAAUCACAAGAAGCUAGCAUAAAUUUCAGGGAACCUUCCGACCAAAAUUGCAUCCAAUUACUUUUCUAAAGAUCCUAAUGGUGAUCAGGCAUUAAGACAAUUAGAUAGUUUAAAAUAGUGAUUAACAAUUCAAAAUACGCAUGCACUCAUCAUAAGCAAUUAAAUAAAAAUCACAUAUUCAUGCUAAGGUUCAAGGCUUCACCCUAGCAAAAGAAAUUUAGUUACGCAUACUCAUAAUUGAAAUCCAAGAAAAUAUCAUUAAGAAGAAAAGAACGAAAACACCUGAAAGUUGUGAAAACCCAAAACCCUAGCAAUUGCUCUCUACAAUGCAAAGUUCAAAAAUAAUUAAGAAGUCCUAAAUUCCUUGUGAGAAAGAGCUUAAAUAUCCCUUAAAACCUAGCUGCCAAUGUACAGCUUUUCUAUCCCUACAAGGAAACUAAUUAAAGUAAAAUAAUACUAGGAAAUAAAGUCCAAAUUGGAAUAGGAGAAUUUGCCCAAAAUCAGCCCAGCCACGUUUUGGCCCCAAAUCUCCUCCAAAUCUGGCCCAAGAUAGCUUUUUUUAAAGACACUACUACAAAAAGUGAAAAAGACGACCAGAAAACAACGACGGUCUAAGUGAAAACCGUCGUGGUUUUUAAAAAGACGACGGUUCUAAAAACACCGUCGUGUAAUACCACCUUAGACAACUAAAAAAUGGAGAUUCAAAUGGCUGUUCAAAAACAACGACGUACCUAAUUAAACAACCGACGUCUAUUUGAAACAGAUUUCCGCAGUGUAAAAUCAAAGCAAACAAAGAACGGCAGAAGUUAUGAAUAGACCGACGUAGAAAGUAAAGACGACGAUUUCAAUAAAAGCCGCCGUUUUUACUCAUAAAAUAACACGACGAGGUUUUCGUAUAAGACGCCGUAUAAUUACAAACAAAUCCACGGCUUUAAAAUACAAAAUAAUCUUAACAGAUGACACAGAUUUGCAAUCAGAGAGACAAUUUUUUGGAAGUUGAUCAACGUCGUUGAAAAUUUGCAAUCAGAGAGACAAUUUUCAACGACGGUUAUAUUAUACCUAACGACGUUUAAAAACAAAUCAACGUCGCUCAACAAAUAUAUUACGUCGUCUUAGUCUUACUUAAGACGACGAAAAACGACGACAGUAGUAAAAAAACAGUCGUUGUUUUUAUAUUCUUAUUUUAUUUAAAUCUGUCGUGUUAGUUAAAAACGACGGCAUAACAAAAAACCGUCGUUUUGUUUCAAACUGAAUUAAUUUAAAAUUUCUUCAGGAAAGCAAAAUCUAUUUAUAAUUUCCUCGGGUUAGUAAUAUUGUGUCGUGUUAGUUUACAAAUUCUAGAACAUUAAUUUCCCUCAUUUUAAAUUUUCUCGGGAAAGAAAAAUCUAUUUAUCACGCUUUGUAAUUGAAAACUAAAACUGAAAGAAUUCUGGAAAAAAAACUCUAUUUAUAAUUUAAAAAUAAAAUGCACGUCGGUUGUAGUACACUUAACGACGUUUAACAAAAUAAUCUACGUCGGUAAUUAUAAAUCUACCGCCAUCUUACCCUAAUAUAGACGACGAGAAAAGACGACGGUAGAACAGAAAACCGCCGUUGUUUCAGUUUCUUUAACAGUUUGGUCCUUUAUCUUUCUGCAGGACUUGUAUAGUUCAAAGCAUUGACAAUGUCUUCAUCAUAUCUCCCAGCAACUACUGAUUCGAUUGCUCAUGCUUUAGAGGCCAUCUGAAGCCAUUUCUAUUCUUUAUCGCAUUCUUGAAACCCAUCUUCUUCUUCUGAAGCUCUACGGAUAAAGGAANNNNNNNNNNNNNNNNNNNNNNNNNNNNNNNNNNNNNNNNNNNNNNNNNNNNNNNNNNNNNNNNNNNNNNNNNNNNNNNNNNNNNNNNNNNNNNNNNNNNNNNNNNNNNNNNNNNNNNNNNNNNNNNNNNNNNNNNNNNNNNNNNNNNNNNNNNNNNNNUUUUUUUUGGGGUUGGUUUUUUAUAGUAACCAGUUAUAACAGUAGUGGUUGUGCAAUGUUUGGUUCCCUUAAGCUUCGAUCCAACCGUGUAGCCAGCUUUAGGUCAAUGUCUCCCAAACCACUCGGGUUUUAGGGCACUAGGUGUAGAACACCCCUAAGGACUUAUUAACUCAAGCUGAAAAGGCUACGAAACCAACUAACCACCCUGCCUCAUGCCAAAACUCUACCUUUUGUCUCGAAAAUCACUGCUGAUUAGGCAGGACUGGCCCGGUUACUAGCAAAGCUUCGGGUGAGGCAAUUAUUACUUUAUAACACAUACUAACUUUAUUUAAAUUGAACAGAAAUUAAAACACACUUGGACAAAAAGUAAGUAUUCCAAUCUCACUCCCCAAAAACCAUAUUGGUGUGAUGUGCAAAUUUCAAAGUAUAAUUCAUGAAUUAGUGUCUAAGCAACAAUAAAUAGAAAAGACUCUACUGUGGGAUUGAUUUUCACUAUGUCCAUUUAUUCUAACGUUUAAAAUAAUCUAUGGAUAUUGACUGAAAAACGAAAAUUUUAAACAAGACUUAAAAAAAACUAAAAAUCUAAAAUUUACUUUCCCACCCCCUAACUUAAAUCACACAUUGUCCUCAAGGUGUGGUAAAUAAUCAAAAGAAACAAGAGCAGAAACAAAACGACUAAAUCCUAGAAAAUGAAAAUCAAAAAUAAAGAAAAUACUCUAAGAAAAGAAACUAGGAAGGAAAAAUAGAAGAAUAAUAAAAUAAAAUAAAAUAAGAAAGAAAAGGAGAAAAACAACAAUAGAAAAGAAAUAGGAAAGAAAAUACCCAAAAAUGAGACACCUUGGGGAUUCAAAGGCAGGACCAGGCGGAGUGUUGCGAAAAAGCGCUGACCAACUCAACCACGUCCACACUGGCAUCAAAUAGGAGCGACAGCUACAAUAUAACCUGCUGUAGCUGCUGCAUCUGUCAUUUGAAAAAUAUUGGAUUCCCUUCUCCUACCCCGAGCUCAGAGCCGAAAGGCUCUCUUCUGUCCAUUCCCAUUUUGCAGAAGAAAAAAGAAUAUUGCUGGAUAAACCAAAGCCUCCGCUGUGUCCAGAGAAUCAGAAAAGGUCUCUGAUUUCUCUCUUCUCAAGGCCAUCCAUCUCCGCCUUCACUCUUCUUCAUUCUCUCCAACACUCACGAUCCUUUCCUCUCUUUCAACCCAAUUACACCAGCGUUUUCAUCUGCGUGAGGAGGCCACAUUUGCAGCAAACACAACCAGUGAGGUUGAAUUAUCUGAUGCACCUGAAUUUUUGGAUGGUUUUGGAGUCCCUAGAUUCCUCAAAUUCAGAUCUGUCUCCAUCCAUGUCACCAGAUGCUAACUUGUUCCAAGAUGAAAACAAGCUGAAGCCGAACAAGAGUCUAUUCUCCACCAGUAAGGACCCCAGAUCUGUGCAUCCCGUAGGUAAACUUUCGAACCCCAGAACUGGUUUUUUUUUUUUUUUUUUUCCGUUUUUUUUUUGUUUUGAAAAUAAAAGAAGUAAAGAGUUUAGAAAAAUUGGGUUGCCUCCCAAUAAGCGCGCUAUUUUAAGUCUGUAGCUAGACUUUGCAGAAGCCUGGUGGUCAAAUCACUGGUUCCUUCAGAGUCAAAGACUCGGCUGCAAUGUCAAAGGGUGUCUCCACGUAGGGUUUUAGCCUAUGACCAUUCACCUUGAACGUGUUGCCUUUAUCUUCAUUAGUGAUUUGAACUGCUCCAUGAGGAAAAACUUGAGUCACUAGGUAGGGUCCAGUCCAGCGAGAUUUUAAUUUCCCUGGAAACAACUUGAGCCUUGAACUAAAUAACAGAACCUUUUGCCCUGGCUGAAAUUCCUUCCGUAAAAUUUGACUGUCAUGAAAUGCCUUAGUUCUUUCCUUGUAGAUGCGAGAACUAUCAUAAGCACCUUGACGAAUUUCCUCUAGCUCAUUUAACUGCAAUUUCCGCUUUUCCCCAGCUGAGUCAUAUGCAAAAUUUAACUCUUUAAUGGCCCAGUAAGCUUUAUGCUCCAGCUCCAUAGGUAGAUGACAGGCUUUCCCAUAAACAAGUCGGAAUGGUGACAUCCCAAUAGGAGUUUUAUAAGCUGUCCUGUAUGCCCACAAAGCAUCAUUUAGUUUGAAACUCCAAUCCUUGCGUGUAGAGCUCACUGUUUUCUCCAAAAUACGCUUUAUUUCUCUGUUUGAAACUUCAACUUGACCAGAUGUCUGUGGGUGGUAUGGUGUAGCCACGCGAUGAUUAAUCCCGUAUUUUGCCAGUAGGUUAGCAAAUGGUUUAUUAAUAAAAUGCUUCCCCCCAUCACUAAGAAUAACACGCGGUAUUCCAAAACGUGGAAAUAUAACCCCCUGGAGGAACUUCAGGACCACUGAUCCUUGAUUAGUUGGUGCUGCAAUGGCCUCGACCCAUUUUGAAACAUAUUCCACAGCCACUAAAAUAUAUUGGUGCCCAUUAGAAGAUGGGAAUGGCCCCAUGAAAUCAAUACCCCAAACAUCAAAUAGUUCAACAAUUAGGAUACUUUGUUGGGGCAUUUCAUUCCUUCUGGAUUGAUUGCCGACCCUUUGACACCGAUCACAUGCCUUGCACCAAUUCUGUGAAUCUCUAAAAAGUGUUGGCCAAAAUAACCCACUCUGUAGGAUUUUCUCUGCUGUCCUUUUCUGCGCAAAAUGUCCUCCUCAAGCAUAGUGAUGAGCAAACUUUAAAACACUUUCUUGUUCAGCCUCCGGAAUACACCUGCGAAUAAUCUGGUCUGCACAAUACUUGUAUAAGUACGGUUCAUCCCAGAAAUAGUGCUUUACAUCAGAUAAAAACUUCUUUUUCUGCUGGUAGGAAAAAUCUGGAUGCACCACACCCUUAGCCAAAUAAUUGACAAUAUCUGCAAACCAAGGUGUGUCAAUUUUGACAGCAAAUAGCUGUUCAUCUGGGAAACUUUCACUCAAUGGUAGAGAAUCUGCCUCUGUAGCUGCUGGAAUAAUUAAUCUAGAUAAAUGAUCAGCCACAACAUUCUCACUGCCCUUCUUGUCUUUAAUCUCUAAGUCAAAUUCUUGAAGUAAGAGAACCCAACGAAUCAAUCUAGGCUUUGCAUCCUUCUUAGACAACAAGUAUUUUAGUGCAGCAUGAUCUGUAUAGACAAUUAUUUUAGCCCCAACCAAAUAAGACCGAAAUUUCUCUAGUGCGAACACAACUGCCAACAAUUCCUUCUCUGUAGUUGCAUAGUUAAGCUGUGCAUCAUUUAGAGUACGACUUGCAUAAUAGAUGACAUGGGGAAGCUUAUCUUUUCGCUGCCCUAAAACUGCCCCGACAGCAUAAUCUGACGCAUCACACAUUAGUUCAAAUGGUAAAUCCCAAUUUGGUGCAGCAAUGAUGGGUGCCGAAGUUAGGAGUGCUUUCAACUUGUUGAAUGCUUCUAAACAGGCCUUAUCAAAAUUAAAUGGUGCAUCCUUAGCCAAUAAAGUGCACAAAGGUCGACUAAUCUUGGAGAAAUCCUUGAUGAACCGACGAUAAAAACCUGCGUGUCCUAAGAAGGACCUCACACCUUUUACUGAUGUAGGAGGUGGCAGCUUUGCAAUAACUUCAAUCUUUGCCUUGUCAACCUCGAUGCCUUUGCUAGAAAUUGAAUGACCCAAGACAAUUCCCUGUUCAACCAUGAAAUGCCACUUUUCCCAGUUUAGCACUAAAUUUGUCGCUUGACAUCUCUGAAGAACUAAUGAUAAAUUCUGUAAGCAUUGAUCAUAUGAAUCCCCAAAAACAGAAAAAUCAUCCAUAAAAACUUCCACAAUAUUUUCGACCAAGCCAGAAAAAAUACUCAUCAUACAACGUUGAAACGUAGCAGGUGCAUCGCAUAAUCCGAAUGGCAUCCUCCGAUAAGCGUAAGUACCAAAUGGACAAGUGAAAGUAGUCUUCUCUUGAUCCUCUGGUGCUAUUGGAAUCUGAUUAUACCCAGAAUACCCAUCAAGAAAACAGUAAAAAGCCCGCCCAACCAACCUUUCUAACAUCUGGUCAAUAAAAGGCAAUGGAAAAUGGUCUUUUCUCGUCCCUGUGUUAAGCUUCCGAUAAUCUACACACAUUCUCCAACCCGUAGUCAAUCGUGUAGGAACUAACUCAUUAUUAUCAUUUUUCACCACUGUAAUACCGGUCCGUUUAGGCACAACUUGAGUCGGGCUAACCCAUUUACUGUCAGAAAUAGGAUAAAUCAUACCUGCAUCAAGUAAUUUCAUAACCUCUGUUCUAACCACCUCUUUCAUAAUUGGGUUAAGGCGGCGUUGAGCAUCAACUGUUAGCUUUACGUCGUCUUCCAUUAAUAUUCUGUGCAUACAUAGUGCUGGGCUGAUUCCCUUGAUAUCCGCAAUUGUCCAUCCCAAUGCAUCUUGAUAUUUUCUCAAUACACGAAGCAAUUUAUCCUCCUCUGUCGGUGUUAAAUCUGCUGCAAUUAUAACUGGCAACGUCUCUGCAGCUCCUAAAUAUGCAUAUUUAAGAUGUUGUGGUAAAGGCUUCAGCUCCAAUUUUGGCGGCUGCUGUCUGGAUGGUUUAAGGGGCUGUUUGGGCUCCCCUAAACUCUCAUACACAUUCCUAAAUUUUGGCAACACUGUGGGCAGACUGUUCAAUGCGUGUAUGUACUCAUGAACACCUUCAUCUUCAAAAUCUGUCUCAAAUGCCCCCUGUAAAACAUGCAACAACUGAUCUGUUUUUGAAUUAGCAUAAAAUCUGUCCUGCACCAUACUGUCUACCAUGUCAAUACGCAUACAAUCUAGCUGUUCAGCAGGACGUUUUGUUGCCGCAAACAAAUUAAACACCACAGAUUGGUCCUGAACCCGUAAAGUCAAUGUUCCAGCUUCCACAUCAAUUAAGGUCCUAGCUGUUGCCAUAAACGGCCUCCCCAAAAUAAUAGGUGUUUGAAGGUCUUCAUCCAUGUCUAAAACCACAAAAUCUGCCGGUAGAUAAAGAUUAUCAACCUUAAUAAUUAGAUCUUCAAUAACACCUCUUGGAUAAGUGAUUGAACGGUCAGCUAGUUGAAGUAUAAUUGAUAUAGGCUUUAAAUCUCCUUGCCCCAAUCGCUGAAAAACAGAAAAAGGCAUCAAAUUAAUACUUGCACCCAAAUCAAUUAAAGCACUCUUAAAAUUAGAAUUUCCAAUAGUGCAAGAAAUAUUAAAACUCCCUGGAUCUUUUUUCUUAGGUGGUAGUUUGUGUAGCAAAACUGCAUUGCACUGUUCUGUCAAAAUAACUUUUUCCAAAUCUGAAAGCUUCUUUUUGCUGCUGCAAACUUCCUUCAAAAAUUUGGCAUAUGAUGGAAUUUUCUUGAUUGCAUCCAGUAAGGGAAUGUUGAUUUGAACCUUGGAUAAUGUCUGCAUAAAGUCCUUGAGUUGCUGAUCUUUUACUUUUGGCUUCAAACGUUCUGGAUAUGGAAUUGGGGCCUCAUAAACACGCUCAGGUACUUGUUUUGGAACAGUUUCUAGAUCUGCCAUAUUAUGUUUUUCUACAGGUUUGGCAGGUUCUGCUGCUGCAAAAUUUUCUGUAUGAUCCUCCACUGCAUGCUGCUCCUUUUCAAUGUUAUUUUCACGAUUGUCAUAGCUUUUUCCACAUCGUAAAGUCCGAACAACUUUGCAAUCUUCACGUCCAUUUGGAUUAGGAAUUGUUUGACUAGGAAAUUUGCCCUUUUAUCUGUCUGAAAUCUGUGUAGCUAGUUGUCCAAAUUGUUGCUCCAAACUUUUAAUAGAUGCUUCAACAUUUUGAAAUCUUUGAUUGUUGCCCUCGAUGAAUGAUUGAGUUGUUGCUGCCAGUUUAGCAAGUUGAUCUUCCAUAGAUGGUUUGGAGGGAACAAAAGGUUUUUGUGCAUGCUGGAAUGGUUUGGCAUUAGUCUGAUUGUCACCCCAUUUGAAAUUAGGGUGAUCCCUCCAUCCAGGAUUGUAAUGAGUUGCAUAUGCAUCAUUCCUAGGCCUUUGAUAGCUGUUCAUCAUAUUGACAUGUUGUUCAACAAGCUCUGGGUAAGAGUCUCUAUGUGGGCAGCCCAUUAUGUCAUGUGUAGCCAUACUGCAUAUAGUGCAAACUGUUGAUGUAGGUGGCUGCUGUGUAGAACUUGCUAUAUGUUGUAGAAGCAUAUCAAACUUUGCAUCAAUUUUCUUAUCCAUUUUUUCCAUUUGUGCAGACAUGUUGGGAGAACCUACUGAUAACUCAAAAAUGCCCCUUUUCUGUGAAUGUUCUGCUGCCCAUUGCUGAGAUUCUGUAGCCAUCAUAUCAAACAGUUCAAAUGCCUCUCUUGCAGAUUUAUUUGAUAAUGAUCCUCCAGCUGAUGCAUUCACAUGGCUCUUAGAUGUAGGAUUAAGCCCAUCAAAGAAAAUAUUCAUUUGUGUAUCUGAAUCAAUUUUAACAUGUGGACACUUUAUGUACAUCUUUGUAUAUCUCUCCCACGCUUCAUGAAACUCUUCAUUAGGCUUCUGUGUGAAUGUCAAAAUCUCCCUCUUGUAAUUCAAUGUCUUGGAUGCUGGAUAAUAUUUGUUCAGGAAUUUUGUGUGUAACUGCUGCCAAGUAGUAAUGCUAUUAGCUGGUAGAGUGAAUAACCAAGUUUCUGCCUUGUCCUUCAAAGUGAAAGGGAAAAGACGUAACUUAAUAGCCUCAGCAGAAAAACCCCUAAUCAAAAUAUUCUUGCAACCCACAAUAAAUUUUGCAAUAUGUAUGUUUGCAUCUUCAUUAGGCAAUCCCCGAAAAGUAGGUAGAAUUUCAAGCAUAUGGUGCCUGAUCUCGAACGAAUCACCCUCUUCUUGUUCAGGAUACACAAUGCAAUUGGGAACAUCAGUGGCACGGGCUUCCAAUGACUCCCUGAGUGGUCUACCUGCCGCAGGUAAUUCUAACGCCAUGUUACUCUCGUUUGCAAACAGAUCCUGCAGAAAAGUGCCCUGCAGUGAACAGUCCCAAGCCCAAGUAACUUCUCUCCGCUGUCUAUGCAGUGUGCGCUCUGGUUCUGGAUCAAAUUGUACAAUCUGUGUAGUUCCUGAUCUGGUCUGGACCAUGCAGUCUGCAAAAUCUGCAACAGAAACAAAAUUGUUCAAUUUCAAUUUUUUUUUUUGGACGAAAAUUAAAAAUAAAAUAAAAUGAAAUAAAUCAGAAAAAGGUUAAACAAAAAUUGUCUAAAAUAGUCCCCAGCAACGGCGCCAAUUUCUUGAUAGGAUUUUUAGUACUUGUGCAAACAGUGUUAAAAAUCACAUAAAAUACUUGCAAGAAUACAAGGCUAUUGUAGUAUAGAUGCUCAUGCAAGGUCGUUUUCCUCAAGGACUAAUUAGCAAUUUAUGUAAAAACAAAUUUCAAUUACUACUUAAAAUAAAAAGUCAAGAAAGAUGAUUAUAAAUUUGGUGGAUUCUAAAAAACAAAUAUUAAACAAAAACAAAUACGAUUGAAAGAAAGAGUUUUGAAUAUCAAUUUAUAAAACCACUAGGGUUUCACCAUCACCUAGCAAUCCUAUGAACUUUUACCAAUUACUUAUGAUUUGCACAUGCCACUUUGAAGGUUAGGUUUUCCUAUUGUAUAUUCUACUUGGAACCUCCAACACAGAACGUAUAUCCAACAUGCAACCCGUCCGGACGUUCGGAUCAAAUCUGAACAUGAAAGACUCAUUAAGUUUUGUGAAAACCCUUUGAAAAACCAUGCAACCCUUAAGACGUGGUGUUCAUCUUAAGUGAAAUUACAAUUAUUAAUCACAAGAAGCUAGCAUAAAUUUCAGGGAACCUUCCGACCAAAAUUGCAUCCAAUUACUUUUCUAAAGAUCCUAAUGGUGAUCAGGCAUUAAGACAAUUAGAUAGUUUAAAAUAGUGAUUAACAAUUCAAAAUACGCAUGCACUCAUCAUAAGCAAUUAAAUAAAAAUCACAUAUUCAUGCUAAGGUUCAAGGCUUCACCCUAGCAAAAGAAAUUUAGUUACGCAUACUCAUAAUUGAAAUCCAAGAAAAUAUCAUUAAGAAGAAAAGAACGAAAACACCUGAAAGUUGUGAAAACCCAAAACCCUAGCAAUUGCUCUCUACAAUGCAAAGUUCAAAAAUAAUUAAGAAGUCCUAAAUUCCUUGUGAGAAAGAGCUUAAAUAUCCCUUAAAACCUAGCUGCCAAUGUACAGCUUUUCUAUCCCUACAAGGAAACUAAUUAAAGUAAAAUAAUACUAGGAAAUAAAGUCCAAAUUGGAAUAGGAGAAUUUGCCCAAAAUCAGCCCAGCCACGUUUUGGCCCCAAAUCUCCUCCAAAUCUGGCCCAAGAUAGCUUUUUUUAAAGACACUACUACAAAAAGUGAAAAAGACGACCAGAAAACAACGACGGUCUAAGUGAAAACCGUCGUGGUUUUUAAAAAGACGACGGUUCUAAAAACACCGUCGUGUAAUACCACCUUAGACAACUAAAAAAUGGAGAUUCAAAUGGCUGUUCAAAAACAACGACGUACCUAAUUAAACAACCGACGUCUAUUUGAAACAGAUUUCCGCAGUGUAAAAUCAAAGCAAACAAAGAACGGCAGAAGUUAUGAAUAGACCGACGUAGAAAGUAAAGACGACGAUUUCAAUAAAAGCCGCCGUUUUUACUCAUAAAAUAACACGACGAGGUUUUCGUAUAAGACGCCGUAUAAUUACAAACAAAUCCACGGCUUUAAAAUACAAAAAUAAUCUUAACAGAUGACACAGAUUUGCAAUCAGAAGAGACAAUUUUUGAAGUUGAUCAACGUCGUUGAAAAUUGCAAUCAGAAGAGACAUUUUCAACGACGGNNNNNNNNNNNNNNNNNNNNNNNNNNNNNNNNNNNNNNNNNNNNNNNNNNNNNNNNNNNNNNNNNNNNNNNNNNNNNNNNNNNNNNNNNNNNNNNNNNNNGGAAGUUGAUCAACGUCGUUGAAAAUUUGCAAUCAGAGAGACAAUUUUCAACGACGGUUAUAUUAUACCUAACGACGUUUAAAAACAAAUCAACGUCGCUCAACAAAUAUAUUACGUCGUCUUAGUCUUACUUAAGACGACGAAAAACGACGACAGUAGUAAAAAAACAGUCGUUGUUUUUAUAUUCUUAUUUUAUUUAAAUCUGUCGUGUUAGUUAAAAACGACGGCAUAACAAAAAACCGUCGUUUUGUUUCAAACUGAAUUAAUUUAAAAUUUCUUCAGGAAAGCAAAAUCUAUUUAUAAUUUCCUCGGGUUAGUAAUAUUGUGUCGUGUUAGUUUACAAAUUCUAGAACAUUAAUUUCCCUCAUUUUAAAUUUUCUCGGGAAAGAAAAAUCUAUUUAUCACGCUUUGUAAUUGAAAACUAAAACUGAAAGAAUUCUGGAAAAAAAACUCUAUUUAUAAUUUAAAAAUAAAAUGCACGUCGGUUGUAGUACACUUAACGACGUUUAACAAAAUAAUCUACGUCGGUAAUUAUAAAUCUACCGCCAUCUUACCCUAAUAUAGACGACGAGAAAAGACGACGGUAGAACAGAAAACCGCCGUUGUUUCAGUUUCUUUAACAGUUUGGUCCUUUAUCUUUCUGCAGGACUUGUAUAGUUCAAAGCAUUGACAAUGUCUUCAUCAUAUCUCCCAGCAACUACUGAUUCGAUUGCUCAUGCUUUAGAGGCCAUCUGAAGCCAUUUCUAUUCUUUAUCGCAUUCUUGAAACCCAUCUUCUUCUUCUGAAGCUCUACGGAUAAAGGAAGAGGCUAUCACAAAUCUGACGGAUCUUCUUAGUCAAAAAAAUCAAGCAGAGGAUCAGGCACAUCUGAUCUUCAGAUUUCCCUGAGAAGCGAACUUUCCUUCGACAGCGAGUGGAGGCCAGGCUUGCAUCUCUUUUGAUGGAAAGCAAGGAGUAUUCAGAAGCACUAAGUGUCCUAUCAGGCUUGAUCAAGGAAGUGAGAAGGCUAGUUGACAAGCUUCUUCUUGUCAACUAGCCUAAAUGUAAGCUCAAUUUCUCUUUGAGAAAGACCUCCAAAUUAUUGUCUUUGAGAUGUGAGAGACAGUGUCUCUGAGAGAGGAAGAACUUGGAACCCUAAAUGUAAACCGCGAAAAUGAAUGAAAGCGACAAAUUUAUAGAAUAAAUUUUUAAAACCAACGGCGGUACUUACCAAGAAACCGCCGUUUCAAUUGUAAAAUCAACGUCGGUAUUACUGACGUAUAUUACAGAACUCCACGUCGGUACAUUAAUAAUCACGACGUCUUAAAUAAUCUACCAUGACGCGAGUUAUUACUUAUGUACUUUAAUUUUUGAGUUUACUACGACGGUACCUACAACACUACUGUCGUAUUUAUUUACCACGUCCGAAGUUAAAUUUACCGACGUAUUUUGUACUUUAUACGUCGUAGUUAUAUGUAACCGCCGUAUUAUUUUUUUGAAAUGGUUUUAUAUGUAAGCAACUUUUCGUCUACUUGACUUACACAUUAGUUGUUUUUAUAUUCUUAUUUUAUUUAAAUCUGUCAUCCAAAAAAGAAACUUUACAUAUUGCAGAAUAUUAAUUUCCUUCGUUUUAAAUUUCCUCCGGAAAAAAAACUCUAUUUAUAACGCACUGUAAUUGAAAAAUAAACUGAAAGGUCACGGGAAAAAAAAUUCUAUUCAUAAUUUAAAAAUUAAAAUCCACGUCGGUUAUAUUAAACCUAACGACGUUAAAUGAAAUGAUUCCACGUCGAACGAAAAAUAUUUCGUCGUGUUAGUUAAAAACGACGUAGUUAAAUGUAACCGCCGUAUUAUUUUUUUGAAAUGGUUUUAUAUGUAAGCAACUUUUGGACUUACACAUGCACUGUUUCCAAACCCGAUUAAAAAUUUCAAUCUCCAGAGAAACCUUUUCGUCUUUUUUCCUUGUCAGAGCAUUAUCAGAGUUUCUCAUCGUCUUCCUCUCGUCUUCUUCGUCGUCCUUGAACUUAAACAUCGAUCAUCUUCCUCUUGCUUUCAUUGCACGCAAAAGGUAAGCUUUCAUUUUCACUAUUUUGGUUACUGUUUUGCAUGCUCAUACGUUUUUUGUUUGAAAAAUCUUUUUACCUUUUUUCUGGCCAAAAUCAUUUUACUUCUUUCCAAGUUUGAUAAAAUAUACAGACAAAAAGGGAAAGUUUCCAACUUUGAAGACAACUACCUCAACUAAAUGAGACGACGGUAGACCACGACGGUUCGUCAGUUGUUCUAGCGUCGUCUGAAAAUUGACAAAGUUGUUUUUAAAAUAAUAGUCUUUUUUUAUAUGCUUGUUUAAUUGCAGGUUUGAUUUCUCUGAACAAUGGUUUUUGUUUUUCCCUUAUUUGAUAAAAUAUAAAGAAAAAGAAACUAGGGUUGGUAUCUAAUAUAGACGACAAAAUAUCUUAUUGUUUUACGUCGUGUGAAUGUUAAUACCACGACGGUGUAUUACUAUUAACGUCGUAUGAACAUAAAUACCACGACGUUAUAUAAAUAAUAGUUUACCACGACGGUGUAUUACUAUUGACGUCGUGUGAACAUAUAUACCACGACGUUAUAUAAAUAAUGGUUUUAAACAUUUAUUACGUCUGAGAUUAUUUCAUUGCGUCGUCUAAAAUCAUAUCAUACGUCGUAUUUUUUUAAUACCGUCGUUUGUGUUCUUAAUGUUUUCCUGAAAUAUUUUCACUUGCAGUUUUGUCUGUUAAAAUGGUUUCUCAACAACAAACUAAGGAUUCUGGCUCCAAGAAGCUUGGAAUGGUAGCUCCUCAAGACAAGUCUUCGAAGGAGAUGAAGUCUUCGAAGAAGAUGAAGUUUGCUUCAUCAUCUGCUGAGACAGAACCAACCAGCCAGACAACAAUCUCUGAUGAUUCAAAGACUGGUCGAGGCAUGAGCACAAUGCCUCGUGUUGUGAAGAGAAAGCUUCAGAAACUGAGGCCAAUUGUUGAGUACAAUAAAAGGGGGAAAGGUGUUGGCCAAGCACAUAUUGAGAUGCAGUCGUAUAUUGGUGUGUUGGCACGCUCCAGGAUCCCACUUGUGGACAAGAAAUGGUCCCAAAUCCCCAAGGAUAUAAAGGAGCAGAUUUGGGAAGCAGUUGACAUGGCUUUUGUCGUAGGCCAAGGGGGCAAGACCUCUGUUUUAGCUUCUGCUUCCAAGAAAUGGAAGGAUUUCAAGUCUACACUAACGAGGCAUUAUAUCCUUCCAUACACCAAUGACAGGGAGAAAUUAAGCCAACCCCCUGAAACAUAUAAAUUCAUAGAGAAAGCACAAUGGGAUGCCUUUGUAGCUUCAAGGCUAUCCAAAGAUUUUGAGUCUGUGCAUUCUCAACAUGCACAGAUUAGGGAGAAACUCGAGUACAAUCAUCGAUUGUCUCGAAAAGGAUAUGCUGGAUUGGAGGAUCAAUUGGAGGAAACCAUGCCUGGGGUAGAAAUUGAUCGAUCUACCUUAUGGAAGAGAGCUAGACAGGACAAACAUGGUAACAUCCCUGAUCCAAAGGUGGCAGAGAAAGCAAAAUUAAUUGUAAGCCUACUAUCACUCUGUUUUAAAUUUUUAUUAAACUGUGAAUUAUUCUUAUUACGUCGUAUGUUAUAUUUUUCGUCGUGUGAAUGAUAUUACCACGUCGAAAAGUUUUUAAAAACGUCGUUAAAGGUCUAAAUAGGAAUCACUACUAAUUUUCUGUAAUUAUAGCAUAAGACGUCGGUGGUUCAUUUUCGCGUCGUUUGAAUGAUAUUACCACGUCGAAACUUUUUUAAAAACGUCAUUAACGGUCUAAAUAGGAAUCACUACUCUGUUUUCUUUAAUUAUAGCAUAAGACGUCGGUUGUUUAUUCAUUUCGUCGUUUUAAAUAAAUAACCACGUCGGUAUAACUACCGUCGUGAUAAGUUAUAAUAACGUCGGUUUAUACGUUAUUGCGUCGUGUGAAAUUAUAUAAUACGUCGUUUGUACAUAAAUAACCGUCGUGUGUUUUUUUGUUUAUCUUUGUUUUAGGAUGAAUUGCAGAAACAAGUCUCGGAAGGCAAAGUCAGAGUAGAUGGCAGCAAUGAUGUGCUGACCAUGGCUUUGGGCCCCGAGCAUCCAGGCAGAGUGAGGGGAGUUGGUGCUGGUGUUUCCCCAAGGCAAUAUUUCAAUUUGCCCAAACCACAGAGGGUGAGCUUUGACGACCAUUUGAAGGACAGUUUAAGAGUUCUCCUUCAAGAAGAGACUAAAAAGAUGGAGGCUAAGGCAAGGGAAGAGGCCUUAAGAAUGGAGGCUAGGACAAAACAAUUGGUAGAGGCUGAGAGGGAGCAUUUCCUGAGUCAGCUUUCCCAAUUAAUUCCCAAUUUUGAUCCAAGCAUGCUUAAACCAAGAAUUAGCCAAAGCCCCAAAAAUCCAAUGUCUGACAAAGCUAGCUGCUCUGGAGGUGAUGUGAGAUCCCUACAUUUGGAGGAUGAUACUGCCAAAAUGGGGAAACAUCAGCCAGAUGAAGAGAAGGAAGAAGAAAAAAGAGAUGAAGAGAAGGAAGAAGAAAAGGAGAAAGAAGAUGAAGAAAAGCAUGACGACAAGGUAUGUUCACAUAACUUUGCCUUUUUUAUUUGUUUUUCAAAAUUUCAGACGUCGAUAUUUUUAUUUAAUCCGUCGUUUGUUUAAAACUUAGACGGCGGACUUUUUUUAAGACGUAAUAAAAUAUUUAAACGACGGUUUUUGCACCGUCGUUUAAAUGGUUUCAGACGACGCUUUAUUCAUAAAAUCGUCGUCUUUAUUGAAUUACCACGACAGUUUUUUCACCGUCGUUUAAAUACUUUUAAGACGACGUUUUAUUCCUUAAACCGUCGUCUUUGUUGAAUUACCACGUCAUUUUUUUUAUUUCUUUAAACAGGUUAUUGAAGUUGGUGCUUAUUCAAAUAUGGAGGCGCCAUCUUCUUUAAAAACCCUUUGUCGUUUUGUGGAAACGACACUCCUGCCUGAGGAUAAGACACUCCAAUUUACAAUUGAUAAGGAGGUGUUUGGUGGUGAGCGCGAUACCUUCCUCCUGCCUGAAGAUAUUACACAAUUUGCAGGCAUGGAAGAAAUUGGAGCUACUGUAUUGGCUGUAUAUAUGAGGUUUGUACUUCUAAAAUAAUACCUCGUUGGUUUAUAUAUUGCGUCGUCUUAACUAACUAACCACGUCGUCUUAACUAACUACCGUCGUGAUAAAUAUAUUAUAACGUCCUCAUCUAUUUCAGUACGUCGUGUGAAAUAUUAUAAUACGUCGUUUUUUUAUACAUAACCGUCGUGUUUGUUUGUGCUGACUUGUUUAUAUUAUUUUAUGUAUUUAGGUACUUACACGAUGUUUUGAAACAAGCCAAUAUGUGCAGCAUGGUUGGCUUUAUCGACCCUGCUACAGUUAGUGCCAACUCUGGCACAAUAACUGAAAGAUCACGACUGGUAGCAGCUCGACUUCAGAAGACAGACGGUGAACAGAUUUUCAUGAUGCCUUACAAUCCAGGGUUAGUCUCCUUAGGAUUUUGUUUUUAUGAUUUUCAAUAAAUGACAGCUUAUAAACUAACCACGUCGGUGUUUUAUUUUAUUUAGUCGUUUGAAACUACUAACCACGUCGGUAUUUAUUUAUCGUCGUGAUAAAUAUAUAAUGUCGUCGUUAUCUACUUUAUUUCGUCGUGUGAAAUACUAUAAUACGUCGUUUUUGUAAAUAACCGUCGUUUUUAUAUUCAUUUUGUGCAGCCGUCAUUGGAUCUUGCUGAUUGUAAGAGCAAAGAAGGAGACCGUCUAUUUUCUGGAUCCUCUGCCAGGUCAUCGUGUGGUCGACGAAGAGGCGAAAAACAUCGUGAACAGUGCUUUAAAAAUAUAUAAUACCCACAUAGCCCGAGCACGACGUAAAAAUGUAAUUUGGAAAACUCUCUCAGGCACACCAAAGCAACCCAGCAAUGUCGAAUGCGGGUACUAUGUGAUGCGCUUCAUGAGGGACAUCAUCAUGGAUCCUUCCUUGGGGUUUGAGAAUAAGGUAAGAAGAAAUUACCUUCAUACAUUUCACGUCGUUUUUUGUAUUAUCAACGACGGUCAUGUAAAAUUAACGUCGUUGAAUGGAUAUACUACGUCGGUUAUGAAAAAUAUCGUCGUCUGUGAUUGAAUUUCUUUUUAUUUAUAAACCCUAAUAGUCAUUGUUUAUGCAGUAUGCCAAGGGAAACCAGGAAGCUUCAUACCCCCAAGAAGCCAUUGAUGAAGUCCGGAAUGAAUGGGCAGAGUUUGUUUUCCAAAUUAUUAAACAGGGCAAUUAUUGAACACUUGAUAUUUAUGUAUAAUGUACAAAUUUUCUCUAUAAUAUGUAAUGUAAAAAUUUGUUGAGGUUUUCUUAAAUUAAAAAAAAAACAAACAUACAAAUUGCUUAACCGACGUGUAAUACUUUUCCAACGACCUAAUAAAGUCAAAAACCGUCGUAUUUUGUUGUUUCGUGUUUUAAACAAAUACGACGUAAAAAUAUAGUUAGACGACGUUCUUUGAACAAUUGAGUCGUUUAUGGUUUACAACAUCUUCAAUUUCUUAAGGGUUCAGGGUAUCAUCGACGACGUUUAUGUAACGACAGCGGUUAAGUCGUGGAAUAUAUAUUUUACGUCGUAUAGUUAAAUAGCCGCCAUGGUUUCUCAUUUUAACGACGUCAUUUUAACGACUUAGUAGUCUAUUACAAUUUACAACGUCUACAAUUUAUUAACACCGACGUGGUUUGUUGUUGUGGUAAGAAUAUUUUAUUAUUUUUAUAUCAAAAUAUUCAAAAUAAAUUUAAAAUAAAUCAGAAAAUUGAAAAGUCAUCUCCUAUGAAGUCAUUGAUAUAUUUUCUUCCACAUAAACCUUGAAAAAAUUCAUUUUGAAUAACAAAAAUUUAAAAUGACCAUCCAAAACAAAAUUGUUUUGAUGAGUCAUAAAAUCACUUCUAGUUUUAUGGUUUAGGGUUUAGAGUCUAGGGUUUAGAGAUUAGGGUUGUUAUUUGUUGGGGUUUAUUUUUAAAGUAUAAUUUUUGGGUAGUCUAGGGUAUAUGUUAGGCUUUAAAACCAUAAAACCUUUUAUAAACUUAAUUUUUUAAAUUGUAUAAUUUAGUUUUAUGGGUUUAGGGUAUUAAUUUUUAACGACGGUGGUUGCGUCGUGGAAUACAUAUUUUACGUCGUACAGAAAAACAUACGACAUGGUUUACGCUUUAAACGACGUCAUUUUAAUAUGUAAGUCGGUUUAUAUAAUUUACAACGUCUUUAAUUUCUUAACACCGACGUGGUUUUUCAGUCGUCGUUAUAUAAAAAAUUCAAAAUAAAUUUAAAAUUAAUCCGAAAAAUGAAGCUUCAAAAUGAACGGCCUUACGUUCUUAAUCCGAAAAAUGAAGUUUCCGUCGUGGAAUAUUAAAUUUACGUCGGUACUUGUAGAACUUUCGCCUUGGUUUUUCUUUCGACGUUUUAAAACGCGCGAGCUCUAAAAAUUUUCGCGUGACCUAAAUUUUUUUAGAUUUGGCUCUUAUUCUUAUACUUCGAACCCUGAAACCUAAAAUUUUCAGAUUUCGCUCUCUCACUUCUGCUCUAAUUAAAAGUUGCACUCUCCAGGCUUCGUCGAAUCUGUGAGCUCGUCCAACCUGUAAGUACAAACCCUAUCUUCCCCUUGUAAAUUCAUUGAAUGAUAUUAGGUUGUUUUGUUAAAGGGUUUUAUGUGUAUGCUUUGCGAUCUGUUAAUAAUGUGCUUAUAGGUAUGGGUUCAUAGAUUUUCUGUUUAAUGGGUUCAUGGAUUACAUUAUCUGUUAUGUUGAAUUGGGAAUGGAUUUAAUUUUGUCGUAUCUUUUAAUCACCCUAUGUUAUGUUGAAUUGGGAAUGGAUUUAUUGUUUUCAUGCUUGGUUUCAUGUAUAUGUUGGUUUCUUGCUUGGUUUCAUAUAUAUGUUGUGUUCUUAAUGGGUUUUGUGUUCUUGAAAAUAAACUGAGACACGACAAAUUUUAAGGCAUACGACGACGAUUACACGACGGUUUUUUUAAACUACCGUCGUUGUAUUACUUAUACAAGACGGUUUUUUCAUAAACCGUCGUUUGUAUUACUUAUAAUAGACGACGUCUGUUGAAAAUCCGUCGUCUAUAUAUGCCAAAUACGUCUGUUUUUGUUUAAAACCCGUCAUCUCUGUUGUGUAUUACUUGCGAUUAGAUCAUUGUAUAAUCUGCUAUAGUGAUGGUCAUUGCCUGUAUUUUCACUUUAUUAUAGAUAAUAGGUUAUAGUGUCGGAGAUGGAUAAGUCAUGGAUGCACUCGGAUAGAAGAUCGAAGGCAUAUGAAUUUGGGGUGGAAGCAUUUUUGAACUUUGCUUGAGAAGUACUUUCCCCCUUCAUUCUUUGAUAUCAUGGUUCAUCUAGUAGUACAUCUUGUCAGAGAAGUUCGUCUAUGUGGGCCAGUAUAUUUUAGGUGGAUGUAUCCGUUUGAAAGAUAUAUGAAAGUGCUGAAGGGGUAUGUUCAGAAUCGUACUCGUCCCGAAGGUUGCAUUGCUGAGCGGUAUAUAGCUUAAGAAGCGGUAGAGUUUUGUACUCAGCAUUUAUCUGAUGUUAGUACAGUUGGAGUGCCUUCAAGCCAAAAGAUGGGACUUUCAAAGCCAUUAUCAGGUUGCACAGUGAGCGUAGUUGAUCAGGACCUGUUGAAUCAAGCACAUCUAUAUGUCUUGGAGAAUACGGAGGAAGUCCUACCUUAUAUCGAGUACGUAUGAGCUUUAUUCUUUAAGUUUCCAUUUUAAAUUAUUUCUUAUGUUUAUCUUCUAUAUUUGGGACCGUAAUGCUUGAAUUUUUCGUGUCAUGUAGGCAACAUAUGAUCCACAUCAAGAUUGCUUAUCCAAAAUUUAGAAAGAGAACAAAGUGGCUGCAGGAUAAGCACAAUAGCACUUUCAUUCAAUGGCUACGCUUCAAGGUAUAUGUUGUUGAAUAACAUAUUUCUCUUUUAAUUUUCUUCUUAUUUAUAUGUUAGAUUGAAUUAAGAUAUGAUUAAUUUGCAGGUUCAAAGUGAACUUGAGGAAGACAAUCAUGGCGUAUCAGAAAAUUUAAGGUGGCUAGCAGCUGGUCCAAACAUGUCAGUGCCAUUAUAUAGGAGCUAUCUUAUUAAAGGUAUUAAAUUCAAUAUCAAGGCACAAGAUGAUGUGCGGACAACUCAAAAUAGUGGAGUUUAUUUACUUGCACAUACCAUGCAAGUUGCUAGUGCCAAGGAUAAAAACCCAAUUCUCUCAAACAUGGGUUUCUAUGGUGUCAUUCAAGAAAUUUGGGACCUUGACUACCAAAAGUUUACAAUCCCAGUCUUUAGGUGUGAUUGGAUAGAUAGUUCUGGUCUUGUAGUCGACGAACUUGGAUUUACCCUUGUAGAUUUGAGUAAAAUUGGACAUAGGAAUGACCAAUUUGUUUUGGCUUCUCAAGUCAAACAAAUAUUUUUUGUUGACGACCCGAUGCAUCGUGGUUGGUCGGUAGUGUUAUCAAUGCCUAAUAGAGAAUAUAAUGAUGUUAUUGGUGAUGAAGUCUUAGGUGAUGUGAUAAUUGAGUGUGAGCCAUUUACUAGAGGGAUGCCAAAUGUUGACACAUUUGAUGAACUGGUGGGUGAGUUAGGCGGUCAAAAUAUUCGAGAUGGGUGUGAAGAUAUAUGGAUUGAAUGAUGCUUAUGUAAUUGGCAGUGUAUGACAUUAAUUUUGUAAUAUAUUGUAAUGUGAUUUCUUCACUUUCUACGUUCAAAUAAAACACGACGUUAUUGUGAACCAGUUAUUCAGCAUAUUUACCGACGUCUUAAAGCAACGUAACAAUGAAGAACCACGACGCUAUUGUGAAGCAAUUAUUCAGGAUAUCACGUCGGGGAAGGAUUAAGAACCGCCAUGUAAUUCAAAAUAACACGACUCCAAUCCCAUAAUACCGACGUCUAAAAAACGAGAUAUAUAAUCUGAACGUUAAAAAAUACGACGUCAUCAUACAUUUUCCACAUCGCAAGUUCUUUUAUAAACGAAGAGGAACGAAAUGAAUUCCGACGGAAAUUCAUUAUAACCGCCGUCUAAUAACAAUUAAACGACGUUAUUUGUAAUACGGCUCUCAUCAUAAUCAACGCCGUCUAUAUGUUCUGUAAUACGGCUCUCAUUUAUUUGGAACCGACGUUGUUUAGAAGUUCAACGUCGUCUAUAUUAUUAAGUGCGUCGUGAGUAAUGAUGAUAGAUAUAAAUACAACGUCGACUAUAUAAAUGCCACUGACGUUGUUUCGCAUUUCAACGUCAACUGUAUAAAUACAUACGUCGUAAAUAAUGACACUGACAACUAUUUCCACGUCAUCUUUUUUAGAAAAAUCGAAGUGGAAAAUUUAUUUCACGACGGUUGUUUGUAAAUAAGAGACGUAGUAUAUUUCAAUAACGUCGUCUUCUCAUGUAUUUAAAGACGUCAUAUUUUUUCUUGUCGUGUAAAUUAUAUUUAACGGCGUAGUAUUUUAGUUGUCGUCGUUGUAUGUAUAUCUUGCGGCCUUGUUCUUUUAACAUGUGUCAUAUUUUUCCUUUUUAACGACGGUGAUUUGUUUGAGUUGGUCGUCUAUUCUCAUCCUCGACUAUUUUCUAGAACUUUAGCAGACUAAACACGUCUGUUUUUAUUGUUUUCCGACGUUGUUUUAUUUAACAACGUCUAAUAUUUAUCGUCGUUGUUUGUUUCUGAAAAUAUGACGUAUAAAUUUUGUAAUACGACUCUCAUAUAUUUGUAACCGACGUUGUUUCGUUUUUCAACGUCUACUCUAUAAAUACAUACGUCGUAAAUAAUGACACUGACAACUAUUUUCACGUCAUCUUUUAUCGAAAAAUCGAAGUGGAAAAUUAAUUUUACGACGGCUGUUUUUAUAUAUGCGACGUAGUAGGUAUCAAUAACGUCGUCUUCUAAUGUAUUUAAAGACGUCAAAUUUUUUAUUGUCGUGAAAAUGAUAUUUAACGGCGUCGUAUUUUUAUUUUCGUCGUUGUAUGUCUAUCUUGCGGCCUUGUUCUCUUAAUAUGUGUCAUAUUUUUCCUUUUUAACGACGGUUUUUUUAGAGAGUUGGUCGUCUAUUCUCAUCCUCGACUGCUUUUUUAGAUCUUUUUGCAGUACAAAGACGUCGUUUUGUAUUUGUUGAUGACGUUGUAUAUUUUAACAACGACGGUGAUUUUGCGUCGUGGUUUAUGAGGGAAAAGAUGACGGUGGAUUCCACGACCAUUGAAAAACCGAAUACACGACGGUGAUUUACCGUCGUCUUUUUGCUUUUUUGUAGUAGUGAGAUAAAAAUGUUCUGAACACUUCUCUAGAAGGCCACGAACCCAUCCGAGGUCAUCUUGGGCUCCAAAAACACAAUAAAAGCCCAACACGUCACUAUUCCAGCACCGCGCACUGCUCAUUUAUUUUAUUGCCAGAAAAUAACCGCUUGGAAGAAAAAUCUGAAAUUUUGAUACGAUCAAGCUAAGUGACUCAAGAACGUCCUCCAACUGGAAUUACUCCAAAAUUCCUCAAUUUGAUUAUGUUUUGCUCCAGAGAGAGUCGAAAGUCCUAUAUUGGAAAUAUAAUUCAAAGUAUCAAAAUUCUUCCAAAAUAUUAACCAAAAUAUACUAAGAAUGAGGUUAAAUAUAUAAUAUAAAAUAUGUCCAUCACCCCACAACAACUAAAGAACCAACAUUUUGUAGAAGGUUUUGUCUAUACCUUUGACUGUAAGUAAAUCUCUUGUAUCUGCUCCUGUGGUUCGGUGAAGUUUCUUUGUGUCCUUUCUGCGGAGUCUCCCAUGCUUGUUCCAUGAAAAUGUUCUAGGAGAAAAUACGGUUGUUUCUUACUAGAUUCAAAUGAUUAAGAAAAAUAAAAACGCAAGAAAAAAGGUAUUUUCUUGAUGGACUUGGUGAUGAAAAAUAUCACUCUCUUUAUAUGUCGUCUUCCUUGGACUUUGAGACCUUGGGUUUCGAUUCUUCUUGAGGAUUGCAUAGGGUUUCUAGGCCCAAGAAUACUUUGAGUUAGUUUUUGCGUUUUGGGCUUUGAGACUUUGAGACUAUAAUGAGUGGAAAGUUAUAAGGGGUAAGUUAUAAGGGGGUCACUUUAUAGCCAUCAGAUUAAUCCAAGGGCUGGGGAGAAUUGAGAUAAAGUUUCACAAUUGGGUAGGUGAGGAACCCAAACCCGAAUUGAAUAUCCAGCACGUCCAAAAAGAAGAAGAAGAGGGAAACACGUCCGAAAAAGAAGAAGAAGAGGCAAGUUCGAAGUUUGAACAGAAAGAACUCAUCUCUCUAAAACACAGAGGUCUGAGAUACCCAAUGAAGGCAACGGCUAACGACAGUUGAAGGCAACAAUUCGCCACUCCGUUCUCCAGACCCCGAAAAAGUAUUUAUUUGGAGUAGAAGGGGCAAAGGUGUGGAUUCCAAAUCAGUGAAGGGGCGAAGCAGUGGAAGGGGAAGGGGAGAAGCUGUAUUCGUUGGAAGUGUAGGUUCCAUUUGUGGAGCAAAGAAAUAGAAAGACCCCACACAGACACCUUGCAAUAACCAGCAUUUGGUGAGUAAUUUAUGGAAUUUGAGUUUAGGGUUAGAGUAAUGGUUUUCCCCAAUUUGUACCAUAAAUUUUGUUGGAUUUGGCAUCUCUUCGUUGUGCUUCAGUUGCAUGUUAAUUUUUGCUUAGGUAUAUGUUAAAAAAGGAAUGAAAAUUAAGUCAAUAACAAGUGAAUAACAUGUCAAUAAUGAUAUGAAUAAGAUAAUGGUGUUGAAUUGGAGGAGGCCCUCAAAACCUUCCACAUUUGAAGCAGUGCAUAGUGCAGAUUAAGAAGAGGCGCUAGAAUAUAUAUAUAUAUUUUAUGAAGUAAAUAUGAUUUCCUUUGUUACUAAAUUUGCCUGAGAAACAUUUGAACAGAUAAUAAUAAACUCAUGAAUAGAACUGCAAAGCAUUUGAUGAGCAAUGUAAGGAAUUUAAGUUUAGGGUUAGAGUAAUGGCAUCUCUUAUUUGUGCUUCAAUUGCAUGUUAAUUUUUGCUUGGGUAUAUGUUAAAAAAUGAAUGAAAAUAAAGUCAAUCACAUGUCAAUAACAUCUCAAUAACAUGUCAAUAACAUGUCAGUAAUGAUAUGAAUAAGAUAAUUGUGUUAAAUUGGAGGAGGCGCUCAAAACCUUCACAUUUGAAGCAGUGCAGAGUGAAGAGUACCUCUCUGGCACUAGAAUUUAUAUAUUUUGUGAAAUAAAUAUUAUUUCAUUUGUUACUAAAUUUGCCUAUGAGAAAUGAGAACAGAUAAUAAUAAACUCAUGAAUAAAAGUGCAAAGCAUUUGAAAUGAAGGUUGAUCUAUGACGAUUGUGGGUGACUGAAGAAAAAGGUAGAAAGAAAGAAGGAUGUGGCAAUUGCUUAGCAAGCAGAUAGCAGAGUACAUGCUUUGCUUUGCUUCCUUCCACUAUAUUUCUUAUUUAUUUAUUUUGGGUUGUGUAUGAGAUGACAAUAAUUGUCAUGUGUGUGAAGUGCAGAACUUGCCUACAUUGCACUCACACGAGUAUGGAUGCAUAAAUAAAACACGUGAAAUUGUUUGUAAUUCACAUAAUCAUUGCAUUAACAGGUAUUUGCACAAAAAUUGUCAUAUUGCUUUGAUGAUGUUAAAGGCUGUGAUGAGUAAUCCCUAUGCUCAUGUACUUUGUAAAAGUUGUAAUGUGCCUGGUUGACUAGUUGUGAUUGUGCAAAUACGUGGUAGUAUAUAUGUUCACGUUAUUUCACAUUGUAUUUGAGGAAAUGGGAUCCAACGUGGAGCUGGUAUGGCCAGAGGCAGAGGUAUAUUCGUCACGGGUGAACAACUGCUCACAUGCAAAUUCAUCUCUAGCUGCAAUUCGAGCGAAGUUGAGUGCGGAACAAUUAGAACAAUUCAAGACAUCAUGCUUUGGCCAUCUUCUGAAUAUAGAUAAGAUUCAGUUUAGCGGGCAGAUUGUGCAUGGGGUUGUGUUGCGUAGAGUAGCGGGGCAGGGUGUGAAAGACUUGGAUGGACUGAGUUUCUUAUUAGGGUGUGACGUUGCUCAGUUCACUCGUCAGGAUUUCUGUUUGAUCACAGGGCUUCGUUUUGGGGAAGUGCCUGAAGUUUCCAGUGGAGAGAGUGAUGAAAUCAGACUUCAGAAAAGAUAUUUUAUAGACGAAGGAAUUACAUGCAAUGCUUUAGAAGAAGCAUUUGUGAGGUGCACAGAGGAAGAUGACAUCUACAAGCAAGCUCUUGUUUACUUUGCUGAGUUAGUGGUUUUGGGAAGGGACAAACAUUUGAACAUCAAUCUAAAUUACCUGACCCUUGUAGAGGACUUGGAUGCGUUCAACAGGUAUCCGUGGGGUUCGGUGUCCUUUGACAAAACCCAAGACAGUCUAUUUUCUGCACCAACAAAGUAUGUGAAAAGCUUGGAAAAUGAAGAGGGAAGAGGGAAGGGGAAAAGUAAGGUAACGGGAACAAGCCGGAGAAAUGAGAAGGGCAAGAAGGAUAAGCAUGGUGAAGCGCAAAUGAGUGGCUGGAGUUUUAAAGGUUUCACGUAUGCUUUCCAGGUACAUGGUAAUAAUGUUCAUGUCAGUUAUGUUUUGUUUUUCUUUAAAACAUAAAUAAUGACUUUUGUCCUGUGAAUUGUGUAGAUUUGGGUAUAUGAAUUAAUUCCUAGAAUGGCGGACCUGAAUUACUGCAAGGUUGUUGAUCCGACCGUUGUCCCGCGUAUUUUGCGAUGGAGAACUACUACGUCUGUUCCAGAGAUGAGAAAGUUGAACAAUUAUUUUUUCCAGAGCAAAGAGGUUUGGUUUGCAGCCCUUGGAACUAUUGAUAAGAUUGAAUGAAAUUAUGAAGUAGAAUGAUUUGAUAUGACUCUUGUCUGUAUUCUGAAACAGUCAGUUCAGUUGCGGGCGCUAUGUCCGAGUGAAGAGGAAAUGAGACAGCCAUAUUGGAGUUGGCCACAGGAUCGCCCUGCUGUUGUCUCAGCAGAGUCAAUUCCUUCUUCAUGUGGUGAUCUUGAUGAGUUGAACAAGGUGGUAAGUUGGUUGAGGUCCGAGUUGUUUCAAGUAAAGCGGGAAAAAGACGUCCUUCACUUAAAGGUCAUACGGAUGGAAAAACUGUUGGACCAAUGUUUAGGUCCUCAGUUUGAGCAGGAAGUAAGGAGGGACCUAGCUUUACUGAAACAGAGGACGAAUCGUUGUGUCAUCUCACAUCUAUUUAAGGGAUAUGGGGAAAUGGAUGACAUUCAAUGGGAUGAAGGGCCAAGUAACAGAAAUGAGGGAGAGGAAAAGGAAGAUGAAGGGAUUGAAGGGGGUGAAGGGCCAAAUAAUAGAAAUGAGGGAGCACAUAAGGAAAAGGAGGGGAUUGACGGAGAGGAAAAGGAAGAGGAGGGGAUUGAAGGGGGUGAAGUGCAAGGAAAACCAAGUGAGGUAGAGGAAGGGCAAAGGAAAAGAAGUGAAGGAGAGCAAGUGCAAGUAAAAAGUAGCAAAGGAGAGGAAGCCCAGAGACAGAGCAGUGAGGGAGAGGAAGUGAAAAGAAAAAGCAGUAAGGGAGAGAAACUGCAAAGGAAAAAAAGGGAGGGCAAGGAAGUGAAAACACAAACAAGUGAGGAAAAGGAAGUGCAAAGAAACCAAUGUGAGAAAGAAGAUAAUGAAGUUAUGUUGCUUGGGGGUGACAUUGGCGAGAGCACGGAGGGGACACUGCUUGAGUUUACUGUCGGGGACAUUGAUUUGGAUGAACCUACAGCUGUGCUAUCUCAGUUGAACGUGUGGUUGAAUGAUAAAGGUAAAGCUCUGGCACAAGGGGUCCAAUUACGGAAAAGGAAGAGGAUCAUUCCUUUGUGGAAGAUCAUUGAAGGCAGUGAAUUGGUUCCAAAAAUUGGGGCACAGACAACCGGACUGAAGAUGUUAGACCCAAUGAAGGCGAUUUCGCAUGAUGAUCUGGUGAAAUUGCUGAAACUUUGUUGGGAAUGGCGCCAGGACCCAAAGUAAGUCCCUUGCAAUUAUAAGAUACAAGCAUGACUGUAUAUAAUUUUUUAUAUACAGUGUUCUAAAACUGUUUUAUAUUCAUAGUUUGGUGAUGCAAUUUGGCAACGUGGAAGCUGAGAUUGAAUUCUUCGCUUCCCUCGUGAAAGCUGAUGGUUGGCUGAAAGGAGAUGUAAGUGUAAUUGAUUAUGCAUUUGUUUUAAUGUACAUACAUUAUGAGAUUGACAAGAAAAACAUGUUGCAGCACAUUGAUUUGGGGUUGUAUCUCAUCCGGAAGCGACAACAACAGUUGGAGACAGAUUCGGUAGAAGUAGCGGACUGGACAACGACCGAUGUUUUUUUUAUGGUAUGUCAUCGGCCUUGACCAAGUGCCGUUAAUAAUUACACAUUUUCCAUACACACACUAGUGGAGGUGUUUAACCAUUGAUUGUUUUGUAUUUCACAGAAUCACAUUCGUACUUGCUUUGCGGAUAAUAAAAGAAAAAAACAGCAGCUUGGGUGGAAAAUCAGGAAAAGUUUACUAACCGUUGUAAAUGGGAAGGUUCCUCCGUGUGGGUUGGAUUGGCAGACCGUCUAUAAGGUGUAUACCCCAUUUAUGUUGACGAAGUACAAGCAUUGGGUGGCUGUAAUGAUUGAUCUGGUAUUGUGUGAAAUCAAAGUGUACGAUUCAAAGGUUUCACUAAUUCCAGAUGACAUCGUAAAGGAAGAACUCGGCCCGCUAUCAAUUACGCUUCCAAAUCUUCUCAACACCAUCGACUUUUAUGAAAAAGGUGUUUAUGCAAACAAUUGCAGCCAAGAUUAGUGGUGUCCGUGGCCAAUAGAGCGUGUGGAUGUUCCACAACAGUCUAAUGAGUAAGCACAACUUGCAAUUUAAUUUUAUUACUUUCAAUUGUCAAUUACGUUAGAAUGUCAUUAGUUGAAUUGAUCGAGUUCUUGUUUUGCUUCAGAGGCGAUUGUGGCAUGUUUGUGUUAAAGUACAUUGAGCUUUUCAGCGCUGAGCUUCCGUUAGCUACUUGCACCUCGCACAACAUGCCUUUUUUUCGGUUGAAAUUGGCUGCGGAGAUAACAAGGGGAGAUGCUUACUUCCCAUGAUAUUGGUUGAAGAUGACAAAUGGUACAUGAGAAGGUUUUGGGAAUGUCCAUUCUCAAACUAAUGUAAAUACACAAUAGAGAAGUACGGGUCCUUAUCGAAUUCUACCGCUAACUCCUUCAUGACAUUUACAUGUUUGUUAACCAAACUGCAUUGAAUUGGAAUUUUAAGACUGCAUAUGUGAAUUGGGAUUUGAAGAUGGCUUUUUAAGUGUAUUACAUCAUUGCAAAGUGAUAUGUCAUUGUUGAUGCAAGCCACCAUUAAUCGCAAUGUGUUGCAUCAUAAUAGGUGUCUAAACAUGCGAAAGGUUUUCCGCAGCUCAGUAGCAUAAAAGUAGAAACAAAGACAAUAUACACAAAAUGAACAACAAUUCACAAAUGCACCGACAAGCAAUACACACACAACAGACAAACAAUAUACACAAACUUGGCCUGCCAUAUACAGAGAAUAGACAUGCAAUAUACACACAGUAGACAUGCAAUAUACACACAAUAGACAUGCAAUAUACACACAAUACUCCCUUAACACACACAAUAGACAUGCCCUUGCCCACAAUAAUGAUGCAAUAUACUUCAGUCCCCAAGUACACCAACCAUAGGGAAGUCGUAUUGAAUAGGAUAUUAAACUUAACAGUUGUUCUUCCUACUAAAAGAAAGAAUAAGGUUCGUUUCCCCCCUUCAUUCUUACUUGAGUGAUACUUGUGGCCCCAAUAAACAUCCAAUUUUGGGGCAAUGAUAUUCCAUAUACAUGCAGCAAACUAUCAAUAAACCUUCAAUAAACCUUCAAUAAACAUUCAAUAUCGUUUCUAUAACAUGCGAAAUACAUGCAGUUACCAAAUAUUACAAAAUGGGUUUAGGGUCUCAUUGGUGGUGCGUGCAACAUGUCUUGUGCGGGAGAACUUUCACAAUCUUUUAAACCGUGCAGUUAAAUGAUCAUUAAAAGAACAAAUAAAAUGACAAUUGAUACAACUAAUAAAACUAAUACCAAGUCCUUAAUGGACUUCAGCAUGUUCAGCACUCUAGCAUCAUACGUGUCAUCUUGAUGUUCUGCUUCAGCGGAGGUUACAUCAACCCAUUCGAAUCCAUUGCAACUGGUGGCUCCCUAAUUGCAGGCAUCAUAUAUGGAAUAUAAUUCUGUCAGAGUUAGACAUAGGUUUUUUUUCACCCACAUACAUAUUCUUUAAAUUAAAACUUACAUAGGAGGUUAGACACUUCCAGAAUGGCUUCCCUCGAUUUUUGUCAGAUUUUGAAACCCGAAGCACCAUUGUAGCUCCACAAUACUGACACCUCUUUGUUUGAGCGGGAGAUGAAGAUGAAGACAUGUUUAAUCUUCUCAGUUGUACCUCUUCUCACUCAGAUCUUCUCACUGAAACCUCUUCGGACUCAUACCUUCUCACUCAUAGUUGUCAUUCAUACCACUUCACUCAUAACCCUAAACUUGUCACUCAGCUCUCUCUCAUCUCUGCCCAAAUCGAGUUAUAUUUCUUUUUUUUGGGAUCAUUUGGUGGGUUGGUCACGAUGUCGACACCUGUACCGUCAGCAUUGUGACAUCUUUUAGCCCGAAAAGCAAUAUAAACUACUUCACUACCAAAUAUAUUUUCUGAAUAAUGACGGGACACUGCUUCAAUUUUAUUAAUUUAUUUAUAUUUCAUUAAGGCAACUAGUUGGAUAAGAAUCCGUCAUUAUUGGUUCCAUUUUAAUAACAUUACUAGGGGUAAUUGGGUGUGGGAAAAUGAAAAAGUAUAUGAUGGGACCUUCUGUCACUAGUCAGUAAUCCAUCACAUUUGUAUCAAUGAAUUUGAUAGUGGGAUAAACCCAAAAAUGGCUAUGCAAAUAGCCAUUUAAUUAACUUUUUGACUGUCUGACUCUGUAUGCACCGUUAUGACGUUUUCCCUUCUUUUGUCUUAAGUUUUAAUUCACUGGGGUUCAGUUUCUUUCAAAAGGGUCAACUUGGAAAAACCCCAACUGGAAACACCUUUUCAAAACACUAUAAACAGAGGCUAAAACAAAACGUGUACCCCAAAUAUUAUCAUUUAUCCCCUCUGCCACUCCUCAAAUCGUUCCAUUCCAAAAACUUUUCAAUGAAUUCGAAACACUUCACUACAGUCGGAGGAAAGAGAAGGAAGCAUGUCCAUUUCGAUAUGCCCGAAGCCUUCAUCCCGGAGUCCGCUUGGUUUCAAGUCAUGUUAUACGUGGCAACCGAAUCAUCGGAAGAUCUCUUCCGUAUGGCAUCUGUGUGACGAUUGUUCCGAACUUUGGCAAACAGUUCACAAGUGUGGAACACCAUUUCAAUGGCAAAGUACCCAGACCAUCCUAUAUGGUACCGUGCCAGACCUGCGGUCCAGCAUUUCUUGCAACAAUGCAGGGCUUGCGAUAACCCUGAGUCCAUAUUUAGAGAAGCAUUCGAAGGUUUUUUCAGGCACGGUAAGGUGGAAGCGUUGUAUGGGAUGCGCAUUGCAGCCACGGCAGGCCAUAUGGAAGCGGCAUAUGUAGUUGGACUACUUGGUAUGUCCGGAAUUGGUCAGUCAAAAGAGGAUGCAUUACAAUUCUUGUGUUCUUUGAAUCAACGUAACAACAUUGAUAUGAAAGGAACCAGGGAUGCUUUGACAGGAAGAUUUCACGGAGCAUUUGUUGCAAGACAUAUCGUAGAUAUGUUUGACUAUGGGAAGAUUAAGUUCAAUCGGUGCAGCGCUUGUAACAACAAUGAAUGGUAUUUUGUUAUUCCAGGCUGGCCUAGUGAAGACAAGAUAAAUCCUGCGUUGUGGACUUGUUGCAAUCGAUGCAAAUGGCACCGUGAGAGUAUUUUUUGGUGCAAACUGAUGCGUGAGUAUGUUGUGCGAGGGAAUCACGUAUUUUUGCAUUAGUUUUAGUACGAAUUUACGGUUUUGAUGCAUUGUGGACUUGCUUCUCUUCACUUCUAGGUUGGCUGGCUACGUUAUACCUAUCUCAGUUUAAAUGUUGUUCAAAUGUUGGUAUUUUGUCAUAAACCGUUUUAUAUAUAAAUGUAUAAUAUUUAUUAUAUAGCGGAAUUAUUACUUACAUCAUAGACGGCUAGGAAUGACAUUUUACUGACACAGAUAUUUUGCUCACCGACCCCAAUCUUCAUAUUUGAUAAACGAAAAGUUAUGCAUGGAGUAAAUAGGUGUCUUUUCACCAGUGCUUGGGAAUGACAUUUUCCCACUUAGCAUAUCCGAAAGGAUUUGGUUACACGUUUCUUAACCUAGGGGGUUGAACAGUGAAUGACGUAGACUAUUUUUUGUGUGUGGAAGGAGUACAAUGGAUGACUUGUAUAUUUCCAUAUUAUGUUUCAAAACAUCCCUUCAACCUAAAAAAUAAAAAAAUUAACAAAUUGAAGAACAGAGAAACCGAUGAGCACUACAAAUGGCCUAUUCGCACGGAAAAUAAAAUUGUUUUCAACAAGUUGGACUAAAUAUAAUUAACAAAUGGACAGCCUAAAAAGUAAUAUCAUAAUAAUUAUAAUAAUUGUGGAUAAAUAAUAAUAAAAUACUAAUGUAACAUAACCAUUAAACAGGGAAUGCAGUAGGAAGAUGAAAUCGCAAUAAGUUCGUAGAAAUUUUGGGAUCGUUUUUCUAAUUUUUGUGUAUUUAGUUAUGAAUUUUCCAAGAAAAAAGGUAAUAAAAUAAUAAUUUAGGGUAAAAUGGGAGGAUGUGGCCAUGUUCGGUAACGUACACUUGUGCAAGUAGUCAAAAGUGACGGGCUGAGAUCGCGCCAGGUGUCAUAUUCUUGUUAAUUUUGGAUUCUUUUGUUAAAAAAUCUUUGAAACUAGGUAAUAAAUAGUAGGAAAAUCGUAAAAAUGGCCCAAAAAUUACUCCGGCCUCCUUUUGACGUCCUAAAACUAGGAGAACCUAUAAAUCAUUCGUCUCGCAAUGAAAUAAUCCAAAUUGUGUUACAUAACUCACUUUCCUCUUAACCCUAAGUAUUGAUGUUUGUUAACUUCAACUUGAAUAACCUACUUCAACAAGCAUCUCCCGUUAAUAUUGGGAAUUAAUUUUACAAAUGCGUAACAAUGAAUCGGAGAAUUCAGCAACGGAGAUGGAGUGUCAAUGAGUUCGUAGCAAUUUUCGGAUAAUUUUUUUAUUUUGUGUGUAAUUAGUUCUGAUUUUUGUAAGGAAAAGUAAUAAAAUAAUAAUUUAGGGUAAAAUGGGAGGGUGUGGCCAUGUUGACUGACGUACACUUGUGCAAGUAGUCAUCAGUGACGGGCUGAGAUCGCGCCAGGUGUCCUUUUGCUAUUAUUUUGGCUUUUUUAGUGCAACAAUCUGUGGACAUAGGUAAUAAAUUCUACGAAAAUCCAAAAAAUGCCCGGAAAAUGAGAAAAUGAAAAUUAUUUGUACAUAACUCACUUUCCUCUUAACCCAAAUUCACGUUAACACGUAUAUUUCGGAUAAUAUUCGAAAUAUAAUUUCUAAUAAUACAAUAUUUAGUUUCACUAUAUACAAUAAUAUGUUUUUUUUAUAAUAAUGUACAUAAAUAAUAAUUGCACAUGCUUUGAAGCCAUCAUUGCAACUACGCCUAGAGCUUUGAAGACGUCAGUUCGUAUUCAAUAAGUUGUCCACAUGCAACUGCACCUAGAGUUUUCAACACGUCAGAGGUAUUCAAUAAGUUGUCCACAUGCAACUGCACCUAGAGUUAUUAACACGUCACAGGUAUUCAAUAAGUUGUCCAUAUGACGCCGCAUUGGGAAUCAGUAAUAUAUUUUCAAUCAUGUCAAAUCACAUAAAUAAUGCCAUACUUUUUCUCAAUAACCUCACACAAGUGAAGCAAUUUUAAAACCCUUAGUGAAUAUUUAUCCUAGUCUAUAUGAGUGAUUAUAUAAUCAGUUGCAUAAUAUUUUUUUCACAGUAUAUGUUAACUUUGAGAGGGAUUCCACAAACAUAAAAUAUAAAGAAAGCAAGAAAUAGUAGGAAAUGAACCAGUACAAAAAACAAUAUAUAAAGUGUACAUAAUAAUUCCAUAACCUUGUCACAAACGCACUCACAAAAGCUUUUCCAUAAACCUUGUCCUAACAUAUAAUAAAUAAAGGCAACAUUGCAUAUGAUGCAACCAUGUCCAAAUCUGAUAAGUGAUCAAAAACAAAUGGACAUGGCAGCAACAUAUGAUUGAAGUAGAUGGGCUCUUUGCAUCUUCUGUUUUCGUAAUUAAAGACAUCAAAAUAUUAAGGUUUAAAUCUUCCAUAGUAGUUAGCAUCAAAAUAGCUUUGAAGCAGAGUGUAACGAAAAUUCCAAUUCCACUUAUUUGCCUCUGCUCAAACACGAGAACCAAAAUGGUUACUUCCCUUGCUGAGUAUAUUUGGUGACGUCGGAAACGGUAAUAGAUGACCAAUCAAACCCGGGUACGACGAGUUUUGCAUAGGAUCGGAAGUAGUCGAAUCCAGCUUGCAUCACACGCUUCUUUGACUCCACUACAUUAGAUGAGUUCUUGUAUUUUUGAACAGCUACACUCUGAAGUCGUUUGUGUCUACGCUUCAUGCGCUGCAACUUCGCCCUAUCCAGAUUGGCCUGCCUUUUGUCAUCUUCAAUUUGGCCUUCCACAAAUUCCAAACGUGCCCUUGCCCUUUGGAUUUCAUCACCAAGUUGAAGAUGCCUCUCCUUCCAAAAAGCAACAACUCUUUCAGACUCAAAACUUCCAACAAAAUGGUCAUUCUGUCUAGCAAUGUGACAUUGCUUGUCUGGUGACUCACUUGCGUGUCGAAGCCGGUCUUUGUUUGGAGGGGUGUUUAUUAUACUCACAUCAAACUUGGUUGUGCUUAUGCUCAUUCUUUGGGGGGAAUGAGUUUGUUUGCUUGAGAGAGUAUCGGUAGAUGGAGACAGAUUCGGUGGAGGAGUGAGUUUUGUGUGGAAGGAGAUUUUAUAUGAAAGGGGUGAUAGUAAUACCAAGAAAAGGGUUCCCGCCAAAAAAUAUUUGGUUGACAAAGUAGAAAUUAUUUUUUUAGUCUGAUACAAUCUAAGUUUAAUCCUAACUAGUUUGGUUGAGUUAACUAAGUAGAUGUCACUUCCAUUGACUUUCUUUCAACAACUAUCAGUGGUGUAAGGAGAGUGUGAGGUUGACAUGCUUGAAAAGCAAAAGCUGACACCUAUUUUUAAAAAAUUCCCGCCAAAAAGUACAUAUGUUGACUACACACAAGCUUUGGUAUGUUGGUCUAUAAACCUAUGUUCCCUUUCUCAAACGAAAUUGCAUAUGCAAUCCUCAUCCUCCCAAAACAAAGAGGAUUAUUCAAGCAUGUCAACCUCUUCAGGCGCCAACAACACAAUCGAACAUGACAAAUUGGAGUCACAGGUUCUAUUUCCACAUUGUACUCGCCGACCCCUUCCUUUUUCAACAUCAUUUGGGAGUGAGGGGGACUCCGAUGAUCCAUUAGAGGCAAUACAUGCAGUCAGUGGCAAGCUGGAUUAUAAUUCCAGACUGAUCAAUUCAUGGCACGAGAAAUGUGUUGAAGACGAGGCAAUUUUGGCUGAUCUUAACAUUAGGGUGAGCAAAGCGUUAUCCCAAAAGAACAAGUACUUGAAGCUGAGUCAUAGCAGGAAGCUGAAAGCUGAGGAGUUGGAUACAGUAAUGAAUGAUGAAAUGAAAGGUUGUUUGAUGAACCAUAUGCGAUGCGAACAGCACCAUACUGAACUGGAGUUGGCAUUCAACGAAGGAUUCGACAAAUUCCGAGCAUUUGCGGCAACUACUCAUACAAGUUAUGAUUGGAACUAUGUGUCCCCUGAUGCUGUGAGAGAGAUACUAGACGAUGGGGGUGACAUGAAUGAGCAUAAGCACGUCAAAGCUGCUCGGAAGAAGCCGACCGAUACGACUAAGUGAUUGCGGCUACCGCUGUUCAGUUAGUUGAGGGUGACCGUGGUAUUGCACAUAUACUCCCUUAAUGUCAUUAUCUAACUUAAAAUAACACAAAUAUCAGUUUCAUUUGCUUGAUAUAUAAUUAUUGGGACUAUGUAUUGCAAGUCAUCAUGUGUUAUAAUGUCUAACAUUAUAUUUUGCAAAUAUGGAAAUAUUAUUCAAGAAGCAGUCAAUAUCACAGAAAGCCGGGAAUCAGUAAAUGCUCCUUAUCAUGUCCAUUUACAUUAAAGAGCUGGAGUACUAAUGUGUUCAAAAAAAACUGACACGUGAGUCAUAAGUAACAUAACAUGUGCUAUACAUUGUUUACUGAAUGGUUUAUGGUUUAUUUGUAUAUAAUAAAAUUUCAAAUAUUGCUGAAGAUUUAUUUCGUGUAUAUCACUAGGGAUAUGAGUGGCCAUAAGCAUGUGAGACCUGCUAAGAAGAAGCUGACGAGUACGACCCAGUGAUUGGCUACCGUUGUUCAGUUGGUUGGGGAGAUCGUGGUAUUGCUAUGAGGAAGCACACAAUAUGUUUUGCAAUCAAAUGUUCUUUUGUGUGUGGAAUUAUGAGUAUUUAUGUAAGUUAGUGUACCCUUUAAUAUUUUUCACCUAAGUAUCGAAAUGCAGUUUUUGAAUGUUAUGUUUUUUUUUACCCGCUGCUUUCUAUUUGCUCUGUUCCAACAAAGUGCUUCAAGUAUCCUUCACUUACAAAAGUGUACAAAAUCGUGCCCCUAAUAACCAGUCGGAAAAAGUGGCUACUGCUGGAAAUGAUUACUGGUAAUGGAAACAACAGCUGGCUGCUGUAAUUGCUGCAUUACCGUGAGGAUUUGAAAAAUGAAUCUCUGUUAAAACAAAUUUCACCCUAAACUGCCCAUUUUACAUGGUAAAAGUCAUUGCUUCUUCAAAUCUUUUGCAGCUACACGAUGCGUGGUCAGAAUCUUUGACAUAUACGACUUCUGCCACUCUUGUUUCCCAAUUUUUUCUUUCGCUCACGUUGAACACAACUUUACAAGCAUCCUCUGUUUUGAGCUCUAGGAAACAUGCUGUACUUUGUAUUAGUUCUUGCUCAAACUUUUGAAACAUUGUCCUUGUGUACAAGGUAGCCAUUUGUUUGUUCAUUGGCAUCGGUAGAAGACAUUGAGCCACUUCAAAUGCAUCUGCGUGAUCAGCAACUAACUCUUUUUCACGUUGAUGAGAAAGUGCCCUCUCAAAUCGUAUUAUGAAAUCCAUCAACGAAUUUCUCCUUGAUAUGUAUUGCUUGAAAAAACCAUGAGAACCUUCCGCUCUUUGGCUGCUUGACAUUCCAGCGGCAAAAAAUUGUCGUGCGUAGGCUGGAACCCAAGAUUCCCUUAAAUCAAACAUUGAACUUAGCCAUGGAUGGUCAGUCAAACCAGCCUUUGUAACCACAAUAUUCCAUUUUGCAUCAAACUCAUCCUUAUUGUCAGUAUCCCAUAUGGCUUUCUGAAAUUCAGGCCAAUACUCCUUAUAAGCGUCACGUGGUAACUUAACAGAGAACUUUGAUGUGAUGUGCUAUAUGCAAAGUCGAUGAAAUGUACUCGGGAAGGCUAUUGAAAUCGCUAUGGCCAUUGCCGCAUCUUGAUCUGUAAUGAUCGUUUUAGGUUCCCCACCUGGCAUGGCUUUCUUAAACUCCUCAAACAUCCAAACAAACGACUCAGUCGUUUCCUUGCUCAAAAAUGUGCAUGCUAACACAAUUGUCUGACCAUGGUUAUUAACUCCCAACAUUGGUGCAAAUGUCAAGUCGUAUCGAUUCGUGUUGAAUGUGGUAUCAAAUACAACAACAUCUCCAUAAAACCCAUACGCCCGUCUAGAAGUUGCAUCUGCCCAAAAACAUCGACUAAACCUAUCAUGCCCAUCUCCCUCAAUCUUGAAAUAAAAAGCCUCAUUUUUUUUCUGUUCAGCCAUAAAAUACUCGGUCACUAGUUCAACAUCGUGGUUCCUCAGCUUCCCAAUCACACUACAUUCAAGAUUGUAGAUAUCUUUUUUGAUAAAACCGAUUUUAUCCAUUCCUCCGGAUUGCACCUCGAAAAUACUUACCUUCUGAUGAAUGGGAAUAUUAACUGAACCCAACUGUUUUGUGAGUACUUUUGUAGAAUCUGAAAUAUGACGGUGUGAUCUCAAUAAAUGCAUUCUUUCUAAGGGUGUCAUCUUAUGAUUGUGUCCCUCUGCAAAAAGAGAAAUGUUAUACUUGUUGCUCCCAUUUGUCUUCACAACCACAAUCUUUGCUUUGCAAUUGCAUCUACUUAUUCCCCGUUGUCUUUUUCUCUCCCGAGUUUCAUCCUUCCUGUAUGCACCUUGUUUGCAACAUACAAAUUCUUUCCUCAAAAUCUCUUUCUUAUUUUUCCCCCAAAAGCUAGAAUGAAGUCGAAUACCAAAGCCAGCCAAGAAUGCAUAUCUAUUAUAGAAAUUGUAAACGAGGUCAAGCGAGUCAAACUUCAUCCCAACUGCUGGUGUUUCCUCAUUUCUUACUUCAGGAAUAUAAACCCUCCCAUUAGCUGUUGCACAUUCAUCACUCUCUGAGCCCCCAGACAUUUUAUCUACGUAUAUUAUUGAUCCACUUCUAUAUUACUGCAUAGCAAUUAUUCAUUCAUUAAUCAGUCAUUACUGCAUCACAACAUAUCAAUGCAUUCCACUUACACAAAACAUUGCCCAAAUUGACACAAAAUACGCAUAGCCUAACUUCCGAUUACACAAAACACAAGCAAAAUUUCAUAAAAGUUACGUCAUCUCUUGUGAAAUAAUCUGGUCAAAAUAACAUUAGAACCAACAUGUUCAACUAAGAACACAAAUGUAAUUCAAACCACCAAUUACAGAACUUCACCCAAUAUCCUCUCCAACUGCUUACUCCUAAUGUCAUUAAGCCUAAGUUUAGGUUCUUUUACCUACAUUUCAUAAUUUUUCACCCCGACCAACAACAAUGAACUAAGUAUAUUGAAUAUUCACAAGGAAAUGACACAUUAUUGAUGCCACAAAUGACGAAUUUCCCACCCUCACAAAAAAUAAACCUAACCCAAUAAAAUCAAUCCAGCAAGUGAACUUACCUCUCAAAAUCAAUCGAGAGCUCUGAAGUCAGUCAGCUUGAAAGAAUGUGGUGGACAUUAGAGAAGACUCUUUGGUAUUUGAGACUCCAUCUCUAUCAAAAUCGAGGAACAACUGCUGCUGCGGCUUCUAGCUACAAAAACAGAUAUGCUACUUUGCUUUCAUCUAGAAUCUUGUCAGCUGAAUGAAAAAGAGAAGGGGUUUUCACUUGAGCCAUAGAAUCAAAACAGGGCAACAGCUAGGUAAGAGCCAUUCUUCGUAAUACCCAGGAUACCAUAGAUCGCAGGCCUCCCAACGAGCUAAUGACAGUGGAGUGACUAUAAGGUUUGGGAGAUUUGGAUCCUUCUAAUUGUGGGUUUGCUUUACAUUCAAAAAGAAAGGAUUGUGUUCUUCAGUUUUUCACAGAGAGGGAAAGAGGGGAACAACUGAAGUUGGGUUUCUAACGGGUUAGAUUUCAACCCGAUUCUACAUGCACCCUCUUUUAAAAACUCACCGUUGGAUGAAAUCCAACGGCUCUUACAUACCCCUCAAAAACACCCCUUAUAACUUCCCACUCACUAUAGAAGCUCCCCCAACUAAAUCCCAAAAGGGAAACAGAUUUGAACAACAUACAAAUUUGAAGGACACACAAAUAUGAAUCUCAGCACCGGUGAGAAAUUAAUUUUAGUUGAGGUUGGUAGGUAGGCAUUGGAAGUUUUUAUUGUUUUUGCUCCAAGUCCCUCCUCCACUCACUAAUACAGAUUACUCGCAAAUGAACUAAAGUCUGCAGGGAUAUAUGGACUCCCCUGUCCAUACGAAUGUUGGAAGAAAUGUGUGUUAAAUUUUAGAGAGACGGGUCUGUGACCCACCACUAGCAACGUUGAUAUUGUCUCCAACUUAACUACAUGUUUAGUAGAUGUGGGGUUUUAUACAAAAAGUAUUGAUGUUAUUGGGAAUGGAACCACUUAUUAUAAGUUAAAAUUUAUUUAGUCAAGUUUCCUAUGUGGGACUUUCUAUUCUUCAACAAGCCCCUUCAUGUGGGACCACCACAUAGUGGGCCACACGUAGAGCCAAGUCCACAUCGGAGUCAAUCAUUCAAGCCCAAUACCUAAACACCACGUAUUGUGUGAGGGGUAGGGGUAAACAUUCAAGCCCAACAUAUGAACACUGUAACAUCCCAACUCCAAAUUUAAUCCCUUAUUUAAAUUAUUUAAGUGAAAUUACAAAUUUACCCUUGGGGUAGGGAUAUUUUGGUCAUUUUCUUACCCGAAAAGAGUUUGGGGCAGUGACUAGUAUUUUUUGGUAGAUCGUACUGAGAUGAGUCUGUAGACAUGUAGUGGGCUCGAUUCGGAGUUGAAACGAAGAAGUUACGAGCAAAACAUCACCAAUGGCAAAACCGUAAAUAUUUCAAAAUGAAUUUUUAAUAAAAAAAACCUGAAAAACCCUCUCUCUCUCUCUCUCUCUCUCUCUCUCUCUCUCUCUCUCCUGCGCACAGCCCCUUUCCCCCCUUCGUUUUUUCUUUCCGUGGCUUCCAAGAGCCACCAUCGCCACCACGAAUCACCACCGGCCAUGAGGCCGGACUCGUUCGAACUGCCGCCGCAUCCUCUUCCUGUUCCGGUCGCUCCCAGUCGCUGCCAUCCGCUGUGCUGGCCGGAAAUCGAAGAAAACCAGCCGAUUUUUGUCAAACUUUCGGCCGCUCGUUCUCCCACUUCCGGCCACCAUUUUGGCCAUCCAGGUAUAGAUUUUGAACCUCUCGAGCUGUUCUUGCUGCCUGUUGUGUUAGAUUUGGGAGAUUUCCGCGUUUUGAAGGUCGAUUAAACGAUGGAAGUUUGGCUGGUUUUUGGCCUCCGAUUCCGGCCACUUUCGGUCACUUUUUGGGGUAGGUCCAAGAACAAAAGUGGUUCCAAAUAGGGUGUUAUACCUAGGGUAGGAGUCUUGAGCCGUGGUUUUGAGAUUUCUCGGUGAUGCGUAAUCGCUUUGGACACCCAUACGCUACCGGCGCGUGUGGUGGCGCGUGGGCACUGUAGAAAUGGGGUAUUGUGUCCCGAUGCGAUCCCCUUGUUGUCACGAGUGUGUAGUGUGCUCGGAUUCCAAUUUGGUUGACAUUCGAACCCCGAACGAAUUUCUCCUAUUGCACGUUAUCCGCGUUUGAUAGGUUUGAACCGUUGGAUAGUCUUGAAUUUAAUAUAUUUAAUCUAAGCAUUUCUAGGAUCGUGUAGGAAUUCACGGAUCAUGAAUCGGAACCCCGGAUGUUCCGAUUUAAUAAUUUAAAGUUUAUGUUUAUAUUAACUGUCAGAUCGUGCAAUCGUGAGCGAUCCGACCUUCCGAUCCGGACCAAACGUGCAGGACGUAUAUCCUAAACCUUGUGGAACCUAUAGGAACUUUCGAAUCAGAAUUUAGAGGUCGUGGGCCUAGUGGCCCCGUUUGACCAAGUGUGGAUAGUUUGACCCUUGGUUGACCUUGAGUCUUCCAAGGUAGUUUUCCUUCCUAGAAGGAUUAUAAUGACCCUAAUGACAGGUCUUGAGCGUUGUUGAGCCAUGUUGACUAGGUUAAGAUUUUUAGAGUGUUUAUUAUUGUCGUAGGAAACUCUUGGACAUUAUUUUAAUAAUUGGAAUUAUAAAAGUGAGUUUUGGGUUCGGCUAUGACUUUAGUGAAUGGACUUUAUUUUUAAAUGAAUAGCAUGGCUUUGUGAUGGAAUUUUUAGGCAUGUGAAUUUAAUGGUUUAUUGAAAUUCAUUUUUAUAAUUAAUAGUUAAUUUAGCAGUUUUGGUAAAGUAUUAGUGAUGUGUGGGGUACUUGGGAUUUUGUUGAGGUUUAUACAAUAUUAGAGAUUAACUUAUAUAUUUAAAUAUAGGUAUGAAUGUAUGAAAAGAGUUUAGAAUGUCAGUUUGAAGUACUAUACGCACUACCCUAGGUACCUCAUCGGAUUUUGAUUACACUAUAAGUACCACCCUGUGAUUGUCAGGUCACCCAUGGCGUAGGAUUUUCCGGCGGAAUGACAGACCCCAUACGUGACGUUGGAAUUUCCGGCGUAUGGGGAGAUGAUAUUAUGAUUGUUAAGUCACACGUGGCAUAGGUUAUCCGGAGUGCUGACAGACCCCAUAUGUGGCGUUGGAAUUUCCGGCAUAUGAGGAGAUUAUGUGAUUGUUAAGUCCCACGUGGCGUAGGUUAUCCGGCGGGAUGAUAGACCCCAUACGUGGGGUUGGAAUUUUCGGUGUAUGGGGAGAUGAUAUAAUGGUUAGGUCACAUGUGGCGUAGGAUUUUCCGGCUUGAUGACAGACCCCAUACGUGGCAUUGGAAUUUCUGGCAUAUGGGAGAUUAUGUGGUUAUUAGAGAGAUGAAUUAAGAUUAUUAUACUGAGUUGGGAACGAAUGAUGUUUGAAAAAGAUUUUGUUUGGGAUUUCUGCAAUUGAUUGCAUGUUGAUGGACUUGGAAAUUUUGUAUGAAAGAACUACGUGUGGCUUGAUCCCUUAGUAAGGGUACAUAUGCAGCUUAGGGUAGUGCCUAGGUGCAGCCGUGUGCUAAACUUUACUCAUGUUGUGUGAUGGAGAUUCGUUCGGACCUUGUUGUUAGUCCUGAAUUUUAGGUGAAAAUGAGAUGCAGUCUUGUUAGGAGGUUUAAAUUUUCUACGUUUAAUAUUUGGGAAUUUAGAUGAUGGAAAUCGCAUUUGGCGUUCAUAAAUGUGUUUGAGUUUAUAUUUGCAUUGUUUAGAGUUAGUUGGUGGUUUCGUUUCGAAUUAUUUGAAGGCCGAAGGCUGAUUAUGUGAUUUAUAUGAAAUUAUCUUGUGCAUACUGCCAGUUGUGAAUAUCAAAUGUGUUUUAUGCACGUUGAAAUUUUUAGGAUUGUUCAACUUACAGGGGAGACUGCCGAAAUUUCGGCAUAAAAUCUCGUGCCCUUAUUCCUUAUUGGGAAAAAUGAUUUAGUUUUAGAAGUGGGUUCGACAUCGGGGUGAUGUCGGGAAUUUUCACAGGAUUCAUCUCGGGUUUCGGGAAAUUCGGGUCGGGUCCUGUCAAACACCACGUAUUAGGUAAGGGUAAAGGCUCAAUUCAGGCCCAGUCAAUCAACCCAUUAUGAUAUCAUGUUAAAUUUCAGAUAGACGGGCCUGUGGCCCACCACUAGUAACAUUGAUAUUGUCCCCAACUUAACUACAUGUUUAGUAGGUGUGGAGUUCUAUACAAAAGAUCUCGAUGUUUUUAGGAGUGAAACCACUUAUUAUAAGUUGUAAUUUAUUUAGUCAAGUUUCCAGUCAACCUGACUUUGAUACCAUGUUAAGAUUUUAAAGGGACGAACUCUUGGCCCACCAUUAGCAAUAUCGACAUUGUCCCCAACUUAACCACCUGUUUAACAAGUGUGGGGUUUUAUCCUAAAGAACUCGAUCUUAUUAAGAGUGGAGCCAUUUAUUAUAUGAAACUUUCUAUUUUGUUAACUCUGUGUAUUCUUCAUCAAUGUGAACACCCCUAAACCAAUCAUACCUGAUACGGAUUGAAACACAAGUUUGUUUUUUGCCUUUGGUAGAUGAGUAGCUAGAAAAGCUCAAUGCACUUGCUCUUCUUCUGCUACAUUUCAAUAUAAGAACAAGGUUUGGAAGCCAGGUCAACUCCUCAUAGUUUCCUUGCCUUUGCUUUGACAUGUCUAUGCACUUCUUGGGGAAGUUUGAAUAAUCAAUUGCAGGCCCCACGACAACUAAGGAACCAACAUUUUGUAGAAGGUUUUGUCUACACCUUUUGACUAUAAGUAAAAUCUUUUGUAUCUGCUCUUAUGUUUCGGUGAAGUUUCUAUGUGUCCUUUGUUGAACGAAAAAAUGAGGUUGUUUCUUACUAGAUUCAAAUACUUAAAAGAAAAAAAGAAAUUAUUGUUUCUUAAUUGAUUUUAUGGUGAACAAUAUCAAACUCUCCUCUUAUACGUCUUCUUCGUUGGACUUGGGGUUGUUUUCCUUAUAUGUCCCUUAUAUAUAUAGGGCCUUUGGUUGAGCCCACAAAUACCUUCAGUUAGUUUUUGGGUUUAGGGGCCUACAGAACCUGCACUAAACAAUAAAAGAAAAUACCUAAUUAGUUUAGUACGAAUUCUAUAAUGAAGGCUUUAUUAGGUAAGAUUUUAUUUCUUAAUCGUUAGAUCAAAUUUGACAGGACCCGUUCCUGAAUUUCUCGGAAAUCAGAGCGAACCCCGUCCUUGUUUCGACAUCACCCCGAUGCAGGGUCCACUUACUAAAAACCGAGACUUUCUACCAAAAUUUUGAUAGAAUCUCCCUUGUAAAUUGAGCAAACCCAACAAAAAUUUCAGCCUGCAACAUACAUAAAAAUAAUCCCAACCAGCAGCAUGCUUACAACAUACAACAAAACGUACUAAAUGGCCUCCGGCCUCACAAGUAAAAUUUAACAUGGGUAAUCUACUGAUGUAAACGAUUCGGCCUUCGAACACUGCUUGCAACCUUCCUGAAGCGACUACUGGCUAAGGGGCGCAAAACAGAAAACAUGUGAGUGGACAAAAACAAGAUUCAAUUAAAACAACAUAGUAACCCCACCGUGUAAAAAUAAUGCUCAAGACAUGUAGGUUUACAAUUCAUAAUUAAAUAUUCAAAAACAAAUUUCAUUUAAAAUUCUUUAAAACCACAAAUCACUCCAUCCAUAAAACCUCAUGCCCACAAUUUUACUGCUCCUACCAACCCACUGUAUAGACUCUAAUUUCUUCACAAUCACAACUAUAUAUAAAUAUAUAAAUUGUAUCAUACAACAUACUCCUCACACUACUUAGGUACAGGGGAAACAAUCCAACCGGAGGAUCGUUUAACUAGCCCGCAGGAUUUUCAGGUGCUAUCCUGAGUCUAGGAAUGAGUGGUCCAACCAGGGGACGAAACUCUAUAGCUCACACACCGGAACAUCCAACGCCACGUGUAGCUCCAAUACUAAGUCCUACAGGCACAGACUGGAUCACCACACACCGGAACAUCCAAUGCCAUAUGUGAUAAUCCCAAGCAAUAUACAGAGUCUUCCCAUACGUCGGAACAUCCAACGCCGCGUAUGGAAAGUGUUCACACGCCGGAACAUCCAACGCCACGUGUGGGAAGCCUAUUAACUGGGGAAAGUACUUACAUAGUGUAAUCAUACAAUUUCUCUCAACAACUCCUCAUACUCAAGUUCUUCCACAAACUCACCUCAACAAUCCCAAGUACCCCACCUAUAGACAAUAUAUAUAUAACUUCCCCAAAAUCUAUACAAAACAUACUCUCGAUAUCCAAAUAUGCCAAACUCACAAUAUAUUGCCAAAGUGCAAUACAAACAUCAAAAUCAACACAUGAAUAUAAUAUAUAUUCAAUAUACCAUUUAAAACAUUAUGCGUAAAUCUUUCAUCAAUAAAACCAUGCGUAUGAUUGAAAACAAAGUCCACUCACAAGUAUUCCUACGCUGCUUGACCACGAGAGAGUCCUGCCUGCUGAGUACGUGCAGUAGGAGCACCUAUUUUGAGAUACAAACCUUUAAUUAAUAUAAAAUUACUUCAAAACGGAAAACACAAAUUAAAUACUUAAAUCCCCAAGUUCCCAGUACAUGUACGUUGAACGAGGUAUCCUAAGGUCUAGUUACAAGUUUGGGAAUCGCUCACGAUUGGACGGUUAUCGCUAACCCACAAAUUUUGAAUUAUUGAAUCGGAACAUUCGGGGCUCCGAUUCACGAUCCGUGAAGUCCUACGUGAUCCUAGGAAUACCUAAAACAACAUAUUUUAAUUGGAAAACGCACAAUAUGCGAAAAUCCGUUCGAUAGUCAAACGAUGUCCGAAUUGAGAUUCGCAAAAUGCUACGCACUCGUGACAACCUGAGGAUCUCAUCAGGACAAAGUGCAACUUCACCACCCUCACCCACGCGCCGGCAGCGCGUGGGUGUGUAGAGUAAAUUCCGGCGAUGGAAAAACUCCACACCUACUUGAGGUCAGGAUCUCAUCACUCAACUACAGGGAGGUUCAAUUAGGACGGCAACUGGCCGGAAUUUCACUUUGAAAUCCAGCCAAAACUUAGGUUUUCUAAUCGGUUCCUAGACAACAAAUCGAUCUAAACCUAUGCAACAGUCAGCUAGACUAAGGAAAAAGAGGAAGAAACCUCACAUUUUUCACUGGAAUCGGAAGGGAGAGGCGACGGGGCGACGUCGGGAAGACUCGGGUUUGAACCAGUCGAUGCCGUUGACGAUUCUCGCAUUUUUCGGGGGGACUUUGGGUGGUUCGGGUUAGUGGCUUCACGACGAGUCGAACGGGACCGGUCUCGGGGGCUGGGGUGGUCGGGUGUGGUGGCGGUGUGGUGGUUUUCGUCUCGGUGAACAGUAACAGGGGAGGGUUUCGCACGCGCAGAGAGGGACUCGGGAGAGAGAGAGAGAGAGAGAGAGAGAGAGAGAGAGAGAGGAGAGAAAAGAAAAAUUAGAUUUUUACUCUCCUCUUUUCAAAAUAUUUACAAGUUUGCCACUAAUGAUGUUUUGAUCGCCAUUUUCUUGUUACAACUCCGAUUCAAGCCUACCGCAUGUCUAGGAAUUCAUCUCAGUACCACCUACCCAAAAUUACCAGUCAUGGUCCCAAACUCUUCCCGUAACAGAAAAUGACUAAAAUACCCCUACCCCAAGGGUAAAUUCAUAAUUUCACUUAAAUAAAUUAAAAAUAGGAAUCAAAUUUGGAGUCGGGGUGUUACAAAAUUGGUUAGUACGAUCCAACGGUUAAUAGAUAAAACUUUACAUAAAAGUCAUAUAUAAGGCCCUCACUAUAGAAUGACUCGUUAGUUUAGUCUCUUGUUACAUAUCAACUGUUAGAGAUAUUUUUUUAAUAAGGAUCUACCAUACCACAUAGUUGGAUAAGACAUUAUACACAACUUUUGUAAGAGCAUCUCCAGCGAGCCAGGCCAGCCCAAGCAGCAAGGGGCCUUAAGCCCGGUAAGCAGCUCCAGCGCUCAAGAUUCAGCCCAGGCAAGGUGUGGAACCCACAAGGAGAUCUGGCCCGUCACCUUGCCUUUGGGUUUCAGUCAGGCUGAUGUCAACGAAAGAAUUUCAAAAAAAUUUUGCCGUUGCAAUGCACGCGCCAACGAUAAAUUUUCUUUGGAUUUCUUGCGUUGAUCCACAGCUACCAAAAACCAACGGCUACAAGCCACGUGGCUUCUCCAAGAGCCUCUGAUCCAAAAAUCUUGUCAAAUCUAACGGCUGUCCAUUUUUUGGCUAAAAAAAUAUCAAAAAAUUAUGGAAACAUUUUCUAUAAAUACCUACAAAUAUUAUUCACUUCCCACACCAAACCUUCAUACAAAUUCAUAUCCUUUCAAUAUUUUUCACUUUCCACACAAGAUUUUCUACUACUAAAUUUCAUUUGUGUAAAAAUACAAGUGGCCUCUUCUAUCAAAGCCGGAGGCGCGUGGACAACCGUGGAAGAUAUUUUGUUGUGUGAGUGUUGGGUCAAAGUUGGUCAUUGCCCGAUCACCGGCAAUGAGAUGAAGUCCUCUCGUAGGAGUUUCUGACAUCGCAGCGAAAGUAAGAUGUGAUAUGAGAAUGUAAGGAAUUUGAUGAGAGGAAUGGGAUUUGAGGAGUUUGAUGUAGGAAUUGAUGUUGAAUUGGAUUUGGGAGGUAUGUAUAUAUGAUUUGAGAGUAUGUGUUUAGGGAUUUUGAUAGGAGGAUUUGAGGAAUUUAGAUUUGAGGGAUUUGGAUUUGGGGAAUUUAAAUAUGAGGAAUUGAUUUAGGGUUUGGGUUUGAAUAUGAGAAAUUUGAUAUGAGAGUUUAGAGACAACUGAUGAUUGAUUGCUCUAAUACCAUGCUAAAAUAUAAAUAUGGUUUGAAUACUUUAGGUUGAGUUUUAUUCUUUUCCAUAAGGAGGUAUAUAUAGCAGUUUACAUGAGUGUUUUACAAGGAAAUAGAUACAGUAAUCAAUUAGGAUAAUAUCUCCUAAUUAUACAAUAAUUUGUCAACUAUAUAGAAUAGGAAAGUAAAUUCCUUAAUUAAUCAAGAAAAUAAAUCUCAUUGAUUAAUUAAGAGACUAACGUCAACAUUUAUAAGCCAUGGAAGAGCAGAAAAAGAGGUACUUAGGAGAUUUUAUACGUCGGACUAAGGUAAGCUUAAAGGACUAUAUCAAAAAAAUAAGGGACCAAGAAGCAAGACUGAGAAGUUGUUAUGCAAACCCAUUAAGUUUAGCAGUGAUGAAUUUGUAAAAAUCAUUCUAGUGGAUGCUGCCUUCACUAUUGAGUUCUUAUUGAGGUUCUAUCUGAAAGGAUGUAGACAUGAAGGAGACCGCUUAUUAAACAAAUCAGCUCCCAUUCUUUAUUCUUGAGGAUCUUUAUCACACAUACAUAAUAACCGACUCUUUUAGGAAUUAUUACAGUACUCAUGAUCAUGAGAGGCUUUCAAUAAUUAAUAUUUCUAAGAAUUUCGUCACAGCUGGAAUAUUGAAUUUGGAGGGGAAGGGAGACAAAUGGAACAGAAUAUCAUCUUCUUCUAGUGUUGGAAAUUUUAUAUUAUUUAAUAAUAUUUAAUUUCUAUUGUGAAUGAAAAAUAAGUUUCUUUAAGAAACGUGUGUCUUAGGCCAGUUUUUCUAACUGGUCGGCUUCCUUAGAUUUGUGCCUAUUGCUUUUCAAAGUAUAAUGAUGCAAUGGUUGUAUCUCGUUCAGGCAAAUGGAAGGUAUAUAGCAAUUUAUAGAACAAUACAGUAAUCCAGAAGAAAUAUUAUGAAAUGAAAAGAAUAAAAAGUAAAAAAAGAGAAGGAAAGGAAUUCCCACCUGCAAUGUAUAUGUAUGAAAGGAAGGACCAAGUUUGUUUUAAAAUGGUAAGAACAAGUUGAUUUAUAAUUGGGUUCAGAUCAACUCAUGGAUUUCUUGCCUUUUCUAUUCUCCUUCCUUGGACAUGAACUGUUUAAUCUUGGCUCUUCCCCAUCAUGUUGGGCCUAUCUUCUUCUUGAGGAUUGUAUAGGCCCAGGAAAUGCUUCAAGAUAGUUUUUGUGUUUUGGGCAUUGGGACCUAACUUCACAAAAAGAAAACAGAUUUGGCCAAAAAACAAAUUUGAAGGACAUUGAAAUUGUACCUGUAGGAUAGGUUAAAACACUGUAAGGGAGGUAAAUAGUACGUUUACAUAGUUUAAGUGUAAUAAAGGAAUAAAAACAUGCCCAGAGGAUUGAUAAGUGAUAUCAAUUCUUGAAUAUAGAGAACGUAAAAUAAAGGAACACGUAUAAAAUUAUUUUAUGUGGUAAAACCCCAUCUCUAGGGAAAAUCCACGGGACUUCUUAGUCCAAAACAAAUCUAUUAUAGAACGAUGAUUACAAGAAGUACUCACACACUUAUCCUAGACACAUUCUAGAUAAUGUUUACUGACCUCUUCGUAACUCAACUUCUGUCACAGGAUGAUCUUUCGACACUUCUUAUGUUGAACGCAAUACUAGUCACGAUUUCUUUCAAGCUCAUUGGAGAAAAACCGCCACAACAGUCUCGGUGCCCUCAAUCUUAUGAGUCACUGAACAUGCAAAUGAAUACAAUAUGAAUGAUAAAAGUGUUUGAUAAAUCACCAAGUUAUGGAACACUUGAUGAUUUAUUUCAAGUAAAAAUUCAGCUUUCCAAAGUUUAUGAAUUGAAAAUAUGAUCGUUAAAGCUCUCUAAACAAAAAAAACGAAGGUCUUAUUUUAUAGACUUUUUCUUUACAAGAAAGAAAACACGUUGAAAACCAAAUCUCCAAUUUCAAGGCUUGACAGAAAAUCACAAAAGUAUCUUUCCUAUUCUAGAGAUUGGUCACAUGAAGUCCAACCAAUAGGAAAUGAGAUAUUUAAGAAAGGAAGAUUUUGAUCAAUAUCAAUAUCAAAUGAAUUCUUAUAUGCCUAGUCAACUAUUAAGGGUAUCUUAACUACUUGAUAUUAUGAUAUGAUUGAAACAUGAUUUCCACGUUAGAAAAUUAAGGGGAUUUUAAAACAUGAAAGUAAUAGGAGAAUCAAAUUGAUUUGGACCAAAAUUGCCUAAAAAGAAAACACUCCUAAAUAAACUUCAAUUCACUUUUAAAAACAGUAAAACUUGAUUGAAUCGUUCUUUAAAACAAUUCCCUAAUAUACAUGCAUGAUAGUGACAUCACUUACCUCUGAAUCAGAUGCCUUUUACGAGUCAAGCCACAAGUUUGUGUUUUGGGGAUUGCUGAGCUGCAUCAAUCCUGCCAAUGUCAAUUCUGCCCCUAGGCUCUCUCAAAGCACGUUUACAAUCUAUGCUAAUAUAUACUAGAGUUUAUGCUAGUAUCUAGAAAAUGCCAACACUAAUUUCGUAACACGUAGAAAUUGUUAGAGAUUGGAAGUUUUUUUCAUUUUUUUCUUCCAGACUCUCCACCACUCACUAAUACAGUUUACUCAUGUGAUGAAUUUACAAAACCUAUUUCUCUACUCUCACAAAGACUAUACUUAGGGGGGGUGUAUUCAAUUAGGAGUCUAGAGCGUUUAAAAAGAUUUUGUUUAAGUGCCAGCUUUCAUAGAACUUGAUGGAACUUUAUAAUUCGUAUAGAACUUGAUAGACUUUCAGAAGACUUCUGUAUAAUUUGUUAAUAAAACUUUCUUAAGCUUUCAUAGAACUUGAUAGGCUUUUAUUCCAGAAUUAUGUAGACAGUAUAUUUCAUUUUAUCCCCAUCCUUGUCAUUUAAAGAAAGAAACUUGAAUGUUUUCAAUCAAAUUUGUUUUUGUUACCAAAGCAAAAACAAAAAGUACUUGUUUGCGAAGGAAGAACAUAUGCACAGUUCAAAAUGAAAAGAAUAAGAAGCAAAGUACCUAUUGGACCAAUGAAUGCUGUGUCAACUAGAGAAGCAAUUGGAUCGGCUGUCAAAGCCAAUGCUACAGGCAAUGCAUCGAUGGUCCAAAUUGCAAUAAAAAAUAUUUUGUAUAAUGGUUCUUGCAGACAAAGACCACAUAAAUUCUGGACUGGUCCAGCUUGAAUAAUAAGGUUAGAUUAGCCGAUGGAUGAGAGUAAAAGCAAAGAAAGUUGAUGAAUUCAUCACCAAUUAUUUAAUAACUGUAACAUCCCACAUUGACCAACGGAGAGGGGGUGAUGUGCCUUAUAUGUACAUGCCCACUUCCAUCUAGCAUGAGUCCUUUUGAGAGCUCACUGGCUUCGGAGUCAUGGGAACUCUGAAGUUAAGCGAGUUGGGGCUAAAGCAAUCCCAGGAUGGGUGACCCACUGGGAAGUUGCUCAUGAGCUUUAGAAACAAAAAUCAUGAGGGCAUAAAGGGAGGCCCAAAUUGGAUAAUAUCGUGCUACGGCGGAGCCGAUCCCAGGAUGUGACAAUAACCAAUAGAGUAUUUAAACAUAAACAACAAUGUUUGAUAAACAAAACAAAUAGUCCAAAUAUUAUCCAAAAAACAAUUCUAAAACCAAUCAUUCCAAACAAACUAGUCAUUCCCAAAAACUCUCAAAAAACCCACUCAUUCCAAAUUAUAGGAUAUCCAAUUUGAGCGCUCCUCAGGAGACAUUUUCAAAAAUGCAUCCUUUUUUGUGUUACUAUGCAACAAAGAGAGCGCUUUAUAAUGAGCACGUUCAUCCAAAUUUGAGGUCUCCUUAAUGGCAUCCCACAUAUAACUCUGCUGCUCUCGCUCUUUUCCCCUUUUUGCCAAUAGGUUAUGGACCUCCCGGAAGUCGGUGACAAUUGAAUCAAUGCUAAGGCUAAUUCUUCCCAUAGCUUGUUGGGUGGUCACAUUUGAGAUGGCAUUCCCUUCCAAAUCUAUUCUAGUUCGUUUCCUCUAGUAACAAGCAUAAAUCCUAGUAACAAGCAUAAACCCUAAUCCCAACCUAUAACCUAAUAACAAGAAAAACACGAUGAAAAAAAAAUCAUGGAAAAAGAAAACCCAACGAGGUAUUGAUCAAAAAAAAAAAUAGGGAGCAUACCUUCACAGAUGGAGGAAGGAAGCUGUUUGUCUUCACAGAGAGAAAAGCUAGGGAAAGAGAAAAACGUCUGAUGAAAUACUUUGGGGGGAGGUUGGAUUUCUUUUGGUCUUUGAUAUUUAUAACUCUCCCCUUAAAACCUACAAAAAUUUAUCACUUAAUGAAAUCCUUCCAAAUAUAUGACCUUUCGAAUACACCUAGAUUUGAUUCAACUUUUUUAUAAUCCUAAUUGAAUACACCCAUAUUUGAGUGGACUUUUUAAAAGUUCAUAUAAGUCCGAAUUGAAUACACCCAGACUUGUAAAACCUCUUUUAAAGUUUGUAUAAAUCCAAAUUGAAUACACCCGGAUUUUUAAAAUAUUUUUUAAACGCUUUAUAAUCCUAAUUGGUACAUCCCCCUUAUUCUCAAAAGACUAUAUCACUUUACCUCUAUCUCUGUGAAAUGUAAAAAGUUGAAACUUUAAUGUCAAACCUCGACAAAAGAUGAACUUCCAUCAGUUGCGUUGAAUUUGGAUUUGUUGAACUAAAGUGGUUUUACUUUCUCUGUCAGUGUUUGAUGACUUAAUUUGGUAUUUACUUCUUUUUUUCCUUGGAAAUGUGUUCCACCAACGUGAGGAAGAAAAAUGUGCACAAAUUAAUAUAUUUAAUAAAAGCCCAAGAUUUCGGAAGCACAUAAUUUCUACAAAAAUCUAGAAAGUGUUCUACUUUACAAACUUCUUAUGUCUAUCAAUUUCUACUAAAAUUAAUUUCUCUGUGGUGCUCAGAUUCAUCAUAUGUGUGUCCUUAAUUUUAUUGGAAAUUAGAAGUUUCCAUAAUUUUUAUUUUUUGGGAAUUUUCUGAACCAAGAAAAAUCAAGUAAAAUUAAUAAAGCUUAAAUUGGAAAGGGAAAAUAUCUAGAGGACGCAUUGUAGGAUUUCUCAUGCCGAUAAUUGUACCCUCUAAAUAUAUAGGGACAUAUUUUUUUUGUUUUCAUGACAUGUGGUCCUAAAAUUAUUGUUCCUAGCGGGCUCUCCACCCCCUCUCAAAUUUACGUGGUCCAUUAUGAUUAACCAUAUAUUUUAUUGACCAUCCAGCUGUGAGGUUUUAUCCCAAAAACCUUAGGUACAUUUCUCAAUUAUGUCUGAUACAUCACAUCAUGCCACAAUUGUAUAUUCACAAUUAUGUCUGAUACAUCACAUCAUGCCACUUGCCUCAAAUGAAUUUAAGUGAGUGUGGCAGUGGGAAGUAAUUACUUCUAGGUGCCCCUCAUCAUUCGUCUAUAAAAUGGUGAAGCCAGUGGCUAUAAGAGCCAGCUCCAACUUUCUUUUAUUCGUCUAUAAAAUGGUGAAGCCAGUUGCCAAGUUAAUUUCAGUCCUAAUGGGGUUUCAUCUCCCACUCAUCUUUGCUAUUCUCAGUGUAAGCUCUGCAAUUUGAUUAACUUUUCCAUUCUCUCUCAUUGUACUCUAUAUAAACGAAAGUUUUGUGUUCCUAUAAUUCUCUUUGAUUUUAUUUAGUACGUACUUAAGUGUCGUCCACUAAUUAAUUACAGUUUGUGAGAUUUGAUUUUAAUUAGAGUUCGAAUUAAUGUUGCAGCUAGCAGUGGUUGCACUGGCAAACCAUGCUGCUCAACCAGCACCUCAACUUUACUGGAACUCCGUCCUGCCAAACACACAAAUGCCAAGAUCUAUCAGUGAACUUCUGCAUCCUGGUUUGUGUUGAGCUCUUUAGAAUCUUAGAUAUCUCUUCUACCUGCCAUUUUACUAAAAUAUGUUCGACCACAUAUUUAUCAGUUAACUACUGUCAUUACAUGAGUGACACUUAUUCACAAAUCGGCUGAUCACUUAUUUUCCAUUUUACAUGAGUGAUAUAUAAUUUGCAGACUCCACAAAUGAAGAAAAUAUCGUGAAUGCUGUUGGGAAUGGAAAGCGCAAACCUGAAAUUUUCCCAUUGAGAAAUAUAAAUUACGUUCAAAGCCAUUAUGGAGUGUUAAAUAGAAAUUACGUUCAAAGCCAUUAUAAAAAACGUCCUCCUCCACCUGAAAAUAUCCCAUUUGCAAAUCGAAAAAAGUACGCACUAGGUUCUCCUCCAUCUGACAAUCAACUACUCCAUUAUAAAGAGUUAGCUAUUUUCUUCUUCGAGAAGGACAUGCGCCCUGGCGCAACAAUGAAGUUCCAAUUCCCUAGAAAUUCAAACACGGCUACUUUCCUGCCACGCGAAAGUGCUCAAUCGAUCCCCUUCUCCUCUAACAAACUACCAGAAAUUUUCAACCAUUUUUCAGUGAAGCCAACAUCUGUGGAAGCCAAAACAAUUAAGCAAACAAUCGAAGAGUGUGAAGCUCCAGGCACUAAGGGAGAGGAAAAAUAUUGCGCCACAUCUUUAGAAUCAAUGGUUGAUUUUAGCACUUCGAAGCUUGGAACAAGAAACGUUGAAGCAGUCUCGACGGAGGUAUUGGAAAAAGGAGCCACCAUGUCCAUGCACAACUAUACAACAAUGCCGGGACUGAAGAAGUUGGCAGGUGACAAAGUCGUUGUGUGUCAUAAGGAGAACUAUCCCUAUGCUGUGUUUUUCUGCCAUGCAAUAAAACAAACAGCAGCUUAUGUUCUCUCCCUGAAAGGCGAUGAUGGGGAGAAGGUUAAAGCAGUAACCAUCUGCCAUCUAGACACAUCAGAAUGGAACCCAGAGCAUUUGUCCUUCCAAAUCCUCAACGUUAAGCCCGGAACCGUUCCCAUCUGCCAUUUCAUUUCCACUGAUGCUAUUGCCUGGGUUCCAAAACACAAAUUUGCAUGAUCAUCACUUAGCACUGUGGUGUAAGAUAUAUGAUGAGAUAAAGUUUUUGGUAUUAGUGGUCGGGUUGCCUGAAAAACACAGAUUACAGAAACUGCUUGAAAUUAACCCGAUCAUGUUUUCUCUUGUAAGACUUCAACUUGUACUCCUAAAGCAAGUUAUAUUUAUGAAGAGAUAUUAAUCUAUAUAUAUUUUAUGUAUAUAUAUAUAUAUAUAUAUAUGCUUUGGCUUUGUGGUUCUACCCAGUGUUUG